rnacentral:lncRNA from 1 species
CAACCAAACCACCCGCUUGUCGUAAGCUUCAUGUCCGAGACUCGGAAAGAAGAGUGACGUUAAAGAGGGCGUCAGAGCCUCUCGAAGUCUCUGAUCUCACAGAUGGUUAGGCUGCAACUCCUUCGCUUGUGAAGAAGCUUGGCUAGUUCUCCUUACUCGGACAUUCUAUUCAUUCGACCACCGCCCAUGCUUCAAGAUUGAAGUUUUGUUUUGACUCUGUAAAAAAAAAGAACGUUGUAACGUCGGUUAACGGAGCCUCACAGGCAGCCAAAUAAGUUCUUGACCCCUUUACCUAUCUUGGGUGAGCUACAUCCAUACAUAGUCUAAGCCUCUGAUUGACUGUACUAGAUACGGAAUUUUAGUCCCAAGAGUUCUGCAGAAGCGGGCUAAAGGCAAUAGUUUGCUAGGGUGGCUAUCCCAAUUCUUUGAUAAGAUCGCUACCGAACGCCCCCGAAAGCCUAGUCUUUAGAAGGAACGAACGGAUUUCUUAGUUCGUUCGUGCAAUGAAUAAUCUUAUCUGAAGAAGGUAAUACGGAAAGAAAAAACUCAACCUGAUGCUACUGGAAUAGAGAAGCAAGCAAAGUGGGUCGGGCUGGCCUGGGACUCAAUUGAAAAAAGCGGUAUUUCUUCCUAAAGACUAACUAACGGGACGCACUCAAUUUCUACCUUCCCCGAGCUUACCACCACCCGUGGGACAAGAGAAUGAAAACAGAGGAAUGACCAAGGGAAUUUUCUAUUAACCAACGGGAGAUCCUCCUUUUCUCGCUAAUCUAGGUCUCAGGGUUCCCCAGCACAGACUUCUUGUUAGUUUAAACUAAUAAAAUGGGAGUGAAGCUAUGCCGUUAAACAAGACAAACCAAUCGCAGAUGUACUAUCACGCGAGGAAGGCCCCCCAUUAUUGUUGAAAAACGACUAUUCUAUAAUAUAAUAAGCGAAAUGUAUCUGGUCUGGAGAAUCCAUUGGAAGCGCCUGUGGGAGCUCGACUUCCAGGUAUACUUCAAAGUCCUAGGGAUGCAAAGAAGGGGUUGUUUAGAUAAUAGUAAGAGUUCGAGCAGGUAGCUGAGCGAACAAACUAACUAAUAUAGCGAGUCUAUUAUAUAGAGCUGAGCGGUAAGCAAGAAGAGUAUAUUGACCUUACAGGCAUUUCUUUAUAGUUCUAUACGUGGUUCCAGCAAGGGAGUCACAUUCAUGGACGAGGGACUGAAAGGAAGAGACAGCUAUAAUACAGAAUAGAUUCCCACUAGCAGCUAAUCCAAUAGGCACAAUACCCGAUCGUGGAACAGAUUUGCUCGCUUGGUCGGCUUCCCCGAAAAGGAAACUUGACUUUCCAUAACUGAACCUGAAAGCGCUGCUAUGACUGCUGCACAGGUUUUCUCCAUAGCUGUGAAUUUUUUUUAUGCAUUAUUAUCAUUGAACAACUUAACUAAAUGAAAUGAGUCCAAAGCUCUCUUCUUCUUAUCAUCAUCAUGCUGUGCAAGCACGGCUCCAACAGAAUCCUUGUAGCAACAUAGAGGAGGACGGCCUACACUAUUAGAGGAGAGUAACUGUAAAGACACAACUUCCACCCUGUUGGCUGUAGUUUUAGCUUGUAUAUGUGAAAAAAGGAGAUUUUCUUUCAUAGAAUAACUCUUUCACUCGGUAAGUUCCGUUGGACCACUACGCGCCUUUUCAGUCGAGUUACUAAAGUACCUCUCGCAACAAGUGCUCGAGUCAUGACUUCGCCCUCUCCUUUCAGUUGAGUUGCUAAAGCACCUCUCCUUUGCUGUUCGAGUAAACAAGAAAUGCUCGAGUUACUAAAUACCUAAGGGGGCCCUCUCUGAUAAGGAAAGAAACGAAAGAAUCUCAAAUUGAUGAAAAAUCUGGUUCGAUGGCUGUUCUCCACAAACCACAAGGAUAUAGGGACUCUCUAUUUCAUUUUCGGUGCCAUUGCUGGAGUGAUGGGCACAUGCUUCUCAGUACUAAUUCGUAUGGAAUUAGCACGACCCGGCGAUCAAAUUCUUGGUGGGAAUCAUCAACUUUAUAAUGUUUUAAUAACAGCUCAUGCUUUUUUAAUGAUCUUUUUUAUGGUUAUGCCGGCGAUGAUAGGUGGAUUUGGUAAUUGGUUUGUUCCGAUUCUGAUAGGUGCACCUGACAUGGCAUUUCCACGAUUGAAUAAUAUUUUGUUCUAGUUGUUGCCACCAAGUCUCUUUCUCCUAUUAAGCUCAGCCUUAGUAGAAGUAGGUAGCGGCACUGGGUGGACGGUCUAUCCGCCCUUAAGUGGUAUUACCAGUCAUUCUGGAGGAGCAGUUGAUUUAGCAAUUUUUAGUCUUCAUCUAUCUGGUGUUUCAUCCAUUUUAGGUUCUAUCAAUUUUAUAACAACUAUCUUCAACAUGCGUGGACCUGGAAUGACUAUGCAGACCUCUCAAUGCCCACUGCUGCCUACUCCACCAACUACUCCCGCGUUCUCACCACUGUUCCCACCAACAAUCCCUGGAUCCUUGACUCCGGUGUGUGCUCCACACAUCACAUAACCUCGGAUCUGGCAAAUCUGUCCCUUCAUCAGCAGUAUAAUGGGGGAGAGGAAGUCCUCAUAGGCGAUGGCUCUGGUCUGCCCAUUGUCAACACUGGUUCCAUCUCUUUACCCUCCAUCUCUCGCUCUCUUUAACUCACAAAUGUUCUUAAUGUUCCUCAAAUACAUAAGAACUUGAUCUCUGUUCAUCGCCUGCCAAUAAUGUAUCUGUGAAUUAUUUCCCUCUUCCUUCAGGUGUGUGCUAAAGAUCUUCAUUCGGGGUUACUCCUUGACUUAUAGGCGUGCCCCAGCAUUACCAGAUAUAGUAUUUAGACAAGCAAUUAUUUGAGCCGGCGUAUGAGGGGUUCCUCCAGCUUCGCUGAAGAAGCUUGGUUCCUCCGCUCCCAUACCUUUAGCAACACACACAGAGGGAAGCAAUAACUCGACUGUAAGGAGAGGGAUUUCUUACUCGGAGAGGGAUUUCUUACUCGACUAAAAGGAGAGGGAAUCCCGGUAGCUCAGAGGUCUUUCUUCGCUUCCUACAAGUCAAGCACAUCCAUUAACAGCAAUACCACUUCGCACACCUUCCUACCUAUCAUACCGAGUACUUCCUAUCCGAACAAAACAAGUAAGAAUAACUCGAGCGAAAGAGAGAGAUAUUCUAUACAAACGGGAAGCACUGCUAGCCCGCUCACUCGUAAGCUUUCCUCGUGAGCUACAAGCUGCACCGGUUACAAGAAGGAUCUUAACAACUAGAUCCAGACACAACGAAUACAUCUAGUACACUUCUUCCCUUAUUCCGGAUAACUACAAAGAUAUUGACUCCAGUAUGCCAGCUACACCUUCGACACAGGAAGCAAGAAGCAGGAACUAGUAAAGACCGACGGAUCCUUCUAGCGACAUCUUCCCGGUACUAACAACAAAGAUUUUCUCUCUAGGAAACGCGCCCGGAAGCUGCACUUGUAGCCUUAUAGCUCAUUAUGGGCCUACCCAGACCUAUUACAAGCGGGAAAAUGGGCUUAGAGCGGGGCCUUAGAUGCGUGUUGAGGACCGUGCUCUAAUCUAUUCUAGCCUCAGUGAGAUAGCCCGACCACUUCCUGUGCUGUAGUGAUGCCUGACUAGAAAACAAGGAUUCUCGGCCAAGCCAAGUAAUAGCAUAAUAUAUAGAUAUAGAUCGAUUCUAUAUCUGUUUUCGAAGCCAUCCUUCUUUCCCUUGUCUCCCUUGUCCUUGUCUGCCUUUCAGCGAAGCGCUAGCGGAGACUGGAAAGAGCAAUCCCUAGCUCCGGAUGUUCAGUUAUCUACCUUCCGUCCCCUACAAAGUAUUUCUUAAUUGGCCUUUACCUGCCCUGCCCGUACUAUUACUAAAUUGAGCACCAGAACCGAACUCAGGCUCGUUCCAUUAUAAAUAUCUCCUAAAGCUUGAAAGAAAUGCGGAUUAGCACAGGCAGGAAGUCUUUUUUUGUUGUCAAAGGGAAGUCUUAACAACAAAAAAAUACGGGGUUUUUUUUAUGUGUAUCAAUUCUAAUGCCACUUUAGGGCGGAAAUUGACUUUCAUUCAAAAGGGGAAAAUGAAAUGGAAAUAGAUAGCUUAGACAGCCGGUCAAAGGUUUACAGGGGAGUCCGCCUUAGGUCUCAGUCUAUGUUGCAUUUCAUACACCCGAGUCAGGGAUUUUUUUUCCUACGGUUAACUCUCUCUGGUUGAAAGAGUCACUCCGAGGAACGCCUUAGGUCUCAGUCUAUUCUGCCUUAGGUGUAAGUAGAUUCGUAGAAGUAGAUUAGGAGCAUUUUCAUGCAGCUUAUUUCAGUCUAUUCCCCCUGCAUUUUUACGAGAAGAAAGACGGAAGAAUGUAAUGGGCUUCUGCAAGGGAAUCAGAAUAGGUGACAAAUGCCACAGAAGGAACACAGAAUAGGCAUCGAGCAUAAAAGAGGUCGCAAGCACAUUCAUUGAUGCAUCGAAUGCUAGUGGUUUUGCCUUAUCCACGGUUAUAGAAUCCUCUGUCGGCGUAAAGGCUCUUUUCUCUUUUUGAACAAAAAUUGACCAGACUGCCUAAUCUACAGGAGCGAAGCCCAUUGAGAUUCCCAGAUCGAGUUAUGUCCCUGGAAAUAGGAAUAGAAUCAUACAAAAGAGCUGUUAGCAGGGCUUGCUCACGAGUAGGCAGAAGAGAAUCGCUUGGCUUGGGAAAUAAGGGUGGCUUGUUCACGAAUGCCCUGUUAGAAGGAAUCAUUGGACAAAAAGAGGGGUAAUCUAAGAGGAAAUGAAUCAUCAUAGGUUGUUCAAGAAUAAGGGACUGAUGACUUUCCUGUUGAUGCAAGUAACUGUGAACUGCCUUAAGAUAUGAAUGAUAGCCCGCAACAGGCGGGGCAAAACUUGAGAUUCGAUAUUAGCUGAUGCAGAUGAACUAGAAGGGGUUCCUCCGAGUAGGCUCUUUGAUGGAAUAGUAGAUGUCGGCAUUUCCGCUCCUAAAGGAAUGAAGCUCGCCACAAAAAAGAAAUUUCGGCACAUUCAUCAAGCUUAGGAAAUCCGUCCUUCAAAGAUCCAAGCAGGGGAUUCUCAAGCAGUACACACACGAGGAAGCAGUCCCGUCCUCAUGAUAAUACUGCUUUAUGGGAUAAAACAGAGGGCGAAGCGUAGCGAGCAAAUGAAAGAAAGAAAUUGGUUCUCGUUGUUGAUUCCGUAUGGGUCAAAGAGUUCCUAAUUGGUUAGUUGCUUCAGCCAAGGCAGCAAUACGGUGCUAAUUCAGAGGUUUCCCUCUUCUAAUAAGAUAAGCUAACUAAGCAAAGAUUCAAGGUACGAAGUGACAACCUUGGGCAUUGCACGAAUCCCCUCUUUCGGAAUAGAAUAGAGCGGGCAAAGCCCUAUUUCUUCUUUCAUUCUCGGCUUUUAGUGAACCAGGAAAAGAGAUAAUGAAUUAGGUAGGGUGGUCCCAUCAGAAUGGGCUUGGACCUUUUUCUUUGGAGGAACCUAGCUUCUUCAGCAAAGCUGGAGGAACCCCCUGACCGAUAGUUUGAGUUUGUGGAACAAGUUGUAGAGAUCCCAUACUUUCUAGUACUUGUGGAGAAUCCCAGAAAGAAAUAGCUUGAGUUGUUGGUGGAAGUGACCUAGACAUAUUUUGAUUUAUAGGAGGAACCCCUUUUCUUCCGCUAGGUAAGUUGGGAAGUCCAACAUAAGGCAGGUCAAUUACAUCGAACCUCAAUUCCAUCAAGCCUUGCUCGAGGAACGCCUAUGGUUGAUAGUGAACAGCAGAUAUGCUACAUCCAGCACUCACUUUCUGUCUAUUGGCCUUAGAACACUCCUUCCUAUGUUGUUUUCAAUGAAGGGGAAGUGAUUCCUGAGUUCCUUCGCACAGGGUUUGAAUUGAAUUCAGUCAGUUUUGUCUACAUCUUCUCUGCAAUUACACCAGGAAAGAAAGCAGAUACUGAUGCUGAAUGCACUUAACAAAUCCCAUGUCUGAAUGCCUUAAACUUCGAUUCAAAAGAAAGCAGAACUAGACUGCCAACGAUCUGAUCUGACGAUAGAGAGUCUUCACCUUGUGGACCUGCUUUCGCCUAAUGGUAAUCUUUGUAUUUCCUUCUGUCUUUCGGGGAUGUGAUUGGGAAAAGAGCCAUUGGAAGGUGACUAAAAGACCAGAAACAGGGGCUACCCGAGCUAAUGAUGAGGCAAGAACACUUUCCGGCCAGGCCUGACUAUAACCAACCUUACAGAUCCCACUCAACCUUUUACACCGAUGUAUCGUACUCUCUCGACCAGGUCAUCAUAAGAAAAUACUGCUAAAUCUUUCCAAAGUUAUAGAAGGAGGGAAGGCGCGCUACAACUAAAUAACAGCCAGCUGAAAAAUGCUAGCUAGUUAGGCUAGCACGCAAUGGCUUUCUCUGCUCUGAUAGGGGCUUGCUUCUUCAAGCUCUGCCCAACCUAUACAAGGUGCUGCUCGCUUUCUCUCAGCCACUAGUGGCUUAUGUGGUGGUCGACAUUCUACGCGCUCCUCCUUGCCCCCUACUUCAGAAUCCAAAGGUCAACUUUGGAUGUUGUCGUGACGCUUUGGUUACGAAGGUUACCGGGGUCUAGGUUUAUGGAUGGAGUCAGUCAGCGAAAGUCCUCAAUCAAUAUCAACAAGAUGUCGUGACCGCUUAGACUUGGUGGAUUUUGUCAGAAAAGAAUGUUGGUUUCGGGGGUUCAUUGAUUAGUACACCUCUGGUGCUGGUAAGGUCGGAACCGUGGUCGUCCGUCUCCGGUUUGCCGGCCGAUAAGAUCUCUGAGAUUGAUCAGCCAGCUGGGUUGGUUUGGUUAUUCCUUUCUAUUGGAAAGGAGUCAGCUGUCUGCGCGAGUCACCUUCUUUUAGGCUCCGCUGAACGACACGGCAUUCUCGUUCAAAUAUAGGCCGGCCGUACUUGUGAUGGUUCCCAAGGAUCCAAUAUGACCACUUAGGUCUACGUUGCCGCGAUAUUUUUCUAUGGAAGCGGGCGGGCUGUUAGAAGUUCGGCCCGGGUUUUUUGGUGUCGUAGGGGAGGGAUUGACCUUUCUAACGUAUAUUCAGUCGUACCGGCAUGGCCCCACUGAUUUGUUUUCGAUCGGAGCAUCAAGCAGCGCAACCCGGUUCUACUUGACUAAGCCCCGUGCUUGUCCAAGGAGGGAGUUUGCUUUACCCAACUUCCUUUUUGAUAACAAGGCAGAAACCUCCGACCCGACAUUCAAAAGUUUCGAAUGAAGAAUGAAGAGUGUCCUGCCCCAGCAAGCACCUACAAAAUUCUAAAUAAAAAAGCGUGACUUUACUAAAUAAGCAAGAAAAGCCCUUUCACACUUCUUAGUAAAGCCUAAGCGCCCUUGUUGCUAAAGGUAAGGUCGGCUUUCUUCGCAUGCUUGAGCGCAUUACGCAUUAAUAUAAUACAUAUAUAUCAACCUUUCCUUGAGUUUUCAAUAAGGGGCAUCUAUAGUAAAGGGCCUUUUCAAUAAGACUCGCGCUAGGCGAUCACGUUUUUUGUCUUCCCAAAAAUCGAAUAUUUUUGAGUUGGUAAAGACCCAGCCCUAGUUUCAGUCAGAAUGAGUCCCCGGGACCCCGGGACAUUGGCUUCCGCCAACAGUAGACUAUUAAGGACCGCAUCCCACGCAUAUUCUACAUUAUAGCCUGCAACUGAUUCAGCUUCCGCUUCUGGGAGAUCACACGGAGCUCGAUUAGUUUCUGCUAGACGAGAAAUAAGGAACAUAACCAAUACAGGGAACAGGGGAAUACCAGACCAUAUCUGCUUUUGCGCUAUGACAAUCUCACUCGAAUUACGGGGACCUACACAUAUUAGUACAGUAUACCGGGUGUCCCCGGCCAGAACCACACGUGCAAGUUUCCCUGCAUGUGGCUCGUCCGUGCUUUUCGAGGCGCUGUCUGUGACUCAGCAUGAGAGAAGGGGGCGGAACUGCACACUCUCGUGUUCAGAGCAUUGUCCGAGUGAGUAGGCAGCGCCUACCAAGCAAAGCUUUGUUGAAGAGGCUGGGCUGCUUCCUUUUCGGCGCCCGCCUUUAUUCAUCUAUACUAAAGCCACACACGACCCAAUAGGAACGAUUUCAGCGCCCCUCUCUAGACAAGUGCUCGAGUCAUGCUUACGCCCUCUCCUUUCAGUCGAGUGACUUCGCCCCUCUCUAGAUAAGAAGCAAAACGCGCCAUCACCUACAGCCCUUUCCUCUGAAAUGAAAACGGGCGGCAUCAUUGUAUGCUCGACAUUUGUUGCCCUGGUUUAUAUCCCGGAGUACUCCUAUGGCCGAUCUGUCACCCAACCUACUUAAACAACCUAAAGGAGGAACCUAGCUUUUUCAGCGAAGCUGGAGGAACCCCUGUCCUGCUUUUAGAAUGACCCUUAUGGCACAGCUUAGUCAGUUAUUCUCGCAGUUCAGAUAAGAUUCGGACCGCCACUUCUCUGAAAGCAUGGUGCUUGCCUCCUCCCUCCUUGGCGCUCAUCCAUUCGUUGGGUGAUCCCUUGCUCUCACGUUCGAGUGUUUUCUCGUCGUUUAGGCCGGUGAGUGAGAUUUCUGCUCAUUGCAGUCACCUCCGGGGUUCUUUGCACCUGGGAUAGUACCAGGACCCUUGUGCCCCGGCUCUUGAUCAGAUAAAGCUGCCCGCCCGAAGCCCGACCUAUGACCCACAACUCAAAAUGAGCCUUACGACGAGACGCGGACAUUACCCAUGCUGCGGUUCCCUCCGGUCCGUUCCCGGGUUGGGUUAGGGGAACAUCAUAAGAGACCAAUAGAGACUUCAUAAUAAGAAUAAGACCAAUAGAGACUUCAUAAGAGACGCACAAUAAGAAUAAGACCAAUAGAGACUUCAUAAGAGACCAUCCUAGAAAGGCAUAUUUCGAAUAUAGAGGAGUUCAAGUUACCAACAAUCAACGAGUUGAUCAUACCCUUCUAUGAACCGUACAAGCACGUCCUCUCUCACACCCCACCGUGCUUACGGCUCUAUACCCCAACCCUACUGGCUGUGGACCUCCCCCUCGGUCCUCCCUUUCUAUUCCUCGGUAAGCAGGCCGUGGGAGCAUGGCGGGGGGCGCUAUCCCCUUUUGACUGAUAGAAAGCAUCUCUCUUUUGUCUCUCCUGACCGAACCCGCCAAAAAAAUCACAAUAGAAUAAGUUGUUCUUGCCGGGAGAGUAGCGUCUGAGACAUCUUUAUCUGAGGCGUUCCUCGGCGCGGAAGUUACCGUUUAUAGAAUGCAAGCAAGGUAGCUUGCCUGCCAAGCCGAUAGGCGAAAGGGCGAACUGAUCGACUUGCAUGUGUUAAGCAUAUAGCUAGCGUUCCUUAGUCUCAAUCACAGACCUUUUUUCCAUUUUAGGUGAACGAAGGUUACCGGCUCUACGACCUUGCAAGGCACUACAGUAGAGCUCGAGGAACGCCUGCCACUUUCUCAAUCGAAAAUGUCAACUGUGAAGAUUCUCACGUUUCUUUAUGUAAGUUCAGGAUUUCUUUUCGUUGAUCGGAUCGAGCACAUAGUAAGAAACCCUAAGUCAAUUCAUUCUCUUUGGCUGAUGUCAAUCUUCAUCAAGACAGCUGACCGAGUCGAAACCUACUGCUCAAGUCUGAUGAAUGCCCCGUUCAUGAGCUGGUAAAGUCGAGAUCAAUCAAGGGGAUCGGAGACUGGACGUCUAUUUCACUAUCCCGCUUUUGUCUAAGAAAGUCAGAUGCCUAUGCGGGAUCAUUAUGAACAGGUUACAAGGCGUUCCUCGUAGCUAUCAGAGGCAAAGGUGGUGACCCACCAUAUUUUUGACAGCUGUCUCGGUUGUUUGAGUUUUUAGAUUGUGGAACAGGGCCCACAUUUACAUAUUUUAGGUGACCUAGCCCUACAGUUGGCACUACGAAGUCGAGAGCUGCAGAUCGACCUCUGCCCGCUGCCCUUACCUACUCAAAUCCCAAAACGAAAAGAAUAGGCUUAAGCAUCUGGCUUACCGGUAAUCUCCCAUUCCCAACAUCGAGAGACUUUAAUAACUAUAGCAUGCUAGAAAAGGGGAGUUUAGGUGCUUAGACCUAUAGCCCGAAAUCUUCAACUUCUUAUAAGCCGACAUAACAUAUUCAACCACGGAUUAAGUCGACAUAACAUCUUCACGUUCAGUCAGGGUUUUCCAAUUGGAUUACCUUGCCGGAAUUGGAUAGAAAUAGGGCUAGACGCGCCGGAGGAACCCCUUCUGCUCGAGCUCGCCGUAGGAAACUUUCCCCAAGGUUUCAAGAUCCAUCUUUCAGGUUCCUUUCAAGCUGUAAGGCUCGCUCUGUUCUCAAGGCUUGGUAGCUCUUCACAAAGUCCUCCUUUUUCCACGAGUUGGAACCGUGCCGACACAUUUUCAUAUCGUCCCCCAGUAAUAGAGUGGUAGGUUUCUUCCCUUUCUAUUCUGUAUGACGCCUGAAUCCUUCAGCUACAUCUAAAGAAUCCCAACCAUUACACUAGAAGAAGAUAGGCAACUACCUUGACCAACCAAAACAAAUGAAGAAAGGAAGGGACGAAAGUGACUCGAGCAAAGCGAGAGGGAUGAAAUGAAUAAAGGGUUAUCUUGGAUUCCGACUUGGAAGCUUGAAUAGUGAUAGAUAAGACAACGCAACUAGAUUUCACGUCUUUUCUUGAGAGUGCCUUUCCAUCGCAAGUAACUGAGCUAUCUAGGGUUCAAAACCUGGGGAAGUCACUUCAACAGAAGCCUUACCAAAGUCAAGAGAUUGGGCUCUUAUAGCUAUAGUUGGAGCUUUUACAAACAGGUUUAGAGUAGGCAAUUCCUAGUUCAAGUUUCAGCUUCAUAGCUAUAUAUUUCCUUUCUUAACUGGGUUUUUGAACUUCACAUAUAGCCCAUCAGCUUGUGACUUCGCACUCUCAGUUUUGAGAUUGGGAAUCAACAGAACUGCCCUUUCUUAACUUAAUUAUAAAGGGUAGCUUAGCUGGUUAGAUUUACUGAAGGUAAUUCAAUCGCUGAACGUUGAUAAUAGCUUUCGAGAAGAGAUCCUGACUCUCCAGCUAGUUCAAACUUCCCCGAUUAGUAAUGCUCUCACCCUGGGGACAUAUCUCACCUUUGUCAGCAAAACAGUAGAACCAUCUUCAUUUCUCAGUCUCACACUUCCUAUUCCCUUCACUGUUGACAUGGUGUCAUUUGCCAUCUUUACUUUUCCACUACCAGCAUCUGAUAAACUCACAAACCAUUCUCUUCUUCCGAAAGAACAACCUGUGUCAAGUAUCCAGACUUCCCUUUGUUAGGAAUCCCUAAUUGAAAGUGAGAAGGGACCUACACUAGUAUAUAAAGCUUUCACCCUCUCCACUCAUUGCCAAUUGGUUUUGAGUUGGAAGCCCAUGAACACUCGCAUGGUAUCAAGAGCCAUGGAGGGUUCUCUUGAGUCUUAUCCUUUUCCUUCCAAUAUCAAUAUUACUAGUUGAGUCUCCAUUAAACUCAACGAUCGGAACUAUCUUCUAUACGACGAAGGAAGGGUGCGAUUGAGUCCGCUGAACUUGGGCGAGAGAUGUGACUUUGAGGAACGCCAAAGCUCUGGUGUCUACGAGAAGCUUCAUGAGUCAAACAAUUGAGGAAGCCGAUGCUUAUACUUGGGUAGAGAAUCUCGCACAAAGCAAUGGGAGUCAUGGCUCGGAUUAUGAUCGGACUACAAGGAAAAAUAAUGAUGAAUCUCAUCAUGCCAUCCAAGAGCUGAAUGCAAAAAUGGAUAAGAUAUUGAAGCGUGACCAAAAUAAAAGAUGACGGUAAACUCUUGUGAAGAGUAUGGUGGAUAUCAAGGGUACCAAGACUUUUGUGUUGAAGGGUAUGAGGAGCCACAAGAAGAGUAGACGUGGCAGGCAUUGAUCGGUUCAUUGGGACCGGGCUAGCAAAGGUGCGAAUCCUUUUACGCCACACCAUGUCACAUCUGCCUUCAUAGCUCAACGGAUAGAGCGCUCACCCGCUAAGUUAGGGGUUCUUGGGAAUAAGUCUGCCUUUGUUUUUUACACGUCAACAUCCCCUGAUUGAUAAAGGGAGUGAGCACUUCACUGAAGUAUGUGGAAGUGGUGGGAUAUCGCGAAUCGAGAUGUAGAUGAAGUCGUCUUUGAGUCAUGUAGAAUGCGAUACUUUAACGACACGAGACCCUGAAAAGGGAUUCAGUAGGCGUGGAGUUCGAGAUUGCCAUAAUGGAUGAGCUUUUUGGCUCAUUGUGCUUGCGAGACGAUCCUCGGAUUGGUUCUUUUCAAAGUCUGUUGGGAAGACGUAAACGCCAAUCUUCCCUGCCCGAUCAAUCUCAACACUGUUUUGGCCCCCCCUAAUACCUAAUACAAAGUCAGAGAUGGGGAAUCCUUUAGUUUAGAGACAAGUCUCAAAAUCGACUUGCAGGAAGGAUAGCCUACACCCUCUUUUCUGGACCUUCUUGUGAAAGUUUUCGGUAAGCUUUCACAGAGCAGAUGUUGUUCUCGACUGAAUCAACAAUGUUUUCCUUUUCCGCUAUAAUUCAAAGGCGUUCAUCUCCUUUUAGUCGACUAACUGGCGUUCCUCAAUUCAGAGACUGAGCCGGCUACCGUACUUCAUGCUUGCAGGAACAGCAGCACUACUAGGCAAUUAAUUAGCUGCCCCAUUCAUGCGCCCUCUAAACAACGAAAGCUACAACAUCAACGAAGGGAAUAGGCUUGCUUCUUCCUAGCGAUCGGGCGUUCCUCCCUCUUCCUGUUCACCGCCGGUUCGCCCACUGCUGCUUUCAUAGAUGUCGUGCGACGGGGUUCCUCCGCUAAUGGAUGCCUAUUCCGUUCUCCUGCUCCUGCUCCAGCUCAAGAGUUCAAACGGACAGAAGAGAGUCCUGCUACCGAAAAAAAAAGUGCAUAAUAUUGGAUUCAAACAAAGGGGAUUUAUUCACGAAUACGAUUUCUAUUGAUUGAAAGCUUUCCUAUUACUGAUGGCAGGCGGGCGAGACGGAGACCGCCGAAGAAGUGCCUUGACGCGCCGCAGCCACUACUUUGACUCCUUUUAUGCAAUUAUGUUAUGAACUCCACGGAACUUUCUCGAUUCCAACGCAACUUAUCCUUUUGGAGCUGACGUAAUAAACUAGGCGAGCCUCCCAACGAAGCCAACAUAAAUCCUAUCCGAAUAAAAAAAAUAAAAGGCAGUUUCAUUAUGGUGGUAUACCAACCUCCUGUUCUGGAACUUCCAGUUCCAAUCGAAGCAUAUAGAUCCGUAAAUAGAUUUGUAUGUAUAGCCACUUCAGCCGUGCUCGUCUUUUCUCGAAAGUAUUUUUUUCUGGGAACAUGGUUAACCAAAAAUGAUUAUGUUUGCGAUUCUUCAUCCACCAAUGCAUAAAAUGCUCAAGUUUUCCAUUCUUAUAUGAGGCCGGAAAGUUUAUUAGCAAGAGGUCGGCAUGAAGUGAUUCAUCAUGCUCAAACAUGAGCCGAUCGUUCGUUAGGGACGGUUUACAGAUCAUCAAAUUCCCACAAAUGGAAUGAGAAGUGGGUCCAUGUAAAUGAUCGAGACCUCGCAAACAACAACGCUCCUUCCCCAUAUGGAGUUCGGAACCCAAAGGCAAUUGUUGAGUGAACUGUAUCUUCUUUGUGUUAGUUGACCUCAGCCGCACCAUUACUGCUGGGGUGGGGCUCGGCCUCCAAACCGUACGUGGGACGAGUUUCUGCCUCAUACAGCUCGGGUCGAAGACCGGGGGAAGUUUAGGAGAGAUGAGGAGACCCAGCAGCUGCCGGUCGGGGCGGGGGUAAGCUUGUGAAGAAGCGAGCUUAUCCCCCCAAAAAAACCAAUCCUAUAGCGCUAGCGCUUCGCGUUCUUUCUAUUUUAUCUCAUUUCAUUCCGGGAUAGGCUAAUAAUACUAAUCUAAUAAGUGAAGUAGUCGUCGUCUGACCAAUUGACUCGGACACCAGACCGCUCGUGCCCGCCCAUUCUGUCUCGCCCUAAAUGGAAUGGCUUUCUUAGUUACGCUGCACCCCGCGACCCGAGUCCCCACGUCCGCUCUUCUCCGCCCGCAACCUAAAAAGUUGGCUUUGCCAACACAACAUUAGGGCUGUCCCCUUCAUUCUAUGCCGACCCCGGCCCGGAGCUGGCUUUUUGGGAAGCCCAUUCCCACCGCGCUCAUGGCCCGGCUGGCCUGCCAGAGGUAGUGGGAAUUAUCCCGUUCCCUGGUCAAAGACUUGGUUGGAUGCGGGAUCUACUCCACGAGGAGCGGUACGGACGUAGAUGAUAUCAUCACGACCUCUCUUUUCGUACCGCUAGGGAUGCUUAACGCCACUUCGCCAACUAGCGUUACCCGCGCUUUCGUAUCUCUCAGUGUGGUCAGCACUGGGUGUUUCCGAGCAGCGAAGCUUACACUCAUUCGCAUUAGUUCAUCCAAAGUUCCUUACCCUUAUGCACGAAUUUUUGAAUAAGCCAUCUUCCUAUCAAGGUUAAGGAGUCAACUGAGCAUCUCAGCGGCGGGAUUGAAUACCCGGAUCGAAUCAGAGUUCACGCCGCCCGCCCUGAACAAAUAGGAGGCGUGGGCCACAGGUCGCACAUAAGCUGCCGGGUCGCACGACAGAAGAACACCCAACAUACAGAUGCACACUCCUUCAUGUGAAAUAUUCAUCUUCAUUGGAACCUUUUGGUAGUAGUCGUGACCAACAGCCAUAGCCAUCAGCUGUCGGCUCCUUGGUAAGGCGAGAGCUUCAAGCCCGAUUUCUGGUGGCACGCCCCCCACACAAGCACCACCCAACUCAGGCGGGACGGGGAAAGCUAUAGGCCCAAAACCUUCGACCCUUCUUUCUAAAUCUAAAUGGGGGUGCCCGGAGCACCUCAUCUUGUCAUUUCAUCGUUGCUCAUUCCCGUUCGGCCGAAGUGUUUGGCCUUUCCUUCUCCGCGCCCGCUCACGCUUCGCUGACCUAUCGCGUGCUAAAAAGAGGAAAGUACGAAAGAAUAGUAAACAGAGCACACCGCAGAAAGAUUCUAAAUAUGAGAAGUCCCCCUUGGAUUCGAGAAGACGGAAAUGAAGAACGGGAAUGAAAAAAAAAUAAGGCCUUUCUAGCUCUAGUUUCGGAUGAGCUUCUCCCAAUUAUCUCUGGUAAUAGAAUAGGGCGACUUGCUCUGACCAAGACUCCACUUUUUGCUCCGUCCAUAGAGCGUAUGAUUUUCCUGGAAUGUAGAUAGACCAAAAGAGGGAAUGAAGAGAUAGGAAUAGGAAUUAUAGUACCAUUGGAAAAAGGGGCACCCGUGGGAACAUCUCUACUGACGAACCAUUUCAAUAGUACGGGUGCUGCCGUGACACAAGGCACGACCAUAAAAAGAAUCAAAAAGAAAAAGUUAUGUAGUUGGACCAUCUGCUCUAUCCGUUCGAGUUUGGCUUCUCUAAAGAAGAGAAGGCGCUAAAAAUGAAAAUGUUCGCAAGGCAUACCGAAAGGAUACCAAUGAAGCCAACCAUUAAUGACUAGUUCGAACACCAGGAGCGGAAGGAGGGACUUGAACCCUCAACCUUAGCCUUGGCAAGGCUAUGCUCUACCAUUAAGCUAUUUCCGCCAGCUAUGGUAGUGGCGACAGCACUACUGAGCAAUUCACGUAUUACUUGAUACGGACGACUUCCGUUUUUAUGCCGGACCACGCUCUUGACCUCCGAUCGAGCUACGAGCACGAGUAGGUAGGCGGCUAGGGGGGGGGGGCUGGGCUGGGAAGGAAGGUUUUUUUUCCCUCUUUUUGCUUCGCGCCAGAUGAGAUGAUGAUUAGUGGGUAAGGUCCAGUGUGUGCUCUUGAUCACAAUCACUAAAGAGGCGGGCUGGCUGGGCUGCCUUUUCAAUCAAUCUCCAGCCGCUCAGCGCCACUAUUGGAGUUGUAAGGAGUGAAGGUCUCGAGUCGAGCUGGGGCCUCAUUUAAUUCUCGUAACGUGCACCACAAGACCAGACAAGUGACUCCCUCGCCUCGCAGCUAGGCAUCUGUCUUUCUUUUUUUUAAGUUGAGUCAUUUCCUUUCCUAAGACGGCUCCUCUUAUUCUACGAUAAUCCAAGCAAAUGGGAUGAAAUGGUGACUAGGUGAGAAUCCGCGUUACACGCGGGUGUUAAUUUUGUACUUUUCUUUUUAAGUAUUUGGUGUAUAUACUUUUGGAGAUAUAUUUUUUGGGCAUUGAAAAAUAGUGAGUUAAACAUAUUAUACUUAAGAAAUUAUCAUGCCGAAUUUGAAUGACUUAUUCUAUGAUAUUCCAUAUAAUUGUUCUAUUUAAAUGAGAAUUCAAAGAAAUUUAUCCCACACAUUUGUAAGCAAUUUAUACCAGUUAUCCAAGACUCUCAUUCCUUGAUCAACUUCACGGAAAAUGUGGAUUUCCUAGGAGGAUGACUAUAACUUUCAAGAGUUUGCAUCUUGGACUUUCAACGUCUCAGUGAUUAUCAAAGCACCUGCAUUCCACUUGGGGUCAUUUAGAGACAUUAAUAUUUACUCAUUAAGUCUUUCAUCCACCUUCGCAAAUUUUUAGUCUCGACUCUUGGUAUUCUGAAAUCUGAUGAACAUUCUUACUUCUAUCUAUUCAGAAACUGAAUGUAGUAGUAGUACUAUAAGAGUUAGAUUGAAUAACGCUUACAAAUUUUAGGCAUGGUGUACGUAAGUAUGAAAAUCCUCCUUCAAUCUGCAUGAAUAGAGAGCAUUUCUCAGAUUUUGAGGUAGUUAAUUAAGACAUGUUUCCUAAUAAUAGAUCUCAAUGAGAAAGCUCAAUCAAUCACCUGCGCAUCAGUGUCUUUAGAAUUUUUUACUCUCUUAUUUCUUUCAUUGCUUAUCUUGAAUAAUGAUGAUAAAUCACGAUAUUUCAAUAGUCAAGUUUAAGCUAUAGCUUUUACCCAAAAAAAAGGUUAAACCCGAAGCCAUAAGAACAAACACAAGUCAUCAUAACACAAGUCCGGACAAGAGCAUUGGCGUAGUUUAGCUUUCUAGAAGUGCCUCUUUACAGCUACAAACAAUACGAAUGCUAACUCGAAAUGCUUUGCACAGAUAGUACAAUGGAUGAAGUAAUAGCAUUGUACAUUUGAAUCUUCAUACCUUUUCUUGAUUUCAUAUGUAAAUUCAUGUUCUUAUUGAUUUUCUAUAUGAAAUAAACCAAAAGCUAGCUAGCGGAGGAGUGGAAAAUUUUCAAUAACAAGGAAAAGGCAGAAGCGACUAACCUUGAGGGAUGAAGAACGAAUGAUGGUGCAGACUCUUACGUCGGAACCGAAUCAUAGGAAGAUUGGUGUUGUAUGCAGUCUCCAUAUAGGGGUCAAAUUAGCAUGGAAAACCAACACAUAACAUGGUUAAAAAAAGUGAAUUAAAAAGAGAAUCAAAUUGCAGGUUUGAGUUUGCACAUAUAUUGUAAUGAAAGAAUUCAGUUAGCAUAUCUACCUGUUUCGGUAUCUUAGAUUGAAUCAGCUCGGAAAUGAGGAGACAUCCACUUGGAUUUCACAAACUCUGCUCUCCUCCAUGGCGCCACAUGUAGGCUUUUAUUCUGGUAGUUCUUUGCUGCAGGCACAAUCUCUGAUUGUCAUCAUAAUUCAAUGUCUGUCAAUACUAUUUCACCUCUGAUUAUCACAUGUACAUACUAAUAUUCCCUGUUUCAUUUCAUAAAACAGGCACUAUAUUGUUAGGCUUCAUAGCAAUCUAUUCAAAGAGAUAUGGAAAGGACAAUGUGUGCAAACAACCCAUCACACUGUAAGACUCUCUGCCAGAAACGUAAAAGUGGAUUAUAUAAGUCUCUUCUCGUUCUCUCCUUUUGCAUCUCAUAACAUGCAACCAAAACAGAAGCAAGAUUUCGAGUUUAACUAUUAGAGAUUUAUAGUGUACCAGCUGGACAAGAAGUCGAUUUCCCCGAGACAGAUUUGCAUAGAGACACAUCAUAUCAUAUUCGCUAGAAUCCUUUAGAAUCGGCCACAUUAAUAAAGGAUGACUCGUCCUUAAGCUUUCAAGUUCUUAUUUGUUUCCACAAUCUUUGUCGCAACACUCCUACAACGGACCAAAUUCUACAAAUUCAAUUUUCUUAUAUAAGCUAAUCUGUUUUCCCUUGAUCCAACAAACGUAGAGUCAUGAAAAAUUGAUGAAUCAUACCUUUAGGAUUUAAAAAGCUUCGCCAUUGUCAUCGACGAUGAAAUGCAGAACCAUCUUCGCUGAAUUACUUCUUGAAAGUUUUGUAGAAGCUUUCUUACAGGAGAAUUAAAAAGGGAUGACAAAUUCAUCACCCAUAAUUAUUAAUCCAACAGAAGUUGUACAGGCAACAGAAAAACGAAGGUUUCAGAGAAAUUGGAAUUCCGUUUGGAAAUUGCAAAACGCUUAAGAAAUAAAAAAAAAAGGAAGCGCAAGAGUGGAAUUUGGGUGUACACGUGGCAGUCUUUCAUGUGCUGACGUGGCACAAAUCUGGAGAAAGUUACCCAAGUUUUAUAUUAUAGACUAGGAGAGAACCUGCGCGUAUACGCGGUUUUAUUUAAUUUAUAUUUUAAAUUAUACAUUUUAAAAACUUUUAUUAAAUUUUAUUUUUAUUAUAAAUAUUUUUGCCUUUAAAAUAUUUAUAUUUUCUUUGAUUUUUUAUAACAUAUUAUUUGUAAUUAUUAUACACCAGUUGUAAUAAAGAAUUAAAAACCUAAUAUUUAAUUUCUGUAUAAAAAUAUAAUAGUUCACAUAUUUUUAUAAGUUGAAUACUAGAGAGCAAUAUUUAUUUGUUCUUCCAUCUUCAUAUUUUUUUAUUGUUGUAAAUCCUACUAAUAUAAUAUUUGUCAACUUUCUCAAUAUACAAUUUUGAGUUUUUUUGUUAUAUAUAUUUUAUUGAUUCCUGGUUUUUUUGUACAAAAAAAACAAUUUAUGACAUUUUUAUAUAUCCAUUCUUCUUUUUACUAUUAUUUUUUAUAUUUUUUAUCUUUUUAAUCAUUUAUUAAUUUUUAUGUUUUAUAAAUUUAUUAGUUAGAGUUUUACAUAAUAUUAUUUGAAAUUUCUUAAUAUAUUCAGUUUUAUAAUUUUUUUCACUUGCAUUAAAAUUUAAUUAUUUUUUAGUUUAAAAAUGAAAUUUAAAUCAUUUAACAAAAGAAAAUAGAAUGGUGCAUUUAAAAAGUUUUGUAUUAUAUAAUAUUUAUAAGUUGUAUUAUAUUUAAAUUAAAUUUUAAUUAGUUUAUUAUAUAAAUUUAUUUAUAUACAUAUUAUUUAUUUAUAUUCUUUAAUGUGUUUCUUUAAAAUUCAUUAAUUAUUUUUUAAUUAAGAUUGUAAAUGGACAUGUGUCACUCUCUCCAAUGCUGAUGUGGCAUUCAGAUGGAGAAAGUUGAUUGUAUUAUAUAUACUAAGUGAAUAUCCGCACGUUACGUGUAGGUUUUUCUUUUCAAAAUUUUUAAACUUUUUUUUAUAUUUUUAUAAAAAUUAAUAUAAUCAUUACUUGUUACCUAUUACUUGUUAAUAUUUUAUUCUAAAAAAUUAUAAAAUAUUAAUACAUAUUGAAUAUUAUUUAAUAAUUUAAAGUUAUAUUAAGAUUAAAAAAUAUCAUUCAAAAACUUUUAAUUAGUUAUAACAUAAAUUUUUGUUUAACAUUUACAGAAAUAUUAAUUGAUAGUCAAUUAAUUUAAAAAAUAAAAUUUAUAUAAUCAUCAUUUCAUUUGUUACUUGUCAGUAUUUUAUUAUAAAUAAUUUUAAAAAAAUAAUUUAAAAUACAUCUUGAAUAUUAUUAAGUAAUCUAAAUAUUAUUAAGUAAUCUACAAUUAUAUAAAAAUUAAAUACAUAUCUAUCAAUAUUUUUAAUUAGUUAUAACAUAAAUUUUUGUUUAACAUUAAUAUAAAUUUUAAUUAAGAGUCAAUUAAUAAACCAAACUUUUCAUAUUCUUUAAAUGUUUUAAAAUUUAAUAUUAAAAUUUAUUAAUUAAAAUUUAAAGACAGAUGUCAAUCUAUCCUAUGCUGAUAUGUCAAUGAUAUGCUAAAAGUUGAGCAACUUUUUUAUAUAUAAGAUAUUAUGUUGUUUUAGUAUAAUAAAGGGCCAAAAAUAAAAAAUUUGUGUUUCCGGUUUAGCCUCUCUCAACAUGUUGAAUCCAUGAUGGACGGACACCUACCCAAAUCUUUUUACCACUGGCCCAACCCAACGUUGGUAAAUUAAAUAUGAAUGUUUAAUGUUUAAGAAACUUGCAGGCCUUUCAUCUCUUAUAAGUGGAGCAACACCAAUAGCAAUAUAUUUUGUGAAAUUUGUAAAGUGACCGAGUAUAUAAAAAUAUCGACUCCAGGGUGUCUAGUUAUAUUUCUUUUUAGAGAGUUUUUAUCCUCUCUCUCUCUUCUCUCAUCUCCAUCUUUGAGAAGAGAGAGAGUUUUUCUCUCUUUUUUUGAUGUAUAUACUUCCGAUUAAUAUCGGAUCUUCCUUCCGUGUAUAAUGGAUAAUAAUUUCGACUUGAUCGGAUUUGUUUUAUUCCGUUUAUCAGAGUUCUUUUUCUUCUAUGUUUGAUUCCUUCUUCUUAUGUAGUAAAAUCCAACACCAAUCCUUAGUGGAGUGAAGGAUUUUAUCAAAUUAGAGGAAUCUUUGAUCUUCUUGUGUUAAAGUUAAGGUUUUCUGAUUUAUCGGAUGUUUUAUGCCCAUUCUCCUCUACAAUUGGUUCCUCUUGUAUAUGAGGCGGUGGUGAUUGGAUCUGGAGGUAAGAGUUGGAAGUCUUCUUCUUCAAUUACUAGUAUCAUCUUUUCUGGGCUGGGAUUGGAAUCUCCCUAAGUCCCCUAUUUUAAAGCCUUCUUCAAGGUAUGGGUGACAUGUCCUGAGUAUAGAUGAUUGGCGAUGAUUCAAAUGAAGGAUUAGAGUUUCUGCUCAAUUACUCUCUGGAUCUUAUUGAGGAGGAAACAAUAGGUGAAGAAGCAGCAAUUUGAGGAGGAUGAUAGAUCUGAUUGGAGUUAACCUAUGGUUUUGAACUCUUCGGAUUAUCGAUUUUCCGGCGAAGCUCUGUAUCGUCGAUGAGAUCGGCGGCAUCUUCUAACCAUUAAUCGGCGUUCACCCCAAUUAUGCUGCGUGUGUAACACGUGUUCUUUAAUUAUCGAUCCUUAUCUUUUAUUGUGGGCUAUAUAUGGGUUGAUAUUUUGGGCUUUAAUGUGUAAGGAUUGGGGCCUCAAAUCUUGCUGUAAUUUGCUUAUUGUUGGGCUUUCUUUAAUAAAAGAUUGGACGACAAAAAAAAAAGUUAUAUUUCUUUUUUUUAUGGAAAAAUAAAACUACAGACGAUUUUAUUAUGAAAACAGCGAAGUUUACAAGUCAAACACAGAGACAAUAAAAUAUGAAACUUUAUUCCCAUUGUUUGGUCCUAAUAUAUCCUGCCCCUUUAGUAUAUUUAAGGCUCUUAUUUCAUUACAAAUGAUACAGAUGAGACUUCUUUUUCGUUAAGUGUGAGAAUCUCAAGCUGAAACUCAGACAAAACCUACAAAGUCAAUAAAAAUCCGGAGUUUUCUUACCACUACAUAUACGGAUAACCAUCAUAACUGAAAUCGCAGUAGACUCUCACUGGGGGAGCACUCGAAUUAUGACCUAGACCCACACAGCGAAUCCUAACAACCAUUGGAUCAAGAUAAGGUAGUUAUACGGAGAAGACCUACACCCUCCACCGUAUCCUCGGCCGUGUCCGCCGUCUCCUCCGUAGCUCUGUUGAUCAGGGUGCAGUGUCUCCUCACUCUCUGACUUCACUGUGCCUGUCCAUAACAAUACAUUAUUUCAAAGAUCUUGUUUACCACGUGCAAUGGUGCCUUCCGAUUUCAAAACAUUUAUAUACGUUCUACAAAAGCUGCACAAAACAAAAUCAAAAUAAUUUGAGAUGGGAUGAUAAGUAUAAUAGCAGAUCAAUAUCAUACUUAAUUGUCUUGACUUACUCUAGGAUUCAACAUAAUUCUUAAGCGUGUAUUUUUGAAUAGCAUGAAAUAUUGACUGAUACCCUUGUUCCAAAAUAUUAUAUAUAUAUAUAUAUUAACUGAAAUAUAUAUGGAAGUACCCGACUGCCUUUCAGAUUCCCCUGCAACUUCAGAGAUGACAAGAAGAACCGCAAAGAGACUCACCAGAAGCAAAGCCUUGGAAGCCAUUUUUUCAACUUUUUAUAACACUCUUUCUGUAAAGAAACAAGUGACGAAUAAAAAAUGUUGCCCUCUAUUUAAAGAGAACGAGGAGUAGGAAUGAGAAAAGUCAAAGAAUGACUAAUAUGUAGUCCUAUAAAAAGAAGGGAAUAUAUAAUCAAAUGAUUAUUUACAAUUUUAGGAUGAUUUCAUGAAAUAACUAAUAAACUCUCUGCCCACUUCCAUAGACAUUAUUUACGAUAAAAAUCAGAUGGUAAGGACAUAAGUAUCAAAGUAUGUGUACGUCAUUACAUCGGGCCCCUUAUGAUGUUUAUGAUUGCAUUAUUGAAUUCCAUUAUUGGAUCCUCUUUCCAAUAAGGGAGCAGCACGUACUAACUAGUAAGGACAGUAAAGGAUGAAAACAUUUACUGUCCUUUGCCUAUAUAUUCACCGUCAAUACGAAAUUUCAACUUGGAAAAAAAAAACACGAAAAUUCAAAUGGAAUUUUGGUUGGCUAUAGAUCAAAAUAUCUAUCCAAGUCACCUAAUCAUCAAGGGGGCUUGAUGUAUCUCCGUUGAUGAGCUGCUGAGCAUUAUUAUUGAGUGUAGACUUAUAAUUGAUUCAAACGUAUAUUUCCUAACCAUUUUUUGGGUUAAAUUGUUAGUAUUUUAAAGGUUCAAAACUUAUGUAAGACAAGUGACUUGUAGUAUAAAAAGAUAAAAACACAAUACACCAAUGAUAGUAGGUCAAUUAUUAAUUUGGAGUGUAUAUAUCAUCGAAUACCUAUCGGAAUUCUAGUUUUACUCGAACAUAUCACAUAAUAUAGACAUUAAUGAUAUGAACUUAUAAUUAUAAAAUGUCUAAUAUCUUUCAUUUUUUUAAUCUGAAAUUUAUCCUAUUUUAAAUGUGAAAAUUUAUCAGUCACCCAAAAAGAAUUAUGCCAAGUAAUAAUAAAAAUGAGAAAGAUUUUUUUGUCAAAGUAACAAAAAAAAAAACCAGAAAGACAGUUUGAAAGAUGAAAAAUACAAAAGAUUGAGACAGUACAUAAUAAGCUUCUUCCUCUAUUGAACCAACGUCUAAGCAGACUCGACUAUGGAGGUGUGAAAAUUCGAAGUAGCGUAAAGAUGAGACUAUAUUACUCGAUUGCAGAAAACGAAGAAUUUUAAAUCAACAAAAUCAUAAGCAAGAGUUGGGACUUGGACAGAGAGAGCAAACAAGUUGAAAAAUACGUAACAAAAGAAAGACAAUAAUUAAAAUCACAUAUUUCAUUUGUUAAGGCAGAUCCGGAGGUAAUCAGUUUUGUCUAUAUGCUCACUGUAACGACCCCAAGUCUUUACCGGACGGAAAACAAGCAUGUUCUUUGUUGUACACAUAGUUAUGUUUCUCUUAAUUUUUCAAUUUUUAAUAAAUUAAAAUUCUCUUUGGAUGGGGAAAACAAUAAACCACUUUCUGUUUGAGUGCCUUCCAGUUUUAUAAACUUGGGUUAUCUCUCCAAUCCUGUCCCUUCUUGAUAUAUUUUCUACUUCAUGUGUUUUCACAAAUUUUGUUUUUUUUUUGUUUUGGCGAAUACUGCGAUUUCUCUAGAAUUUUUCUUUGACAUGAUAUAUUUGAAAAGUUAGAAAUGAAAUAAGGUCUAUUCUAAUGUGGAUAGAACCCCACAAAAAAUUCUUAAGAUUGUAGAGUCCGAGGCAGCUAUAUGGGACAUGGCACAACAUAUCGAUUCAAAUGGGAUUUCCCAAAUAUAGUUACUACGAUGAUGCAGCCGGUAUUAGAGAGUUUGGUGUUAUAUAGAUGGUUCUUGGAAAGAGAGAGACACCUGAGUAGGAUGGUACUGUGUCAAAGUAGGUAGUGAAGAAACACUUUUAAGAACAAAGAAUCUUCGUAGACUCUAUCCCAAAUACAUGUAGAACUGCAAGCACUCAUAUGGAGAAUCUACUUUAUCGUUGCUUUAUUAAAAACGAUGAUAACUUUCACAACAGACUGUUCCAAAAUGGUGAAGAUGGUGUUUGCACCAAGGAGGUUUUUUUUUUUUUUUUCUCUAUCUCAUUCAUUCUAUGCGCAAAGAAUACAGCGACAGACAAGUUAGAAUGUAAUGCUUGUGUUUAUUCUUCUGAUAUCACAUAAAUAAAGUCGGUACCACCAAUUUGGAUCUAUGAACCGUUCUAGGUAUCUUAUCUGUUUACCAAAAAAUAUUAAAAUUCUUUUUUAUUCUUCUUCCUUUUCCCAAUUGCUGCAUCAUUUGAGAUUACAAAAUUUGAAGGACAAUAAGAUUACAUACUAAUACAAGACUUUUAGAAUAUUUUAUAGACCUCAAUUGAGGUGGUGCAUAUAAAGUAUCUACCUUUGGAUGAAUCGAAACCAAGUGCAGAUGAAGCUUUCAGAAUUUGGGAGUCGAUUAACGUGAGGAAGCGAUUAUAGAUUGAGAAGCGGCUCGAUCUAGACCUGAAAGCUUAGCUCAAUAAGGAGUUGGAUGUCCUUAACUACUACAAGAGCCUACUUUGGGGAGGAGUUAUAGAUCCUUGAAUUCCUCUUCUUCCAAAAUAAAUAAACCACAACUUCGAAAAUGACUUUACAUAUGAUUUUGAGUUUCCAUUUCUAGAACAUUGUCUAACCUAACUAACAAUAUACUCCAAACAAAUAGGUGACAUUUUAUGGUAAGAAAAAAGUGUGAUAAAAGAAGACCAAACCUCUAUAGAAUAAGAUAUAAUAAGAAAAAAUUGUGAUCGACAUUCUGUUCCAACAGCGGAUAGCAAGCAAUCACUAGGAACGUUAAGUCCCCAUAUUCUUUACCUGUCACGCGUUGGAAGUCUAUCCCGAACAACUACCUAAAGCAUAAAAGCAUGUUUUGCAAUCCUCUAUUGAACCAUACACUUUUAACCCAUGUUACAUUUUAUGUUGCGGGAUAAAGGGAAGCCAAGUUUUAGAAGUGGAGAAAAUGUUUAGCAGUUCACUCAUGGUAUGUCUCCGUAAAUAAAAAUCCGGUUUGUUAUCUCAGGUAACAGAGGCACAUGAGGUAGCUACACAGGCCCGGAAAAGAGUUAGAGUCGGAUGUGUUCUCCUUGAUUUCGACAAGAGAUCAUCUUCACAAGCUUGUGAGGCAAAGGCUAUAACUAAAAUUCCUGAUACUCUUGGUUCAUUUGGAUCGAUGAUUUAAAUCAACGAGACUACAUUUGUCUAUUCAUCAUGCCAAAGACACAGCUAAAUUCCCAGACUGAACUUGACAAGAUAAGUAUAGACGAGCUAGAGGAGGUACUUCAUCAAUCGACGCCAAAUCAAAUUCCUUAAACGCUAAAAGUGUGUUGACCAAAAUAAUCUCUCUUAUCACCAUUAUUAGAAUCCAAGCUACAUAAAGACCCUGAUGCUAAAACAAAAGCCAUAAAAGUUUCAAACCGAACACCUAAUUCGAAAUUUGAAGCUUUUUCAGCUUAACUCGCUAGCCCUUCUAAAGAAUAAACUGAAUCUCAAGAGAUUUUUGCAUUUCAAGGUCAAUUUGAAGAUCCACUCCACGAGAAAGUAUUACAAAUAUUUUUUUUAGGAUUUCAAAAUAUCCUUUCAGAAUAGGAAACAACUCUGCCCAGAAAUUGAUAGUACCGAAGAAAACAUUAAGAAUAAGUUGCAAACUCCCCACAAAUGAUAAAUACCUAACUGUCCACGAGGAAGGAAAAAUCAACAUUAUCAUACGCUUUUGUGAUGUCAUUUUGCGAUUAAUUUAGAGGCUAGACGUUUUUAUACAAUAAUCUUCCUUUGACAAAACACACUUCCUACAUGUUCACCGUUCCUGAAGUGAUAAGUUUGAGGCGAGAAACCACUAUGUAAACUAUAUUAUACAGAAAAAUUGGUCUGAACUCAGAAAGACAAGCACCUCUAAUAAUUUUUGGAAUAUAAGCAAUAAUCUUGGAGUUGACUUCUCUUGACAUAGAUGGAUUACAAAAGACAUCUUUCAUUGCCUGAAUCAAGCUAGUAGCCAUCAGUUUCAAGGAAGAAGUGAAAAAAUCUAUGGUAAAACUAUCUGAACCUGGAGCCUUAUUUUGAAGCAAGACAAACGCAGUGGCUUUUACUUCCUCCUUUGAAGAAAUAAGAAAUCUGACCAGAGAGAGAAAGGCACCUAAAAAGGUGAAAAUGUGGAUUUGACAAACCAAAAGUGGCUGAAUCUGAUCAUUUGCCAAUCCUAAAGGUUUGAUUGAUAUAGAAUGAGCAUGCUUUUGAGAACCAACGGGUCAGAGACUUUAUUACUCACAUUUUCUUAGAAAAAAUUAAUAAUAUUCCUUGAAAGGUUUGCUAUGACCGAAUUAUGAAAAAACAGGCGUCAGGAUCAUCUUCUGUCAUCCACCGAUUUUAGAUUUCUGUCUGAAAACAAACCGAUUUUACUAAGCUUCAGGUUCUAAAUUUAUAACCCUUAAAUGUAUGCAAAUGCACAGAUAUGCUAUGCUAGGGUAUCGAUCCAUAGAAACUUAGUUGUUUCAUUACAAAUCCACGCUAAUGCUUAAAUCUAAUGAGAACUAAAUAAUUUGGUUUUGGUUUUGGAUGUCACAAAAUCUAAACUAGAAAACAAGUAAAAAGCAACUGAAACUAAGACUGUAAACUAUUAAAAACAAAACGCUAGGCUUAAAGGUAUUUGCAGAGAUUCAUGGACUAAAUUUAUGAUAAAAAUAAAUAAUAAAGAUAAUCGACUACAAUUUGUUCUAGAAAUCGAGCACGGAUGUAUGACUAUGUCACUUUCAUGAUCAUAACUAACUGACACCCACAACCUUGAUCAGUAGCUUCCGACUCUGGCCCCAGCCACAGAUGUACGCAAUUUUGUACUAGAUUCAUCUACAUUCACAACUCACACAUAGGUAGCUUUCGUCUCCUGUGGUAGAAUUGCUUGUUUCACCCUAUACCUUCCUUUGUCUAUGUAUCAUAUAUGCGUAUGUAUGCAUUUUAUGCUUCUAAUCAUCUGCCUCUUAUUUGCCCAAAAAUCCAUAAAUUACUCAGACCAAGAGCCGCUCUCGGUGUAUUCAGUUCUAUCCCAGAGCCGCUCACCUAUCGCGUCCACCCGGACCGACCAUUCCUAUCCAGAACCAUCACCAGCCAUAUUUUAAUUCCUGACCAGCAAUCUCUUGUGGUUCAUAAACUAAUCCACACGCUUGGCUGGCCAAGUCUAUACUUGGCCGCGCAUGGGGUUCUCCAACGAACCAGAGUCCCAGAUCGGUUCGCUAAGCCUUAGUAAAAACGUACCUUAGCUACAUGGUCGGUCAGUUCCUCCUGCACCUGAAUUCUGCCUUUGGUUUGCCCUCAUGACCCGCACACCGUCGUUCCAGCCUCAUAGCCCUUCUCUCCGGCUUAUUUUACUCUCUCUCUCUUUCACGGUCUUUGGUUCGAUUUUAAUGGCCAAACCUUUCCCUUACUUGUGUGUGCGUAAAAAUGAAGGCAAAUGGGUCUAUUUAUAGAUUCUCCCUUUUGUAACUGCCAGAUUGCAAACAGGUGUGUGUUGCUUGGCUGAACAGGUGCGUUGUUUGGUGGAAUAGGCUUUGCAACCCUUCGGCUAUAACCGCCCAUAACCGCCCAGCCCAGCUAGCUCCACUACCACUCAACUAGACCCAACUACUGAACUCUUAGCCUAGCUGAACUGAGCUUCCCGGCAGCUGGACCAACUAGCUUAACUCGGCUGCCCAGCUCGUUUUAGCUCCGCAUAGCUUAUUGAGCUUCUUCCAUCUAUUUUCCCGGUCUUUUCUUUCUUUUUCCUGGCUAAGUCUUAGACCAAUGAACUUAGCCGAUUACUUUGAAACAUGGAUCGAGUCUUUGCUUAGACUCUCACCCCUUGUUUCCCACUUCUCGACCAUGGUCCGACCCGGCGCCUAUUGCGGAUUGGGGACGCUACAGGGCUAGCGACUGCUUCAACCCACAUAGCAUCCAAAUAAUAUUCCUUCCAUAUCUUCUUCAGCCAUACAUCUUCAAAAUAAACCAUCAGCACAUCUCUUGUAGAGAUAUGGUUCAUCCCAAAAAUAAUGUCUUACGUCUCGCAGAAACUUUUUUUCCUAUAUCCAAAAAAUGGUGGUGGUUUAACGUCUGCUGCUAAAUAAUUGGCUAUAUGCCUAAACCAUGGGGUGUUAAAAGCGUCUGACCGUCGCAUAAGUUUCUGCGGUGGUACUGUAUCAGAGUUUACGCGAACCGUAUCCAUUGCAUAGAUGUUUUCUUCAACCAAACUAUCAUUUAGGGGCAAUUUUUCUUCAACAAGAAUUCGUGAAAGAUGAUCUGCAACUCCAUUAUCUGCUCCUUUCCGAUCUUGAAUUUCGAUAUCGAACUCUUGCAGUAGGAGGAUCCAUCUUAUCAACCUCGGUUUGGCGUCUUUCUUAGACAUUAGGUACUUGAUUGCUGCAUGAUUGAUAUGAACUAUGACCUUAGAUCCUACGAGAUAAGAACAAAAAUUUUCAAAGGCAAAACGACAGCUAGAAGUUCUUUCUCCGUUGUUGCAUAAUUGCAUUGAGAUUCGUCUAGAGUCCUACUUGCAUAAUAAAUUAUGUGCAGCAUCUUAUAUUUUCUUUGGCCAAGAACAGUUCCGACUGCAUAGUUACUUGCAUCGCACAUGAUUUCGAACGAUUGUUCCCAAUCAGGUGGUUGCAUGACUGGAGCAGACACAAGGGCUUCUUUUAUUUUCUGAAAAGCGACUAAGCACUCAUACUUUCUUUUAUAAUAUGGAGCUGACACAAGGGCUUCUUCAACCAUGGUUCUUUCUCUCUGUUUUUAUAUUUCCUCGGGAUCCUUUGUAAAUUCCGGCUCUUUGUAAGCUAAACCGCUCCUAAGUGUGAUGGCUUUCACAUGGUCAGAGGGGUUGGUUUCGCUUGAGCUUUUGAAAGAACAUUUAUUUGGCUCCUUCUUGGAAUCAUCAGUGUUCUUAGACUUAUCUUUGAUCAUUAAACUAAUAAUGGUGGAAAGUUUAUCAUUGAAAUCUUCAUGCAACCUUUCAAUUUUGGAAUUAAGAUCAUUGAUGUCCAUAGUCUUAGAUUCCCAGAAGAGGGAAAACUUGAAUAGGGAAUGGAAUCAGAUUGAAUAGCCAGCAUUGGCAGGGAGGAGGCGCGGUCGUAGAGCUCGCGACCGUGGGUGAAAGAGACUUGGUCGCCGUCAGGAUUGACACGACCACGGUGGAAAUAGGCUUGGUCGUGGUCCACAAGAUUGGACCCGCGGUUGUCAGGGACAAAAGGAAAAUCUUGAAUUUGAUAGACUUCUUCAGUGUUGAUCAACUCCUGGUUGUAAAAACUAAUUUGGUUGUUCCAAUCGUCAAAGUUACCCCUAAUGUGUGCCUUGUUCGGUUGUUGCAAUUGAUGCGUGCUCAUGUCAACUACGUGAGGGAACAAGUUUUACCCUUAACAAAACAAAUGAAAGCCGCAAGUGCACAACUAAUCAGUUGUAGUAUUUAGGGAUCGAAUCCACAGAGAUUUGUGUGCCUGGUAUUCUUCUACGGUUUUUAACUUUAUGUCUAGACUAAAUUGGUUUUAAAGGUUGGUUGUUUUUUUUGCGAAUUAAACUAAAACAAAAGAAAGCAAAUAAAUCUAUCCUAAAAAGCAAGUAAAGAAAAUCGAAUGAAAUGUAAAUGGAAGAAGUAAAAUAUCGAACUAAACAAAAAUAAGGCAAGUAAAAUAUCGCAUGAAAGGUAAAUAAAGCAAGUAAAUAACGAACUAAGGAAAUUGAAAUGCAGGUCUAAGAAAGCAAGUAAAAAUCGAUGGAAUUUUAAACUAUGGCUAAAAACGCUGAGCUUUUGGGAACUCUAAGGGAUCAUAAUCGGUUUUAACACUAAGGUAGAUAGAUUGGGAUUGACGGAUAACAAUAUAUGGGUUCUAGAGCUAGAAUACGGCGGUAUGACUACGUCACUGUCGUGAUCAUAACCAACUGUUUCUUGCAACCCUGACCAGUAGGUUUCCACUCUGGCCCUGGAAGGGAGAGAACGCAAGAGCUCCACAAGACUCGUCAAUACUCACGAUCUCGCCGUAGGUAGGUUUCCACUCCUACGGAAAAAUCGCCUGUUUCAUUCUAGGGCUGAUACUUAAUGAAAAUUUUCGCAACACUAACUAUCUAGAUCAGACACUAGGUGAUCAAUCAAACAUACAUGCAAUAAGAACAAGAAUAAACAGAGAACAGGUCGAAAUCCCAGAUCUAUAAACCUAGAUGUCUUAAUCGAUUAUGAGAGCCCCUUUCGGGAACCCUAAGCCCAACUCGAGAUCUACUCAGACAUGGCUGAGUUCGACAUCAUCAUUGGUUUUAAUAAAAGUAAUGAAAAACAGUAAAGAAAAGAGAUAAAGAAGGCUUCUCUAUUGAAGAACUCGGACUUGAACAAUCUUCUACAAAAAUCUCAUAAAAAUGGCUAAAGGAAAAGGGUUUCUGUAAAGUAUGAAUGGCUCUCUCUAAAAACGACCUAAAUGACAUGUAUUUAUAGUCUCAAAUACUCCAUGGUCUCUAGGGUUCCGGAAUUGAGGCUGGGAAUGACUUUGGGCUUCAGAUAAGUGGGCUUUAAGUCGGAGCUUGAAUGCCGCGGUCGGGAGUGUUGUGACCGCGACAAUUGGCUUGUUGGCCGCGGUCGGGAAGCUUCUAACCGCGGCAAAUAGCUUGUUGGCCGCGGUCGCGUGAGUUGCUGGCCGACUCCGCGUGGCUCCGAGGCUAAUGAAAUAUCUUGAGAUCCAACCGUUGGAAUGUCUCCAAACCAAGUGCAUUUGAAAGCUGGUUGAUUCUUCUAUAAGUUGUCCAAUUUUGAGGGUGAUCAGACGGUGAGAAGGUAUUCGUCUCUCCAUGAGAGUUAUGACGGUCUGCAUUUAUCCAAAAGAGUCUUUUUGUUCUAUUUUGUGCCUCUUUAUCCCAAAUUACCUGAAAAGUCUUUUAAAAUCCGGAAACAUAGAAAUCCUUUGAAAACCUUUGAAAAUGGAGUAAAAACACCUGUAAAAGAUAUUAGAAUGAUCCUUAAAAAUGGCCAAAAUCCGGUGUUAUCAGCAAUCCAAGUUGAUUCAUUAUUUGAUGAGUAUUUUCUACCAAGGCAUCAACCAAAAAAGGCUUGGUUACGUAUACUUCAUGCAAGGUUGUUGACUUAAAUACAAGCAUCUUCUGCUGAUCUAGUGGAGAAGUCUCCAUUACUUGCGGUGUCAAAAGAAUGUUGUAAUUCGUGAUCGAUGUCUUGGUAGAAAAUACUCAUCAUUUAUUAUUCAUCGGAAAAUCCGUGGUGUGGACAAUCUCUUUUGUAUUCUCUAAAUCGAUCCUAAGCUCGUAGAGCAUCUCACCCUUCCUUUGCUCAAAAUUUCUUAUCUUGUUCUUUAGGAGGUUGGAACGAGUACUAGUAUAAAAACGAUUCAAGAAAGCAGCUUUACACUAUUCCAAUGUUUUUAUAGACGCAGCUUGCAAAGCUUGUAGACCCUUUUAUGGCUUUGUCUCUCGAAGAGAAUGGGAAAAGGCUACACUUAUGGUAAUCCCUAUUUGAUGUAAUGGUUGCAUAUAAUUCUUCAAACGACUCAAUGUGAUCCAUUGGGUGUUCGGUUAACCAUAGUAUCGAUUUUGUUGAACUAAAGUGAUGUAGGGUACCUUUAUUUCGGUUUUGCCAUCCUUUGGUAAGCUGGUUAAAUAGCUCUUUGAUCUCCCAUGAACUGUUCGAGUGAGUCAAAACCACCAAUUAGCUCAUCAUCAUCCUCGCUGUGUUUUGUUGGUCCGAUCAGCUCCUCCUCAUCAUUGAUCGGGUUGUUAAGCUCAUCAUCUCUCAGGUCAUCUUCCACGAGAGGUAGUGGAUCGCCAAGAGGCUCGGGAACAUGUUCCCAGUCUCCCAUUGAGGAGUAACCUGAAAAGUACAAAAGAAAAAGUAAAAGUAAACAAGUGUUCUAAUGGAUUUAAGCUGGAUUCGCAGCAAAACAAAUCAAAGUCUCCAGCAACGGCGCCAAAAACUUAAUGCAAUUUAGAACGGGGUUGGUUUUACUAAGCUUCAGGUUCUAAAUUUAUAACUCCUAAAUGUCUGCAAGUGCACAGAUGUGCGGUAUAAUACUUAGUUGUUUCAGUACAAAUCCACACUAAUGCUAAAAUCAGAUUAGAACUAAACGAUUUGGGUUUUAGUUUUCGGUGUCACGAAAUCUAAAUUAGAAAGCAUGAAACUAAGGCUGUAAUCUAUGAAAAAAAAAACGCUGGGUUUAAGGGUAUUCACAGAGAUUCAUGGACUAAAUCUAUGAUAAAAAUAAAUGAUAGAGGUAAUCGACUACGGUUUGUUCUAAAACUCGAGCAUGGAUGUAUGACUAUGUCACUCUCAUGAUCAUAACCAACUGUCACCCACGGUCCUGACUAGUAGUUUCCGACUCUGUCCCCAACCACAGGUGUACGUAAUCUUGCACUAGACUCAUCUACAUUCACAACUCACCCAUAGGUAGCUUUCGUCUCUUAUAGCAGAAUUACUUGUUACUCCUUAGAUCAGAUAGAUAAUGAAAUUUUUUUGCAACAUUAAGUAUCUAGAUCGAAUUCUAAGUGGCCAACAGAAAAACACGCAAUAAGAAUAAGAGUAAACAAAGAACACCUAGAAGAUUAUGAACCAUAAAUCUUACAAUUCAUAGAAAAAGACACAUGAAAUUCCUUUUAAAAAAUUCCUUUAAACCCAACUGGAAAACUACUCAAAGAUAUUAGUAUUUGAAUCUGUAGGAAAUUAAAUAGAACAAGGGAAAAGAACGAAAAACAGAGGUGAAGAUGGAGAAUCAAUGGUGCUCUCCUCGGUGGCUCCUCUUCAAAGAUGGCUUCUCCCUAGGGUUUUUUUUGUUAAAAAAAAAAGAAUCGAGCACACCCUCUUAGAAUGACCAAAAAGAGGUUUUUAUAGCUUCUGGAGUUGUCUUCAACGCUUCGAUUUUCAAAAAUAAUGAUGGGAUCGACCUGGGCUUGAUUUAGGUCUCUUGGGCCAUAGAUGAUGUCCAGCCGCGGUCGUGGUGUACGUACCCAAGGGGAACCAUAGUCUGCCGCGGUCGCGGCUCAUGUUCUGCUUCGAGACCGCAUCGGGAAUAUCUGAAGAUCUAACCGUUGGAUUGUCUCCAAAUCAAUUGCAUUAGAAAACUGGUUGCCUCCUAUGUAAUGUCUCAAAUUUUGGGGAUGAUCGGACGGUGAGAAGAUUUUCAUCGCUUGCCAUACUUCUGACGGUCUGCAUUUAUCUAAAAUUGUUCAUUUGUUCCAAAUUGCACAUCUUUAGUCCAAGUUUUCUGAAAAGUCUUUUGAAACUCUAAAAUAUUAAAAACAUUUUAAAACUAUGGAAAACAGAGUCAAAACAUACAGUAUGUAUAAGACAUCAAAACCAUCCAUAAAAAUGGUCAAAAUCUAGUGUUAUCAGUAAACGAUAAGAACAGCCACAACAUGCAAGGAGAGUGGUAUGAGCUUCUGAGUGCACGAAGUCGCUGCGAUUAGUGGCAGCAUGCUGCGACAAGUAAACAGAUGUUUCUUGUGACAAAUAUAACUAAAGAGGCCUGCUAGAGCGAUUGAGAAUGUAACGGGCCGAAGGCUCUAGCUGGGCCUAGUGGGCUUCAUUGGAUCAAAGGCAGACCCGGAUUCACUUGGGGGGUGUGGGGGGCUUCUUUUAUCGAGUGGGUUUAUCGAGUCGGGUUUUUGAGGGUAUAAAUACAGGCUUUAGGGAUUUUAAUUGAUUAUUCACACAUUCAGUUAAGAAACCCAAACGGGUGUUUACCUCAAUCGCAAUUUUCUUUCUCUUGUUUAUUGCUUUCUUCGGUUUGAUUCACGAAAAGUGGUAUCAUAGCUCAAGGUUUUUCCGCGAAACAUUGUCAUGACAAAGGGAAGUUCUCUUAUGUUUGAUGUUCCUAGGUUAGAUGGAAAAGGGAAUUUUGGUCUGUGGCAAAGUCGAGUCAAGGAUCUGCUGACGCAGCAAGGUGUGAAAUAGGCGCUAUUAGAGAAAAAGCCGAACAAGAUCAAGAAGGAUGAUUGGGACGAUAUGCAGGAUCAAGCUGUUUCGACGAUUCGACUUUGUCUCUCUGACGAUAUUACCAAUCAGGUGAUGAACAUCAUGACUUGCAAGGAGAUAUGGGAUAAGUUAGAGAAGGUCUACAUGUCGAAGUCGUUGUCCAGCAAGCUGUAUCUGAAACAGAUGUUGUAUGGGUUGAAGAUGGCAGAGAGUGGCGAUCUUAUUGCUCAUGUCAACAACUUCAACCAAAUCAUUGGAGAUCUGGAGCGUGUGGAUGUUAAAAUUGAGGACGAGGAUAAAGCCAUGAUCUUGUUGUGUUUUCUUCCUCUUCAGUUCGAGACUUUGGUGACAGCUAUUACAGUCGAAAAUGACUAUAUCGCUGGAAACGGUUUGUACUUCACUGCAAUCCCAUUGGGAAAGGCAACAGAACAUUACCAUGGUGGACAAGUCUUAAGGUGAUGAUUUAUACGUGAGUAUCAACCAGCAACGAGGAAGGCAAGAAAAGAAGCAGGAUGGAAGUAAAAGGGACAAGUCGAAGUCUAAGCCAGGGAAGAAUUCGAUAUGCUUUGGUUGUGGUUAGAAAGACAAUUAUCGAAGGGAUUAUUCUAACAGAAAGCAGAAUAGUGGAUCUGGUUCUGCAAACGUGGUCUAGAAGGAGGAUUCAGAUGACAGUGUAGGCGAUUUGUUGGCUGUGACAUCUGGUGAUCACACAGACUCUUGGAUACUGGAUACGGGUGCAUCAUUCCAGAUGACUCCUCACAGAGAAUGGUUUGAGACGUAUAGGGCUGGGAACAUGGGCUCUAUUCAGUUAGCAAACGACAUGUCAUGUGGUGUUGUUGGUACUGGAGAGGUCAAGUUUUGGAUGCAUGAUGGCAUCAUCAGAACAUUGACUAAUGUUAGGCAUGUUCCAGGGGUGAAGAAGAAUUUGGUCUCUUUGGGUACUCUUCACAAAAACGGAUUCAGACUCAGAGGUGAUGAAGAUGAAGACGUUUUGAAGGUUUGUAAGGGAUUUAUGGUGGUGAUUAAAGGGAAGAUGACAGCUGGGAACGUCUACAGGAUGUUAGUGAGUGUGGUUGUAGGUGGAGCUGCAGCUGCUGUGUCUGAAUCUGAUAGCACAACUCUUUGGCAUAUGCACAUACGACAUAUAGGAGAGCAUGGGUUUCUUGAACUCCAUAAAAUGGGUCUUCUGGAUGGGUUAAAGAACUGUAAAAUGGAUUUAUGCAAAUUCUGUGUGAUGGAAAAGCAGUCCAAAGUUUCGUUCAAGACAAGACAGCACACGAAAAAAGGUCUUUUAGACUAUGUUCAUUUCUGAUGUGUGGGGUCCGACUCGGGAACUGUCAUUGGGAGGGUCUAGGUACUUCAUCAUCUGACUUCUCCAGAAAAGUUUGGGUUUACUUCUUAAAGCAGAAAUCUGAAGUUUUUGUCAACUUCAAGGUUUGGAAGGCUGAAGUCAAAAAUCAGGUGGAGAAGAAGGUUAAGUAUCUAAGAUCAGAUACUGGCAUGGAGUAUACUGACGGGGAGUUUCAGAAGUUCUGUGAGGAACAUGGCAUUGAAAGACACUUCACUGUCAGGAAAACAACACAGCAAAAUGGUGUCAGUGAGAGGAUGAACUGAACUAUUGCAGAAAAGACAAGGUGUUUGACAUUGAAUGCAUGACUUCCUAAACAGUUCUGGGCAGAGGCAGUAAACAUGGCGGUGUAUCUUAUCAAUAGGUCGCCUAGGAGUUCUCUACAAGGGAAGGUGGCUGAAGAGAUUUGGAUUGAAAGAUAUUGAUCUGUCAAACUUGAAAAUAUUUGGAUGCCCAGCUUACAUGCUGGUUCCAAGUGACGAAAGAUCUAAACUGGAUUUGAAUUCCAAGAAGUGCAUAUUUCUGGGUUUUGUCAAAGGUGUGAAAGGCUUUAAGUUAUAUGAUCCUGUUGAUAAGAAGAGGGUAUUCAGUCGAGAUGUGGUCUUUGAUGAGCAGUAUAUGGUGCAGCAGGCGAGAACAGAUCGAGUUCUUGUGAUCAUUUAGACUGAAACAGAUUCCGGCACAUCACAGGAAGAGUCUAGUGAGACUAGACUAGCAACAGGACGUGAUAAGCAACCUGUUGAGGUGAAUCAGGACGUUCAGCAUAGUAAGGCAGAGGAGAGUUUGGCACUUGAAAGACCAAGACGCAUCAUAAAACCGCCUGAAAGAUUCGGGUUUGAAGACAUGGCUAGUUAUUGUCCGAUGGUUGGUUCAGGUGAUCCAGCAAAUUUUCGAGAGGUUAUCUCAAGUUUUGAGAAAGAUUUCUGUUAUUGGAGCUAUGACAGAAGAGAAUGAGAGCCUGGACAUAAAUCAAACAUGGGAUCUAACGCCUUUACCAAAAGGCAAGAGGGCGAUAGGAUGCAAGUGGGUUUUCAAGGUAAAACCUAAGAUAUCUGAGAAGGAACCAGUUAAGUACAAGGAAAAAUUGGUGGCAAAGGGUUACUCACAGAGGAAAGGGGUUGAUUAUGACAAAAUCUUCUCCCUUGUAGUUAGGCACACUUCUAUUAGAGCUGUGCUGGGUUUGGUAGCAAGCUGAGAUUUCUAUCUUGAACAGAUGGAUGUAAGGACAACAUUUCUUCAUGGAGAUCUGGACGAAGAGAUCUAUAUGGAGCAACCAGAGGGAUUUGUGAAACCAGGAGAGGAGAAGCUUGUGUGCAGACUUAAGAAGUUUCUGUAUGGAUUGAAGCAGGCUCCUAGGCAAUGGUACAAACGUUUUGACUCCUACAUGUUGAAGAUUGGCUACACAAGCUGUGAGUAUGACUGCUACAUCUAUGUAAGGUUUCUGGAUGGUCAUUCUCCCUUAUUCCUACUGAUCUAUGUUGAUGAUAUGCUCAUUGCUGCGAGAGAUAUGGAGGAUACUGAUAAGCUGAAAGAGUUAAUGUAGAAAGAGUUUGAUAUGAAGGAUCUUGGUGCUGCAAAGAAGAUCCUUGGGAUGGAAAUUCACAGAGAAAGAAGCUCAAGGAGAUUAUGGCUUUCUCAAAAGAGCUAUAUUCAGAAAAUUGUAGACAGGUUUGACAUGAGAGAUGCAAAAGCAGUGUCUACACCUUUGGCGAUGCACGUCUCAUUUUCAGCGAUGCAGUGUCCUAAGUCUAAUCAAGAGAUCAUAGCUAUGUCGAAAGUUCCUUAUGCAAGUACAGUUGGCUAUUUGAUGUAUACUAUGGUGUGCACUAGACCUGAUUUAGCACAAGCAGUUAGUCAAGUGAGCAAGUACAUGUCCAAUACUGGAAGAGAACACUGGAAAGCCGUCAAAUAGAUUUUCAGAUACUUAAAGGGUACAAGCGAUCUUGGACUUAUGUUUGGUGAUCAAGACUGUGGCUCAGUUGUGGGAUAUAUGGAUUCAGAUUAUGCUGCUGAUCUUGACAACAAAAGGUCUACUAUAGGGUAUAUCUUUACUCUUGCUGGAGGUCCUAUUUGUUGGAGAUCUGUGCUACAGUUUGUUUUGGCAAUGUCUACCACAGAACUGAGUAUAUGGGAAUGGGAGAAGCAGCUAAGGAAUCAAUUUGGGUCAAGGGACUUGUGACAGAACUGAGUGUUGAACAAGGUGGAGUUCAGCUAUACAGCAACAGUCAGAGUGCGUUGUUUCUAGCCAAGAACCCGGUUUAUCAUGCAAGGACGAAGCACAUUCAUGUCAGAUUUCAUAAGAUCAGAGAGUUGUCUGCAUCUGGAGAAGUCUUGUUGGAGAAGGUUCACACGUCAGAGAAUGCAGCUGAUAUGUUGACCAAACUCGUUACUGUGGAGAAGUUCAAGCAUUGCUUGGAUUUGCUCCAUGUCUUCAAGUGCUGAAGAAGGUGAAAUCCCCACCCCCUCCCCAAAGUGAUUGGAGUUUGAAGGUGAUUUUAUGAAGGUUUUUUGUCAGGGUGGAAAUUGUUGUUUCUAGUGACAAAGAUAACUAAAGAGACCUUGCUAGAGCGAGUUGAGGAAUGUAACAGGCCGAAGGCUAUAGUUGGUCUAGUGGACUUCAUUGAGUCAAAGGCGGAUGCGAAUUCACUUGGGAGGAUGUGGUGGGGCUUCGCCCCUCACGGUACGGUUUUCUUAAUAUGCUCAAUAAAAGAUUCACUACAAAAAAGAGAGGCUUUUCCGUCGAAUUAUUUACGAUGAUUUGUAGUCGUCGUAAAUUUACGACGACAUUACGUCGUAUUUACGACGAUCAAAAAUUUCGUCGUAAAUUCGACGUAAAAAAUAACCCUCGUAAAAUCGUCGUAAUGUUACGACGAUUUUACGACGAAUAAAGAACGAAUUUUAUUUCGUCGUAAUCUUAUCGUAAUAUUUACAUUGAUAAUAUGACGAAUUGUCCUCUAUCUAGUAAUUGACGUAAAAUCGAUGUAAAUGUGAUGUAAAUUUUAUUUCGACGUAUAUUUGAUGUAAAUAUGCAAUGGUAAUAUGUUGGUAACCAAACAAAAAAUUCUAUAUAUACCCUUCCUUCUCUCAUUAUUCCAUCAUCCCAAAAAAACAUAUAAAGACACAAAUUUUUUGAGUCUUUGAAUGUUUAAGUAAAAUUUUUGGUAGUUGAAAUUUCUAUCAAAUUUCAGAAACAAAAAGUCAAAUAUUUGUUUUUGAAAUAUCUAUAUACGAUCUACGAAAGUGGAUGUAUACGCCCAAAAAUGGUGAUGGGUCGUUGACUGAAGACUUCAAAAACGGAUUGGAAAUAUUCAUGUACCAAGCCGGCCUUCUGGAAACUGUAAUUGAAAGCGGCAAAGUGUAUUGUCCUUGUGUGAAAUGCAAAAAUAGGAAACAUAUUCUUAUUGACACUGUCUGGCAGCAUUUAUUGAAUAGAGGGUUCAUGCCCCAAUACUUUAUUUGGUAUCAGCAUGGAGAGGGAUAUGGUCAAAGUAGUGGUCAGAUGGCUGCACGGAGUAGUAGUAAUCAUCAAGAACAUGUGGAUUUUGAAGCGUCCAAUGAUUAUCAAAGUAGUCAAGUUCAGGGUGAAGAUCAUGAUAGGAUGCAUGAAAUGAUUACUGAUGCAUUUCAUGAAACACAUGCUGAUACUGUUGAGGAGCCCAAUGCAGAUGCGAAACGCUUUUAUGAUAUGUUAAACGCAGCAAAACAGCCUCUGUACGAGAGAUGUAGGGAAGGUUUAUCAAAAUUAUCAUUGGCAGCUCGGAUGAUGACAAUAAAAACAGAUCACAAUCUAUCUGAAGUUUGCAUGAACGAUUGGGCAGAUCUUAUUAAAGAGUAUUUGCCAGAUGAUAAUUUGGCUGCUGAAACGUAUUAUGAAAUUCAGAAGCUGGUUUUUAGUCUUGGAUUGCCUUCUGAGAUGAUUGAUGUUUGUGUUGAUAAUUGUAUGCUUUUUUGGAGAGAUGAUGAGAAGCUUGAAGAAUGUCGUUUCUGCCAAAAGCCAAGAUAUAGACCGCAAAUUGCUGGGCGUAAGAAGAUUCCUUACCAACGAAUGUGGUAUCUUCCUAUCACUGAUAGGUUAAAAAGACUAUAUCAAUCCGAACGGACAGCUGCGUCGAUGAGAUGGCAUGCGGAACAUUCACAAACAGAUGGCAAAAUGACUCACCCGUCUGACGGGAAAUCUUGGAAACAUUUUAACACCGUACAUCCAGACUUUACUAGGUCUAAGCGAAAUGUUUAUCUUGGUCUUUGCACUGACGGGUUUAGUCCAUUUGGUAUGUCUGGUAGGCAAUAUUCAUUAUGGCCUGUGAUUCUUACGCCAUAUAACCUUCCUCCAGAUAUGUGCAUGGAAAGAGAGUUUUUGUUUCUAAGUAUAUUAGUCCCUGGUCCAAAUCACCCGAAGCGGGCCCUUGAUGUUUUUUUGCAACCACUCAUACAUGAGUUAAACCAGUUGUGGCAUGUUGGAGUACGAACAUAUGACUGUUCGAGUGGUAAAAAUUUUACGAUGCGAGCGGUGCUUAUGUGGACAAUAAGCGAUUUCCCGGCAUACGGAAUGCUAUCAGGUUGGACAACGCAUGGGAGGUUAUCAUGUCCUUAUUGUCUUCAUAGGACUGAUGCAUUUCAGCUUAAACAUGGUAGGAAAACCUGUUGGUUUGAUUGCCACCGUCGGUUUUUACCACCAAACCAUCAAUAUAGAAGAAAUAGGCGUUUGUUUAUAAAGAACAAAUUGGUUCGUCUCCCUCCACCAGUGUACCUAACUGGAGUAGAGCUUGAAGCGCAAAUAGAUCAUUGUGGUGGACUUGAAACGGUCCCCUUGGAGGAAAUUGGCACACUCCUGCGAAUAUGCCUGACGGAUAUGGGGUUCAUCAUAAUUGGCACAAGAAAAGUAUAUUUUGGGAUCUGCCUUACUGGAAAGAUCAUUUGCUUAGACAUAAUCUUGAUGUUAUGCACAUUGAGAAGAAUUUUUCCGAUAACAUCAUGCAUACUGUUUUGAACGUCCAAGGAAGAACCAAAGACAGCGUUAAAUCACGGAUGGACUUACCCGAUAUAUGUAACAGAAUUGAGUUGCAUAUGGUGAGUAAUGGGAAAGCACCUGUUCCUGUAUUUCGGUUGGGUGCUGAACAAAAAACAGCAUUGUUUAAUUGGGUAUCAUCAGCCGUGAAAUUUCCUGAUGGAUAUGUAUCUAAUCUGGCUAAAUCUGUGGAUAAAGGACAAAAGUUUUCAGGGAUGAAAAGUCAUGAUUGUCAUGUGUUUAUGCAACGGUUACUUCCUUUUGCGUUUGCUGAACUCCUACCGGGACAUGUCCAUGAGGCACUAGGAGGCAUUGGAGCUUUUUUCCGUGAUCUAAGUACAAGGACAUUAUCAGAAGAUGUAGUUGCACAACUGUCUACAAAUAUUCCAAUAUUAUUGUGCAAUUUGGAGAAAAUAUUCCCACCUGCUUUCUUCGAUGUUAUGGAACAUUUACCUAUACACCUCCCUCAUGAAGCAGAGUUGGGAGGACCUGUUCAGUUUAGGUGGAUGUAUCCGUUUGAACGAUUUAUGAAGCAUUUGAAGGGUAAGGCCAAAAACUUAGCAAAAGUUGAAGGGUCUAUCGUGGCGGGAAGUCUGACAGAAGAGACUUCUCAUUUCACGUCUUAUUACUUUGCUCCAAAGGUUCGUACACGCAAACGGGCUCCAAGACGUUACGACGAUGGGGGUGUAGGACAAAGUUAUGCAGUAGAAGGUGUGCCUGAUAUAUUCUCACCAAUUGGACGUCUAAGUGGGAAACUAAAAGAAACUUGUUGGUCAAACGAACAAGACUACCACAGCGCACAUACAUAUAUACUUCUGAAUUGCGAGGAAUUGGCACCUUACGAGAGGUACAUAAUUAUAACCAUGUAUGAUUAAAAUUUGAUUGAACAUACGAAAUGUCCUUAACAAUGUUUCAAAAUUUCAGCACUUUCGUCAGUCAAGUCCGAGAAUGCAUUGACGGUGUUUCAGAAGAUGAAAUUAACAAGCGAAAAGACCAACAUUAUGCAUUGUGGUUAAAAGGUCAAGUCGAGCAUGAUGACAUGACAUAUGCAGUAUGGUUUCAUGAGUUGCUCUUAGGUCCUAUUUCGAAGAUAACUACUGCAGCUAUGUAUUUCACACGUGGCUAUGUUUUUCAUACUUAUAGUCAUGGCACUCAACGGGCAACUACAAACUAUGGAGUUUGUGUACGAGGUGAAGUAGACUUUUAUGGGAUCAUCAAAGAGAUAAUUGAAGUGGAAUACCCCGGAUUAGUCAGAAUGAAAACUGUUCUAUUCAAAUGUGGUUGGUUUGAUCCUACGGUAGGUCGUGGAGUGCGAAUUAACACAUUUGGAGUGGUAGAUGUAAACGCAUCUCGGCGAUACAAUAAGUUCGAGCCAUUUAUACUUGCAUCUCAAGCAGAACAAGUCACCUUUGUUCCAUAUCCUCGAGUUCGGAAUACGGGAAUUUCAUGGCUGGCGGUUGUCAAAGUUGCUCCAAGGGGUAUAAUUGAUGGUGUAGAUCUCCCGCCAAUGCAACAAGAUGAUUGUGUCGACAUUACAGAACCGGAUAUUGAAGAAAAUGUUCUUUUAAUUGAUCCACGUAAUCGACAAGUUGAAGAUCUACAUGGGGACGAAACUGAAGAAGGUGCUGAUUUCAAACAAGCAGUGAUGAUGAUGACAAUGAUGAUGACGACACCGAGGAAAAUGUUGAUGAAGACUAAUUAAAUAUUUUGACAUUUAAUUGCAUGCUUUGAACGUUUCAAUGUAACAUUUGUCAAAUUUAAAUUUUUGAAAAAUUAAAGCCAAUUAAUGAAGACUAAUUAAAUGUUGAUGAAAAUUUGUUUAAGUGUUGACUUGGACAUAUGUUGACUAUUACGACGAAUUUACGACGAUUAUUUAGAAAUCGUCGUAAAUUCGUCGUAAUAUGCAAACCCUAAACCCUAUAGGGUUUAGCUUUUCCAACUUACAGAAUGGUUUUUGGGUUCAUUUUCCUAAGUAAACUGAUGUAUUAUAUAAGAGUAUGUAGUAUAAGGUUCAGGAACUUGUAGAAAUGUGGUUUUUAUUACGACGAAUUUACGACGAAUGGGAGUGAUCGUCGUAAAUUCGUCGUAAUAUACCAUCAAAAAUACGACGAAAUGUAACCCCUAAAUCUUAUAAUCAAUCUUUUAUGGGGUUCAGAGGGGAUUUUGAUGAGGAGAAUGAAAUGGCUUACCAUCUCAUAAGGUAAAACAACUUUCUAAACAAAAAAAAAAAAAUUCAAAAUUUGACAUAUAUGUGUUUAUCAAGUAAUCUUAAGAUGUUAUAUACAUUUACACAAGAUGUAUGGAUUUAUCUUACAUCUUACUAAAUUCUUCAUUAAGUUAUGUAAACAUGCUAGAAAGUUAUACAGACCACAUUUAUCAUGAAUAGACAUGCUUGUAUGUCCUUAUGGAUGUUUCAAUUUUUGAAUUUCAUCAGUUUUCGUAUAGUUCGUCGUAAAUUCGUCGUAAUGUUACGACGAAUUUACGACGAUUAGUGGAUACACAGCCGUCUUAAUUUUUUUGAUUUAUACGAGUCGUCGUAAAAUCGUCGUAACAUUACGACGAUUUUACGCGAAUAGCACGGAUCGUCGUAAACUUGUCGCAAAGCCCAGAUACAGCCACGUGUGUUUGUCUUACUCGCUUUGUUGUACGGUGGGAUCUUUGCGACGAAUAUACGACGGAUUCGUCGUAAAUUCGUCAUAAUAUUUACGUCGAAUUUACGACGAAUAUAAAUUCUAUAUAUAGGACCUCACCUCUUCCUCAUUUCGUCGCUUAUCUCUCCUUCCUCUCUCUCUGCUUCCUCCUUCCCACCUCCUCCUUUUGACGAAAAAAAAAGGUAAAUAAUUUUUUUUAAUUACUUAAAAUUAUAAUAAUUUUAAAUAGUUUAGAAAUUCAAACGGUUUAGGUCGGGAAUUAGUUUAGGCUCAGAAUUUGUUAGAUUUAGGAUCGUAAUUAAAAAUUAAUUGUAAUUAAUUUGAAAAAUAAUUUUUUUUCGGUUUUGCAGACGAUGACUCGACGGAGGACGCAUUACAUCAAUUUCAUGACGGACGGACAUUCUUCCCGGGCGUCUGCCUCGGGAAACACCGAGACCGAUGUCCCUUCAUCUUCCGGAGCCUCCCAGGUUCCGAAUACCGCGGAGCCGUCUCCACCACCGCCUCCACCACCACCUCCACCGCCGGCUGUCGAACCGGUACCCGCCCCGGCUGCCGAACCGGUACCCGUCCCUCCUCAUCCGUAUGCCCAGUUUACGGUUGAGGAUUUACUAGCCUUACCGGGACGGGGGGCUUUACGACGUCUGGUUCCCGGAAAAGCGGAACCAGGCUUUUAUUGGUAAGUAAAUUUUUUGUUUUUUAUAGUUUUUAAAUUAACGCUUUAAUUUACUUAAAUAUUAAUGUAAUAAUUUUUUUUUUGGUUUCAUAGGUUUACUUUGGAUAAUUGUGUCGGACGGAGCGUUUCCGACACAAUUAAGAGUCAUUUCGUGGAGCCGCACGUCAAUUGGAGCAAGGUGUCGCAAGAGACGUGCGACACCUGGUACAAGUGCUUCGCGGUACGUAAUAUUUUUAAAAUCUUAUUUAUAUCAUUUUAAAUUGUUUUAAAUUUAAUUAAUCUUACUUUUAUAUUGUCAAUCUAAUUUUUUGUUUUCUUUUGCAGCAACGGUGGAACUGGGACAUCGGGAUCAAUGAGACGGUCCGCGAAGCUUUCGAGGAAAAGGCGAAGAAACGCCUAGUCAACACCGUUUCCGAUUGGAAGCGGAAAUGGGAGACCAACGGCGACGACGCAAAGCCGAGCUCCAUGUCCACUUGGUGUUGGAACGGGUUGAAGGCGUAUUGGGUGGACCCGCAUGCUCAAACCACCGCUGCUAAGUGUUCGGCCGUCCGAAACCGGGUCGAUCCGGUGACUGGUGAGAAGUUAGUGACCCCGCACACUUCUGGCCAAAUAUCUUUUGCAGGAAGACGUCUCAUGAUGGUAAGUAAUUAACUAUAAAUUAUUUCAUUAUUAUUUUAAUUUUAUUUAUUGCUAGAAUUAAUUAAAUAUUUUUGACUAAUAAUGUUUAUUAAUUGGUAGGCCGAGGAGAACGGAAGAGAACUACCUCCAAUGACGAAGCUCUUCGAGACCACUCACCGGAAGAAGGACGGGAGCUUUGUCGACGCUCGAGGAGAUCUACAAUGCCGCUAUGCAGCGGAUCGCCGAGCGGGAGACCCAGGCCACACCUGACGGUACUAUCCAAGUACCGUUGACCGUCGCUGAGCAAGACCAGAUUUUCGAAGAGGUAUGAUAUCUAUUUCAAUUUUUUAAAAAUUUAUUAUAUUUAUAAUUACUUAAUAAAUAAUUAACGUUUUUAUUUUCCAUUUGUAAGUUGCUCCGAAGAAGAAGGGUCGAACCUUAGGGAUGGGCUCUAUUAGAGACUGUCCUGCCGCCACGGCUUCCGGAUUCCGCUCGCAGGAUCCGCAGCUUCGUCAGGAGCUUGCUACGGCCAAUGCUGAGAUCACCAGUCUCAGGCAUGAGCAAGUGGCCCAGAAGCAGGAGCUCACCGAGAUACAUGAUCUCUUCGACAUCAUUGCGGAAGCGGUUCCGCAGUUGACCACUGCAAUCCGAGCGAGGCAACAGCGAGCACGGAGGGUUUUUGAGACCGGUGGUAGUUCCGGUACUGGACCAUCGGACCACCAGACGCAGGGCGGUCAGUCUUCGGCUCCGGUCUCAGCAGCGACAGGCGGUCAGACUUCGGCUCCGGUAGUGCAGACGGGAAAAGUCGGCCUAGCAGCGACGGGCGGCCAAGACGGAGAGCCUCCUCGUGACGUCGAUCUCAACCUCGACGAUUACAACAUCAUUGUAUAGAUUAGGUUUUUUUGUAAAAAACAAUUUGUAUAAUUUUUUUUUUAUUUAUAAAUUAUUUUUGAAUUUAAAUUGAAAUUUAAAUUCAAAUUUUUUCUAUUUUUAAUUUUUUGAUUAUUUUAAAAAUUCAUUAAUUAAAUUAAAAUCGAAUUAAAUAAUUAAUUUAUAAAUCGACGUAAAUUCGUCGUAAAUUUAUGUCGAUUUAACGUCGAAUAUUUAACGACGAAUUUACGACGAAUAAGUUUACGUCGAUUUAACAUCGACAAUUAAAAAUUUAGUUUCCCUUAAUUGAAAUUGUUCGUCUCCUAAACGUUGUAAAAUCGAUGUAAUUUUACAUCGAUUUUACGUCGUUUUUAUGAUGGAAUUUUUUCGUUGUACAUCCGUUGGAAAAUUUACGACGCAUUUUCGACGAAUAGUUCCCGACGAUUUUACGACGAUUUUCCGGAGUUGGUAAUUUUACGACAAUUUUACGACAAUUUCGGUUUUACGACGAUCGUUUUACGACGAUUUUUAAUUCGUCGUUAAUUCGACGUAAAUGCUCUUUUACGUCGAUUUUACGUCGAUAUCUGCCGACGUAAAAGCCAAUCUUUCUUGUAGUGAUUUUCUUUAUGGAGUGAAUUUGAAAGUCGUGUUUUUAGGAUAUAAAUACAAGCUUUAAGGAUUGUAAUUGAUUAUUCACAUAUUUAAUAAAAAAAAACCCUAAACGGAUAUUUAUACCUUAAUUGCAAUUUUCUUUCUUUUAUUAUUGCUUUAUUCGGUUUGAUUCACAACAUAAACAAGUAACAUUUGGUCGCAGCUUCGGUCGCAUUCACUAGCAAUUAUCAAAUGAAGAUGGCCUUUCUCUUAUAUAUUGAUAUAAUAAUGAAUCUGUUACAUAUUCUUCUUACUCAAGAUCACUAGUUAGUGAAGUGUUACGUGUCUGUUUAUAUUUUCUUUCCACAAAUAUAAAUUCCUUGGCAGCCUAUUUAUAACUAGUUUUUUAUUUUCUCCAACCUUAAGAGUGGAAUAAUGAAAUAACACUGUUAAGCAAAUGUCGCAAAACCGAAAGAGAAUAACAUAAUAAACUAAAGACGAUCUUAUUAUGGAAACAACGAAGCGAUUACAACACAGGCCAUUACGAUAUGAAACUUUAUUCCCAUACUUUUCAUUUCUUAAUCCAUCAUGCCCCUUAAGAACACUUGGGGCACUUACACAUACACAUAUAAGUGUAUAUAUAGAUCCAACCAUGCAUUAUAUAGUUUUAGUGACCGGGUUGAGUCUGAACAGCUUCUCCGGCAUAAGAACAACACCUUGAGCAGCCACGGUAACCUCUGUAGCAGCAACCGUGACGGCAAUAACCUCCUCCACGGCCUCCUCCGUUGUAUCCUCCUCCGCGGUGUCCUCCUCCGUUGUAACCUCCUCCUCCGUUGUAUCCUCCUCCGUUGUGUCCUCCUCCAUUGUAUCCUCCUCCUCCGUGGUGUCCUCCUCCGUUGUAACCUCCUCCUCCGUUGUAGCCACCACCAUAUCCAUCGGGUUUCACAUUUUCCUCACUUUCUGACUUCGCUGUAGCUGUCAAAAAUAAUACAUUUCAAAGAUAUUAUUAGCACGUUCAAAUUUGCAUUCCUCACCCAGAAUUUAGAACUAUUUUUCUAUUUGCAAAAAAUAUUAAGAGAUAUAAGUUUGCAUCUCUAGCUAGUUUGUUUCAAAACAUUUACAACAUAAGAUAUACGUUCUAAACAUUUUUGCUCUAAAUGUUUGAGAUGAUCCCGAUACAUAUAAUAAGAAUUCAACAUCAUACUUAAGUGUAUUUUGAUUUUCGUAAGUCUCCAGCCUUAUAACAAACUAAAUAGUUGAAUGAAUCUAUCACCCAAUGGAAGAAGUAGACAGAAACAUAAAAAAUAAUGUUACAUACCCGACUGCCUUUCGGAUGCCGCUGCCCUUUCUGAGACGACGAAAAGAAGUGCAAAGAGACCCAACAGAAUUAAAGCCCUCGAAGCCAUUUUCUUCAACUGUUCAACUCUUUGUUUUAGAACGUGUGAUGAAUAAAAAUGUCACCAUGUAUGCCUCUAUUUAAAGAAAACGAGGAGGAGGGAAUGAGAAGAGUAAAAAAAAACCUAAUCCCUAGUCCAAUAAAAAUAACUCAAAAGAAAAGUUAAGAAAUUUAAUAAUUUAUGACAAUAAAAAUAGUAAGAAGAAGAUAAGUAUCGAUUGCAUAGGGCCCAUUUAUGGUUGGUUGUUGGAAUCAUUGUAAAUAAUUUUGAAACUCCUUAAAUGGCAACUCUCCACUAGUCUUUUAGAUGUUUCUAUAAAACGUCUCAAACACAGCGCAUUCACACGUAUAUAGUCAUAGACAUAUUAAAAAAUAUUAUUGGAUUAUUUCGAGAAUAAUAUUCAUUAUUGGAGAGUUGGAGACUUGGACUAUUGUUUAUGAAUCGUCCUUUACAAUCUCAACCGACAGAUUUUACGCAGAAGGAUAUAGACAAAUCAUAUGGACUUAAAAUCAGUAAGUCAUAUAGGAGCGAUACGUAGUAGUUAAUAAGGACAGACGCAAAAUAUUAAGUCAUAUAGGAGCGUACGUAGUAGUUAAUAAGGGCAGACGCAAAAUAUUGCACGGCUAUAUUGUUGGGAUAUCAAUCCAAGUUUCACAUCUAAAAUUUAAACUAAUGUACUCAAAUAUAUAAGUAAAAUGUUUAAUAGUUUAGUAUAAAAUUUUUUGGAAGAAAUUUAAAAACAAAUCCGUGCAUGCUUUGUCAUUUGAAUCCAAAGUGGACAAUAUCAUACUAAUAGAGAAUUGGACAUGGAUUUGAAAAGUUCAACAAUUGGUAUCAGAACCAGGUUCUGGAAAAAAUGGAUCUGGACAAAUGGGUGUGGACUGUGUGUUCGGUGUGGGAGGGAGAGCCCUCAAAGUAACCUUGCGAUUAGGGUGCUGGUGCUUUGUAUCAAAAGUCUUCCGAUUGGGCUUUUCAAGCUCAUGUCCAACUCCCUAUUAGUAUGAUAUUGUCUGCUUUGGGCCCAAAUGACAAAGCCCGCACAGAUUUAUUUUUGGAUUCGGGUUUGAGUGGUCCUUAGCUAGAGGAGAGGAUUGUUGGGAUAUCAAUCCAAGUCCCACAUCCAAAGUUUAGACCAAUAUGGUCUAGUAUAUAAGCAAGAUGUCCAAUAGUUUAGUAUGAGACCUUUUGAGAAGGAAUCCAAAAACAAAUUCGUGCGGGCUUUGCCAUUUAGGCCAAAACGGACAAUAUCAUACUAAUAAGGAGUUGGACUGGGCUUGAAAAACCCAAUAUGAAGACUUUCGAUACAAGGCACCAGCACCCCAAUCGCAAGGUUACCUUGAGGGCUCUCCCUCCCACACCGAACACACAGUCCACACCCACUUCUCUAGUCUACCUUUUCCAGAACCUGACUCUGAUACCAAUUGUUAGAUUUUCAAGUCCUUGUCCAACUCUCUAUUAGUAUGAUAUUGUCUGCUUUGAGUCCAAGUAGAAAAGCCCGCACGUAUUUGUUUUUGAAUUCCUUUCCAAAAGGCCUCAUACUAAACUAUUGGAUAUCUUUAUGUACUAGACCAUGUUGGUCUUUACUUCGGAUGUGAGACUUGGAUUGAUAUCCCAACACUUUUUAACAGUUGCGAAAAGGUUAGGAGAAGAGUUUCGUUGGUGCGUACGGUGAUACAAGAUGGGUGCCAAGUUUCGCAGGAGGUUGGGAGGCCACGGGUUUGUGUGAUCCUUGGCUUAAGGGGAGAAUUAUUGGGAUAUCAAUCCAAACCUCAUAUCUGAAAUUUAGAGCAAUAUGGUCUAGAAUAUAAGCAAGAUGUCCAAUAGUUUAGUAUAGGGCAUUGUGGAUAAGAAUCCAAAACAAAUCCAUGCGGGGUUAGCCAUUUAGACUCAAAGCAGAUAAUAUCAUACUAAUAGAAAGUUAGACAUGGGCUUGAAAAGCCCAACAUAUAUUAAUCACAGCUAUUCUAAUGGAAAAUUUUUUUAAUGAAAUUAUCUAUUCAAGUCAUUUAAGCGUAAGGCUUGAUAUUCAGUAAAUGAGUUGAGAAUUAGUUAAUAAUAUUAAUAAAGGUCAUUGAGUGUGGACAUGUUAGUUACUUUCCUGCUACUUGCAUUUGACUUAAGAGUGAAAUUCAUAAGAUUGUACAAACAAAUUGUCUAACACAUGAGACUUGUGAUACCAAGAACAAUACAUGCACACAAUAAGCCAUGGUAGCUCAAUUAUUCGUUUGGAAUGUAAAACAUCACAUACAUGUCUAAUUCAAGUUUUACUUGAUAUAAAAAUUAAACGGAUGAUAUAAAGGAUCUAAGAACACCUCCAUUAGUGAGAUACAUCAAUAUAAUAUUAAUACUGCAUUUAAAAUAUACUUUAACUUUGCAAUUUUAAGUUUUCUAAAAAACAUUCAUGAAAAGAUAUAUGUUACAUUAGUCUCUCAUAUGGUUUACAAAUGAUAAUCCAUUCUCAUUCCCCAUUCUUUCUUUAAUAUGAGAAAUCCAGUGAAAUAUUCUCAAUAGAGAUGUUUUAAAGCCUCUAAUUAAUUAGCAUGAAUAUUUUACUUAUUAAAAAUGUAUAAUUUCAAGCUUGUGACUCAUCAAGGAGAACAUCCAAAACGACUUAAUCAUAAGUACGAGUUGGGAUUAAGCAAGAAUUGGGAACUGGACAGAGAGCAAAAAAUUAGAAAAUACGGAACACAAAUAGUAAUAGUUAAUGGUAAUAGUUAAAGGUAUCAACUUAAUCAUAAGGACGAGGGUGAUCUUUGUCUUACACAUAAUUCUUUUCCCCCUUAUUUCCUCUUAGUUUGGUUGUAAGGAUUAUCUAGAGGGUUGUAGCCUGUAGGAUAUAUGAUCUAGAGAUUGUGAAAGAUCUCUCGAAAAUUCUCAAGAAUUAGUCUACAAAAUAAAUUCCUAAGAAUCCUUCCCCAAUCCAAAGGAUCACGCUAGCAAUCCCCAAACCUCCGCUUUUGUCACUUAUCUUACCCUAGAUGGAUCUUCAAUACAGAUCGUUUUAUCCAUUUGAUCAAUACCAUACAAUUUAGGUGUCUUUGUAUAACAAGGCGUAGUAUAUCCCUUAUUUGGUAUUCACGCAACACAAUGAAACACAUGACUAUAUCUUUGUGUUUUUCCACUCAUUUUCGAAUUCUUUCUCUUUGUGUUAGAUUUAUUUUUGAGAGGCUGUCUCUUUUUUUUGGACAAAAGAAUAGAUACCUACAACUGUUUUAUAACAUAAACAAUAUCUUGCAGUCCGCCGCGUUGAAUGUAUGAAAUAGAGAAAGCUAAAACCUUCCUUACACAUGUUGAAUUCCUCCAUGCGGUAUAAACAUCAUCGUCACCAACUCGAAAUAGUCUGUAACAAAAGAUGUUGUCUUCUGAUAUUCGAUUAUACAGUGCAUGAUCCAAAUGAAUGCUUCUACUUCAACGUGCAAAGGAAAGAUUUUCUUGUAGACUUUUGCUCCCAUUAAUAUCAUUCAAUAUAUUCUUGGAAGCAAUGCCAUCCUAGUCUGGAAAAAUUGUCGGUUUAGUUUUCUUGUAAGAGCAGUCUAUGUAGCAUCAAAUAAUUUAACCAAAUUUCCUUGGGUCAACGAUCUAUUUUUUUAUGGGAAUUAUCUAUAGCAUGAGAUGUCUCCCGACCUAUAUAUGCCUUCUUUCUAUAUCUCCACGAAAUCGGGUUAAGACCUAUUUGAGAGAUUAAUAUUUUUAAGUUUGUUUUUGUGGGGAUAUACACAGAGAAAAUAAUUUAAUGUACGUUAACAUCUGAUGAUGGCUGAUGCUACAGUAAAAAUUCUAUAUAUUAAUAAUGUUGGAACUUUAAAAUUUUAUUAAUUUAGCAAAUUAUUAAUUUAUAAAGAAAUUAAUUUAACCAAAAUUUAAAUUUAAAACCAAAUAAUUAAUUGAGUUUAUUAAUUUAUCAAAUAUUAAUUUAUAGAAUUUCUGUUGUAUAUAUAUGAUAGUUCUCGUGAUUCUUUCUAUCCUUUCUAAGAAAGAGAAGUUAUCAAAUACAUUUAAUGGUGGAUACGUGGAGUCUCGGUCAGGAUUGUUGAUCACCACACGUGAUAGUGAAAUUGUAAUUUGGUAAUAAUAAGGGGAAAUGUUCAGCUAAAAAAAUUAAAUGAAACUCAGACCAUGCAAGUGUUGGAACCUUACUCAAUGAAUUGAUUGCUUGUUUCGAUCCAAAAUUCAAAAAGCAAUAACUAUAGCUGAUGCUGACUAUUGAGAAGAAAGUUCUAAAUUGGCAACUCAAACUAACCACAUGAUAGUAUGAUACAUAAUGACAUUCUUUCAAUUUUAUAGCCUUUUCUAUCAAAUUGAAAAUAUGGAAAACCAAAUUAUAUUUUUAAUAUUUAAAACAAGAUACUAGCUAUUCUAUAACUUUAGUAUACCCAGGUAAAGAAAAUAAGAUUUAGAUUCUAUAUUGAAUAAGAAUCAGUCUAAUUAUGACUCAUAUAGUUAGAUUUCAAUUAAAACUCUUAUUAGUUAUUCAGAAAUUAUGUUUUAUAAUUUGUAAGUAAGAAAAUUUAAAAUUAAUCUAUAUUAAUCAUAAAUAACCCUCUUAAAUAAAUAAGAGGUUAUAAGACAAUAAUUUACAUUUUUCAAUUUGUAGUUUCUAUUUAUUUCUGUAUUUUACUUUUUAUUUUAUUUUAUUAGUUUCUUUUUUUGAACCAAAAAUUAUUUUGUUUUAUAUUUAAUUUUUUAAUAUUUAAAUAUAAAUAACUAAAAUUUAAAAACUUAAAUUAUUAUAUUAACAUAUGUUACAAUCUAAACUAAUAAUGACACAUAUAAUAUCUGUAAAAAGUUAUAAUUAUUCUAUGUGUCAUGCUAACGUAGAUCUUACCAAGUAGGAUUGUAACACUAGAUAGAUUCAACUCUGCAUAAUACGUAAAAAAUAAUAAAAUAUUUAGAUGAUCUGGUCAUCGAUCUAGCAAACCACCACAAGGUGAUCUCAAUGCCCAUAGACGAUCCAACCGAGCCAUCCGAAGCUGAUUGGAGCCUUGUUGAAGCUGUAUCGGUGAAACCAAAUACCAAAUCAACUGAGGGAAGGCAUUUUUACCAACCAACCAACCCCAGUGAAGACUGAUCAAGCAAAAACACUUUUGACUCAAACCAGAACUGAAGAUAACCGAGACAUUCCACCUAAUAGCCAAGGAGCGGUUAUACCAUCACCAUCUUUGACCAAACCGGUGAUUCAUGAUCCAAGAACCAAUAUUCAUCGACCAACCGACCAUAAGGAGUAUUCUGUACGAGAUAUUUCAUGUCUUAACCAAGCUAGAAGUAAAGAUAACCGGAGCCUCACCAACCGGCUUGAUUACAAACCAGAUUUUACCCGAGAAGAGACUUGGGCUGAUUUCUUAGAGAUCAAACUCAAUCACCAAGAACUAAUAUCAAACCUGAUUUGCUCUGUGUUCUUGACCCAUUAAGGAAUCACGGUGAAUUGGAAUCAGUCCAACUUACCCGAUUGGAAAUAUGCACCUUAAUUGAAGCAUUCCGACCAAGCCGGGAGGAAUUAAGCUGCGAAAUGACUUGUUCUGGAAUCUGGGUUCAUCAAGGAAUCCGGGAUAGUUGGAAUCACACCAAGUCCGGUUUUCAUUUGGGAGAUACUCCAUUUCUAAACCGACCGAUGGUUUCCCAGCUUGCCUUAUUUGAAACCCUAUGGGUUUAGGAGACACUAGACGUAUCAGUGGCAUCCAGGAGACUGUGCUAUUUCCAGAAGUUCCCUAAAAUACUCUAGAGUGCACCCGUACGCCUUGGAUCAGGCGGAUCCAUCUGUACCUUCAAUUGAACUAACUAGGGCCGAUUAUAGAAACUACGAAGACCGACCAGUUCAAUUAUGAGCAAACCAAGAUAUCACGACCAGAAGAGAUUCUUAGACAAUUAAGGAGCUUAAAAACACCUUCCCAUGCACCAGAAACCACAGGAUCAGACGGAUCUUCUUGCAAGUCCACUUUCCUUAUGUAGCUGCGUUCACAUUAGGAGCCAUAACUUUCCAACGGCUCUUUGUCUUUAAGUGCUACGAUAUGGACAACUUUUUUGGAGAUAAGAAUGUUCCAGAAAUUCUCACUAAUCCUCUUAAACCUUACGGAUACAAAGGCGUCAUCACAAUUGCCUUAGUUGCCGAGACCCUCCAUUAAGAGCCAACAGCUAGUUUUUGAUAUAUUUUUGAUUUGUUCCUUUACUCUAGAUUUUUAGACCGUUUGUAAUUAAGCUUGUAGGAGCUCUAUACAAGCUCAGCUCAGGUAAUUUUUACAAUUCACCUUUAAAUCCAGAUUAAUACAAAGUAUUCCUUUUUCUUUCAAAGUUGUGUCUUUGCAAAGACUUGUUCUUUUCUUUAGAAUUAAGUGUGAGAUUCACUUAGCUCUAUAGAAGCUGCGAAAUUAGUUUGUUUAUGAGAUUCAAACAAACUAUUUCGUCGACAUAUUGAGAGAGUCAAUCAACCCCCAUCGAUUGAGAGUCAAUCACCCUAUCAUCAUCUUUAUCUCGACUUCAUUCCACCUUCCGCAGAAUAAGUUUGGAAUAUCUUCAUCAUUAAGUGAUCAUAAGUUGGAGUGAUUUCAAUCUUGUAUCAAUUAAUAAUGACACAUGUAAUGAUAUAGAAAGUUAUAAUUAUCCUACGUGUCAUGCUAGCGUAGAUCUUACCAAGUAGGGUUGUAACACUAGAUAGAUUCGGCUCUGCAUAAUAUGCAGAAAAAUAAUAAAAUAUUUAGGUUUUCAAUUUUUAUAAUCUGCAUAAUUAUGACUUGUACAGUUUGAUAUAUACUAUUAUUUGCGAGGUCAAAAAUCUGAUGUGUCAUCAUCACAGUGAUUGUCUUAUGUGUCAUUAAUAAAAAACAAUUAUGUGUUGUUUUAAUUUGUUUUGAUAGGUCAAUCAUUAGUCCUACGUGUACAUAUCCAUGACAUGGUUUUUUUUCUUAAUUAUGGGCCAAAGAUUUUGCUAAUGGGCCACCGAUCUUAAAGUUUGUCCUAGCCACCGAUGUAAAAGUCGGUACUAACCUAAACCCUAGCGUAUCCAUCGUGCUAGAUAUACCCAUUUCGGUUUUCAUAUUUUCUUACAUAUAAUAUCUGUCUACUAAAAAAAAAAUUGUUCACCUCUUUUUUUAAAAAAAAACUAUCAUAGCAUUUAAAAAAAACGUCCACCUCUUUUUUAAAAAAAGGAUCAUAUCAUUUUUUAUAUACUCCAUCUCUUUUUUUUAAACAAUCUCUAUGAUUAUUUAUGCGUAUUUCUAAUGAAAAUAACCUACUAUUUUUUGUAUAAUUGAUAUUUUGAUGGUUCUAUAGUUCAUCUCUCGCCUUACAAUGGAAUCGUCAGGUAAAUAUACAUUUUUGAUUUUAUCUUAGUUCGUGCUUUUAAUGUUUUUUCAGAUUCUAGAAGUUUUUCUUUUGUAAAUCCACGGCGUAAUAGUUAUUUGCUUCAAAACUUUUAUGAAUUUUCUGUAGCGAUUAGCAAUCGUCCCUUUCAUGAUCCUCAGAUUUUCUAUAUCAUCUGCCGCCAUCUCAAAUCGUUUUUCCACGAGAUGAAGAUUCUUCUGCCAGUGUUAACAAUGAUAAAUUUAUCGGUUGGUCGAAGUGUAAUCAGGACUAUCCAGAAUCCAGAUCGUUAUGUAUUCUGAAUUUCUGACACGUUGGAUUUGAGAUUGUUAAAAACAUCAUGGCAUCCCCGUCUCUGCGGAAUCUCCACACCGAGUAUUAUAUCCAAUUGUAACCCCAACACUGGUACUGCUUAAGGGUUUUAUUGCAUGUCGUUUGCAGUCCAUGUUCUUAUAUUGAUAUAAGAACAAAUAAAUGGUGUUGUCCACCCUACUUUCAAAGAUGCAUGUUAUGUUUUAGGUUAAAUUCACGAUGAUACUGAGAAUGUUUAAGCUUUCUAUAAGGCAAGUCAAUGAGGUUCCCGCUUCUCUCUCUUCAAAUGAGGUUCACUACUUUGUUACAUCCAGGUUCUAUGAUGAAUCACUUUUGUGUAUGGAGAUCCAUUCAAUGUUUUUUAGUAUAAGUUUUGUCAAUUUUUUGCAUUGUCUUUGAUUUUCUUUUCUUUCAUUAUAUUAUUUUAACAAUUUCUUAGAUUUUUUAUUCUGUUCUGCCCGGUUUCGGUUGAGAGGUUUACUAUUUGAGAUUUUUGUUGGACGUUGUUAGGUAUUUUUAUUGGACGUUGUUAGGUAUUUUUAUUGGAAGUUGUUAGUCUUGGUGCUCAUGCUUUAUAUAUAGAUGAUAUCCAGUAGCUAAAGAUUUGUGUACUUAGUGGUUCGUUUGUUCGGUUGGUAAUUUUUUGUUUGGGUUUUUGAAUUUGGUUUUGUAUUAUUUUUUCAGUCGGUUAGAUUGAUAUUUGGUGCGUGUUGGUUAUAUAUUUUGUGGUUUAAUGAUUACACUAUUAUAUAUAUAUAUACAUAUAUAUAUAGUUGUAGUGUGGUUUUUAGACAAAAUUCUCUUUUUUCAAUUUUUGCGAUAGUUUAUUUUUCAAGAAUGUCACAUAUUUAUUCAUUGAGCUUUUGUGGUGUUUAUGAUUUCUAAUAUGUCUACGGUUUUGUCAGAUAUGAUUGUAAUUAUUUACCUAAGCUCUUAAAAUUAUUAUUUAUUAUAUAAUCUAUACAUAUAUUGUGAUCAAAGUAAAGAAUGUAUAUCCUAGGGUUAUUUAACUAUGAUCUGAAAUUUAGUAUUUAUUAUAUAUAAUCUAAUAAGGAGAUGAAGACGACCAAUGAAGUCGGAAGGUGAAGAUGAUAAAAAUAUAGAAGACAAAGUAAAAUAAAAAAAUGAAAAAAAAGAAGUAGAAGAAGAGGAGAAAAAAAGAUAAAUCAAAAUAUAAAGAAGAAGCUGUAGUUGAUGAUAAAAACUAAAGAAAAAUAUGAACAUAAAUUUGAAUAAAACCAUAGAGAAAAAGAAGAAGAUGAGAACACAGAAUAGUGAAGAAGAAUAUUGAUAAGAAAAAAGAAAUUUGGCUUUGAAUAAGAAAACCAGAAGAAAUAAAUGAAAGAUGUAGAAACAAAGUAAAGACGAGGAAAUGGGAAAAUGAGUAGGUGUAGAUGAAAAAAAAAAGAUGAAAACACUAGAAGAAGAUAAAUUUGACAAAGACCAAAGAGGAAUAAGAAGUAAAGAAUAAAGAAGGCUAAUAAAAAUCAAAAAAGAAAGAAGAACAAGAAGAAAAAGAAGAAAAAGAAGAGCUGAGAAAUAUAACGAUGAUGAAGAAGAAGUCAAAACGAUGAUGAAGAUGAAAGAAAAUUAUGAAAAAUAAGAAAAUCGAAAGAUAUAUAAGACGAAGAAGAAAGUACAAGUCAAAGAUGAUGAAUAAGAAGGAAAAUAUGAAGAAGAAGAAGACUUUGGGACAGAAAAAAAAAACAAUGUCUUUAAAUUAUAUAUUAGAGAAUGAAGAAGAAAGACAUAUAAAAACCAAAAAAAUAAAAGAAUAAGGAAAAUACAAAGAAAAAAAAAACCAAAAGAUAAAAAGUAGAAAAAAGAGUAGAACAAAAUAGAAGAGCAAGAAGAAGGAGACAAGUCUGAAGUGGGAAUUGAAAUAGAAGUUGAAGACGAUGAAGAAGAGGAAAGAAAACAUAAGAAAUAAGAAAAUUGAAGUCAAUGAUAAAGAAGAAGUAAAAGACGAAGAAGAAGACUGAAAAAAAGAAAAAUAAAAAUCAUAAUAAGAAAAAUUAUGACAAGACGAAAUGUUGACAACUAAAAAUGGGAAGAGGAUGACGAAUUUAGAGAGAGAGAGAGAGAGAGAGAGAGAGAGAGAGAGAGAGAGAGAGAGAGAAAUUGUGGUAAUGCUUUCAGGGACAUGUAGAUGGAGAGAGAGAGACAGUGAGUGAGAGAAAUAGAGAGAGAGAGAGAGUAAGAGAAAUGAGAAAGAGAGAGUUAAACAUUUCAAGUACAUGACAUUAAAUCUAUGUUAGUUCGUCUUUUCUGUGUUUCUAUUUUUUUUUAUAUCUGAGACACUUCUUACUUUAAAUGUAGUUGUCUAAAUCGUAGAUAUAUACAACUUAAGACGAGGGAAGAAGAGAGAGAGAGUGAGAGAGAAAUACUGAAACAGAGGGAGGGUAAGAGAGAGAAUGAUAGGGAGGGACGCAUGGAGGGGGAGAGAAAGUUAAAGUUUUCAGGUAUAUGUAUUUGAUUAAUAUAAAAGACGAAGAAAAACAAGAAGAAUAUGAAGUCAGAGAGAUCAAAGAAGACGAAGGUGAUGAUGAAGAAGAAGAAUUCGAAGUAGAAGAGGAAGAAGUUGCGAAUAAGAUGUGGAAAACAUGAAGAAGAAGAAGACGUGAUUAAAAAAAAAAAACUAAAGAAUAAGAAGUAAGAAAAGACAUAUAGAAUGAAGAAGAAAUAAAAGAAAAUGAAAAGAAAGUAAGAAUAUGCGAGAGUAGAAUGAGAGAUAAAGGUGGAAAACUAUGAAUAAAGAUAAGGAAAAGACAAUAAAGAAGAAAAAUCAAAAGAUAAAUAAGAGGAAAAAAAUGAUGAAAAGCGAUUAUGUGGAGUGAUAACUAUGAGUUUUCAAGACUCUUUGUAGAGGUUAUCAAUCCCUUGUCUUGUAGUACAAGGGGUUUAUCAAUCCAAGAAUGUGGUGAUAGACACUAAGCUAUGUAAUCAGGUUCUUAAUUCAAGCAAACAAGAGUGGUUUGGUUAACUAGAGACAACUACAAACUUAAACAGGAUUAAAGACUAAUGAAAUGAUUAAACAAGAACUAAACAAUGAGAAAUGAUGAGAAUGUAUGAAUGAUGAUGAGAAAAGUCUUAGACAUGAUAGUGGAUUAGGGUGCCUUCAGUGAUAAACUAAUGAGCUAAUGAAUCAUAUGAUCAAGCAAACCAUUCAACAUAAACAUCUUUAAUUAAGUUAAUCCUCUCAUGAAGGUAUUAACUCCUAUGCUAAAACAGUUUCUAACCCAAUCAUCAUCAGUGAAACAUGAGUUAACAAGCAUUAAGAAUCAGUUUAAUCUGUCAUUUAAGCAUAUAGACAAUCAUUCCCAUGAUGAAUAACACUUAAACCUAUAACAACCUUGGUUCAAACAUUUCAUCAAACACUUUUGAUGCAUGAAAUGCCCAGAAUCUAGACCACAUAUGAUUUGUAUGGAUCUAGCAUAGAGAACAAGUUGUAGAGAAUGGAAUAUGCAUGAUCUAACCCCUAAGCUCACUAAUCUACCACUUAAACACCCUAAUCUACAUAUCUAAGACCUUAAUAUGGAGAUUACUCACUAAUCAUGAUCAACACACUAGAUCCUUUGCAAGAUGUGUUGUUAAUCAUGAUUAGAAGUGUAUAGAUGGAGAGAUAGAUGAUAGAUUUUAGAAGAAAGCAGCUUUAAACACAAAGAUCUCUUAAACUCUCUUGAUUAAACACUCAAUAAUCAAUAUUUCUCUUCUUAAUGGAGUCUUUUCACAAAAGAGGCAAGAGACAAAAGGAAUAAAGCUUAGUCUUCUAAAAACCCUACAAAGUAUUUAUAUCUCUCUAAAAAACGAACCGGGUCAGCCCGGAACAAACCGGAUCCUGACCCGGCUUUAAUGGAUAAAGUGGAAAUUCUGCGGGUUGGUCCAGUGUCUCCCAGGUAGCAUGCCCAAGUCGCAGUAGAUGAAGAACUUGUCUUGUGAGACUUAAAUCGCCUUGUCUUAGUCGCACGCCCAAGUAGGAGUGUUUUGCGAGUCUUGCUGCGGCUUAAUCUUCUUCUUCUUCAACUCGCAGGACCAAGGCGGUUUCUGGGGAAUGUACAAACCGUGCGGGUUGGUCUCCAUUACACUCAGGUCGCAGGCUCAAGUCGGAGUAGAUUGAGAGUGAUCGUGCGGCUUGGUUCCAGGCGCGGCCAACUCGCAUGCCUAAGUCGCACGAUUGUGGACUUAGCAAUUUUCUUGCUCGGGAGCCUCAGACCUCAUCCAUUGAUAGCUUACCCGCACUUCUCAACUCGCAGCAUCAAUUUCCAGGCAUUCGUCUUCAGGCCUGCGAGUUAACCAAGUCGCAAGGCUUUCUCGCAGCAUUCAGAGCAGCUUGGACCACUUCGCAUUCCGGAGAGUUUAACUUCUAAGAUACUUGUCCGAAUUGAGUGAUUCCGGUUGAAGAGGACAGAGGACUCAUAUAUCUCCAACUUUGGUGAAGGAAGCUUCGGUGCUUGGGAAGUGGAAGGCUUCCUGGAGAGCUCAUCUUUGCAGUGCAUUUACACGAUCAGAGAGAGGCGUCUAGACAUGUGUCAAUUCCGGAGACCGUAUCUUCCUGCUCAUAGCUCCGAAUUGAAUGAUCUUGGACGUUAUGGAUAGAGGACUCAAAUGUCUCUGAUUCGCAUGAAGGCUCAGGAAACUGAAUCGGCCUGAAAGUGCACUGUCCGUCGCAUUCUUCAGAGCUCAUCGGCUUGGUCCAGAACAGCAGCGAGACAGGGGUUCCUUCCGACGAGCUUAACUUUCUGCUCACGCGUCCGAAUUCCAUGAUUUCACUUGCUAUGGAACCAUGAUCCAAUCGUCUCCAACUUCGAUGAAGCACCCGACAACUGAAUCGGACCGGAAGGUUCCCCGGACAGGCGAUUUCGGAAACGUGUCUGCACCCGGAGAUUUUGGCCGAAAGAUUCAAUAGCCGGUACGCGUUUUGGCCGAUAAAGUCUACCCGCGGUACGCGUUUUGGCCGAGAAAAACCUUUCUGGUGCGCGAGAAUGGCCGAUAACCUCCAAAGACCCAAUUUCACCAUUUUUCAAGCCUUGAUCAUCAUUCCACCUCCUGGAUUCAUCUUUUCAGCUCCAAAUACACCUGAUAAGCACUCAAAACAUGCAAAGACUCAUUGGGACCUAAUGCAUCUCCUAAGUUCUAAAACAAACCCUAAGGACCUAAAAUGCAUGGAAUAAAACAUGAUUUGAAAUGAAUUAUGCAACCUAAAUGAUGCAAAUUAUGAACAUAUCAACUCCCCACACUUGUCCUUUGCUUGUCCUCAAGCAAACAAGAACAAAUGAGAGAGAGAGGUUGAAUGCAUGGGAGUUCACAUUUUCUUUUUGAGAGAAGUGAUCACAAUGAGAAUUCAAAUUCAUGCUCAAUUAUGCAAUGCAAAGCCAUACUCAGAUAUAUAUCAACUCAGCAAGGAAUUUCCACAAGUUCUUCUCUCUCUCAACUCUUACAUUCAUUAAGCUUUUAUCAGGUGAAUCUCAUGAUGCAAUGUUUAAACAAGCUGGCUUGGCUAGGGAGAGGCUAUGAGAUUAAAAUGAUCUCAUUAGUGUUCAAGUGGGUUUAAUGCAGCAAAGGGAUCUCUCUAUGAAUGAUCAAACUUUGGCAGAAUACUAAAGGUAAAAAGCAACCUAUGCAUACAAGGGCAAAGACUCAUCACACCCCACCCUCUACUCAAAGCUUUCUCACUUGCUCACUCUCUCAAGGACCUCACUUUUCACACUUAUUUUCCUCUCACUAGGGGACUUACUUUUCACUUUCACUCUCAAGUCUUGGAGUUCAAACUUUACACAGCUCUUUUUCUUUUGCAACCUCUAGCCUCCUUUUCUUCUUUCUUUUCAAAACAUUUGAGCUCUUUGGCUUCUUUUCUUUUCCUUUUACUUAGAGGCUAGACUCUUUCUUUUCAACACACCAGAGCUCACUUUCUUUAACUCAAAACUCCAAGACUGAUUUCUUUUUCUUUCAUUCCCCUAGCUAUUUCCACUUCCUCUUUUCCACUCAUCUCACCUUUUUCCACUCACCAACAAGUCUUUUCCCCCACACUUAUUCCUCGCCAAAACUCUCAGUUCCUUGAUGUUGGAACACAGCACUCAAUGAGACCUGCCCUUGUCGCUCUAAACCUAACACUUUCUGCUAAGUUUGAUCCAAGGUGGCCUUUCAAUUCACACACAAACAUUGGCUUGAAAGAAAGAUGGGUUCAAGGUGAGGGAACUGAUCCAUGAUGCGGAUUCAGCUACUUGAGCUAAGCAAAAAAGGGGGGGGGGUAAAAACAAUGGUUCUAGCUCAAGUAUGUAUAUCGGUAUCCACAAGCUUUUUCAAACAAUGCAUCACAAGAUAUUUUCAAGUCAAGUUCAAGGUUCCCACUUAAUUAGAGUUGAGUUCAAUUCAAACUUGCUUCUCAGAUUCAGAUCAUUUCAGACUUUGCAAGCACAGAAAAAGAUUCACAAGCAUAUUCAGUUCAAGUUCUCAAAGUGAUGUACUCUCUAGAAAAUCUAUCAUUACUCCCUGCAAGAUGCAACCUACAUGAACAUGCAAUCUAGACUCAAUCCUAAAAAUGAGAAUGCAACUACAUGAUCAUUUUUUUUGUGAAAAUUUUUCAGAUUUUUCAUUUUUUUUGGGUUUUUAUAUGCACUUAGAUGAGACUACAUGAAUAUGCAACUAGAAUGUGACUCAAGACUCAAAGUAUAAAAUAAGAACAGAGAAAACAUGGUUAGUAAAAGAUGAAACUCCUCCCCCACACUUAAAUAACACAGUCCCUUGUGUUAUAAAAGCAUGAGAAAGGAGUGAAAGCAAAGCAAACAAGUAAAAAUGCAAAGAAAAAGAAAAUCUACAUGCAUAUUUACAAGGUUUAGAGUGUUACCUAAGAGCUGUUGAAGUCAGACCCCAAUGAGUAAGAGGGGUUUGAAGUGUGACCGGAUGGUGUCUCCCAAGAAUGAUGGCUUGCUUCAUCAGACCCGUCGUCGAGAUCCACCCAAGUUGUGCCAUAUGUGACCAGGGCUAUGCAGUUCAUGGAACUCUCUCCAACUUCCUCUCUGUUCCUUGGUGAAACUGGUGCUGGAGACCCACCUUUGCAAGGGUUUUCAAGCUUAUUAAUCCUCUUCUUCAUCUCCUUGAUGCACUUGGCCAUCUUGUGGAUGGUUUUGUCUUGGUACUUGCACCAUUGUUGGAGAAUACCAAUCUUUUGUUGAGCUAUGAACCCUGAAGUGCCUGGUUCCUCCCAGUUGUAAUCAUCAAAAUGGUAUCUAUUUCCAACAAAACGUUUUUGAGGUGGAGGCAGAUCAGCAUCUUGAGCACCAGUAGCACUUGUGGUAGCAUCUUCAGCGGUUGCUCUCUUUCCCUUGGAGGCUUCUUCUCUGCAAGCUUGCUUGUAUGUGAGGAUUGGUGGAUCAGUUUGGACAUUGUACAGCUCUUCCUUCAGCAAGAAGAAGUGAAUGUUCCUCUUAACUUGGACUGUGGUGAUGGAGGGAUUGGGCAGGAGAGUUUGUGCUGGCUCACUGAUGAGAGUCUUGAAGUUGUAUACUACCUUGGUACCCACUCUUCCUUGGAGGAAGCCAAUCUUACACAAAUGUGCUUCAUUAAUUAGAUCAAACUUUGCCUUGUUCUCCUUGAAUCUGUACCCCUUGGCUUUCAAAAUCUUUGUUACCACCCAUCCAUGGGCCAGCUUUGCAUCUUGCUUUGUAGAACCCCAAAUGCACUUUUUUUAGAACAUCAAAGACCUUGCUAAUUGAGAGGCAAGGCAAAGUGGGUAUUCAUACUGUUCAUAGGGUUCCCCAUCUUCAUGAGUUGGCAUCAGCUGUUUCAGCCCCACACCAAGAAGCAUCAGAUCGCCUUUGUGAACUCUUCCAUCAUCGAUUUUGAAGUAGAAGCUGUGAGAGAGAAUCUUGUGAACAUAUCUCAGCACUGGAUUCCUUAUCCAAGAGGACUUAGCUGUUCCAGCUAUGUACUUCCCAGAAGCAAUUGAUCUCCAUAGAAGUUGGACCUCAUCUUUUCUGAGAUUGACCUGGUUGGAGAGAAGUUCAUUUCUAGGUGUUAACAACCCAAAAAUCUCAUUCAAUUCUCUGAAUGACACUGAAUAAUCCUUCCCUUUCAUAGUAAACUCCAAAUGUCCAAGCCCAUCUCCUUGAAUAAUUCUUGAAUCCCUUGGGUAGUAAAUGAAAGCUUCAAAAGAAGCCAAGAACUCCUGAGAUUCCUCUUCAUAAGCGAUCUCUCUCAUCUCCAAAAGUGACUCAACACCCAUGUUCCCAAGCAAGGUUUUGACAUCUUCAUAGAUGCCAAUAUUCUUCAAAAAGUCCACAUCAGGGAACCUCCCUUGCUGGAUCUCUAUCUGUUGAAACUUCGCCAGAUAAUCAAGUGUUUCUGGUUCAGUUUUCUUGAACCUUUUUGAUCCCUCUUCAAUGGUGCCUUGUGAACCACCAGCUGAGCUGCUUGAGUCACUUUCAGUCUGUUCACUCUCAGAUACGACAGCCAACUGUUUCCCCUUCUUCUUGGAACCAGAAGCAACCACCAAAGAUUUUCCUUCAUGCCUUGUCCUUUUUGGCGCUGGAUCACACUUCCCUUGCUUUGUGGUAUUCUUUGCUCCUUGACCUUUUUCUCUUGGCUGUGAAGACCCUGAGACCAAACCUUUGCCCUUUGAUGCAGUGCUCUUCUUCUUGGCCAGAGAGUUGGUUCUUUCAGUCAUCUGCCAAGACAUUCUCAAAAACAAUGUUAGUACAAGAACAAGCUUCACAAAAUUCUCCAAAAUUUUGAAAAAAAAAAAUUGUUGCAAGAAUCGAUUUUAAAACCACAUGAACAGGUUUCUCAAGCCAAGCAUCAAUCCAAUAAGUUCAUAGCAAUGCAAAAACAAGAGUGCAAAGCAAGGACUCAGCAAUGAAAAUAGAUCUUUUUAAAAAAAAAAAAAAAAUCGAUUUUUCUCAUGAAUUUCUUACAACAAUUUUCAAAACUCAAGAACAAGGAAUCACCAACAGCUGUUUUCUAAGACUAUCUAGCACCCUAGCAUUUAUAAAAAUAAUCCCAAGGUCUAAAACAAUCUAUCAAAAUCGAUUCCACACCUUGAAGUUCAAAAAUCACCAUUGAAGAACAUGGAAAAAGGUGAAUUUUAACUGAAUGAAAUACCUUGGGAUUAAGAUGCAACGAGCUCGAAAUGCAAUCAAGAUGAUGUUAAAAACUCAAAAACGAGUUCAGAGCACUUUGAAUCAACAAAUUUGGUGGAGAAAUGAGAGAGAUAUGAUGAAAACAAUGGAGAGAAAUGAGAGAAAGAGUUGCAAACUCGGGUUUUUGGUGAGGAAGAGAGAGUGUGGGACAGGUUAAAGACUUUGGACUGGUGGUCAAUAGAUCUAUUUUGACCAGUCAAGGCUUUGACCUGUCCUUUUCUCGUUGACCAGCCUCCUUUCUCUCCUUUGUGCGACCGGGAACCGUCGGGAUCGGGCCGCAUGACGGUCUCGGUGUAGAACCGGAAAUGUUUUUGUGCUACCUGGGAUCUUCUGUGCCUCCCCCGCAUGACCAAGUCGCAGUAAAAGUCCUUCAGCUCGGUUUUAUCUUUCCUCAUUGCUGCUGCCUGGAACCCUUGCUUUCCAGCUAGCACGCCCAACUCGGAGUAAUUUGCGAACAUGUGUGCGGGUUAGACUCCUUUGUUCCCAGGUAGCAUGACUAUCUCGCAGGGUUUGGGACUUAAAAACCUCGGGGUUCCUCUUCUGGUGCGGCCUGGCCUCCAUACUUCCCAGGUAGCACGCCCAACUCGGAGUAAUUUGCGAGUCUUCAUGCGGGUUAGCUUCUUUGUUCCCAGGUAGCAUGACUAGGUCACAGGUUUUUGGACUUAAACAAUUUGGCCUUUCUUUUCCUGCUGCGACCUGGUCUUCAUGCUUCCCAGCUAGCACGCCCAACUUGGAGUAAAAUGCGAUCAUACGUGCGGCCUAGCUUCUUUGUUCCCAGGUAGCAUGACUAGGUCGCAGGUAUUUGGACUUAAGAUGUCUCGGCCAUUCCUCUUUUGCUGCGACCUAGUCUCCUUGCUCCCAGCCAGCACGCCCACCUCGCACACCUUCACACUUAGGCGUUUGGCUCUUCUUGAUUUCGUGCAGCCUGGUCUCUAUGAUUCCCAGCUAGCACGCCCAACCCGGAGUGAUUUGCGAAUGGAUGUGCGGUUUAACUUCUCUUGUUUCCAGGCCGCAGCAACUACUCGCAGGUUUUUGCACUUAAACACCUCGGCCAUCCUUCUUUUGCUGCAACUUGGUCUUCAUUCUUCCCAGGUAGCACACCCAAUUCGGAGUAAAUUGCGAUCAUGUGUGCUACCUAACUCCUUUGUUCCCAGGCCACAGCUCCUACAUCGCAGAUCUUUGGACUAAAGAUACCUUGGACCUUUUCUUUUUGGUGCGGCCUGGUUUCUCUUUUCCCAGCCAGCACGCCUAACCCGGAGUGAUUUGCGAAUGGAUGUGCGGCCUAGCUUCCUCUCUUCUUACCCGCAGCACCAGCUAGCACAACCUCGGACUUAGACGUUUUGGACUUCUUCUUUUUGGUGCGGCCUGGUUUCUCUUUUCCCAGGUAGCACGCCCAGGCCGGAGUAAAUUGCGAGUCCUGCUGCGACCUGGGCUCUUCUUGCACCAAGCCGCACACCUAGGUAGCACUGAGGCGUUCUCCAAGUUUUUCAGGCCCUAAAUACUUCUCUCAGCCCUCUCACAUGCUCCAUUCCAUUCAUCACUGAGCUAUGUUCUCCAAAAAUCACCUAGAACCUGAGACCAACUCACAAAACCCAUCAAAAAGUUCUAAAACAUAAAAGAAAAGAGAAGAAAUCAAAAGAACUAUGUACAAAGAUAAGCUUGGGGUGUCUCCCAAGAGCACUUUGUUUAAAGUCUCUAAGUUUGACUAUGGAAACCUGUUUAGCAGGCUGGAGGUGGGUCAAGAAGGGGAACUGAUGUAGCUUCCUCCUUCCCUUGUGAAACUAAGUAAUGCUUGAUUCUUUGUCCGUUUACCACAAAUUCUUGACCAUUCUUCCCUUCUAAGACAAUAGCACCAUAUGGUCUCACUUCAAGAACUUUAAAAGGUCCAGACCAUCUAGACUUAAGUUUUCCUAGAAACAACUUAAGUCUAGAGUUGAACAGCAACACCAAAUCACCAUCCUUGAACUCCCUUUUCAGAAUCUUUUGGUCAUGCAGAACCUUGGUCUUCUCCUUAUAGAUCUUUGAGCUCUCAAAAGCCCCAAGCCUUAUCUCUUCAAGUUCAUGGAGUUGAAUGACCCUUUUCUCUUGAGCUGUCUUGAUAUCAAAGAUCAGCAACUUCACAGCCCACAAAGCCUUGUACUCUAACUCAACAGGAAGGUGGCAGCUCUUCCCAUAUAGCAGAUUGAAAGGUGAUGUCCCAAUAGGAGUUUUAAAGGCAGUCCUAUAAGCCCACAAUGCAUCAUCUAGCCUUUUGCUCCAAUCUUUUCUGCUUGAGCUCACAGUCCUCUCAAGAAUGGCCUUGAUCUGUCUAUUAGAUACUUCAACCUGGCCACUAGUUUGAGGAUGAUAAGGAGUAGCUACCUUGUGUUUCACUCCAUGCUUUCUCAGUAAACCCUCCAAAGUCUUGUUCACAAAAUGAGAUCCUCCAUCAGAGAUAACAACCCUUGGAACUCCAAAUCUUGGGAAGAUAAUGCUCUUGAACAGCUUCACUACAACCUUGGAAUCAUUGGUAGGGGAAGCAAUGGCCUCAACCCAUUUGGACACAUAGUCCACAUCAACAAGUAUAUACUGAUUCCCAUAGGAUGAAAUGAAAGGCCCCAUAAAGUCAAUCCCCCAGCAAUCAAAGAUCUCAACUUCUAGAAUUGGGUUUUAAGGCAUCUCACUCCUCUUUGAUAUGCUCCCAUGCCUCUGACAAGCAUCACAUGCUGAACCACUAACUGAGCAUCUUUGAACAUUGUGGGCCACCAAAACCCACUCUGAAGAACCUUUGCCACAGUCUUGAAUGCUCCCAUGUGACCCCCAAAAGCUGAACUAUGACACUCUUGCAACACAGGCUGCAUCUCCUCCUCAGCAAGACACCUUCUAUACAGCUGAUCUUUGUUCAGGACAUAGAGGUAGGGCUCAUCCCAAUGGUAUCUUUGAACUUCUCUGAAGAAUUUCUUCCUGUGGUAAGCAUCUAAUUCAGGUGGUUCCACUCCACAAGCAAGAUAGUUCACAAUGUCUGCAAACCAAGGCAUCCUCCUCUCUUGAAUGCUGUCCACUUCUUCAAACUCCAAAUAAGAAUGGAGCACCAUCAGUGAUUCCUCAGGAAGACUGUCAUUAAGAGGCAAUUCAGAGUCUAUUCUCAACCUAGAGAGAUGGUCUGCAGCUCCAUUCUCUAUACCCUUUUUGUCAUGUACUUCCAUAUCAAAAUCCUGAAGUAGAAGAACCCAUCUCAAUAGUCUUGGCUUAGCAUCUUUCUUGGUCAUCAGAUACCUGAGGGCUGCAUGAUCAGUAUAUACAAUUACUUUUGAUCCCACCAGGUAACUUCUGAAUUUAUCGAAGGCAAAGACUAUUGCCAACAUUUCCUUCUCAGUAGUAGCAUACUUCUCUUGUGCAGGGCCAAGUGUUCUACUAGCAUAGUAAAUGACAUGAAGCUUCUUAUCUUUCUUCUGGCCAAAUACAGCUCCAACUGCAAAAUCAGAUGCAUCAGUCAUAACCUCAAAAGGUAGGGACCAGUCUGGGGCUUGGACAAUUGGUGCACUGACUAAUGCAUCCUUGAUCAUCUUGAAGGCCUCUUCACAUUCAGCAUCAAAGAUGAAAUCCACUUCUUUACAAAACAGCCUUGUCAAGGGCCUGGCAAUUCUUGAGAAGUCUUUGAUAAAUCUUCUGUAAAACCCUGCAUGCCCAAGGAAACUCCUUAUCCCUUUAACUGAAGUGGGAGUUUGCAGAUUCACCAUCACUUCCACCUUUGCUCUGUCAACCUCAAUACCCUUCUCAGAUAUCUUGUGCCCAAGAACUAUUCCUUCCCGCACCAUGAAGUAGUAUUUCUCCCAGUUUAACACCAAGUUAUCCUGCUCAAAUCUCUCCAAGACCUGUUACAAAUUAGAGAGAAAAUCCGAGAAGGAGGAGCCAUAGACACUAAAGUCAUCCAUGCACACCUCCACCUUCUCUUCAAUAAUGUCAGAGAAUAUAUGCAUCAUGCAACGUUGAAAUGUGGCAGGGGCAUUACAGAGACCAAAAGGCAUUCGCCUGUAUGCAAAGGUGCCAUAAGGGCAUGUGAAUGUUGUUUUCUCUUGAUCUCGGGGAUCUAUGGGAAUUUGGAAGAACCCCGAGUACCCAUCGAGAAAACAAAAGAAGGGGUGUUUUGCAACGCCUCUCUAACAUCUGAUCAAUGAAAUGUAAGAAACUAUCCUUCCUNNNNNNNNNNNNNNNNNNNNNNNNNNNNNNNNNNNNNNNNNNNNNNNNNNNNNNNNNNNNNNNNNNNNNNNNNNNNNNNNNNNNNNNNNNNNNNNNNNNNNNNNNNNNNNNNNNNNNNNNNNNNNNNNNNNNNNNNNNNNNNNNNNNNNNNNNNNNNNNNNNNNNNNNNNNNNNNNNNNNNNNNNNNNNNNNNNNNNNNNNNNNNNNNNNNNNNUCGUAGUAGUUAAGUGUAUCCUAUGGCUCUCCUGAACUUUCUUAUCUCACUAAGCAAUGCACUCUCUUGAUCCUCUAAUAGGCUAUCAUUGAUGAUUACUGGAUAUGUUGAGUUUAAGCCCAAGAAGGCAUACAUGAGCCCUGUUGGUAGAGGCUUGAGCUCAACAGGGGGUGCAUCAGCCUCAUUCCAAUCCUGGUCCAAGCUGCUUUGGCUGGUGUCUGAUCCUUUGAUAGCAAAAACCUCAGAGCCACUUUGUUCCAGCUCCAAAAACCUUGUCUCAGGACCCAGCUCUCUAGCAUUGUCCAAAUACAACUUGUACCCUUCACUUGCUUCAGCUAAGAGCCCAUUGUCUCCUUGUUCUUGAGUUAGAGCAGCUUGAAGAGGAUCCUCAGUGUUCAGCUCCUCUAGCAACUCAUCAGCCAACUGAUCCAUUGUCUCCACAUAGAAACAUUGACCUUCAAUGGUGGGUUUCUUCAUCAUCUCAUUCACGUCAAACUUGAGCUUUUCAGACCCAAGUUGAAGCUCUAUUAUCCCACCUCUCACAUCAAUUUUGGCUCCUGCAGUUGCUAAGAAUGGCCUGCCCAAGAUAAGAGGAUCUACUGGUUCUUCAUCCAUCUCCAGCACAACAAAAUCAGUUGGAACCUCAAAACCACCUAUCUUGACAGGUAGAUCUUCCAACAUACCAACAGGCAAUCUAACUGAUCUAUCUGCAAGGAUAAGAGAAAUCCUUGCAGGCUUGAAGACUCUAAAGCCCAGCUUCUUUGCUAUGGAGAAUGGCAUCAAGCUGACUGAUGCUCCUAGAUCACAAAGACAUCCAGAGAAUAGAAGAGGUCCAAUGGCACAAGGGAGUGUGAAACUCCCUGGAUCAGUUAACUUUCUUGGUAUGGACUUCUUCUGAAUGAUAGCACUGCAUUCAUGACUUAGUACCACCAUGCCUUGAAGUUUUUUUGUCUUGUUCAGAAUGGCAUCCUUCAGGAACUUGCCCAUCUAUGGCAUCAUUAAGAAUGCAUCAAUAAGAGGCAUAGUGAGUGGUGUCUCAUUGAGUGCCUUCUCAAAUACAGCUUUUGCCUUGUCCACAAGCUGCUUCUUAAAUCUCCCUGGAAAUGGGAGCUUGGGUUGGUAUGGAGGUGGUGGCACAUAUACCUUUUCUGGUUCAGGUUCCUUUGCUACCUUUUUACUCUUUUGGACAGGUUUCUCAGCAACCUGAUCAUCUUUUAAGGCUGCCUCCCCCUCAGUUUGAUCAUUGUCCUCAAUGAUCACAUUGUUGUUCUCAAUACCAGGUAACUCCUUUCCACUCCUCAGUGUAAUGGCCUUAGCAUAUUCCUUGGGGUUGGGUUCUCCGGUCUGAUUCAGUUGUCGGGUGCUUCAUCGCAGUUGGAGAAGAUUGGAUCACGGUUCCAUAGCAAGUUGAAUCAUGGAAUUCCGACGCAUGAGCAGAAAGUUAAGCUCGUCGGAAGGAACCCCUGUCUCGCUGCUGUUCUGGACCAAGCCGAUGAGCUCUGAAGAAUGCGAAGUACGGUGCACUUUCAGGCCGAUUCAGUUUCCGGGGCCUUCAUGAGAAUCAGAGACAUUUGAGUCCGCUUUCCAGAACGUCCAAGAUCAUUCAAUUCGGAGCUAUGAGCAGGAAGAUACGGUCUCCGGAAUGGACACAUGUCUAGACGCCUCUCUCUGAUCGUGUAAAUGCACUGCAAAGAUGAGCCCUCCAGGAAGCCUUCCACUUCCCAAGCACCAAAGCUUCCUUCACCAAAGUUGGAGAUAUAUGAGUCCUCUGUCCUCUGCCCUCUGCUACCGGAAUCACUCAAUUCAGACAAGUAUCUUAGAAGUUACACUCUCCGGAAUGCGAAGUGGUCCAAGCUGCUCUGAAUGCUGCGAGAAAGCCUUGCGACUUGGUUAACUCGCAGGCCUGAAGACGAAUGCCUGGAAAUUGAUGCUCCAAGUUGAGAAGAGCGGGUAAGCUAUCAAUGGAUGAGGUCUGAGGCUCCCGAGAAAGAAAAUUGCUAAGUCCACAAUCGUGCGACUUAGGCAUGCUAGUUGGCCGCGCCUGGAACCAAGCCGCACGAUCACUCGCAAUCUACUCCGACUUGAGCCUGCGACCUGAGUGUAGUGGAGACCAACCCGCACGGUUUGUACAUUCCCCAGAAACCGCCUUGGUCCUGCGAGUUGAAGAAGAAGAAGAUUAAGCCGCAGCAAGACUCGCAAAUGGUGGUUGAAACUGUUGUUGAACAGGCGCUUGCUGUUGGAACUGUGGAGGACCAAACCCUGGUGGUGCCUUUUGCUGCUGUGUACUGAAACUAGGACCUUGAAAAGGUUGUUGUUGCUGACCAAAACCUUGAUUCUGAGCAAACUGAUUCUUUGGUUGAAAAGAUCCUUGAAAGUUGUUCUUGGGAACAAAGUUCUGUGGAGCUUGAGAAUUGGGAUACACCUGGUCUUGUGGGUUAGCUACAUUGGUGUUCCUGUAAGAAAGGUUUGGAUUGGCAUUACCAUACUGAUAUCUCUGGAACCUCUGAUUCCCAAUGUAGUUUAGCUCCUCCUGGGUAAGACCUUCUUCACUUAUGUUCUCAAAGAUUUGAGAAGGUUCCUCAUACUCUCCAACAAAAUGCAUUGGCUUCUGAGUGGUGGAAAGGGUGGGGUUGGUGGUGCACCUGUUGUCUUUGCUGUACAUUGGCCUGAUGCCUCUGUUGAUGAGCUUGAGCUUGUCCCUGGUGGACAUAAGCUUGUUGGUGCACCUGUUCCUGAUGAACAUUACCCUGAUUUAACCCUUGACCAGCUCCAUUACCAGCUCCAUUACCCUGAGCCUGUUGCUCCUGAACCGGUUGUUCUAUAUCCACUACGUGCUCUCUUUGUUCUUCCAUAUCAGCCUGAUCAAUCUGUCUUCCACGUCUGUCCCUUCUCCUCCUUGGUACCAAAAGAUUGAUGUUGUCGUUGAGAGGGAAAGGUGGACCACAGCUUCUUGAUCUAGACCUGGUGUUCAUACCCGGACAGGCGAUUUCAGAAACGUGUCUGCACCCGGAGAUUUUGGCUGAGGGAUUCAAUAGCCGGUACGCGUUUUGGCCGAUAAAGUCUACCCGCGGUACGCGUUUUGGCCGAGAAAAACCUUCCUGGUGCGCGAGAAUGGCCGAUAACCUCCAAAGAACCAAUUUCACCAUUUUUCAAGCCUUGAUCAUCAUUCCACCUCCUGGAUUCAUCUUUUCAGCUCCAAAUACACCUGAUAAGUACUCAAAACAUGCAAAGACUCAUUGGGACCUAAUGAAUCUUCUAAAUUCUAAAACAAACCCUAAGGACCUAAAAUGCAUGGAAUAAAACAUGAUUUGGAAUGAAUUAUGCAACCUAAAUGAUGCAAAUUAUGAACAUGGAGACGAAGAACUCGCUUUUUUCUUAGUUCAAUUGGUUUUGUGAAUUUCAUAAACUUAUUUGGUAAGCAUAUACGUCUUUAAUUUUGGAUAGUAUUUAUUUUUUCGAUUUUAUUUUAUUUUAUUAUGUAUGUCUUAAAUAGUUGUUUUAAGUAAAAAUUACUCAAACUAACCUUUAAGGUGACCUAAAUGACAAACCUAACCUAACAUAUUUUGAGUCUUACUAGAUUAACCUUACAAAGUUGGUCUAAUACCAUUUUAUCCAGAUGUUGAAUAUUAUUACGAAAAUGCCAUAUUGAUUUUUUUUUUUUUAAAAAAUUCGAUUUGUUUUUUAUUUUAUUUUUCUGAAAAAAAUAUUAAAAAAGUAGAUACAAAAAACAAAAAAACAAACCUAAUAUUAAAAAAAAUUAUCUCUCUCAUCUUCUCUCUCAUCUUCUCUCUCGCUUCUCUCUCGUUUCUCUCUAACCUAGAUCUUUUUUUUUCUGCUGCAUUUCUUGAUUCCGGCAGUUAGCGGCGGUGGACCACUCCUUUCUUGCCUCCGUCGAUCACAAGAAUCGUCCGAUGGCACCAGUGCACCUCUCACUUCCCUUUAGAUGGCAAUUUUGUCCUUAUCUUUGAGCAUUGUGCUUCCCUUGAGUCUCUAGAUCCUUCCGCCUUCUACCACUAGACCGAAGACCUUCCUCUAGUUCUCCUCCAUUACUAUGAAGUCGCAGCAAGGCUCAAUCGCUUGGAUCCCUUGACAGUGUCCUUCACCAAGGGUUACAAAUCGAGUGACGACACAGCUGUGAGACCACAACUCUUAAGCGGCAUUCUCGCCGCAUCGCACACAACCGCAGUGGAUAGACGUUGUUUCAGUGGAAUGGUGGUUUUGAGGAGGUUGUCGGCGGCGUAAUUUUUUUUGUAAAACCCGUAACCCUAAUUUUUGUUUUGUUUCAGGUAAGUUUGAUAAAUAUAUUUGAAAAAACGAUAUUGUAUUUUUUAGUUGUAAAGUUCAUAACGUGUGAUGGUAGAUUUAUUUGAAAAACGGUAUGUAGUUUGGUAGAUUAUUAGUUAUUUGAUGGUAGAUAUAUUUACAAAACGAUAUGUAGUUUGGUAUAUCUAUUAGUUAUUUGAUGGUAAAUUUAUUUAAAAAACAAUGUGGUUUGGUAUAUUUAUUAGUCAUCUGACGGUAGACUUAUUUGAAAAACAAUGUGAUUUGGUAGAUUUAUUAGUCAUUUGAUGGUAACUUAUUUGAAAAACGAUAUGUGGUUUGGUAGUUUUAUCAGUUAUUUGAUGGUAGAUUUAUCAGUUAUAUAUAUUUGAAUUUUAUAUUUGAAUGAUGGCAUUUGUUUGUUCUUCUCUGACAGGUUAUGGGAUUUGUGAUGGCGAACGAGUCUCUGAUGGGUUAUGUUCUACUAUGAAUAUUAGAUUUGCAUUUGGUAGAUUUGUUUUGAAAUGAUGGUAGAUUUAUUAUUGAAUUGAUGGUAUAUCUAUAUUUGAAUUUGUACAAAUGAUAAUUAGAUUUUAGAUGAUGAUAUCUUUGUUUUCAAAUUAUAUUUGGCGCAAAAGAUUGACUCAAACAUUUCAUCUUUUUACCACUUUUCUUUACUUUCACUAUGGUUUAUAUCCUAAGUUAAUGAAAUUUUAAACAAAACACAUGAUUAAAGUCAUUUCACAUUGUGAUGUUCAAAAGUUUAUGUAAAUAUAAUUAAAUAUAACAAAAUAUUCACAAAUAAAAAUUAAAAGAUCAUAAGUUAAGAGAUAGUCAUUACAGACAAAAACGAUAAGGACAUAAGAUAAAUGUUUAAGUGAACUAGUAGGACAUAUAUGUUCAAGGUUAAUAUGUGAUAACACCGUAUUUUGACCACUUUUAUGGAUCGUUUUGAAAUACUUUUUCUAUGUUUUUAAUUGCUUUUAAGUACUUUUAUCACGUUUUUCUAGUAUUUUUAGUUCCAAGACUCUUUUCAGGUAACUUAGGGAAAAACUUAACAAAAUGGAUAGAAAACCAGAUUUCAGCUCAAAGUCAAACCGUCAGAAGUUCACCCCUGAUUGAAGGCCUUCUCACCGUCUGUUCCAGCUCAAAUUUGGAGACCUUAAAGAUGGAAGUAUCAACUUUCCAGCACACUUUACAGCUUGACAAUCCAACGGUUCAAUCAAAAGAUACGCGAAGAGCAAGAUGUCCCGUAAACCAGCCAGCAAGCAACUCCACCCGUGGCCAAUAAGCCAUUUCCCGCGGUCAGAAGCAUCCCGACCGCGGCAAACCACUCAUUCCCCGCGGUCACAGCACUCCCAACCGCAGCAAGCCAACUCCGAGCCCAAAAGCCCAUUUUUGAAGCCCACAAUGAUUCCCUCAUUUGGAGAAACCCUAAGUGACGUCCAGAGCACUAUAAAUACAUGUUUUAGGAACCCUAAUCGAAAAAAAAAGAGACCACCGAAUUUUUACUUCAUAGUUUUAUUGUUUUUGCUUUAGCUUUUAGGGAGAGAGAGAUUUGUUCUCUUGAACCCUUGUUCUUUCUUUUUUAAUUUCGGUUUCUAUUCUACUUAUUAAUACUAUGUUUUUGAUUUCGUUCAUUAUGUCUGAGUAGUUUUAUUGUUGGGAUUAAGGGAUUUUAGAUGGGGAUUUAUAUGUUCGAUGAGGAUUCCAUGAGCUUUUGAGCCGAAUCUUAGAACUUAUUCUUCUGAAUUCGUUUUUACUGCAUGAGAGUAGCGUCAUGAACUACAAUCUGAUCCAGAUGCUUUGUGACACGAAAGUGUUCAUCAGGUAUCAGAUCUAGUUUGGGAGAGCAAAACAAACAUAGGAGUGGAAACCUACCUAUGGGCGAUUUGUCAAUGCUGACGAGUCUUAAACAUAAUGCAUCUCUUCUUUUCCAGGGCCAUAGUGGAAACCUACUGGUCAGGGUUGAGAGAGAUAGUUGUCUAUGAUCACGACAGUGGCGUAUUCAUAUGUCCGUGACUCCAGUUCGAAAAGUUUAAGCUAAGAUCUUAGCAAUUUUACUCUCUAGCAAUGUUUUGAAUCGUUCGUACCCCUGAGAAAACUUCCCUGAACCCCAACGCCUUCUUUCCUAUUGAUUUACACCGUUUUUAUUUCAAGCUUUAGUUCAAUAUUGUCUUUCCUUUUUAGUAGAUUUUCAUUUAAGCAAUUAGAAUAUCCGUUUUUCUCAUUUUUAUUCAUUUUCGUUAAGUUUAGUUAUUAGGUCAUUUAAUUCCCGUAUUUUCUUUUAAGAUUUCGUUUUUACAUUUUAAACACACCACCAAACCCCCACAAAACCGUUUUGGUUCUAGACUUCCUUACUUUAUACUUAUUUCAAAGGCUUUUUGCAGGAAAAGAUCCUCUUUCCCCGUGGAUUCGAUCCCAAAGUACUACAAUCGAUCAGCUGUGCACUUGCGGCUAUUGAUUUCAUUUAGGUUAAAACUUGACAACCCUCACGACAACACCACAUCAAGUUUUUGGCGCUGUUGCCGGGGAAAGCACGCGUUUUCUUUUCUGCAACCCCGAGAAAGGUUGGUAAAUCGACUCUAAAACCCCUUUUUCUGCAAUUUUCCAUUUUUCGGUUUUUUUGUUUCCAUUUCAGAAGAUAUGGAUCCUAUAAAUCGAAAUAUACACUAUGAGGAAGGUUUAUAUAACACUCCUCAAGCCACCAGACACAGAACGUUCCAGAAGGAGCCCUGCGCAUCUCCAAUGGCCAACCCUGAACAACCCGCUCGUCGUUUGCCUCACCAAGAUGAAAACGUCCAACUCAUUCACUGAUUGAAAACACUAGAAGUGGCGGUCUUGCACCUACUCGACGUUCAAGCGAGAUCUAGAUCCACAAUCCACGAGAAAAUUGACGACUUGUCAAUGCGCUUUAACAGAAAGCUUGAAGAUCUUUCAGCUCAAGUCAAGACCAUCGAAACUCAACUAAACAAGGGUGCUGAAACCAUUAAGGAGAGGAUAGAAGCAAUCGAAGGACGAGUUGGAGAAAACGAAGUUCGCAUUCGCAAAGCCAGUGGGAACAUCCGCACCUUAGAGAUCAAACUUGAUGAAGCAGAAGAGACUAUUAACGACCAUAACAACCAAACCUAUUCCUACAUGGAAGAGAUUUAGGAUGGAGUACACAAGGUUCAAGACAAAACAGAGGAAAUAGACUCAACCGUGGACAAAGUAGUCUAUGCCCUCGAUGAAAUCGAAGAGAAGGUUGAAAAGCUUAUGCAAGGAUGUGAAACAAACGGUUCGACGCUUCUCAUCGAAGAUCUUACCUUAAAAAAGGAGGAAACGGAGCUAGAAUGUGCAGAAAUCAGUUUAGAUGGCAAAAGAGCAGACGAAACAAAGGAAACAACUCGGAGCCUUCUUCUCGCGGUCAGAACUCUCGUGACCGCGGCCAACAAGCCUCCAGCCGCGGUCGUGAGCCUCCUGACCGCGGCAAAACCCUCCCCACCCGCGGUCGUGAAACCUCUACCCGCUGCAAAUGCUCCGUCAGAUACCUUUCAGCCCUUUUCCACUCCUACAGGUCAAUGCUUAUUUGAUACAUCUGCUAGGAUGGUCAAAGCCCCUCUACAUGAGCAAACGGUGUAUGCUAUCAGCUCCAAAACAUCUCAAGAAGAAAAUGAGGUACUCCCUUGCAACAUAGUUUUAGCAUAUGAGGAUGAAUAUGAAGGGCACUACCUCGAAGAUGAAGACUAUCGUCUGUUCAUAGAAGGAGGGAAUCCAGACAAAAUGGUGGAAUUAGGAGCACCAAUCUCCAGAGAAAGGCUCAUUGAAUUCAACAAGUUUGUGAAAUCGAUCCCUCUUUACACAGGUUUCGAUGAUAUAUGGCAUCUUGGUUGUUUGCAAGUUUUCUUUAGGUACAGCAAGGAGACAAAGGAGGAUAUCAGAACCUAUUUUGGGAGGGCUAGACGUCUGACUUUUCCCAGAACAUCACCUGAUGCUGCAAUCUAUUCAAUUCACCUCAAAAAGCCGGAAGACUGCAGCCACUACACCAACAAAAUCAGCAAGGAAAAGCUCGAUGAAUUCAAUGAUGUGGUUCGAAAUUUGCCUGAAGAAAUCACGUUUGCCAGAGCUUGCAAGGACUUUAUGAUAGGCCACUACUUCUGUGAGAGCAAAGAAUCAAUCCCUGAGAUAGAAGACUUGUUCAAUCAUGCCAGAAGAGGUAAACCUGUUCGAACACUUCAUAAAAUAGAAGGUGUAGGUCAGUUUCUUAUCUCUUGUUCUAUUAGAGGAGAAAUGUUUAAAAACGUGCUAUGUGAUUCUGGAGCUUGUGUUAACAUGAUGUCCAAGGCAAUUGAUUUGAGACUUGGUAUUAAACACCUGCGCAGGACUAGAGCAAAGAUUAGUCUAGCUGAUGAUUCCAAUGCAACACCUCAAGGAAUAGCUCAUGAAAUUCCUUUGAGAAUAGGAGAUUACAUAGUGCCUGUCGACUUCUACAUUGUCGAAACGAGAGAUGCAACAUAUCCAGUGAUUCUCGGAUGGUCUUUUCUAGCAACUUUCGGAGCUAUAAUGGACUGGCCAAACCGGAGGAUUUCAUUUGCUAAUAUCGACAAAGAUGUCUUCACAGAAGCUGUUCCAUACAACAGCAAAGCAGGAAAACGUUCUGCAACAGAAGAGUUUGAAGAAGAACUUUGGAGUGACGAAGAACCUGCUAGGCAAAGCAAGGAGAUGUCGAAAAAGACUUGUCUCAGGACAAGGUCUUCUUCAUUGGAAUAAGUCACGUCCAACACCAAAAGUCGAGCUAAACGACUUAAAACAGAAGCGCUUAAUGGGAGGCAACCCAUUUAGGUAUUGUUUUCUUUAGGAUUUUUCUUUCUUUUUCUUUUGAUCUUUUUCUUUUUCUUAAUUUCAGGUGUUUCUUAUAAAACAAAAAAACCAAAAAAUCAAAAAACCCGAAAAAAACCAAAAAGAAGGAUGGUACCUGACUGCUCGGCCCAGCAGGAACCAAGGAGAAGCAGGAAGAGGCCGCGAAAUAAGCCUCCGCGGUCGCAGACGUUCUGACCGCGGGAAACUACUCAUCGACCGCGGUCGCGUGAUCCUGACCGCGGCCAAACACUUGGUUGCCGCGGUCGCGCGACCCCUGUCCGCGGCACUUGGUCGUUGACAUCAAACCCAACCCCAAACCACCCACUUCACCCCAUUCCACCUCACCAAUCACCCUCCACCUCAUUCAUCACCCUCCACCACCUUCAUCACCCCCUAAUCACCUUCCCAAACCUCUUCGAAUGAAUCCGGUUCAUCUCCACCAGCAUCCCGGAUCCAGGUAAGUUCUCUUUGUCCUUACCAAUUCGAUUAUCUAUGCAUUUUUCUCAUCCAAUCUCGACUUGUUUCACACUGAGGACAGUGUGAUUUAAGUCUGGGGGAGGAUUUCAUCCUUUUCUAACCACUUUUCUUUCAUGAGUCUUGCAUUAUCUACACUUUUUGCAUUUUCCUUAAAGUUUUUCAAAAUCGGUUUUCAAAACAAAAUACGUUUUAAAGGGAAUGGUGAACAUAAAUCAAUGAUAGUUGACUGUGUGCUUUAGACUAUUCCUAGUGACAUGCUCAUUCAUGAUUUAGGACUAGACUAGGCGGUAGCUAAGCACAUUUGAAACGAAGUACCCCAGAGGAAUUUGAAUGAUUUCGAUUUAGAUGAAGGGAUACACUAGCUCUGUUUUAUUUGGACUUAAUUUGGACUCAAUUUUCUCAUUGAAGCUUUAGACCAGGGAAACGAAUCAUACAUUCAGGACUCCUUUAUCCUUUUACCACUCUCAGUUGAUCCUGAAUGGCUAGUUCAUCUUUAGCUAGUUCCCCACCUUAACCAAUCCUCUUUCAAACCACAUGCACUCUUGUUUUCUAUUGUCUUACAUGCAGAUAAGUGCAAAAACGUUGGAGAGAAAGAGGAACGACGCAGUUUUCAGUCACCAAGGAUAGAGACCUGCGAUUUGCCGGAAAAGUUUCCGGAAGGAUCCAACACAAGAGGAAGCUCAGUUUGCCUUAGAAAAAUCUCAAAUUUUGGUACAAUCUCGUCCUCUAGUCUCUCUCUCUUUAAAAGGCAUUUCCUAUUCUAAAAAAAAAAAAAAAAAAAAUCCAAAAAUAAGAAAAGAAAGGAAAUAAAAGCCUUAGAGAGUCUAGAGAGCUCGAAUUUUAAGUCCCAAGGCAACUGGAGUUUGAUUUUAUGGAGUUUUGGAGAUCGUUUUCUGAUUCCUGGAAAGAAUCUAAGUCUGGGGGAACAGCUGUUUACAACAAAGGAGGAAGGAUUAUGCAACAACAUUUGGCAAGAAGAAGUGACUGAAAAACUGUGGUCAUCAACAGGUCCUUAUCUCUCUUGCGGUUUUGCAUAUUAUCUUGCAUCCUCCAGAUCUUCAGGUAACCCGAAACACUUUAACUCCACCACUUAAACAGUCCUUUAAUGCCAAACGCCGUCUACCCUGGAUAAUGUCUUUAAUGAGAAAUCACUAUUGAACUUAAUGAAUGUAGAGAGCUAGUUGACUGGAAUCAAGAUUUAGAUUUUUUAAGUUUUGCAUGACGGAAAAAGUGGACUAGUAUCUUUUGUGUCUUGGUGAGAAUUUUCUAGACUAAGUUGUGGAUUGAUGCACUAUCUUUGGUUCUAGUUUAGGAGUUAAUGUCUCUGAGAAUUGUGAAUUUCCUAUUUUUGUUUUCACCUAACCAGUUUAGACUUUUGCUUUGCUUGAGGACAAACAAAGGUUUAAGUCUGGGGGAGUUGAUAACACCGUAUUUUGACCACUUUUAUGGAUCGUUUUGAAAUACUUUUUCUAUGUUUUUAAUUGCUUUUAAGUACUUUUAUCACGUUUUUCUAGUAUUUUUAGUUCCAAGACUCUUUUCAGGUAACUUAGGGAAAAACUUAACAAAAUGGAAAGAAAACCAGAUUUCAGCUCAGAGUCAAACCGUCAGAAGUUCACCCCUAAUUGAAGGCCUUCUCACCGUCUGAUCCAGCUCAAAUUUGGAGACCUUAAAGAUGGAAGUAUCAGCUUUCCAGCACACUUUACAGCUUAGCAAUCUAACCGUUCAAUCAAAAGAUACGCGAAGAGCAAAAUGUCCUGUAAACCAGCCGGCAAGCAACUCCACCUGCGGCCAACAGGCCAUUUCCCGCGGUCAGAAGCAUCCCGACUGCGGCAAACCACUCAUUCCCCGCGGUCACAGCACUCCCGACCGCGGCAAGCCAACUCCGAGCCCAAAAGCCCAUUUCUGAAGCCCACAAUGAUUUCCUCAUUUGGAGAAACCCUAAGUGACGUCCAGAGCACUAUAAAUACAUGUUUUAGGAACCCUACUCGAAAAAAUAGAGACUACCGAAUUUUUACUUCAUACUUUUAUUGUUUUUGCUUUAGCUUUUGGGAGAGAGAGAUUUGUUCUCUUACCCUUGUUCUUUCUUUUUCAAUUUCGGUUUCUAUUCUACUUAUUAAUACUAUGUUUUUGAUUUCGUUCAUUAUGUAUGAGUAGUUCAAUUGUUAGGAUUAAGGGAUUUUCGAUGGGGAUUUAUAUGUUCGAUGAGGAUUCCAUGAGCUUUUGAGCCGAAUCUUAGAACUUUUUCUUCUGAAUUCGUUUUUACUGCAUGAGAGUAGCGUCAUGAACUACAAUCUGAUCCAGAUGCUUGGUGACACAAAAGUGUUCAUCAGGUAUCAGAUCUAGUUUGGGAGAGCAAAACAAACAUAGGAGUGGAAACCUACCUAUGGGCGAUUUGUCAAUGCUGACGAGUCUUAAACAUAAUGCAUCUCUUCUUUUCCAGGGCCAGAGUGGAAACCUACUGGUCAGGGUUGAGAUAGUUGUCUAUGAUCACGACAGUGGCGUAUUCAUACGUCCGUGACUCCAGUUCGAAAAGUUUAAGCUAAGAUCUUAUCAAUUUUACUCUCUAGCAAUGUUUUGAAUCGUUCGUACCCCUGAGAAAACUUCCCUGAACCCCAACGCCUUCUUUCCUAUUGAUUUACACCGUUUUUAUUUCAAGCUUUAGUUCAAUAUUGUCUUUCCUUUUUAGUAGAUUUUCAUUUAAGCAUUUAGAAUAUCCGUUUUUCUCAUUUUUAUUCAUUUUCGUUAAGUUUAGUUAUUAAUUCAUUUAAUUCCCAUAUUUUCUUUUAAGAUUUCAUUUUUACAUUUUAAACACACCACCAAACCCCCACAAAACCGUUUUGGUUCUAGAUUUCCUUACUUUAUACUUAUUUCAAAGGCUUUUUGCAGGAAAAUAUCCUCCUUCCCUGUGGAUUCGAUCCCUAAGUACUACAAUCGAUCAGCUGUGCACUUGCGGCUAUUGAUUUCAUUUAGGGUAAAACUUGACAACCCUCAAGACAACACCACAUCAAGUUGUGAGAUAACACCGGAUUCUGACCAUUUUUAUGGAUCACUUUUAUAUCUUUUACAGGUGUUUUUACUCCAUUUUCAAAGGUUUUCAAAGGAUUUCUAUGUUUCCGGAUUUUAAAAGACUUUUCAGGUAAUUUGGGAUAAAGAGGCACAAAAUGGAACAAAAAGACUCUUUUGAAUAAAUGCAGAUCGUCAGAACUCUCAUGGAGAGACGAAGACCUUUUCACCGUCUGAUCACCCUCAAAAUUGGACAACUUAUAGGAGAAUCAACCAGCUUUCAAAUGUACUUGGUUUGGAGACAUUCCAACGGUUGGAUCUCAAGAUAUUCUAUUAGCCCCGGAGCCACUUGAAGUCGGCCAGCAAGUCACGCGACCGCGGUGAUCAACCUAUAUCCCGCGGUCAGAAGCUUCCCGACCGCGGCCAACCAGCCAAUCCCCGCGGUCACAACACUCCCGACCGCGGCAAUCAAUCUCCGAAUUAAAGCCCAUGUAUCUGAAGCCCAAAGUCAUUCUCAGCCUCAAUUCCGGAACCCUAGAGACCAUGGAGUAUUGGAGACUAUAAAUACAUGUCAUUUAGGUCGUUUUUAGGGAGAGCCAUUCAUACUUUACAGAAACCCUUUUUCUUUAGCCGUUUAUAUGAGAUUUUUGUAGAAGAUUGUUCAAGUCCGAGUUCUUCAAUAGAGAAGCUUUCUUUAUCUCUUUUCUUUACUGUUUUUCAUUACUUUUAUUAAAACCAAUGAUGAUGUCGACCUCAGCCAUGUCUGAGUAGAUCCCGAGUUGGGCUUAGGGUUCCCGGAAGGGGCUCUCAUAAUCGAUUAAGACAUCUAGGUUUAUAGAUCUGGGAUUUCGACCUGUUCUCUUUUUAUUCUUGUUCUUAUUGCAUGUAUGCUUGAUUGAUCACCUAGUAUCUGAUCUAGAUAGUUAGUGUUGCAAAAGUUUUCAUUAAGUAUCAGCCCUAAAAUGAAACAGGCGAUUUUUCCGUAGGACUGGAAACCUACCUGCGGCGAGAUCGUGAGUAUUGACGAGUCUUGUGCAGCUCUUGCGUUCUCUCCCUUCUAGGGCCAGAGUGGAAACCUACUGGUCAGGGUUGCGAGAAACAGUUGGUUAUGAUCACGACAGUGACGUAGUCAUACUGCCGUACUCUAGCUCUAGAACCCAUAUAUCGAUAUCCGUCAAUCCCAAUCUAUUUACCCUAGUGUUAAAACCGAUUAUGAUCCCUUAGAGUCCCUAAAAGCUCAGCGUUUUUAGCCAUAGUUUACAAUUCCAUCGAUUUUUAUUUGCUUAUUUAGGCCUGCAUUUCAAUUUCCUUAGUUUGUUAUUUACUUACUUUACUAGUAUUUCAUUCGAUAUUUUACUUGCCUUAUUAGUCUUUCAUUCGAUAUUUUACUUGUUCUAUUUGCCUUUCAUUCGAUUUUUUUACUUGCUUUUUAGGAUAGAUUUAUUUGCUUUCUUUUGUUUUAGUUUAAUACAUCAAACCAACCAACCUUUAAAAACCAAUCUAGUCUAGACAUAAAGUUAAAAACCGUAGAAGAAUACCAGGCACACAAAUCUCUGUGGAUUUGAUCCCUAAAUACUAUAACUGAUUAGCUGUGCACUUGCGGCUUUCAUUUGUUUUGUUAAGGGUAAAACUUGUUCCCUCACGCAGUUGACACGACAUCAAGUUUUUGGCGCCGUUGCCGGGGAUUUGUUUCGCUGCCUUUUGCUAUUUUUCUUGUUUUAACUUCUGUUAUAGACACUUGAUCUCUAGUUCUUUCUUAAAGUUUUGCUGAAUUAUCUUUCCCUUCUUUUGUUUUUCUCUGAAUUGCAUGAAUACCAGGCGCAUACCUGUAGAAAACAUUCCAAUUCUAGACGAGAUAGACAGACACGAAAGACAACUUCGAAGACUUAGACGAACACAAAGAAUGGCCAACGACAACCAGCCUGGAGAUCCUAUUAAUCGAACUUUAAAUAUGGACCAAGACGGGUCCGAACAUGGGGAAAAUGAAGAGAAUGAUCACAGUGGAGGUGAUCAUGCUCGACAAGAUGGAGAGGAAGAUGAGUUUCCUCCAAGAAACCACCAGAACCGAGAGAGAGAAGGACGUGAAGACCUUGAUCCACCCAUCAAUGCAGCCGAUGGUGACCACCCAGCAAUGCAGCCAAAUGAACGCAUUCACCGCCCCAUUCCGCCAGCAAAUCAACACCGAAGACAAGCCAGGAACCAUCGCAUAGCUGAUUUUGAUGGACCUACUCAAAAUUUUCAGAAUCGAUCUGCAAUUCAAGUACCAUUUCCAAACCGGAAUGAGUUUGAAGUCAAGCCUCAAAUCAUCUCAUUGGUGAAGCAAAACCAGUUCCAUGGAGUUCCUUCUGAACACCCAAUGGACCAUAUCGAGCUCUUUGAAGAAAUUUGCAGCAUGAUGAGAACAAAUCAAAUUCCACCAGACUAUUUAAAGUGUAAGUUGUUCCUUUUUUCAUUAGCAGAUAAAGCUCACCGUUGGUUGAAAUCUUUGCCUGCAGGAUCGAUUACCAAUUGGGAAGAAUGCAGAAAUGCUUUCCUAAACCACUUCUACACUAAGUCAAGGUCGAAUCAGUUGAGAACAAAGAUCUCAAACUUUCAACAAGGGCCAACUGAAUCUUUCUAUGAAGCCUGGGAGCGUUUUAAGGAGUAUGAACGUGAUUGCCCUCACCAUGGAUUUCAUGGAUCAAGCCUGCUGAGCACAUUUUACCGAGGUUUGCAACCAAAAUAUAAACUUUCACUUGAUACAGCUAGCAAUGGAGAUUUUGGACAAAAGAUGAUAACCCAAGGAAGAGCUCUCAUCGAAAAUUUGGCUCAAGCCAAUAGCAAUGACUGUCCUGAAUAUGAUCGAUCAAUGAAGCAAGCCGGAACAGACAACAAGGAGAUAACCGAGUUGAAGAACAUGGUGAGCCAGCUUCUGAAGAGUAACAAUCGCCCAAUCCAUGCUUGUGAGACCAACAAUGGCGCAGAAGAUGAAGGACCUAGUGAUAUCGAUCACAUUAAUCAAGCCUUUCAAGAGGAAGAUGUGAACUAUGUAGGAGCACUGGUGCCAUAUCAAAAUCGCUCCAAUAAUAGCUUCAACAACAACUUCCGGAAUGCAAAUUACAACAAUCUCUCUUACCGCAAUCCAAAUGUGGAGAAUCCUCAAGACCAGUACUACCCACCUCAGCAAAAAUCCUUUCAAAACAAGUUUCAAGGUGGAAACGUUGGAGGAAUAGUACCAUAUCAACCACGACAGCCAUUUAACUACCAAGGUACGGGUUUUAACAAUCAAUUUGUACGACAGCAGGGAGUCACGACGAACCAGCUAGCUUCACAAAUCGGUAGACUUGAACAGUCAAUCCAACAGCUCGUUAUGACGAACGAAAAAGCAUCUAAAGACGUGAACGUGAAAGUGUACUGCAUGUACAAUGAUCUGAAUGGUAAGUUUGAAUCUUUAUCUUCGCACGUAAAAAAGUUAGAUGUGCAAGUCGCCCAAACAGCCGACUCUAUGAAGAGGCAAAGUGGAGUACUUCCAGGAAGAGUUGAAGAUAACCCUAAGAAGUUUUGCAACGCCAUAACCACAUUGCCCGAAGAAGAGGCCGGAACCAAUGGAAAGAAAGAAGAAACCCCAAUCUUUGUACCACUGUACAAGGAUAUCAAUCCCAAGAAGCCACCGUUUAAGGUACCUGAACGAUCACCGUUUUAAAGGCUUACCAAAGCCGAUGAUCCAGGACGUUUUGUUUUCCAGUGUUUCAUUUCAGGAAUCAAGUUUACAGACUGCUUGUGUGAUUCCGGAGCCAAUGUCAACAUCAUGUCUAAGACGUUUGCCGAAAAAUUGGGCACUAAAACCUUAAAGACAUCGACGGUUAAGGUUAUUUUUGGAGAUUCAUCUCAAAAAGAUACCAAAGGGGCAAUUCAUGAUCUACAAGUUCUAGUGGGAGACAAAAUCGUUCCAGCAGAUUUCCAAGUCCUGGAAAUGGAUAAAGACAAGGAGAGGCCACUCAUUUUCGGGAGACCAUUCCUAGCUACAGUAGGAGCAGUAAUCGAUCACGCAAAACGACAUGUUGUUUUCCUCAAUGUGGAUCGAAAAAAGUACUAUCCGACUAUCUUAGACGAUUUUCCAAGCAAAGGAAACAUACCAAAAGAGAAAGAGAAGGAGAAGCCGAAAGCUUUUGCAAAGAUCAAGAUCAUCAUUCCACCAGAUGCAACAGAAACUAGUGAGGACUAAAUCCAGGAGCUGAUCGAAAACACAAAAAGGGUUUUAAACAAUAUUAAAGUUCGAAAGAAGAGUAAAGGAAAGAAGACGGCUCCUCAAGGAGAAGAAGUAAAACCUCCAGCGACCGGAAGUGAUAAAGGCACAUCAAGUGGAGUGCCAUUCAAAUCAGCCUGAUUCCUCAUGCUUACGUCGAGCUAAACGACUUAAAACAAAAGCGCUUAAUGGGAGGCAACCCAUUUAGGUACUCUUUCUUUUAGUUUUCUUUUCCUUUUUUUUUACAAUUUAUACUUUCUUUUUCUUUUUAAGUUUUAGGUAUUUUAUAAAACAAAAACACAAAAAAAAUCAGAAAAUUAAGAAAACCAAGAAGAAAAAGGUAGGUUUUUAGCUGCUCGGCCCGGCAAAGACGAGAAGGUUGGACAAAGGCCGCAUGAGGAAGAGCCGCGGUCGCGACUGACUGACCUGCGGCCAAGGGAGCAUCGACCGCGGCACCGUGAAUGUGACCGCGGCCGAGCACUCGACCACCGCGGUCGCGCGUCUCCUGACCGCGGCCGUUGGUCGUUGAGGUGAUUCCGCGGAUUUCUGCCGCUUUUCGGUGUUGCCUGGUGUUUGCCUGGUGAUUCCUGGUGUUGCCUGGUGUAUUCUCGGUGUUGCCUGGUGUUUGCCUGGUAAUUCCCGGUGUUGCCUGGUGUUUUCCUGGUGUUGCCUGGUGUUUACCUGGUGUUUACCUGGUGUUACCUGGUGAUUCCCGGUGAUUCCCGGUGAUUCCCGAAAUGUUCCCGGUAAAAUCCGAAAAGCUCCUCCGUAAGUUUUAAACUUUCCUAAUGUGCAAACAAGAAAGGUAAGUUCCCGUAAACUUAAAAAUUUCUAGAAAUUUUCCGUUUUUGCUACAAAAACGCUUUUUAAAGAAAAGAAACAAACUUUUUGGAUCAAAACUCCUUCUUCUCUUCUCUUCCAAAAGAUUUGGAGAUUUAGGAGAUAGAAUACAUUUUUCAAUUCUUAAGCUUUUUAAAAGAUUUUUGGCUCAAACCUCACUCUUUUUCAAAGCUGAUUCCAAUUCUGCAAUCAAAUCUCUCUUUCCAGCAAGGUAUGAACCUCAAACUCGCCAUUUUUAAUUGAUUUCAUAACUUAGGGUUUUUUUAAAAAUCCCAAAUCUCUGUUUAUUGAUGGUAGAAAUAGAUUAAGAAUGAUAGAUUAUCCAUUUAGGUUAUCUAAAAAUUGAUUUUAGCACCUAGCUUAAGAGGAAUUGAGAUUUUUGAAAUUUGGAUUCUACAUGCUUCAUAAAAAUCGAAUUUGGAACAGCAAAAUUGAUGAGUUUGAUUAAGUCUUGUGUGAUUAAUGAUUAGUAUUGUGUGAGCCAAAACUCAAACAACCAGAAAUUUGUUUAAGGAAAACUAAGGGAUCGGAAACUUCUAGGGUUUAUCGCCAAAAACAGUAAGAUCGAAAGAAAGUUUUUCUUGCUGUAAAAGUGUUUAGCUCUUAUUGCUUAGGGUUGCAAAAGUUACAGAAUGAAUUGUAUACAUCGUCUAUUUAUACUAACUCUCUGAACCGCCUAGCCGAGAAUCUCGGGAGAGAUUUUCGGAAUAUUUCCUUAUCGCCUCGUGCGGCUCACCGCCUUUGUAUUUCGCCUAGGAUUUUUAUGGGCUUCGUCUCCCAAGGCCACGGUUUGGCCCAUCAUUCUCCUUUGCCACGGCUCGGCCAUCUAAUUUCUUCACGGCUCGGCCCACUUGCCAUUUCGGUCGAGACAUGAUCUGGUCCACCUCACCGAGGCGCGGCUCGGCCCAAGCAUGUUGGAAUGGGGCUCGGCCCAUUUCUUACGAUACGGCUCUCCCUACUGGUCUAUCGUCACGGCUCUCCCACUUGGUGAUCGCGGCUCUCCCGCUUGUCUUGGUGAGAACGGCUCUCCCACUUGUCUUGGUGAGAACGGCUCUCCCACUUGUCUUGGUGAGAACGGCUCUCCCAUUUGGUGACCACGGCUCUCCCACUUAUCUUUCUUCCAUACUUAGUCAUUUUGAGAUGGUUUUAUCUGCGUGGGGUGAAAACCGACCCCAACAGUUAGCCCCACUGCUCGUCAGUUUCGGAGGCGAGAGUAACGAGGUCCAUUACUCCUGACCGUAGGAUAAACCAUCGAGUCAAGCUGUUAUGACAUAGGCCCAGAUGAGGUGUUUUGGGAAUGAAGACGCCGAGGUGUUUCCAAGGAGUGCCGAGGGUGCCGAGGUGUUUCGAAAGGGUACCGAAGAUGCCGAGGCAAGUUAAGGACGAGGCGACCUCGUUUGGUAAUAAUGGGCCGAUGCGAUUUCGUUUAGUAAUGAUGAGCCGUGACGAGGCGAUUUGAGAAGGUUAUACCGAGCCGAAUAAAUGGCGAGGCGUUUCGAGAGAAAGUUUGUGCCGAGCCGUUUCGUUAAUGACAAGGCGUUUCGAGAGAAAAUUCGUGCCGAGCCGUUUCGUUAACGACGAGGCGUUUUGAGAGAAAGUAAAUGCUGAGCCGUUUCGUUAACGACGAGGCAUUUCGAGAGAAAAUUCGUGCCGAGCCGUUUCGUUAACGACUAGGCGUUUCGAGAGAGAGUAAAUGCCGAGCCGUUUCGUUAACGACGAGGCGUUUCAAGAGAGAGUAAAUGCCGAGCCGUUUCGUUAACGACGAGGCGUUUCGAGAGAGAGUAAAUGCCGAGCCGUUUCGUUAACGACGAGGCGUUUCAAGAGAGAGUAAAUGCCGAGCUGUUUCGUUAACGACGAGGCGUUUACUUUGGUAAGAUAUCGGCUGAAAAAUUGGGCAUCACAACUGUUGGUCUUCCGAGAGAAAAUUCAUGAUCUGUUGGCGCGUGUGACCGACGCAGUUCGGUCUAGCCGUUCCACUGCGGAUCCCACGCGCUGUUUGGACGGUUUCCCGAGGUUUACGCGGAAUUCACGCGCUUCGGUUUUCCUAUAAAUGGGUGAGCUCCUUCAUUCUUCCUCAUUAUCUUCAGACUCACUUUUUUUACUAAAGGUAGCUCUCCCUUCUCUCUUCUUUCUCUCUCUAGUUUAUUUAUUUUCCCGCUAGGGUUUCCGAGGUCUCCGCCGUUCCAGAUCUUUUUCCGGCAGAGGCUCGCCGAGUCGUGCUGUAAUUCUUGUACAAGUCGUAAGUUAUGUCGAGCCACUCCGACGAUUCGUUGGAUUCACUCUUUCACUACGAGCCGAGCCGUGUAGAUGCCGAGGCGAGAGGUACAACAGAAUCCUCCGAGGCAUCCGUUUCGCCGAGCCCUUCCAAUCGUUCAUCUGACGAGGCGUCAAAUCAUGCAAAACCGUCAGAUGUCGACUCUACAGAUGAUGAGCCAUCGGUUUCGACGAGCCGUCCCCAGGAUCCCAUUCCUGAUGAAGGUAUCAACUGCGCCGCAGUCUAACCCGAGGAGGAGGCAUUUCCCUUUGACCUAUUCGAGGCGAAGCGUGAGUUGGAACGUCUCAUAGCGUCUCGAGGCGCUUCCACAUCUGGGCGAGGGCCACGAGUUAAAAGACAAAAGCCUGACCCGCCUGGCUCUACGCUUUGCUCCCUUGAGUCGCUCUAGGCGUUGAGGCAUCGCUUCAGGAUAUCCGAGGCGGUGGAGUUCAUCGUUCCAGAGAAGAGCGACCGAGCCGACAAGCCUCCAGAGAAUCACUUCACUCUGUACGAGGCGUUCUUCGAGCUUUGCUUUCUCUGGUUCCCAAUCCCCGGAGUGAUCCUUGAAUAUCUCUGGAAACACGGGAUCUCGAUUGGGCAAAUCAUGCCGAGGGGAUUACGGCGUAUGAUUGGCAUCUUAGUUCGUAGCUCCGAAUGCGGACUCGAUAUCGAGCUGAAUCACCUGCUGGACUUGCUGGAAAUCAGGAAAGCCCCGAAGGGAAAUAGAUUCUAUAUUUCCAACAAGGCGAAACGACGGAUCAUAGGCGGUUUUCCCAGCAAGGAUCAGUUUUGGACUGAACGCUUUUUCUACGUCUUGGUGAACGAGGCGUCGGUCGGCGAGGAUUACGUUCAAAGAACCAAGACCGCUUGGGGAUCACUUGGUAGCCGACCCGAAGCUCUGCCUCGGCUCGGAACUGCUUUUGGUAUCCUCUUCCUUUUCUGAAUUUUUUUCUUUUUUGCUUUGUUUUGCAGUUCGGUGCUUUCUUCCCCCGAUUCCCGACGACCUUUUUACUGUUCAAGACUCUCUUUCGGCGCGGAAGGUUAAUUGGAGAAAGAACUUCACCCUCGAAAGAGUAGAAAGAGCGCGAGCCAUCCUUGCCGGAGUCCCCGUCAGCUCUUCGUCCUCAAGUUCUUCAAGACAUACCCGGGAGAAGAUAGUAAUAAUCGCUCUCAGAGAAAGGAAGAGGCGCGAGGAAGAGGAGGCCGCUAGAUGAGCUGCCGAGGCGGCUCGCGCGCAUACCGAGGCAGUUCCAGCGCAAGCCGAGGCGGUUUCAGCGCAAGCCGAGACCAUCCCUCAACCCGACCCGCCGAGCCAGGAAGGGGAUGUAAUGGUCCAAGCCGCAGAAGGAGACACUGCCGAGGCGGCUGAUAAAGAUGCAGCGCCCGAGGUGGAACCGGGCGAAAUUAUCCCCGAGGUGUCCGGGGACGGCUCGGCGGCGCGGAGUAAGACUCCUUCGCACACCGCCAUCCUGGCCCUCCCGAAGUCGACGAGGCCACCGACUUCGGUUGUUCAGAAGCAUGACUCUAGCCGAAAACGUUCGGCUACUGACAAGGGGAAGGGCGUCGCCGUUCAGAAGGACGAGCCGUCCAAGAAGAGGCGGAAACCGACGCCCGGGGACCCGCCGCGCAUAAGUUGGUCGUUGACGACCCCAACGCCUCUGCCGUCAUGUUCUCGCGUGUAAAUAACGCGAACACGAGUCUUCCUCCUCUGGAGAAGCUGAGGAGGCCGAGGUCAUACGGCACGAUGGAACAGCACGGUACCAAGGUACGUUCUAUUUUCUUUCCUUUAUUUUUGCAAAUUUUACGAGGUGUUUAACGCACGUCUGUUCUCUGCAGUUUGUCGCGGCCAUUAACGACCUGAUGGCCGAGUAUGAGGCGGACCUGUCUAAGGUCGAAUGUCGUUUGGACGAGGCCCGAAAUGAAACCGUGGCGUCAAAGGUGAAGCUGGAAGAGGCGCAAAACGAAGCCGCGGCCGCGAAGGGGAAACUCACCGAGGCGAUGACCCGAGUGUCGAGGUUGGAAGAGGAGAAGAUAGUUCUCCGCGCUGACGUCGACAAAGUUUCCGCCUUGGUGAUUCGCCUGGAGGAAGCAAGGAGAGCUAAAAGCGCCGAGGUGGCGAUGCAAGAGGCGUAUCGAAGCCAAGGACGCUCUGUUUGAUGCCAAGGUCAAGCGGGCAAAAAAGGAGGCGAGGCGAGAGCUUACGGCUAAGUUUCAGGAACGCCUCGCCAAGGUAGAGGAAGAUUUGGUCAAGCUCGAGAAGGCCAAAAAUGAUGAGAACGAUCUGGGGCAGAUCAAGGGCAAUCUUGCGAUGAUUGCCGACCUGAAGAAGCCGGACACCCCGACGCUUGAUGACGAGGAGGCGAAGCUGAAAAGUUGGGAGAGUGAGUAUGCCAACGACGAGGCGUACGAGCGUAUUGCUUCCGAGAUUCAAGGCGAGCUGUUUUACUCUCCCGUAUCGCUGGACUCGGUAGACACCAGCAUUGGCAACGAGCCGCUUGAAGAGACAGCGGCCAACCUGGGUGUCGUUGAUCCGACCAGAUCGAACGCGGGGACACCAGCCCUCUCGAACCUCCUUGCCGAGCGCGAGACGCAAUCCGUGGCUUGAUACUCUCUGCUUUCCCUCACCCUUUAUUGCACAUGUUCUUCUUUUUGUUUUUGUACUUAAGUUUUUUCAUGAUUCACUUUUCGAACUCGUUAUGUAAUUGGUGCCUGGAUGGCUUUAUCCACUUGACUUUUAUUUUUGCUUUAUGGAUAUAUUUUAUUUUCCUUAGCCAUUUUCGGAUUUACUUGUCUAACAAUCCAUGAAAAUGUUUACGAAAACUGUUGGCUUAGAAAAAUUGUCAAGGAUGAAAACUGUGUGUCGAGAAUGAUUUGAUUGCUUCCUUAGCCGGGCUUUUCGAAAUUGAUAGAAAUACGGGCUAAGGGGUGAAUUGUGUUAAGGAUCUCGUUUGGAUUCUUAAUCCCGAGCUGGGAGUUUAGGUGAUAAUGUCGAGGCAAAUUUCCACUGGCAAUGCCGAGCCGUAUUUAACGACGAGGCGUUUUCGCUGUGUAAGGUGCCGAGCCGUGUAAACGGCGAGGCGUUUUCUCUAAGCGUGGUACCGAGCCGUGUACACGACGAGGCAUUUUUUCUGUGCAUGGUGCCGAGCCAUAAGAACGACGAGGCGUUUUCUCUUUGCGUGGUGCCGAACCGUAAGAACGACGAGGCGUUUCGUUUUUUGUUCAGCCAAGAAUGAUUUGGUAGUCUCAUUGAAUCUUACUAUGGACCGGCGUUUCCGAGAGGAUGAAUAUGUUUGUCCGGGUUUUAAGAGUUUACUUCGGUUUUAGAGAAAGCGAUGUAGUCUCGACUUACAUUCUCGUGUGCGAUAGUAAACCGUGGCGACCUGAUACGUUUUUGGUCUGAUAUUUGUAUAGCGCUUAAUUUUUAUCCGUAGAGGAUGUAACUUGCACCCUCGUCCUAGGAAAGGUGGUAAAGUUCGUUUAGAGAACUUUGUAUUUGUUGCCCCGUUAUGGCCAGCAACGAGACGAGGCGUUCGGAGGCUUAGUUUGCCGAUCUGAAACUGAGGACCGAUUAAGGUCUGAGGUAAUCAAGUCAUGAUAUCGUGCCGAAGUGGUAUGAUUACUCUCCGAAGUGAUGAGUGAUAAAAUUUUAAAAAUCCGAGCUUGUUAAAAUAAGUUGCUGAUUUAGAAAAAAUGAGAAACUAGCCGAAGCGAUAAUGAACGAACUAGAAAUCCAAGGUAAACGUGCAAUAAGUAGAUGAUUAAAAACGAACUGAGAAUGUGCCGAAGUGGCGAUGUUCCUAAGUGAGCAAGUUAAAAUUGUAGAGUUAAAGAAGGUAUGUGUAUAAGUACCCACUCCCCCCCCCUUUUUAGGAAGGGGGACAGCUGAACCCGUCCGAGGACGGGCUGCCUACGUACCCUUUGAAGGGAUCAAGCCGUCCCGUAGUUCAUGCUUGCCAUGCUGUACCUUUAAUGAUAAUACUUUUUUAGAUGCAUUGCGUUCCAUGAUCUUGGAAUCGCUUCGUCAGCUAGUGUCGCGAGUUCGUAGACUCCUGGACGAACCACUUUUGUGACCUUGUAAGGACCUUCCCAAUUUGCUCCGAGCUUUCCUGCGUUCUUCUCGGCAGUGUUUUGGAAGACCUUUCGGAGGACGAGCUCCCCUGCUUUGAAUCUUCGACUACGAACGUUUUUGUUGUAGUAUCGCGCCGUUGCUUGUUGAUAGUUCUGGAUCCGAAUUAAGGCUUGGUCGCGCUUUUCGUUGAUUAGGUCGAGCUCAUCUAGCAUCAUUAAGUGGUUCAAGCCCUCCUGUCCUGGUAGAAGUCUUCGUCGAAUACCUGGGAAAUCCACCUCGGGGGGAAUUACGCACUCCGAUCCGUAGACCAAAGCGAAUGGAGUUUCCCCGGUGGCUCGGCGCGGAGUUGUCCGAUGAGACCAAAGGACUCCUUCGAGUUCGUCUGCCCACCGUCCCUUCUUGGCGUCGAGCCUCUUUUUCAGACAGUCGAGGAUCAUCUUGUUGGCUGCUUCGGCUUGUCCAAUCCCUUGAGGGUAUCUUGGCGUAGAUUUGCUGAGGCGGAUUUUCCACUUCUCGCAGAAGGCUUCGAAGCGUGUUGAGAUGAACUGGGAUCCGUUGUCGGUGACUAUCUCGUAGGGGACCCCGUGUCGGCAGAUGAUAUUUUUCCAGACAAAGUGUUCGACUUGAACAUCCUUUAUGCUUGCGUAGGAAUCGGCUUCGACCCACUUGGAGAAGUAAUCCGUGAGGACGAGCAGAAAACGAUUCUGCUUUGAGCAAUGUAGAGGUCCGACGAUGUCCAUCCACCAUCUCAUGAACGGAUAGGGUGAUGAAAUUGACGCAACUCGGUAGGUUGAUGAAUUGUUGGAGCGUGCCGCUGACACUUCUCGCACUUCGCCUUAAAUUUCUCGUAGUCCUUGACCAUCGUGGGGCAGAAGUAGCCGUGCCGUUUUAUCUUGAUAGCGAGCGACCUUCUGCUGGAAUGGUUCCCGCACGCGCCGCUGUGCACCUUGUGCAUGAUCUUUCUUGCCUCCGGUCCUUCGACGCAUGUCAUGAAAGGCCCUGAAAAUCUCCAUUUAAACACCUCGCCACGACGAGGACAUACCGUGCGACCUGAGCUUUUAGUUUGCGGGCUUCCCAUUUGUCGGUUGGCACCUCUCCAUCGGCGAUAUACACUCGGAUAGCUCCGAGCUAUUCUUUGUCGCAGCCGUACUCCGGCUCGGUCGGUGAGGCGUCUUCAUCCAUAGGAAUGGCUUCGUCGUCCUCUGGUUCUUGUUCAGGAGGAUUUAUCAGCCGAACUCCUUCCACCUCUUUGAUGCUAGGACGUUCGAUGAAUUCGACUGGGAUCGUCCGUCGGAGGUCUGGGUCUGAGGUCGAAGCGAGUGCUGCCAAGGCGUCGGCCGAGGUGUUUUCCCCUCGGGGAAUGCGCGUGAGUUCGUACUCGUCAAACUUUUGCACCAACUCUCGGACCACCUUGAGGUAAGCUCCCAUUCGUCCAUCCUUCGCCUCGUAUUCUCCGUUGAACUGACAUGCUACGAGCUGUGAAUCGCAAAAGGUUCUUAUCUUUCGAACUCCGAUUCCCUACGCUAGUCGUAUGCCGGCGAUCAGUGCUUCGUAUUCCGCUUCGUUGUUCGAGGCGUGGAAGUUUAGGUGAAAAGACUGCUCCAAUAUCUCUCCGGUGGGAGAGGUGAGGCGAAUUCCUAUACCCGAGCCGUGUUUAGACGACGAGCCAUCGACGUGCAGCGUCCACACUUCGUCUAGAGUCGGCUCGUUUGUUUCUUCGGCGGGAAGUUCAAUGAGGAAAUCUGCGAGCACCUGUGACUUUGCAGACGACCUGUUCCGAUACUCGAUGUCGUAUUCGCUUAGCUCUAUGGCCCACUUGGCGAGCCGACCGGAUUGGCUAGGGCUGUGAAGGAUCGAGCGCAGCGGAAGCGUAGCGAGCACAACAAUCGAAUGUUAUUGAAAGUACGGGCGCAGUUUGCGAGCCGAGACUACGAUGGCUAGGGCGACCUUCUCGAUCUGGGGGUAGCGGGUCUCGGCGUCGGUUAGUGUCUAGCUGAUGUAGAAAAUGGGUUUUUGCUCGGAUCGUUCUUCUCUGAUAAGCACUCCGCUUACGGCUGUAGCAGACACUGCGACGUAGAGGAAGAGCGGCUCUCCUUCGACUGGUUUUGCUAAGAUUGGUGGGCUCGCCAGAUAAUUCUUCAGUUCCUGGAAAGCCGUCUCGCAUCGUUCGUCCCACUCAAAUUUCUUGUUUCCUCGGAGGGUGUCGUAGAAGGGCAGGCAUUUGUCUGUAGAACGGGAAAUAAACCUGUUUAGCGCGGCGACUCUACCUGUGAGCCUUUGCACUUCGCGCUUCGUUCUUGGAGAGGGCAUCUCAAUUAACGUCUUGAUCUGCUUGGGGGUUGCUUCUAUGCCUCGGUGAGUUACCAGAUAGCCGAGGAAUUCUCCCGAGGUGACCACAAACCUGCACUUUGCCGGGUUUAGUUUCAUGUUGUGCUUGUUCAAUUGUUCGAAGCAUUCCCAUAGAUGCGCGACGUGGUCUUCCUCCUUGAGUGAUUUGACUAACAUGUCGUCGAUGUAUACUUCCAUGGUUUUUCCGAGCUGAGCCGCGAACAUUUUAUUGACGAGCCGUUGAUACGUUACUCCUGCGUUCUUGAGCCCGAACGGCAUGACUUUGUAGCAGUAUAUCCCUCGAUCAGUUAUGAAUGCCUUUUUUUCUCGAUCAUCAGGAUGCAUCAGGAUCUGAUUGUAGCCGGAGAACGCGUCCAUAAAUGUUAACAGUCUAUUCCCUGCAGUGGCUUCGACGAGCCGGUCGAUGUGUGGCAAGGGAAAGCUGUCUUUUGGGCACGCCUUGUUGAGGUCGGUGAAAUCCACACAUACUCGCCACUUGCCGUUCUUCUUCUUCACGACCACCGGAUUUGCGAGCCAAUCCGGAUAUUUGGCCUCGGCGAUUGAUCCUACUUUGAGUAACCUUUCAACUUCGUCGUUAACUGCUUUAGCUCGUUCGGGGCCGAGCUUCCUUCUUUUCUGCUUGACUGGCUUAAAGGUCGGAUCCACAUUCAGCUCGUGACAGGUUACGUCAAUGCUUAUGCCUGGCAUAUCUUCUGCUGUCCAGGCAAAAGUGUUGAUGUUCUCCUUGAGGAGGGAAAGGAGUUCGCUUCUCAGAGGCUCUUCUAGUUUUAUUCCAAUUUCGAUGCAUCGCUCCGGACGCGCCUCGUCUAUGCACACCGAGUCCACUGCAUCGCAUACCGGCUCGGCGCGUGUUUCGCGGUUCUCCGUGAUCUGUAAUUGCUAUAAGAGUUUCGAGAGCUCGUUUGCGGGCUCUCGGUCUGUCUUCAUCUUUUUGCGGUCUAUAUCUGCUCGUGCGUCAGUGACGGGGUUCCUCAGCUUGUGCUCGGCUAAGCAGCACAUUCUUGACUCCUUCUGAUUCCCCCAUAUCGUUUUGACACCCGAUGGAGUUGGGAAUUUGAGACAGAGAUGAUAGGUGGAUGGUACCGCCCUCAUCCCGUUGAUCCAUGGAGUUCCCAUGAUCACAUUGUAGAUUGCUGGGUGAUCAGUGACGCAGAAUUCGACGAUCUUAGUGACUCCGCCAGCUACCACAGGAAGCCUGAUCGUUCCCAUAGUCAUCGUCGUUUCUCCUGAAAAUCUGGUUAGAGGUUGGGGAUUGCUUCCACCUCGGAGAGGUCGAUUCCCAUUUUUCUGAGUGUUUCUCUGAAGAUGACGUUCACUGAGCUUCUAGUAUCGAUGAGCACCCUUGCCACAUCAUGAUCCAUGAUCGUUAACUCGAUCACCAACGGAUCGUUGUGAGGUCGAUCAAUUCCUGCCGCUUCCUCCUCGGCGAAGGAGAUCACUGUGUUUGGGAUGUCGGUUGGUUUUAUCCAAUUCUCCUUUGCUUCGGCUCGGCGCUGAUAGGCUUUGAUGGAGGACACGGUAUCAUGGUAGUAUUGAGAUCCACCCAUGAUCAUAUUGAUCCUUUGCCUCGGCACGGGUCGCUCUUCGGGUUCACCUCUCCUGUCGCGCUUGGAGUUAUCGCCUCUUCGCGCUGCUCGGCUCGGCUCUCUCUUGUUGUUCGUUAGGGACGAGGUCUUUGAGGUUGACCGCGUUUUGGAGCUCUCCCGCUGCCAUCUUAGGCACGAGUUUUGCUCCUAGAGUUCGGCACUGUGCCGUUGAGUGCCCGUAGGUCUGGUGAUACUCACAGAAAGCCUUCUCGUCGUAGUUGGCGGAUUUCCUCACCCAAGUGUUGUUGCGCGGCUCUCCUCUUCCGCGUCCGGUGCCUACCUGGUAGUUAUGGGCACCUCCGCUUCUAGGUUCAUCCGAGCUCUGCGUUGUUGCGUUGUUUGAUGGGUUGCCCUUCCUCGCGGGGCGCGGCAAAAUUGAGCUUCGGAUUGCUGCUUUCGUCGCUUCGUACCGCUCGUCCAAGUUUUUCAUUUCCUCCUCGUUUACGACGAAGUCUGAUGAUCGGUGCAGAGCGUCUUGAAUUGUUUGCGGCGUGUUGAGAGCCAUCUCCCGUUGGAACUCGGAUUUGUACCACAAAGAUUGUUUCAGAGCCUCGAGCGCAGCCUUGUCGCUUAUCCCUUCUAUUUUGGAUACGAGUGCCUUGAAUCUUGCCAUGUAAUCCCGAAGCGGCUCGUUCAGUCCUUGGGAUAGUGUCCACAGAUCGGCAUCAGAUGUUCCUCUGUCCAUAAACAUCGAGUAUUGUUUCUGGAACAAGGCGGAGAGCUGUUGAAAAUUGCCGAUUGAAUUUCGUUCCUGCCUCGAAAACCACUCGAGUGCGGCUCCCUUGAGAUGCUCCACGAAGAGCAGGCAGUAUCCGGCAUCUACUUUGCGCUCGGUGAGUUUAGCGGCGUUCUUUGUGAAGGCUCGUCCCAUUGCUAUCCGAAACGCUGUGAUGUGUGCUUUCGGGUCGGUUGUUCCUUCGUAGAACGGGAUUCUCACCUUCCCCGGCUCGGGAAUCCUGGCCUCCGUGAUUCUUGCAGUGAAUGGAGUUCUCUGAGUUUCUUCAAGCAUUCGGUCGAUUUCGGGCGCUGCGCUUGUCACGUUGUGCACUUGGGAUUUCAUGGCGCGUAUUUCAGCUACUGUCCGAGCUAUCGAGGCUCGCAGCUCUUUGAGUUCGAGAGUUUGUGUGUGAAUCAUUCCCUUUGAUUGGGGGAGUCGCUCCCGCUCCUCUCUCCUCGGCUCGUCUUCGCGCUCUGCCUGUUCGAUCCAUUGGCGAUUUUCUUCCUCCUCGGUUGGAUUGUCGCUGCGGGUCGGGUCGGAAACUUCGUCAGUUCGGAUGCCGUUUAGUGCCGAGGCGAGGUCUUCUUGACUUAUUCGCCGAGCCGAGCCGGUUUGUUGCGGAUUCGUGGUUCAGUCGUUAUGCUGGGCGUCUACGUCGAUCGCAUGGUUUUCUUCUUCGCCGGCUCGCCGCCUUGAGUUUCGGCGGAGAGGGGGCGGCUCGGUCAUGUUGACUCUGGUUGCUGCGGGGGGUCUUUUCGUCGAGGAGACGAAACAUUGGAGGAGCCGAGGGGUUUCUUGCGCCACUCCCUGAGGCUUCUGCAGGUGUCGAGAAAUCGAAGCGUCUCCGGAUUCCAUCCAUCGGGUCGGGAAUUCCGGCUCUCCAAGUUUGGUGCAGUCGCUCAGCCGCCAUCGCGUCGAGCCUUUCCGUAAUCGCCUCGUUUCUUUUAUCCUGUUCGUCGAUUUUCUUCAUCAACGCAGCCAUCAUGUUUGCAUCUCCUCCUGGGUUUUGAUCGUUGCUGUCGUUGUGCCCGAUGCCGGAGCGUCCUUCUCCGUGCCGUUACCGGUGUUGUUGUUGUUGUUGUCGUCGGGGGUGUUGCUCGCCAUGUUCUUCGGAUCUUAAAGUCUUGUCGAUUUAGAGUAAGAAAGUUUCGAUUCCCCACAGACGGCGCCAAAUUGUGUGAGCCAAAACUCGCACAACCAGAAAUUUGUUUAAGGAAAACUAAGGGAUCGGAAACUUCUAGGGUUUCGCCAAAAACAGUAAGAUCGAAAGAAAGUUUUUCUUGCUGUAAAAGUGUUUAGCUCAUAUUGCUUAGGGUUGCAAAAGUUACAGAAUGAAUUGUAUACAUCGUCUAUUUUUACUAACUCUCUGAACCGCCUAGCCGAGAAUCUCGGGAGAGAUUUUCGGAAUAUUUCCUUAUCGCCUCGUGCGGCUCACCGCCUUUGUAUUUCGCCUAGGGUUUUUAUGGGCUUCGUCUCCCAAGGCCACGGUUCGGCCCAUCAUUCUCCUUUGCCACGGCUCGGCCCAUCUAACUUCUUCACGGCUCGGCCCACUUGCCAUUUCGGUCGAGACAUGAUCUGGUCCACCUCACCGAGGCGCGGCUCGACCCAAGCAUGUUGGAAUGGGGCUCGGCCCAAAUCUUACGAUACGGCUCUCCCUACUGGUCUAUCUUCACGGCUCUCCCACUUGGUGAUCGCGGCUCUCCCGCUUGUCUUGGUGAGAACGGCUCUCCCACUUGUCUUGGUGAGAACGGCUCUCCCACUUGUCUUGGUGAGAACGGCUCUCCCAUUUGGUGACCACGGCUCUCCCACUUAUCUUUCUUCCAUACUUAGUCAUUUUGAGAUGGUUUUAUCUGCAUGGGGUGAAAACCGACCCCAACAAGUAUUGGGUAAUCUUUAGAAUUUACAUGGAAAUUGCUUAUAAAAACCAAUUUUUAGAAGAUUUCUAUGUUGAGAACAUCAAAAAUCCGAAUCUGGUCAUGAACUACUUGAUUUCUCUGAUUUAUUAUCGAUUUUGUUUGCUCAUGGUUUUAAUUAAUCUCUUUAUGCUAGUAUUAGUAUAACAGAUCUUAAUGUGUUAAAAUCAGCAUCCAAAUUCACUCUUUUUCCAAGAACUAUUUCGUUUUGCAGAAAAAUGGACCAAAACAGAUCCCGAAGGAGCCGUCGCACUGGUGGCAGCUCCGAGGACAUUCCCGAUGAUGCUACUCUAGGAGAGUACAUGCUGAACCAAACCAGACCGAGAAGGAGAAACUAUGUGAUGAGAUUGCUCCAUCACUCAAGAGAAACACAAGCAGCUCCCGAGCCACCACAGAUUCUAUACAUUGGGAGGGAGACAAACCCGAGAGUGGACUAUGCAAGACGUUUCAAGAAGCUGAACAUCAAACCCACGCCUUGCAUAGAUUAUCAUACACUCGAGAUGCUUGGAAUCAGAGAAGAUGUGAUCUGGUACAUCAAUGCACUUAAGCUGAGACCCUACAUGGAGCUGAACCUUCCGACUUAUCCUGAGCUAGUCCGUGAAUUCUUAGCGACUAUUACACUACACCACACGAAGAGGAGGAACCCCAGAGCAUCAGAUGGCAUCUUGUCAUUCUCUAUCCGCGGACAGCCUUACUCUCUCACCAUUUCUGAGGUUUGUGAAGCUCUUAAGCUUCCAUACACUGAUGGCAUUUACCUUGAAGAUGAACCUGAUCUUAACCUGUGGAGAGAGAUGGGUCAUGGAGUCUAUGAUAGUGGGAGAUCGAAGUCAGCCCUUCUUACUCAUCCAGCAGUGAGAGUUGUGCACAAGCUAUUAGCACACACGAUCUUCUCUAGAGCAAACAUGGGAGGUGUUUUAAAGACUGAGCUCAUUACACAUCAGAUUCCGUUUAUGGACGACCCACGACUUGCUUGCUUUGCCUGGAUCAUAGCGCAGAAUACGGUAAACGUGAAGCAUGACUUACAUGGUUGCGAGGACGCUACUCCAGCUUUCAGGAGUGCUAUUACAGCGAUACUACAGGCUGUAGGAUUCGAUUUCUCAUCUGAUGAGCCACUUCCCGAUGUCUGGUAUGAUCUACUUUAUCUCUCUCGCGAUCACACUAUCUCUCGUGCCGCUUUCGAUCCAGACAGGUUUGGUUACAAGUAUUGCACUGGCACUGAGGAGCACCGAGUCAGUUUGCCUUCGGUAUCUAUCCCGAGAUUGUGUAACGGAGGACGUCCGCGAUGGACUCCGGAACCUGAUGAUUUUCUGCCUUCUGUACCUCGUCUACCAUUCACCAUUGGCCAAUACAUAGUGGCCAAGGUGAAGCGUGAUGCAGCUGCGGCCCGUGCCCAUUUUCAGCCAUCUGUUUUGACCGGCCACACCUCAUCAUCUACAUCAUCUCACACUCAUUCCGAUCUGGAGCGCAGAGUUGAGAGACAGGGACGACGCUUUGAGCGCGUUGUCACCUUCUUACAGGAGCAGCACCAGUUUGCAGACGACACAUCGGAGGAUGAGUGAUUGAUCAGCACUUCACUACCAUCACGGUUCUAUCAUCAAUUUCUUUUCUUUUAUCUUAUUUUAUUUCUCUUUUAUUCACCAUCUUCUCACCAACUUUUUCACACUGGGGACAGUGUGAUUUAAGUCUGCGGGAGGAUGUCUAUCCGUACUAAUCAUUUUCUUGCUUUUCUUUUUAAAUUCCAAGUACUUUUUAAAUUUUAAUAUGUAACCUAUUCGACAUUAAGUAUUUUUCAGGAAUGUUUGACGCAAAACUAUGAUGAUUUAGACCUGCACGCUUCUACACUAUGCAUGAUUGCUCAUUUGUGGUUAGCACUAGACUAGGCGGUAGCUAGAGUACUUGCACUACGAACUCCCACCAGAGGACUUCUAUUCAUGGAGAUUCUUUCUGACAGGAUAUACUAGCUCAUUUUAUUUGGACUUAAUAUUGAUAUCUAAUUUUUUCAUCAUUGAUUUUAGGCAGGCAUCGACAUACACAUCUAGGACGUCUUCUACCCUCACUUUUACCACUCUUUGUCGUCCUAGAUGACCUGUUUAUCUUUAUCUGGUACCAUACCCUAAACCCAAAACCCUUGUUUUCAAUCCUCAUGCAUUCUUUCUUUAGUUUAUAUCAGCAGAUAUGUGCAAAAACGUCGGAGAGAAGAGGAGCGACACAGUUUUCAGUCACUCACAAAGGAGACUGAAUGGAAUUGGGAAGGAAGAGUAUCAGAAAAAUCAUGAAGCUUUACAAGACAGAUAUUGACUGGUAAUUUCGUGCUCUCUAAGACUCUAUAUCUAAAGGUGUUCCCUUUCUCCCACAAAAAAAAAAAAAAAAAAAAAAAACGUGAAAAAAGAAAGGGAAACAAAAAGCCUAAUGAGUCUUAGAUUGUCAAAAAUUUGUGGAGCAAUAAGCAACCACUAAUCGUUUAAUUUUGAAAGAUUUACAUAAAUCUAAGUCUGGGGGAGUUAGGAGAGAACCUGAGGAAGAAGACCAGGAAUCUAUGGCACGAAGAAAGUGACUGAAAACUGUGGAUACCAACAGCUUAACUCUCUCUUGCGGUUUUGCAUAAUAUCAUGCAUCCUCCAGAUUUUCAAGUAACCCGUAAACACUUUAAACCUUACCCCUAGAAUAACCUUUUUAACACCUAGCCUAGAUUGCCUUGCCUAGACUUUCUUUGAUGAGAACCACCGAGAUUUUUAAUGAAUGUUAAGAGCUAGUUGACUGGAAGUUAGAUCCUAGUGCAUAGAUUUUCGCAUGAUGGAUUAACGGACUAGUUAUGCCUGUAUUGCUAGUGAGUAUUUUCUAGGCUAUUCCCGAUUGAUGCAUACUGAUUGAUAUUGGUCUAGAAGUUUGGUCUCUGAGAUUUUGUUUAGUUCCUGCGUUUUCAAACCUCUCACCGAGAUUUAGCCUUUGUUUUGUUUGAGGACAAACAAAAGACUAAGUCUGGGGGAGUUGAUAACACCGGAUUUUGACCAUUUUUAUGGAUCACUUUCAUAUCUUUUACCGGUGUUUUUACUCCAUUUUCAAAGAUUUUCAAAGGAUUUCUAUGUUUCCGGAUUUGAAAAGACUUUUCAGGUAAUUUGGGAUAAAGAGGCACAAAAUGAAACAAAAACUCUUUUGAAUAAAUGCAGACCGUCAGAACUCUCAUGGAGAGACGACGACCUUCUCACCGUCUGAUCACCUUCAAAACUGGACAACUUAUAGAAGAAUCAACCAGCUUUCAAAUGCACUUGGUUUGGAGACAUUCUAACGGUUGGAUCUCAAGAUAUUCCAUUAGCCCCGGAGCCACUCGAACUCGGCCAGAAAGUCACGCGACCGCGGUGAUCAACCUAUUUCCCGCGGUCAGAAGCUUCCCGACCGCGGCCAACCAGCCAAUCCCCGCGGUCACAACACUCCCGACCACGGCAAUCAAUCUCCGAAUUAAAGCCCAUGUAUCUGAAGCCCAAAGUCAUUCUCAGCCUCAAUUCCGGAACCCUAGAGACCAUGGAGUAUUGGAGACUAUAAAUACAUGUCAUUUAGGUCGUUUUUAGGGAGAGUCAUUCAUACUUUACAGAAACCCUUUUCCUUUAGCCGUUUUUAUGAGAUUUUUGUAGAAGAUUGUUCAAGUCCGAGUUCUUCAAUAGAGAAGCUUUCUUUAUCUCUUUUUUUUACUGUUUUUCAUUACUUUUAUUAAAACCAAUGAUGAUGUCGACCUCCGCCAUGUCUGAGUAGAUCCCGAGUUGGGCUUAGGGUUCCCGAAAGGGGCUCUCAUAAUCGAUUAAGACAUCUAGGUUUAUAGAUCUGGGAUUUCGACAUGUUCUCUGUUUAUUCUUGUUCUUAUUGCAUGUAUGCUUGAUUGAUCACCUAGUAUCUGAUCUAGAUAGUUAGUGUUGCGAAAGUUUUCAUUAAGUAUCAGCCCUAGAAUGAAACAGGCAAUUUUUUCGUAGGAGUGGAAACCUACCUGCGGCGAGAUCGUGAGUAUUGACGAGUCUUGUGCAGCUCUUGCGUUCUCUCCCUUCCAGGGCUAGAGUGGAAACCUACUGGUCUGGGUUGCGAGAAACAGUUGGUUAUGAUCACGACAAUGACGUAGUCAUACCGCCGUACUCUAGCUCUAGAACCCAUAUAUCGAUAUCCGUCAAUCCCAAUCUAUUUACCCUAGUGUUAAAACCGAUUAUGAUCCCUUAGAGUCCCCAAAAGCUCAGCGUUUUUAGCCAUAGUUUACAAUUCCAUCGAUUUUUAUUUGCUUAUUUAGGCCUGCAUUUCAAUUUCCUUAGUUUGUUAUUUACUUACUUUACUAGUAUUUCAUUCGAUAGUUUACUUGCCUUAUUAGUCUUUCAUUCGAUAUUUUACUUGUUCUAUUUGCCUUUCAUUCGAUUUCUUUACUUGCUUUUUAGGAUAGAUUUAUUUGCUUUCUUUUGUUUUAGUUUAAUACAUCAAACCAACCAACCUUUAAAAACCAAUCUAGUGUAGACAUAAAGUUAAAAACCGUAGAAGAAUACUAGGCACACAAAUCUAUGUGGAUUCGAUCCCUAAAUACUACAACUGAUUAGCUGUGCACUUGCGGCUUUCAUUUGUUUUGUUAAGGGUAAAACUUGAGAGAAAAGGUAUAUCAUCGAAAAAAAAUUCAUGCAAGAAAAUUUUGACCAUUAUUUGUGGUGUCUAUACCAUAAAAACCAAUAAUCAUCUAUGAUCGGAUCAGAAUUUACCGGCGUAAUCUCAGCAAACCCAUGCAAAAAAACGUCAAUAGUAACAAAACCAACUCAAAUAUAACCAUGAAACAAGUCUACCAUACAUAUGGAAUCUGUUUAACAUACAACACCCCAAAACAAGUCUACCACACCUUUGGUUUUUUUGUAGAUUGCUGAAUACCUUUAGGACAAAUAAGUAAUUUCAAUUGAAUAAGUCAAAUGUCUACCGAAAACAAUGUAACUAAGUCUACCACAAGCAAUGUAAAUAACUCUACCAUAAGAAAAACUCUACCUUCAAGCAUCAAAUAUGUCUACCAGAUUGAGGUUAUCUGAGUAAACACCAAAGUUAUUUAAUCUACCACAUGAAGCUCAAUAGAAGUCUACCAUACGUGCAAUAACUUUACCAAUUGAUUGAAAAUCUACUACAAUAACAAAAAAAAUCUACCACCAUUUUAUAAGUCUACCUCAUGUAACAAUAAAUUUACUACUCAACGGAAUGAAAUCACCAAAUUUUUACUUGAUUUAAAUCUUCCACAUUACUUAUAAAUCUACCACAAGAGCGAUAAAUCUACUCACAUGAUAUAACUCUACCAAUUUCAUAACUAAUCUACCUCAAUAGGGAUAAAUCUACCACCACGUUAUCUUAAAUUUUGGUGAAUAAAUCUGCCACCAAAAGAAAUAAGUCUACCAAUUCGAGUAUUAAAUCUACCCCCAUUGUCAACAAAUCUACCAACAAAAUCAACUAUGCGAGAGAGUCAACGAAUUCCUUAACAAGUCUACCAACACUUUAACAAGUGUGGCAUACAUGACAACAAAUCUACCGAAACUUAACAAAUCUAUCGUGUCAUUGUCAAAACUCUACCAAAAAAAGUAUAUCAACAUUUUACAAAUCUACCAAUUCUCGAAUAAAUCUACCAUCGUCCUAACAAAUAUGCCAUCUAAAAAAUUGUGUUGACCAACAUCUGAUAAGUCUACCAUCAAAGACCGGUAGGCUUAUCAUUUUUCAAGCGCAUCUUUUUGCCUACAUGGCACAAAAAAGUAAUGGCAUUUUUUUAAUUAGGUUUUUUUCAUCAAAGGCGAAAAUGAUGUUUUCGGUAUGCUAUGUUAUUUUUGUAAUAAAAAUAAAAGUAUGUCAAGCAAACAAUAAACAUACAUUUAAAGGUUUGUAUAGUAAUCCUUCCUUGUUUUAAUUCUUUUGAAAAACAGUUUAUAACAUCAAAAUAUGUUGUACAUUUUUAAAACCCUUAUGUCCGCGCAAAGCGCGGACCAACACCUAGUUAUAAUUUAAAAUCCAGCUAAGUUAUCUACAUACUAUAAUUCAUAAUUCACUAUUAAAAAAAUCAAAAUUCAUCCAUAUUAACCAUAAAUCUUACAAUUUUUAAACACACGAUAACAAAUUGGUAUUUUAUAAUUCUAUAAAUUAAGAAUCUUGUAUAGAUUUUAUUCAUAAUUCAUUUUUUAUAUACUUUUUUUUUGUCAUCAGCCUAAGUACCUAAAACGGUUCGGCUAUCCAAACCGGUGGUACCGAGUUUACAUAAAUGACGUCUUGAGGGUAGACACGAGCACUUCUUGCUAGGUUGUCCGCCUUCGAGUUUUUUGCGCGUGGGAUAUGUGAUAUAAGGAAGAAACUGAACUUGUCCUUCAUUUUCCUAAUCUCCUCCAAAUGUAGAUCAAAAGCUGGCCAUUCUUUGGGUGUAGACACCAUCUUCACCAACUCCAAACAGUCUGUUGCAAAAGCUACUUCCAUCUUCUGGUUUUCGAGCAUACAGUGCAUAGCCCAUAUGAGGGCUUCUAUUUCUGCAUGCAGAGGUGUAAGACUUUGUCUUACAUUUUGUGCUCCCAUUAUUCUUUCCGUAGCAUCUUCUUUAAAGAAGUACCAUCCUAAUCCCGUUAAAAGAUAUGUAUCUUUCCAAGAGCCAUCAGUAUAACACCACCAGCCUUCGUAGGCCAUAGGUGUUUACAAGUUCAGAGAAGUGCAAAGAUCGGUAGGAAUUGAAUCCUGUUCAGACCUUUGAGCCUCUUCCCACAAUGUUGCUUCUUUUUCCGCUAUUUUCAAUGUAAUCUGUGGAUCUAUAUCAUUAUUCGAAUACACUUUCUCAUUCCGUGCCUUCCAAAUAUACCAUGCGAUCCAUGGGAAUUUUGUGUUAUUCAACUCUUUUGGAAGUCGCCAAAAGAGAUGAUCAAAAUUCGAAUAAACCGAUGGUCCUGGGAAAAUCCCAAGAGGUGUUGGUAUCCGGGAUAAUGCCGAAGUUUGCAAAGCAGGAGGACAUUCAAAGAGCACAUGGUUAAUUGUUUUUUCAUCUGCUCCACACCGUGUACAUUGUGUGUCACAUUGUAUUCCACGGGUGCUUAAUCUAGCCGACACUGGAUGGCACCAAGAUAUUGCUUGCCAGAUAAAAUGUCUUAACUUCGACACACUUUUCAAUUUCCAAGCAUAUGCUUGUAAAGCCUUUAUGUCUGGGCCAAAGAUCUCCUCUGUUAUUUCUUUAGAUAAAUAACGCUCAGUUUUGUACCCUGAUUUUACAGUAUAUCGUCCGGAUUCUGUGAAAUGCCAUCCCAUUGGGUCUGGCCUAUAGGUUCUACUAAUGGGAAGUCCACGAAUAAUUUCCACAUCCGCUGGGUCAAUAAUUGCUGUUAUCAAACCCAUGUUUCACGAGUUUGUCACUGGGUCAAUCAGGUGAUUAACCAUAAGAUUCGGAUAAUAAUUGAAACCCUUACAAGUGGCUGAUCUCGGGCGAGUAGAAGGUAUCCACGGAUCAUUCCAGACAGAAAUGGAGCAUCCUGAACCUACCCUUUUAAUUAGCCCUUUAUUAACCAGAGAUCUAGCCGAUAUUAUACUUCGCCAUCCAUAAGACGGUGAGUAGGAUCUCACUGGGUCCAAAGGACUUGGAUUCCGAAAGUAUCGUCCUUUAAAGACCUGCGCAAAUAAGGAAUUUGGUCUAUCAAUCUGCGAAAGUAUCUUCAUUUUUUAUAUACUUUGUAUUUACUAAUCUUUUCUUUUAAUUUUUUCUAUUUUUUGAAUUUACAUUUAAAAAGGUAUAAUUAUUUUUCUAUUCUUAUUUGAAAUAAAUAAUUAAAAUAAGAAAUUUUAUCUCAUUUCAUUGACACAUGAGUCAAUCAUAAAUAACUGUGAUAUAUGACACAAUAUAGUGAGUUAUAAAAAUAUAAUGUCUUAUACAUAUAGAAUUUUAUUUUUGGUUUACUUUUGUUAUUUCUAUUUUGUAGUUUCUAUUUUCAUCUACUUUAGUUUUUUCUAAUUUAGUAAUUUACAUUUAAAAAUGUAGAAUUCCUUUUGUUUAGAAAAAAAAUAUAAUUUAACAUAUAAGAUUUUAUAUUAUUUUAUUGACAUAUGUUACGAUCAUAGUUAAGCGUGAUACAUGACACAAUAUGGUGAAUUAUAAAAAUCCUAUGUGCCAGUGUCACGUUGAGAGCACUGAACUUUCUUUUUUUUUUUUCACUGAAUAUUACGUAUAUUAAUAAUCGAUGAGCUUACAAGCAGACAAUACAAAACAUGAUCAAAAGCAAUCAAACACUCAUAUAGAACAUGAGUAUUACAACAAGGUAAUACUACUUUCAGAAACAAAAAUCUCUUCUAACCACUGAGGAUAGCCCGAGGCUAUAUAUGAUUGUCGACGAUCAUCUUUAGUCACACUUCUAGCAAUGAGGAAAGCACCUUGAUUUGUAACUCUUUCCUCAAGCGUAAGCUUCCAAUCCAAAAAAAUUUCCAAACCAUUCAAGAUCUCAGACGAAUAGAAUUUGAAAGAAGGCCAGGCUGGUGGCCGAUGAACCGCUCCUAUUAAAUCUGAAUCUUCCGAAGCAAAGACCAUUUUGGUGAUACCUAAGCUAUUCAAACUUUCAAUUGCCCAGAUCCAACUUUUGAAACUAGCAUCAAUGUGGCUGGAUACAGAACAGAAAGAUCUUCUACUGUGUAAAAGGACUGAUCCAAAAGAGUUCCUAAGAACCCAUGCAGCACCACCACAUCCUUUCUUUUUAUCCCAGGAAGAACCGAUAUUACAUUUCAACCAAGGUCUAGAGGGAGGAAGCCAAACCUUCGGGGGUUGAAUCACCUCCAUCUUUUUUUUAAUAGCUUCCUUUUCAUCCAACUCUUGAGCGUGAAACCAUUGGUUCACAUCUUCUUUAAUCUUGCCCAUAGUAUCAGAAACUCGGAAGCUCAUUCCUUCAAAAAUGAAGAUGUUGAGAUUCUUCCAGAGUAUCCAUAAGAUCCACGGGAUUGAUCUUCUGAUUUCCAAAGGCACUGAUAACUUUUUACCCACCAUCAAUAAAUGGAACAUGUUCUGAUAGAUGGAGUUUGAUUCAUAUCCAUUUUCAGGACUGGGUACAUUCGAAGAGGCCCAAACCUGUCUAGCAAUUGUACAUUUGAAUAGCACAUGAUUUAUGGAUUCACCUUCAAGCCCACAGAUUUGACAUCUCGAAUCAAUCUUCAUACCUCUCGAUGCAAUUUUGUCUGCAACAGGAAUGGCACCACUAAUUGCUUUCCAAAGAAAGUUUUUGAUUUUAGUGGUUGUAUUGAGCGCCCAGAUUUGGAGUUUGAUUGCAUUCAAAGACGGUUGCAUCAGAGCUUCCUUGAGGGCUUCAGAUGGAUUACUUUGAGAAGCAAACCAAUACCCUGAUUUAACAGAAUAUUCGCCACUUUUGGUAUGUUCCCAGCAGAAAAAAAUCCAAUGAAGAAACCACCGGGUUAGUUCUUAAGAUUAGACCAACGUCUCUUUGGAAGAAAUGCUCAUCGAGUUUAUCCCUAUCCCAGCUUUUGGAUAUCGGAUCAAUGAGGUCAAUAACUCUCAAAUCCAAAUUAAAGAUGAUGUUCUUUAUGAAGGGAGCUCUCAUAACCCCAUCACAAAGCCAUCGAUUAGUCCAUACACUAAGCGAAGCUCCAUUGCCAACCAUCUGUCUAAGACCUUUUUCUAAAAGAGAUCUUCCAUGAAGAAUGCUUCUCCAAGCAAAAGAGGGUCUAACUCCAGUAUCUGCGAGAAGGAAGGAGGAAGAAACAAAGUAUCGGCUCUUUAAGAACAAAGCAAGGAGACAAUCCUUAUCUUGUAGAAUUCUCCAAGCUUGUUUGGCUAAAAGAGCUUGGUUGAAGAUUUGAAUGUCUUUAAAACCGAUCCCUCCUUGAGCUUUAGGAAUGCACAAUUUAUCCCAUCCAAUCCAAUGCAUUUUCCUUUUGUUCUCGACAGUGUCCCACCAGAAAUCAGCCAUCGCAGAAGAUAACUUAUUACAGAUAGUUACUGGCAAUUUAAAACAGGUCAUGGAGAAAACUGGCAUCGCCAUCGCAACAGAGUUGAGUAACACUUCUUUUCCACCUUGAUAUAGAAGCUUUGAAUACCAUCCAGACAUUCUUCCUUUCAUUUUGUCGUGGAUGUAAGACAACAUAUCCACUUUAGAUCCACUAAAACAUUCUGGAAGACCCAAAUAAGUGCCCGCUCCACCUUCAUUGAUAAUACCCAAUUUGGUUUGAAUGAUUUCCUUCAUAUCCAUAUUCACGUUAGCACCAAAAGUGAUGGAGGAUUUAUCAAGGUUGAUGAUCUGACCAGUAACUCUUCCAUAAAGAGAAGAAUGGAUUGGAGGGUUGUGCACUGUUCUUCAUCCGCUUUAAUCAUAAAAAGACUGUCAUCUGCGAAUAACAAAUGGUGAAUGGCUGGACCAUCGGGAGAGAAUUGAAUCCCAUUAAUCAAGCCAGAUCGUUCAGCACAGUUGAGCAGAUAUGUCAAUCCUUCAGUACACAAAACAAAAAGGAAAGGUGAUAAGGGAUCACCUUGCCUUAUUCCUCUCUCAGGAAUGAUCAAACCAAAAGGCUGUCCAUUAAUCAGAACUGUAUAAGAAACCGAGGAGACACAGAACAUAAUCAUCUGGACCCAUUUUUGAUGAAAACCGAGAGCCAAAAGGAGCGCUUGAAGAUAGGACCACUCAACACGGUCGUAAGCUUUUGACAUGUCGGUCUUCACCGCCAUGAACUCCGUCGAAAUCCUAUCAUGAGUUCUCAAACCAUGGAUAGCUUCAUGAGCUAUUAUAAUGUUAUCUGAGAUAAGUCUUUCUUCAACAAAGGCAGAUUGAUUAGGAGAGACAAUCUCAGACAGAAAGGGUUUCAUUCAGGACACCAUGAUUUUGGAAAUCACUUUGUAGAGAACAGAACAGAGACUAAUUGGCCGUAGGUCACUCAUGUGAGGAGAGUUGACCUUUUUUUGGGAUAAGACAAAGAUUAGUGAAGUUCCAUUCUUUAGGGAAAACACCCGAUUCAAAGAACUUGAGAACUUCCAUCGUGACAAGAUCACCAACAAUAUCCCAAUAGUUCUGAAAGAAAAGACCAGUCAUACCGUCUGGGCCAGGAGCACUAGAGGCUUUGAUCGAGAAAACAGCUCUUUUCACUUCUUCUUUAGAAACCAUACUGAUAAGACUGUCGUUCAUUCUAGAGUUGACUCUCGGCAUGAAAUCGGAGAAGAAUUCUAUCUGAUUUGAAGGAGCAGAUGAUGAGAAAAGAGUCUGGAAAUAGCUAGUCGCCACUUCACCCUUUGAAGCUUCAGAUCGAUGCAUGAUUCCAUUUAUAUCCAUAAGCUUAUCAAUACAAUUCCUUGACCUAUCAGACUUGACAGAAGCAUGGAAAAACUUGGAGUUUUUGUCACCAAGAUUCAGCCAUUUAUCUCUACUUUUCUGUUGCCAAAAACUUUCUUCUUCCUUGUAAGCCUCCACCAGACUUUUUUGAGAUUGAAGAGACGACAUGAAGAAGGAGAUGACGAGGAUUGUUCAAACUCCAGAUCAUCUUCAAUAGUUUUUAUUUUGAUCUGAGAAUUAGCAUCGUUGACUUUCUUCCAUUGACUGAGAGCUUUCCUGCAACUUCUUAAUCUCGAAGAGACACUAAGAUUAUGAGAGGAUGAGGGACCAAACCAAGCCGACUUUAUGGCUUCUUUGACAAAAGGUUUGUGGAGUAAUCUUUUUUCAAAUCUAAACGAACCCCGAUAAGACUCUUGAGAAGAGAAGAGAUGAACCAGGACCGGACGAUGAUCGGAUCCUCUUUUAGCCAAAAAAGCUUGAUUAGAAGCAGGGAAGAAAGAAGACCAGACUUUGUUGCCGAAACAUCUGUCAAGCUUACACUGAAUCCACAAGGUGCGUCUUCUGCCACCCCAGGUAAAGCUAUUCCCUGUACUUGGAAGUUCUCUCAUAUCACAAUCUUUCAACAUGUUGGAAAAAGUAAGGAAAGAAGAAUCACUCCUUCUUGGACCACCAUUUUUUUCCUCAUUGUUGAGAAUUUCAUUAAAGUCUCCAAGCAUACACCAUCCAGUUUUUCUUUGAAUCCCAAUACGAGUCAGCCUUUCCCACACUAGGUGUCUCAAACUCGCAUUUGGGUUUCCAUACACACACGUAACAAAGAAACUGCUUGAACCAAACUGUACAUACAUGUCCAGCACAUUCUUAUCUACAUACUUGAGAUCGAUAUCAACACCUUUUUUCCAGAAAAGAGCCAAACCCACCGGAUCAACCGUAUAUACAUGCUCAUAACCCAACCAAACUUGAAUAUCUACAAUGAUAUUUUUACAGUUUAUCGUUUCCAUAAGGAACAAGAUCUCAGGGAAGUGUUUUUUACGCAUCUCCAUGAGUCUGGGAAUCGUCAGAUCUUGAGGCCGCCCCAAUCCCUGGCAAUUCCAGCUUGAUAUGCUCAUAAAUCAGUGGACAGUUCCUCAUUUGGGACCAUCUCAUGUGUUUUUGACCUUGCGGCUUUGGAAACACUCUCCAGUUCACUAUCAGCUUUCCUUUUCUCCACUGAACCCUCUAAAGAACCCUUCUUUUUCUCCACAUCUUCGGCAAAAGAAUUCUCCAAUUUUCCUUUUAACUUCCUUCGAGAUUUUGGAGGCCUCUUUCUUGGUUUUGGUUUUUUCAUAGCAGUCCCGGAAGGACCAGCAACAGAGUGCCCGAUCCUAUAACCCGUUGAACUGUUGUGAAAAGGGACCGACUCAUCACCAAAAUCUGGGGAAGUAGAAUCGGUUUGAAGAGGAUUGGAGCCAUAAUUUCUCCUAGAGCUAGCAUCCGCUUGAAUUGCAGCAGACAUAAGCUUUUGACCUCGAGGCAUGAUCACUUCAGUUUUUGUAGUCGAGUCCUCAGAAUCAUAGCCAAAGACUGGACCUUUCCCUUUGUUGAGAUCACGAGUGAUAAUUGGAACAGGUUCUAGACGAAGCACCAUUUUCUGCGUGAUUAAAUUCUUUUCUGCCUCACAAACAGAAUUCUUCACACGAUCUUCUCUAACCUUACGAUCAUCACCAUUAGCAAUUAACAAAUAUUGUCUCAUGCCUUCUAGAACCUCAGCUGCAAUUCUUGGACGACCUGUUAAGGGAUUCAAGCCAACCUGGUUCUCACCAAGAACGCCAAAAAGAGGGUCAGAUUCCAACAGGACAGGCUUGGGGAUCUGUUUUUGGGGAGCAUGUCCAAGUCUUCUUUCAGCCGCCAAAGCUUGACGUUUCAUGAUCAAAAUAGGGCACACCUCACGCGCGUGAGUUAACCUUUGACAAGAAUAGCAUCUCUUCUGAAUUCUUUCAUAGAACUAGUGAACUGUGGUUGAGCCUCCCUUAGGCAGAUUGAUCACUUUCGACUGUCUAAGAGGUUUAGACACAUCAAAUUUAACUUUCACUCUCACAAACUCUUUGUUCUGCGCUUUAGUAGGAUCAAAUGCAAUUUCAGUAACAAGACCAACAAGAUCUCCUAAAGCAGUAAUCGCCUCCUCAGUGUAAUGAUUAAUAGGAAUGUUUCUGAUUUGCACCCAGAUCGGAACAAACUGCAGAGAUUCACUUGAAGGCUGCUCUUCCCAACGCUCUGUAGCAAGAGCCCAUUCAUUGAAAGUAUGGACACCUUUGUCCAAGAUUUCAUUUAGGUCAUGUUCAUACUUGAAGAAAAACUGGAAACGCUCUCUUGAUAGAGCCACACCUCUGACUCUAUCAUACUUUUGCCAUUUUCUAGGCAAAUCCAAAAUCAGGUUAGCCAUCUUUUGACAUUCUGGAUUAAGAAGACGACCUAUCAGGCUGAACUCAUUUUUAUCACUUGAACAGUAAGCUGGGGUAUCAGGAAGAUCGAAUGGAACUUCUUCUUCCUCUAGAGACAUGGCCAUCAGCGCCUUAUCCAUAGCAGAAGACAUGGUAACCGAAAAUAACUCUGAACCACAACCACAGGUAGAAAAUCUGAACGGCCCAAAGAAGAUAGACCACCCAAAGCAAGGAAACCACGAGAUGAAAACUUAAGCAGGAGAUGAGACGAAAUUUUUCUAGACCCAGCAAAUGAAGAACACGGAUGAACCCUAUAUUUCUUUAUAGAUCUGAAAAAAAGUGUUUGAAAAGGUGAAAAGCGGGAUGAAUAGUCAAAAGGGAAAGAAGUUUUUCCACACAAAAGCUCUAUUCUCGAAGAGAUGAGAUACUCUUACACAGAAAGAGAGUCCUAAGCCCAAAAAAGGGAAACAGAUAUUUUUUCUACUAUCUUCAUCUUCUAUCUGCACCACUUGAGAGCACUGAACUUUCUAUAAUAAGAUUCUAUUUUAAAAAAACUAUUAAAUGUGUAGAAGAAAACACCACCAAAUGAGAAGUUUUGACGAUGGGACUUGGGAGGUAAGAAAAGCAUAUAAGAGUCUCCAAGUGUCUGGUUAUACUUUUUUUUGCGAUCCAGUUUAUUCUUUUGUCCAACCUCAAGGGUAGAUGUUAAUUUGAUUUAAUUUUGUAUUGGGUCAGUUCAAUUAAUUUGUAUUUAAUAAAAUUCUAACUGAAUUUAAAUGAAGUUAAUUCGUGGUUUUUCUUCAGUUUGAUCUAUUUUUGGUUAAAAAUAAUAAAAAAGUCAAUAUGAAAAUAAGUCAUAACAAAAUAAAAGAGAAAAAAGAAAAAUUUUUUGGCACUUAUUUUAAAUUAUUGCGAUUUAAUAGAUACGACACAUUUAGUUAAGACAUAUAUGUCUAGGACACAAAAGAAAUAUUGAAAUGUUGUAGUGACUUCAUAACACUACUACAAAUAGAUAAAAUACUGGGAUGGUGUAUUGACUUGGCAAUACUGUUACAAAUCUCAGAUAUAUUCUAAAAGAUAUAGUGGAAUGGUGUGGUGACUUCAUAACACUACUACAGAUAAAUAAAAUACUGGGAUGGUGUACUGACUUGAAAACACUGUUACAAAUCUUAGAUAAAUUCUAAAAGAUAUAGUGGGAUGAUAUAUCAAUUUGUGACACUACUGUGUACAUCCUACCCAAGAUCCAGAAAUUCAUUGGGUUGACUCGGUUUAUUCCAGGUUGAUCUAGUUUGCCUCCUUUUCCUAUUUCAGCGUUUUAAACCUAAUUUUUUAAGUUAAGUUUAGUACUAACUUUGUCUCUCUUUCUUUUUUAAGGUUUUACUUAAAAGUUUGAUGCUAUCAUAACUUAAACACAGAGAGAUUAUAUACACACUUUAUUCUCAUAGUUUCACUUCUUUUUAUCAUUCCCCUUUAAUACAGUAAAGGCACUUAAAUCAAUAUAAAUUAAAGACACUAUUGUACUAUGUAAUCACUCAUUUUAUUUCACUCAUAAAAAGAAUUACAAAAUUAAUACAUCUUAGGAACUGAUGAUGAUCGACCUAUCAAAACCCAAUUGUAAAGAAAAUAUCUAUCUAGCAACUAAUGAGCAGACUAUUAAAUUCAUCAACUAAAUAAGAAAAGUAAAAUAACUAUUAAUCUUCUCUCUUCUAACAGCUUUCUCUGAUUAUGCAGUCUACGUCAGCAGUGAUCACUCCCUGGUAGCAGUUAAUUGGUCUUCAUCUUCCAGCUCAUGAUCUUCUUCUUAGGCACAUAGCUCUUGAGGUAUUAUAAAUACCCACAUCGAAAACAAGAAGCUUUUCUUCAAUCUUAAGUGUGAAAAUUGCUUGAUCAUAGGUGCAGCUCUCUCCCAUGUCCUCUCAUUAUCUAGAAGACCUGUCCAACUAAUUGAUGUUUCCAAAUGAUUAGCAAGAUCAGAGUGAGUAACUAAAACUGAUACCGGUUCAAUAAUGAGUUCAUCAUCAACUGAGAAGGACUGUGGAAGUGCAGAAACAUGAUGAUCUGUUCCUAAGACUUUUUCACUAUCAAGUAGACCGCCGAUGCAAAAGUUAAAUACCAUGAUAUAACCUUUAAAAAUUUUAGUACCACAAUAAUCACUUUUUGUUGAAACCUUACAAUGCAAAAUCAUAAAGUGACAAAUAGGUACUUGAACCUUUUUUUUUUCAUCCAAUACCAAACUUGUUUUUUCAUCAUGAUUCACCUUCUCUAACAUGUACAAAUAAGAAUACAACACCUUAAAACUUUAUUUUUUAGUACAACGCACUUCAUUAACAUCUUUUUUUCCUCUCAAUGUGGUAGAUUAAGAAUGCUGAUCUAGUAACUAAAUAAGAAUGCCCUGUCAACUAAAUCUUGCCAUGCCUGCUUAGUUCGAAAUUUUUGACAUAAUUCUCAUGCAUCACGUGGAAGUUCAACAUAUCCAGGCAUACACAAGAUAACCAGACUGUUAUCUACACCAUUAUCCACACUAUUAUCCACAUUGUCACGUGAUAUAUUUGUAACACAUCUAUCAACAACAUUCUUGAUCAAUUCAUGAUGUUGUUCUGUUGUUUUGUCAUCUUCUUAAAGAGUAACAAAACCAUCAUUAACUCUAGAAUUAUUUCUUCCACCUGAAAACAGAUCGCCAAAAUUCACACCAAAUAAAAUUUCUCAUUCUACUCUUAGAAGUUGCUUGCCCAACUUAAUGUUUUCCAAAUCUUUGGUGACCUCUACAUGCAAAACACUUCUACAUAGUUCCUUAUUCAUGGAGAUAAACAUAAACGUCCUCAUUAUUGAAAAUAUAUUAUUGUCUGUGAGGUUUCACUACCAAUGGAAUUAAAGUCACUUUCAGCUUUGUCUAAGAUAUAUAUAUGAUGUCGUAAAUGAUAUACUAUACAUGUGAUCUUCUAUUGAAAUCCAUCAAUUCUAUGAUCUUUGAAUAAUAUCCUUCAUAAUCAAAUAUAUGUUUGUGAAACUAUAGCUUAUUGUCUUAGGAAGAAUAGAAACUACUUUAGCACGUGUUAUCUUGAAUCAAUAAUAUUAUUUGUACCAAUUAUAACACUUCUCUAAGUAAUAUCAACUGUUACAGUUGUUUUUCUGCAAAUUAGGUGACUUCGGGCCACUGAUAUGUUCAUAAUUUGCAUCAUUUAGGUUGCACAAAUCAUUCCAAAUCAUGUUUUAUUUCAUGUAUUUUAGGUCCCUAGGGUUUGUUUUAGAACUUAGGAGAUGCAUUAGGUCCCAAUGAGUCUUUGCAUGUUUUGAGUGUCUAUCAGGUGAUUAUGGAGCUGAAAAGAUGAAUCCAGGAGGUGGAAUGGUGAGCAGAGCUUGAAAAAGUGGAAAACUUGAGUCUAUGGAGGUUAUCGGCCAUUCUCGCUGGCCAGGAAGGUUUUACCGGCCAUUUUCAUGUACUGCGGGAAGCUUUACCGGCCAUUUUCACGUACCGCGAAUUAAGUAUAUCGGCCAAAAUCUCCGGGUGCGAACGAGUCUCAGAAAUCACCUGUCCGGGGAGCCUUCCGGUCCGAUUCAGAUGGCGGGUCCUUCAUAGAAGUUGGAGAGCAUUGAAGCACGGUCUCAUAGCAAUUGGAAUCGUAGAAUUCGGACGCGUGAGCAGAGAGAUAAGCUCGUCGGAAGAAACCCCUGUCUCGCAGGUAUUCCGGACCGAGCAGAUCAGUUCUGAAGGAUGCGAAGGACGGUGCACUUCCAGGCCGAUUCAGCUUCCGGGUCCUUCAUGAGAAUCAGAGACAUUUGAGUUUUCUUUCCAGAACGUCCAAGAGCAUUCAAUUCGGAUCUAUGAGAAGGAAGAUACGGCCUCCGGAAUGGACACAUGUCUAGACGCCUCUCUCUGGUCGUAUACAUGCACUGCAAAGAUGUGCCCUCCAGGAAGCCUUCCACCUCCCAAGCACUGAAACUUCCUUCACAAAAGUUGGAGAUAAAUGAGUCCUCUGUCUUCUGCAACCGAAAUCAUUCAAUUCGGACAAGUAUCACAGGAGUUACACUCUCCGGAAUGCGAAGUGAUCUAAGCUGCUCUGGAUGCUGCGAGAUGGUCUUGCGACUUGGUUAACCCGCAGGCCUGAAGAUGAACACCUGAAUGCUGAUGCUGCGAGUUGAAAUGUGCGGGUAAACUAUCACUGGAAGAGGUCUGGAGCUCCCGAGCAAGAGAAAUGCUAAGUCCACAAUCGUGCGACUUAGGCAUGCGAGUCAUCCGCGCCUGGAUCUAUGCCGCACGAUCACUCGGAAUUCACUCCGACUCGAGCCUGCGACCUAAGUGCAAUAGAGACCAACCCGCACAGUUUCUACAUCCCCCAGAAACCGGCUCAGCCCUGCGAGUUGGAGAGGAAGGAGACCAUGCCGCAGAAACACUCGCAAUUUACUCCUAGAUAGGCGUGCGGCUCCGACAAGGUGAUUCAAGCCUCACAAGACAAGUCUUCAUCUACUGCGACUUAGGUGUGCGGCCUGGGACAUACUGAACCGACCCGCAGCUUUUCCCACUUUAUCCAUUAAAGCCGGGUCAGGACCCGGUUUGUUCCGGGCUGACCCGGUUCGUUUUUAAGAAGGUAUAAAUACUUUUUAGGGUUUUUUGGGGGAGAACUAAGUUUUAUUCCCUUUGUCUCUUGCCUUUUUGGUGAAAAGACUCCAUUAAGAAGAGAAAUAUCUUUAUUUGAGUGUUUAAUCAAGAGAGUUUAAGGAGAUCUGGGUGUUUAAAGCUGUUUUCUUUUGAAUCUAUCAUCUCCAUCUCCAUUUCUCAUCAUUAAUCAUGCUAAUCUACUCAACUUGCAAAAGUUUAAGAGAGAUUAGUAUGAUUAGUGAGUAGUCACCUUAAUGAGGUUCUAGAUGUGUAGGUUAGGGUGCUAAAGUGUUAGAUUAGGAGUGCUUAGGGCUAGAUUCAUUGAUUCAUCUCUCUAAACAGCUGUUCUCUAUGCUAAAUCCUUGAUAAUCACUUGAGAUCUAGAUUCUGGGAAUUUCAUGCACCAAAAGUGUUUGAUGAAAUUCCUGAAAGAGUUGUGUUAGAGGUUUAAGUAAUUUUUCAUCAUGGGAAUGAUUUGUUAAAUGCUUGAAUGAUCAUUAAGAGCUGUUUGUUAAUGCAUAUUGAUUCAUGUUUCACAAAUGGGAAUUUGGUUUGAAAAUGGAUUAGUAUAGGGGUUAAUACCUUCAUGAGAGGAUUAACCUAGAUUAGAGUUCUUAAUCAUUUGAAUCAUGUCUCAUCAUUGUCAUUAGCAUUUCUAGUUUAACACCAAGGCACCCUAACCAACUAUCAUGUCUAGAAUCUCAUGCCUCCAUCAUAUCAUAUUCACAUCAUUUGUCAUUGUCAUUUGUCUUUAAACCUGUUUAUGUUUAUAGUUGUCUCUAGAUUAAUCAAAACCUAUUCUUGUUUGCUUGAAUUAAGAACUUGAUCAUAUAGCUUAGUGUCUAACACCACAUCUGGAUUGAUAAACCUCUUUGUACUACAUUGACAAGGGGAUUGAUAGCCCUGAGACCCUUAAAAGUCAUAUCUAUCAAUUGGCGCCGUUGCCAAAUUGUGGUUUGAUUAGCAUUAAGCUCUGAUCUGUUCUUGAGAUCAAGUGCUUACUUUCUUGUUUUUACUGAUUCCUUUCAAGUUCUGUUUGUGAUUUCAGGUGUAUGAACACCAGGUCCAGAUCAAGAAGCUGCGGUCCUCCUUUUCCUCUAAACGACAACAUCAACCUUCUGGUACCAAGGAGGAGAAGAGACAGACGUGGUAGACAACUUGAUCAGACUGAGAUGGCCGACCAAGGAGAUCACGGGGUAGAUAUAGAACAACCAGUUCAGGAGCAACAGGCUCAAGGUCAGGGAGCUGGUAUUGGAAUUGGUCAGGGGUUUCACCAAGGCAAUGUUCAGCAGGAACAGGUGCACCACCAACAAGCCUAUGUCCACCAGGGACAAGCUCAGGCUCAUCAACAGAGGCAUCAGGCCAAUGUUCAACAAAGACACCAGGUGCACCACCAACCCCACCCUUUCCAACCACAACAAAGAAGAUAUGAGCAACCCCAAAUAUAUGUUGGCGAGAAUGACAGGGCCAAUGCUCAUCAGUAUGGGGCUGGUAUUCAGGCACCACCUGUGCAGAACAACAACUUUGAAGUGAAAGCAUCAUUGCUGAAUAUGGUCCAGAACUCAAAGUUCCAUGGGUUAGCAAUGGAAGAUCCCUUGGAACACUUGGACCAGUUUGAUAAGGUGUGUGAUCUGACCAAGAUUAAUGGAGUUUCAGAAGACAGCUUUAAGCUAAGACUAUUCCCAUUCAGUCUUGGUGACAAAGCUCAUCAAUGGGAGAAGAAUCUUCCAAGAGGCUCCAUUCAAACCUGGGAGCAAUGCAAGCAAGCCUUCUUAUCUAAGUUCUUCUCCACCUCAAGAACUGCAAAACUGAGAAACCAAAUCUCUAGCUUCACUCAGCACAGCAAUGAAAGUUUUGGUGAAGCAUAUGAGAGAUUCAGGAGCUACACAAACCAAUGCCCACACCAUGGGUUUAGUGAGGCUUCUCUUCUCAGCACACUGUAUAGGGGAGCUCUUCCCAAGAUUAGAAACCAGCUGGAUACUGCUUCCAAUGGGAACUUUCUGGGUAAAGAGAUUCAUGCUGCUUUAGAGCUAGUGGAGAACUUAGCAUUGAGCAAUGAUACUUAUGGUGAAGACUAUGACAGAUCAAAUAGGUAUGAAGGUUCAAGCUCAGAACAGAGGCUCACCAGAGAAGUUAAGGAGUUGAGGAGUGAAUUGGACAAGCUGAAAUUCACCACUCAGAAGCCAAUGCAUUUUGUUGGAGAGUAUGAGGAACCUUCUCAAAUUUUUGAGAACAUAAGUGAAGAAGGUCUUACCCAAGAGGAGCUCAACUACAUUGGGAAUCAGAGGUUCCAAAGAUAUCAGUAUGGUAAUGCCAAUCCAAACCUCUCUUACAGGAACACCAAUGUAGCUAACCCACAAGACCAGGUCUAUCCCAAUUCUCAAGCUCCAAAGAACUUUGUUCCCAAGCACAACUUUCAAGGGUCAUUCCAACCCAAGAAUCAAUUUGGUCAGAAUCAGAGUUUUGGUCAGCAACAGCAACCAUUUCAGGGCACUGGUUACACUUCACAGCAGCCAAAGGCACCACCAGGGUUUGGUCCACCACAGUUCCAACAGCAGGCGCCGGUUCAACAACAGUUUCAGCCACCAAUGGUUCAACAGCAGCCACAGAUGGGUACAGAUAUGGUUGGUAUUCUGCAACAACUACUUCAGGGUCAACAGACUAUGCAGCAGGAAAUCAAGGAACUGAAGCAAAACCAGGCAUCAAGCUCAAGGAACCAAGGUCACCUACCUGGAAAACCAGAACCCAACCCCAAGGAAUAUGCCAAGGCCAUAACACUGAGGAGUGGCAAGGAGUUACCUGGUAUUGAGAACAACAAUGUGAUCAUUGAGGACAAUGAUCAACCUGAGGGGGAGGCAGCCUUAAAGGAUGAUCAAGUUGCUGAGAAACCAAGGUCAGAAAAGGGUAAAGAGGUAGCAAAGGAACCAGAACCAGAGAAGAAGUAUGUGCCACCACCUCCAUACCAACCCAAGCUCCCAUUUCCAGGGAGAUUUAAGAAGCAACUAGUGGACAAGGCAAGAGCUGUAUUUGAGAAGGCACUCAAAGAGACACCACUCACAAUGCCUCUCAUUGAUGCAUUCUUAAUGAUGCCAAAGAUGGGGAAGUUUUUGAAGGAUGCUAUUCUGAACAAGACAAAAGAGCUUCAAGGCAUGGUAGUACUAAGUCAUGAAUGCAGUGCUAUCAUUCAAAGGAAGUCCAUUCCAAGGAAGUUAACUGAUCCAGGGAGCUUCACACUCCCCUGUGCCAUUGGACCUCUUCUAUUCUCUGGAUGUCUUUGUGAUUUAGGAGCAUCAGUCAGCUUGAUGCCAUUCUCCAUAGCACAGAAGCUGGGCUUUAGAGUUUUCAAACCUUCAAAGAUUUCUCUUAUCCUUGCAGAUAGAUCAGUUAGAUUGCCUGUUGGUAUGUUGGAAGAUCUACCUGUCAAGAUAGGUGGUUUUGAGGUUCCAACAGAUUUUGUUGUGCUGGAGAUGGAUGAAGAGCCAGUAGAUCCUCUUAUCUUGGGCAGACCAUUCUUAGCCACUGCAGGAGCUAUUAUUGAUGUGAGAGGUGGGAUAAUAGAGCUUCAACUUGGGUCUGAAAAGCUCAAGUUUGAUGUGAAUGAGAUGAUGAAGAAGCCCACCAUUGAAGGUCAAUGUUUCUAUGUAGAGACAAUGGAUCAGUUGGCUGAUGAGUUGCUUGAGGAGCUGAACACAGAGGAUCCUCUUCAAGCUACUCUGACUCAAGAACAAGGAGACAAUGGGCUCUUGGCUGAAGCAAGUGAAGGGUAUAAGCUGUAUCUGGACAAUGCAAGAGAGCUGGGUCCUGAAACAAGGUUUGUGGAGCUGGAACAGAAUGGCACUGAGGUUUUUGCAAUCCAAGAAUCAGUCACCAGCCAAAGCAGCUUGGACCAGGACUGGAAUGAGGCUGAUGCACCCUCUGUUGAGCUCAAACCUCUACCAACAGGGCUCAGGUAUGCUUUCUUAGGACUAAACUCCACAUAUCCUGUCAUCAUCAAUGAUAGCCUAUUAGAGGACCAAGAGAGUGCAUUGCUGAAUGAAAUAAGAAAGUUCAGGAGAGCCAUAGGGUAUUCUUUGGCUGAUAUUAGAGGGAUCUCUCCUGACAUCUGCACCCAUAGGAUCCACCUAGAGGACCAAUCUAUGUCCUCUAUUGAGCACCAACGUAGACUUAACCCCAACCUUAGGGAAGUGGUUAAGAAGGAGAUACUAAAGCUUCUUGAGGCAGGGAUAAUUUACCCAAUCUCUGACUCAAGAUGGGUAUCUCCUGUUCAUGUUGUGCCCAAGAAAGGUGGGAUCACGGUGGUGAAAAACGAUAAGGAUGAACUCAUAGCUCAAAGAACCAUAACUGGCCACCGCAUGUGCAUUGACUAUAGGAAAUUGAAUUCUGCUUCUAGAAAAGAUCAUUUUCCUUUACCAUUCAUUGAUCAAAUGCUUGAGAGGUUAGCUAAUCAUCCUUAUUUUUGUUUUCUCGAUGGGUACUCUGGAUUUUUCCAAAUUCCCAUAGAUCCAAGAGAUCAAGAGAAAACAACAUUCACAUGCCCUUAUGGCACUUAUGCUUAUAGGAGAAUGCCUUUCGGUUUAUGUAAUGCACCGGCUACUUUUCAAAGGUGUAUGAUGCACAUUUUCUCUGACAUUAUUGAAGAGAAAGUUGAGGUGUUCAUGGAUGACUUUAGUGUCUAUGGCUCCUCCUUCUCGGAUUGUCUCUCUAAUUUGACACAGGUGUUGGAGAGAUGUGAGCAACACAGCUUGGUGCUGAACUGGGAGAAGUGUCAUUUCAUGGUGCAAGAAGGGAUAGUUCUUGGGCACAAGAUCUCUGAAAAGGGCAUUGAGGUUGAUAAGGCAAAGGUGGAGGUUAUGGUGAAUCUGCAAACCCCCACUUCAGUUAAAGGGAUAAGGAGCUUCCUGGGUCAUGCAGGGUUUUAUAGAAGAUUCAUAAAGGACUUCUCAAGGAUUGCCAGGCCCUUAACAAGACUGUUGUGCAAGGAGGUGGAUUUCAUCUUUGAUGUUGAAUGUGAAGAAGCCUUUAAGUUGAUCAAGGAGGCAUUGGUUAGUGCACCAAUAGUUCAGGCACCAGACUGGUCCCUACCUUUUGAGGUCAUGACAGAUGCUUCUGACUUUGCUGUUGGAGCAGUACUUGGACAAAAGAAAGACAAGAAGUUGCAUGUGAUCUACUAUGCCAGUAGAACACUUGACUCUGCCCAAGAGAAGUAUGCUACAACUGAAAAGGAAAUGCUGGCAAUAGUUUUUGCCUUUGAUAAGUUCAGAAGCUACCUGGUGGGAUCAAAGGUCAUUGUGUAUACUGAUCAUGCAGCCCUCAGGUACUUGAUGACCAAGAAAGAUGCCAAACCAAGGCUGUUGAGAUGGGUUCUAUUGCUCCAAGAGUUUGAUAUGGAGGUGCUUGAUAAAAAGGGGAUUGAGAAUGGUGCUGCAGACCAUCUCUCAAGGCUGAGGAUUGAAGAAAAAGUCCCCAUAGAUGAUGCUUUGCCUGAAGAGUCUCUGAUGGUGCUCCAUUCAUACUUGGAGUUUGAGGAAGUAGAGAGCAUUCAAGAAAGGAGGAUGCCUUGGUUUGCAGAUAUAGUGAACUAUCUUGCAUGUGGGGUGGAGCCCCCUGAAUUGGAUGCUUACAAGAGAAAAAAAUUCUUCAGAGAUGUCCAGAGAUACUAUUGGGAUGAGCCCUACCUCUAUGUUCUGAACAAGGAUCAGUUAUACAGAAGAUGUCUUGCUGAAGAGGAGAUGCAACCUGUGUUGCAGGAAUGUCAUGGUUCUGCUUUUGGAGGUCACAUGGGGGCAUUCAAAACUGUAGCAAAGGUUCUUCAAAGUGGGUUCUGGUGGCCUACAAUGUUCAAAGAUGCCCAAUUGGUGGUUUCAGCUUGUGAUGCCUGUCAGAGGCAUGGAAAUAUAUCUAAAAGAAGUGAGAUGCCUCAGAACCCCAUUCUAGAAGUGGAGAUCUUUGAUUGUUGGGGGAUUGACUUUAUGGGACCUUUUAUUUCAUCCUUUGGAAAUCAAUACAUACUUGUUGCUGUGGACUAUGUGUCCAAAUGGGUUGAGGCCAUUGCUUCCCCUACCAAUGACUCCAAGGUUGUAGUCAAGCUGUUUAAGAGCAUCAUAUUUCCAAGGUUUGGAGUUCCAAGGGUUGUCAUUUCUGAUGGAGGAUCCCACUUUUUGAACAAGACUCUGGAAGGUUUAUUGAGAAAGCAUGGAGUUAAACACAAGAUAGCUACUCCAUAUCAUCCCCAAACUAGUGGCCAAGUGGAGGUAUCUAAUAGACAAAUCAAGGCCAUUCUGGAAAGGACUGUCAGCUCAACCAGAAAAGAUUGGAGCAAAAGGCUGGAUGAUGCAUUAUGGGCUUACAGGACUGCCUUUAAAACUCCAAUUGGAACAUCACCAUUCAGUCUGCUAUAUGGGAAGAGCUGCCACCUUCCUGUGGAGUUGGAGUACAAAGCUAUGUGGGCUGUGAAGUUUCUAAACUUUGAUAUCAAAACAGCUCAGGAGAAAAGAAUCAUGCAACUCCAUGAGCUUGAGGAGAUUAGGCUUGAGGCUUUUGAAAGCUCAAAGAUCUAUAAGGAGAAGACCAAAGUCCUGCAUGACCAAAAGAUUUUAAAGAGAGAGUUCAAGUGUGGUGAUUUGGUCUUGCUUUUCAACUCCAGACUUAAGUUGUUUCCAGGAAAGCUUAAGUCUAGGUGGUCUGGACCUUUCAAAGUUCUUGAAGUGAGGCCUUAUGGUGCCAUUGUCUUGGAAGGAAAAAAUGGUCAGGAAUUUGUGGUGAAUGGACAGAGAGUCAAGCAUUACUUAGUUUCACAAGGGAAAGAGGAAGCUACAUCAGUUCCUCUCUGAUCACCAGCUGUUAACCAGUUCUCAAAGUCAAACUUAGAGACUUUAAACAAAGUGCUCUUGGGGAGACACCCCAAGCUUAUCUUUNNNNNNNNNNNNNNNNNNNNNNNNNNNNNNNNNNNNNNNNNNNNNNNNNNNNNNNNNNNNNNNNNNNNNNNNNNNNNNNNNNNNNNNNNNNNNNNNNNNNCGAGUUUGCAACUAUCUCUCACUUUUCUCUCCAUGUUUUCACCAUAUCUCUCUCAUUCUCCACCAAAAUUGUUGAUUCAAAGUGCUCUGAGCUCGUUUUGAGUUGCUAACAUCAUCCUGAUUGCAUUUCGAACUUGUUGCAUCUUAAUCCCAAGGUAUUUCGCCCUGUUGAAACUCAUCUCUUUCCAUGUUCUUCAAUGGUGAUUUUUUUUUUUUUUUUGAACUUUAAAGUGUGGAAUCGAUUUUGAUAGGUUGUUUUAGACCUUGGGAUUAUUUUUAUAAAUGCUAGGGUGCUAGAUAGUCUUGGAAAACAGAGCACUUUGUUUGUAAUUACCUGUUCUUGAAUUUUGAAAAUUGUUGCAACAAUUUUUUUCAAAAUUUUGAGACUUUUGUGAGGUUCAUCCUUGUACUAACAAUAUUUUUGAGAAUCUCUUGGCAGAUGACUGAAAGAACCAACUCUUUGGCCAAGAAGAAGGGCCCUGCAUCAAAAGGCAAAGGUUUGGUCUCAGGAACUUCAAAGCCAAGAAACAAAGGUCAGGGUGCAAAGAAUACUACAAAGCAAGGAAAGUGUGAUCCAGCGCCAAAAAGGACAAGGCCUGAAGGAAGAGCUUUGGUGGUUGCUUCUGGUUCCAAGAAAAAGGGGAAACAGUUGGCUGUGGUAUCUGAGAGUGAACAGACUGAAAGUGACUCCGGCAGCUCAGCUGGUGGUUCCCAAGGCACCAAUGAAGAGGGAUCAAAGAAGUUCAAGAAAACUGAACCAGAAACACCUGAUUAUCUGGCUAAGUUUCAGCAGAUAGAGAUCCAGCAAGGGAGAUUCCCUGAUUUGGACUUUCUGAAGAAGAUUGGCCUCUAUGAAGAUGUCAAGACUUUGCUUGGGAACAUGGGUGUUGAGUCACUUUUGGAGAUGAGAGAAAUCGCUUAUGAGCAAGAGUCCCAAGAGUUCUUGGCCUCCUUUGAAGCUUUCAUUUACUACCCAAGGGAUUCAAGAAUCAUUCAAGGAGAUGGGCUUGGACAUGUGGAGUUUACUGUGAAAGGGAAGGAAUAUUCAGUGUCAUUCAGAGAAUUGAGUAAGAUCUUUGAGUUUUCAACACCUAGAAAUGAAUUUCUCUCCAACUCGGUCAAUCUCAGAAAAGAUGAGAUCCAACUUCUAUGGAGAUCAAUUGCUUCUGGGAAGUACACAGCUGGAACAGCUAAGGCCUCUUGGAUAAGGAAUCCAGUUCUGAGAUAUGUACACAAGGUUCUCUCUCACAGCUUCUACUUCAAGAUUGAUGUUGGAAGAGUUCACAAAGGAGAUCUGCUGCUUCUGGGUGUAGGGCUGAGGCCGCUGAUGCCAACACAUGAAGAUGGGGAACCCUAUGUAGGGUAUGAAUACCCACUUUGCCUUGCAUCUCAAUUAGCAAGGUCUUUGAUGUUCUACAAAAAGUGCAUGUGGGAUUCUACAAACAAAGAUGCAAAGCUGACCCAUGGAUGGGUGGUAACAAAGAUCUUGAAAGCCAUGGGGUAUAGAUUCAAGGAGAACAAGGCAAAGUUUGAUCUGAUUAAUGAAGCACAUUUGUGUAGGAUUGGCUUUCUCCAAGGAAGAGUGGGUACCAAGGCAGUCUACAACUUCAAGACACUCAUCAGUGAGCCAGCCCAAGUUCUCCUACCCAAUCCCUCCAUCACCACAGUCCAAGUUAAAAGGAACAUUCACUUCUUCUUGCUGAAGGAAGAGCUGUACAAUGUCCAAACUGAUCCACCAAUCCUCACAUACAGGCAAGCUUGCAGAGAAGAAGCCUCCAAGGGAAAGAAAGCAACCGCUGAAGAUGCUACCACAAGUGCAGCUGGUGCUCACGAUGCUGAUCUGCCUCCACCUCAAAAACGUUUUGGUGGAAACAGAUAUCACUUUGAUGAUUACAACUGGGAGGAACCAGGCACUUCAGGGUUCAGAGCUCAACAGAAGAUUGGUAUUCUCCAACAAUGGUGCAAGUACCAAGACAAAACCAUCCACAAGAUGGCCAAGUGCAUCAAGGAGAUGAAGAAGAGGAUCAAGAAGCUUGAAAACCCUUGCAAAGGUGGGGCUCCAGCACCAGUUUCACCAAGAAACAGAGAGGAAGUUGGGGAGAGUUCCAUGAACUGCACAGCCUUGGUCGCAUAUGGAACCACUUGGGUAGAUCUUGACGACGGGAGUGAUGAAGCCAGCCACCAUUCUUGGGAAACACCGUCAGGCCACACAUCGAACCCCUCCUACUCAUUGGGGUCUGAUUUCAACAGCCACUAGGUAACACUCAAAACCUUGUAAAUAGCAUGUAGACUUUUUUUUUUCCUUUUGCAUUUUGCUUGUUUGCUUUGGUUUCACUUCUUUCUCAUACUUUUAUAACACAAGGGACUGUGUUAUUUAAGUGUGGGGGAGGAGUUUCAUCCUUUACUAACCAUGUUUUCUAUUUUCUCAUUUUACACUUUGAGUCUUGAGUCACAUUCUAGUUGCAUAGUCAUCUAAGUGCAUAUAAAAACCAAAAAAAAAAAAAUGGAAAAAUCUGAAAAAUUUUCACAAAAAAAUGAUCAUGUAGUUGCAUUCUCAUUUUUAAGAUUGAGUCUAGAUUGCAUUUGCAUAUAGGUUGCAUCUUGCAAGGAGUAAUGAUAGGUUUUCUAGAGAGUACAUCACUUUGAGAACUUGAAUUGAAUAUGCUUGUGAAUCUUUUUCUAUGCUUGCAAAGUCUGAAAUGAUUUGAAUCUGAGAAGCAAGUUUGAAUUGAACUCAACUCUAAUUAAGUGGAAACCUUGAACUUGACCUGAAAAUAUCUUGUGAUGCAUUGUUUGAAAAAGCUUGUGGAUACCAAUAUACAUACUUGAGCUAGAACCACUGUUUUUACCACUCUUUUCCUUAGCUCAAGUAGCUGAAUCCACAUCAUGGAUCAGUUCCCACACCUUGAACCCAUCCUUCUUUUAAGCCAAUGUUUGUGUGUGAAUUGAAAGGCCACCUUGGAUCAAACUUAGCAGAAAGUGUUAGGUUUAGAGCGACAAGGGCAGGUCUCAUUGAGUGCUGUGUUCCAACAUCAAGGAACUGAGAGUUUUGGCGAGGAAUAAGUGUGGGGGAAAAGACUUUUUGGUGAGUGGAAAAAGGUGAGAUGAGUGGAAAGAGAGAGUGAAAAUAACUAGGGGAAUGAAAGAAAAAGAAGUCAGUCUUGGUGUUUUGAGAAAGUGAGCUCUGGUUUGUUGAAAAGAAAAAUCUAGCCUCUAAGUGAAAAAGAAAGAAAAGAAGCCAAAAGCUCAAAUGUUUUGAUAAGAAAGAAAGAAGAGGCUAGAAGUUGUAAAAGAAAAAGAGCUGUGUAAAGUUUGAGUUCCAAGACUUGAGAGUGAAAGUGAAGAACAAAUCCCCUAGUGAGAGAAAAAUGAGUGUGAAAAGUGAGGUCUUUGAGCAAGAGAGGAAGCUUUGAGUAGAGGGUGGGGAGUGAUGAGUCUUUGCCCUUGUAUGCAUAGGUUGCUUUUUACCUUUAGCAUUCUGCCAAAGUUUGAUCAUUCAUAGAGAGAUCCCUUUGCUGCAUUUAACCCACUUGAACACUGAUGAGAUCAUUUUAAUCUCAUAGCCUCUCCCUAGCCAAGCCAGCUUGUUUAAACCUUGCAUCAUGAGAUCCACCUGAUAAAAGCUUAAUGAAUGUGAAAGAGUUGAGAGAGAGAAGAACUUGUGGAGAUUCCUUGCUGAGUUGACAUAUAUCUGAGUAUGGCUUUGCAUUGCAUAAUUGAGCAUGAACUUGAAUUCUCAUUGUGAUCACUUCUCUCAAAAAGAAAAUGUGAACUCCCAUUGCAUACAACCUCUUUCUCUCAUUUGCUCUUUUUGCUUGAGGACAAGCAAAGGACAAGUGUGGGGGAGUUGAUAUGUUCAUAAUUUGCAUCAUUUAGGUUGCAUAAAUCAUUCCAAAUCAUGUUUUAUUUCAUGUAUUUUAGGUCCCUAGGGUUUGUUUUAGAACUUAGGAGAUGCAUUAGGUCCCAAUGAGUCUUUGCAUGUUUUGAGUGUCUAUCAGGUGAUUAUGGAGCUGAAAAGAUGAAUCCAGGAGGUGGAAUGGUGAGCAGAGCUUGAAAAAGUGGAAAACUUGAGUCUAUGGAGGUUAUCGGCCAUUCUCGCUGGCCAGGAAGGUUUUACCGGCCAUUUUCAUGUACUGCGGGAAGCUUUACCGGCCAUUUUCACGUACCGCGAAUUAAGUAUAUCGGCCAAAAUCUCCGGGUGCGAACGAGUCUCAGAAAUCACCUGUCCGGGGAGCCUUCCGGUCCGAUUCAGAUGGCGGGUCCUUCAUAGAAGUUGGAGAGCAUUGAAGCACGGUCUCAUAGCAAUUGGAAUCGUAGAAUUCGGACGCGUGAGCAGAGAGAUAAGCUCGUCGGAAGAAACCCCUGUCUCGCAGGUAUUCCGGACCGAGCAGAUCAGUUCUGAAGGAUGCGAAGGACGGUGCACUUCCAGGCCGAUUCAGCUUCCGGGUCCUUCAUGAGAAUCAGAGACAUUUGAGUUUUCUUUCCAGAACGUCCAAGAGCAUUCAAUUCGGAUCUAUGAGCAGGAAGAUACGGCCUCCGGAAUGGACACAUGUCUAGACGCCUCUCUCUGGUCGUAUACAUGCACUGCAAAGAUGUGCCCUCCAGGAAGCCUUCCACCUCCCAAGCACUGAAACUUCCUUCACAAAAGUUGGAGAUAAAUGAGUCCUCUGUCUUCUGCAACCGAAAUCAUUCAAUUCGGACAAGUAUCACAGGAGUUACACUCUCCGGAAUGCGAAGUGAUCUAAGCUGCUCUGGAUGCUGCGAGAUGGUCUUGCGACUUGGUUAACCCGCAGGCCUGAAGAUGAACACCUGAAUGCUGAUGCUGCGAGUUGAAAUGUGCGGGUAAACUAUCACUGGAAGAGGUCUGGAGCUCCCGAGCAAGAGAAAUGCUAAGUCCACAAUCGUGCGACUUAGGCAUGCGAGUCAUCCGCGCCUGGAUCUAUGCCGCACGAUCACUCGGAAUUCACUCCGACUUGAGCCUGCGACCUAAGUGCAAUAGAGACCAACCCGCACAGUUUCUACAUCCCCCAGAAACCGGCUCAGCCCUGCGAGUUGGAGAGGAAGGAGACCAUGCCGCAGAAACACUCGCAAUUUACUCCUAGAUAGGCGUGCGGCUCCGACAAGGUGAUUCAAGCCUCACAAGACAAGUCUUCAUCUACUGCGACUUAGGUGUGCGGCCUGGGACAUACUGAACCGACCCGCAGCUUUUCCCACUUUAUCCAUUAAAGCCGGGUCAGGACCCGGUUUGUUCCGGGCUGACCCGGUUCGUUUUUAAGAAGGUAUAAAUACUUUUUAGGGUUUUUUGGGGGAGAACUAAGUUUUAUUCCCUUUGUCUCUUGCCUUUUUGGUGAAAAGACUCCAUUAAGAAGAGAAAUAUCUUUAUUUGAGUGUUUAAUCAAGAGAGUUUAAGGAGAUCUGGGUGUUUAAAGCUGUUUUCUUUUGAAUCUAUCAUCUCCAUCUCCAUUUCUCAUCAUUAAUCAUGCUAAUCUACUCAACUUGCAAAAGUUUAAGAGAGAUUAGUAUGAUUAGUGAGUAGUCACCUUAAUGAGGUUCUAGAUGUGUAGGUUAGGGUGCUAAAGUGUUAGAUUAGGAGUGCUUAGGGCUAGAUUCAUUGAUUCAUCUCUCUAAACAGCUGUUCUCUAUGCUAAAUCCUUGAUAAUCACUUGAGAUCUAGAUUCUGGGAAUUUCAUGCACCAAAAGUGUUUGAUGAAAUUCCUGAAAGAGUUGUGUUAGAGGUUUAAGUAAUUUUUCAUCAUGGGAAUGAUUUGUUAAAUGCUUGAAUGAUCAUUAAGAGCUGUUUGUUAAUGCAUAUUGAUUCAUGUUUCACAAAUGGGAAUUUGGUUUGAAAAUGGAUUAGUAUAGGGGUUAAUACCUUCAUGAGAGGAUUAACCUAGAUUAGAGUUCUUAAUCAUUUGAAUCAUGUCUCAUCAUUGUCAUUAGCAUUUCUAGUUUAACACCAAGGCACCCUAACCAACUAUCAUGUCUAGAAUCUCAUGCCUCCAUCAUAUCAUAUUCACAUCAUUUGUCAUUGUCAUUUGUCUUUAAACCUGUUUAUGUUUAUAGUUGUCUCUAGAUUAAUCAAAACCUAUUCUUGUUUGCUUGAAUUAAGAACUUGAUCAUAUAGCUUAGUGUCUAACACCACAUCUGGAUUGAUAAACCUCUUUGUACUACAUUGACAAGGGGAUUGAUAGCCCUGAGACCCUUAAAAGUCUUAUCUAUCAUCCAUCUAACAUUUUACUUUCGUUUUAUGAAUAAGUUCUCUUUCCCUUAGCUGUUUUAGGAUUUGAUGUACUUAAUCGAUCAAGAAAACAUGGUCACCAUUCCAAUGUUCAUUAAUUACCAACAUCAAAAGAAUAAUAUUGCAAAUCUAAUUGAAAUCUUCAAAAUGUGAAUACAAAAUGGUUUCUACAUAAAAAUAUAAGGCCGGAAUAAUAUGAUAUACCUUUACAUAAUCAUUAAAUGGUUUUUUUAAAUUACGUGUUUUCUUUCGAGAUUAUUGCUCCCUUGCCAACAUCAAUGAUGACGUUUAUUCCACGUCAAAUAUGACAUGGCAAAGGCGCUAGCUCUGCACAAUUUCAUUGGAUGCUAAUGCUGAUGUGUAAUUUUUGUCCAAGUUUUUCUGAUUUAAAAAAACAAAAAAAAAGUGAAAAUCAUAAACGGAUAAACAUGCGGAUCUUUAUACCCGAUCUAGCCCAAUUAUCUGUAUUUUAAAAACAUCCUUUGGCCCAAUAAUUCAUACAUUCCCAUUUUUAAAAUUUUUGAAAUUAUGGUUUUUAAAAACUUUCCGCGUAAGAAAAUAGAAAUUUUUCCCAAAAUGGAAGAUUACAUUAACUAUUAGCAAGAUUUACCGGAGUUAAUGUAACAAUAUAUACAGAAAUUUUAAUAUUUCAAAAAGAAACACGAAUUUAUCUUACAUUUUAAUACUAUACGUCAAUUUUGGCAAUUAAAUCAAUUUGAAUAUAUUGAUUCUCAAAUAUUUCCGCAACAAUAUCUACUUCUACGCACAUUCCGAAUAUCCAUAUUCUUCAUUUCAUUCUUUUUUUUCAAAAUAAUUUAAAUCCCGCCUAACAUCAAUUUUAAAAAGUUCUCAUUGACUUCCUCUCCCUAUAUACCUAUCCUAAACCCUAAAACUCUACAAUUCUCAUUCACAAAAAUGGCUUUAGUCCGCAAACGUUCGGCUGCUCUAGUUCCAUUUGCCAAAUUAGGUCAAUCAAGUGAAAUUCAGAAAAUUAGAGCUAUUAUAUUUUUACUUUGGAAAGUCAAGAACAGGCAGUCUGGCUUUGUUAUAUAUAGAAAUGAUAUUGGUUGACAAAGAAGUUUGUAUGCGAUCUUAUGCAUUUUGUUUAUUGUUAUUUUAAUCAAUCUAUAGAUUAUAUAGUAAUACUAUUUGUGUGAUUCACAGGGCACUAGGAUUCACGCUACGUUGAUGAAGAAUUGAUCGCAAAAGAUAAAUGCAUCCUUAUAGAAGGAAAAUCACUUUCUAUUAAUUGCUUCAUCAUUAAAGAAUACUAUAGUGAUUUUAGGACUACUCCAUUACCAUACAAGAUUGCUUUGUGCAGAACAACCCGUGCUAAGGAGAUCAAUGAUUUUCCAUCAGACUUGCCAGAGAAAUAUUUUUCUGAUUUCAAGUCAAUCAAGGAAGACAAACUCGACAAAAACGUCCUAAUCGGUAUGUCAUCAUCGCGAUAUUGAAAAUUAUAUUCUAAUGUACAUAUUUAUCAUUGUAUACAAAUAUUUUGUCUUCAAGAUGUCAUUGGACAAAUUGUCACCAUUGGGAGUAUGGAAGUUAUAAAAACUAAAGUAAAAAGUGGGAUCAGCGAGAAAUUGAUGAUAACACUCCGGGACACCAAGUAAGUAGUUAUGAUAUCAUACCAAAAUAAACAUAACAAUAUUUUAACAAUGGAACGCUAAUAUGUUUAUUGCUGAAGUGAUGUCCAACUGAAAUGUACACUAUGGGGACAAUAUGCAAAAGCAACUGUUGAGUACACUGACAAGCAUAUGGCUGUUAUUGUUGUGUGUGUAAUGCGAUUUUUCUGUAUAAAAGAGUACAAAGGUUAGAUCACUAUAUCCCCUAUUCAUAUAUACACAGUUUUGUAGAGAUUGGUAUUGGAUUAGAUUGUUAAUUAUUCUUAUUUUAUGUUUUUCGAGUAUAGGUGACAAUUCAAUAUCAAACGCUUUCAACUCCACCAAAAUUUUGUUUGAUCCUGACGUCAAGAUCGUGAAAGACUUCAGAGAAAAGUAUGUUAUGUGACAAUUUUAAUAUCAUUUUAACAUUGUUUUAUUUAUAUAGUUAUUGUUUACAGUUUUGUAGGUUGCUAAAAAACAAUCAAAUGAUUGUGCAUGCUGAACAGAGUUAUUCGACUUCUUGGGGUGGUGCUAUUGACUACCGUGAAUAAUUUUUAGGUGUGAAAAAUAGGAGGCGGACGAUAGCUGGAAUUCGUGAUAAAAAAGUGGCAUGAGCUAUAUUUUAUUCAUGGUACAAAUAUAUUUAUAUUUCACUAUAUACAUAUUAAUGGUUUUGUUAUAACCUGGCAAGAUUUUAACAUGCGUAAUGGUCAAAGACGUUGACACUUCAAAGCUGUGGUAUUAUUGGGCAUGCAAACCUUGCAUCAUCAAAGUUUUAGAGCAUGACAUUAUGUCUGAUGAUGAAGAUUACGAUAAGAGGAUUCCUCUUUUCAGUUGCAAAAAUUGUGGAUAUAUCUAUUCAUAUGAUACCAUCGUCGCAAGGUAAUACAAUGAUUUGUCCCAUAAAGUCAAGAAAACAUUACUUAUUUCAUUAAGACUUUCUUUGGUAUGAUAUAUAGCAGAUAUAGCAGAAUUAUUUCAUGUAGACUUUCUCUGAUUGACUGGCUAAAUGUUCGCCUUAUUUUAUUACAUUGAUUUGUCCCAUCAUACAUUUAUUCCAACAUUACAUUACAUGUUUAUUCAUGUAACGUUUAAAUAACUCACUCUUCUGUUUCCUUUCAAACUAUGUAGGUACUAUAUUGUAUUAUUUGUAACUGAUGAUUCAGACGUCGAUGUCCGCUUCCUGAUGUUUGAUGACACUGCUCAAAGAUUGUUGGGUCAUUCAGCUGAGUCUAUAAUGGAACAAAAUGAUGAGGUUAUUCGUUAAAUAAUUGUAUACAUUAUGCAUUAUUUACAUUUUCUGAAAUAAUAUUAAUCCAUUAUAUAUAAUGAUGCGCAGGAUUUACCAAGAGGGCUCCCUGAUGGCUUGACAAAGCUCCUAACCAUGAGGAUGCUUUUCAAAAUAACAGUUUCAGAAGAGCAUACAAAAGGAAGCCAGUCUCCGUAUGUAGUAGAAUGGUCUCAAGAUGUCGAAAUUAUGACUGAGUGGGAUUCUCGAUCAGUGGUAAUAUAUAGGAUAAAUUUUACAAACUUCUCAAGCUCGCUUAUCUGAUCGUUUAGUUAAAUUAAGACGUCAACAAUGUUUUAUAUUUUCAGCAACCGUUGAUGCUUACGAGUUCUGACGAACUUGAGAAUCCAUCGUCUGGAUCUUUACUCAUUCCUUCAUCUAAGAAGCUAAUUAAGAGUCCUGACUAUUUUGAUGAAGGUGAAAGAUCUGUUAACAAAAAGCGACCGAAGCAAGAGAUCCCGAUGAAGUUAUGAAGAAGCAAAAAAUCGUAAUGAACUUAUUGCAGAAAUGCAUUGCUGGUGAUUGAUUAUUGAUUUUGAUCUUUAUAACAAAUUUGUCCAAUGGAUGGAUAACGUUUGAACUCUCUUCGUUAUUUUUUGCGGUAUUUGUGGAAUUUUUUUGGCAUUUUUUAUUUAAUUGUGAAACUUGAAUGUUGCCCUAGAAUUUUUUUUCAUAAUUCAUUUUUUGAAACUUUAAUUUGUGAUUUAAAUUUUUUUGGUUCAACCAACUGUCAUAAAUUUACACGAGAGUUUCAAUUAAGACGACAUUAAAACCAUAACCGUUUUACUCCAUCACAUAGAAAACUAUUCAUUUCGUUAUUCUCUUUCAUCUUCAAUCUUAGCAAAAUAUUAAAACAAAGAAUGUCUCCUAGUGAAAGAGUUUCCGAUCUUCAGAAGAAAAACGGCGGAUAUCGUAUUUGUGUACAUAUACUAAGAGAUUAUUAUGAUUAUACUCUCUUCGAUCGACCUAAUUGGAUGUUAGUUCUUGCGGAUGAAUUUGUAAGUUUUGGAGGUUUGAAAAGAUUUACCAUAUAUAUGUUUUAGGAAUGUAUUUGUUAAUUAUUUAUCUUUGUAAACCGUGUAGGGCAAUCGCAUCCUGUCUACUAUUCAAUAUGAUAUAAUAGACAAAUUUGAGUAUGAAUUGGUUGAAGGAGAUUGGGUGGUUCUUGGUAAUUUUGAAGUUGCUGACAGAGUGAUUUGUCCAAGUAUAUCAUCAAACAACUAUCAUAUACAUUUCCUCGAGGAUACCAUUGUUGAGAAAACUGAUCUGAAGUCUUCCAGAGGAAUAUACUCUUUUUGUGCAUUCAUGAAUAUUUUAUAUAGAUUUAUUCAUAUAGAUAGAUAUCUUGCUAUCUUUCUUACAACUUUUUAUUUUAAAUCGUUUAUCUAAGGAACUUCAACAUGUAUUUAAAGGCAGUCCUUUAUUUUUGCAGUUGUUCUUCUCGGUGUUGUCACAUUUGUUCAGAAACUUCAGUUAUGAUCAGACACACCCACGCAACGUCCACUUAUUCGUUUUAAAAUUCAAGAUUUCAGGUCUGUUAUCCUCAAAACAUCUGUUAUGUGUAUAUUGUUUACAAAUUUUAAAGUAUAUUAAUAAUGUUCUAAAUUAUUUAAAUAUACAGUGGAGAAUCUUUGAAAUGUAUUGCUUGGGAUAACUUGGCAAGGAAAUUUGAAGAACUUUGGAGGAAUCGUGAAAGGUCUUCUAGGCAUAUUAUUGUAUUGUGAUUUUUCUCUUUCACUAGACGGAGAAGUAACUAACUACUUCAUUAUUUGAUAUUUUUAAUUAAUUACAAGUUUUACAUAUAUAUUUUUCCGUAUAUUGAGUAUGUCUAUGUAUUUAGAUGAAUGGAUAGUUGAAUUGGAAAGAUUCAUAUCUGAUAUUCUCGAGGAUCCUCCUAUCCCAGAAGUGGAAAGAGCAGGGUUGAGGUAUGUUUAUUCCAUCUUUGAUAUUGUAUUCUAUAUUUUAAUAUUUAUAAAUAUAUAUAUAUAUAUAUAUAUAUAUGUAUAAUGAUAAAAAAAAUCCUAAUAUUAUUUCAGGCUUGCAACUUCAAUUGAUUUUUCUCCGGUCCACGAUGAAUAUGAAGACCAGUCUAAGUAAAAGAGAUUAUUGUUUCCUAUUUCUUAUUUUUAUAGUGUUAAACUUGAAAAUCUAUAUUAUUCUGAUUGAAAAAAACUUAUCCAAUGACAAUAUAUAUAUAUUUUUUAAAAAACAAUUUAAUUGUGUUAGCAUUUUUUCGUGAAGCGUAUUCUAUUUGAUUUCAACAAAAAAAUAAUUAUGAUAUUCAAAAUUAGGAUGCUCCGUGAUAUGUGUCUGUAUUAAAAAAAUAGAGUAGGUAAAUUCUGGUAUUGUACUCUCAUUAAUUAUUUGUAAUUAAUGAAAUGAAGUAAUUAACUUAAUUAAAGAGAAGUAGUCAGUACAAUAUAUGACAUUUUUCUACCAUCUUUACAUAUUUUUCUACAUAUAAUUAAUCAAUAUAAAAGUCAAAUAUACCUAUGAAUUGAAUGUAACAAAUUUGGUUUGUUCGUAAGUCACUUAGUGCAAUAAAUGUCAAAGGUUGCAAUUUAUUCUAAUUUUACAAAACAACACAACUUUUCAGACCCUAUACUUGCUUUGCUAUACAUAUAAAGGACCAAAGUAAAAAAAUGUCUGGCCAUCUUAACUAAAAAAAACCUAAAGUCCCAGAAAACAACCACUUUCCUCAAACAUGCCUCGCUAUUGUACCCUUGAGUAUCUUUCUCCCACAAAAUCUGACUCCAGAAUUCUUAUAAAAGUUCUACGAGUUUGGGAACACUUCAACUACUGUAAUCAACGCCAGGAAUUGCAUCUUAUCCUCGGUGACGAAAAUGUAAGUUCAUCUUUUUGAAGUUUUUUUAUUCUGUUGCAUGUUAUGAACAUUUAAACACAUGAAUUUAGGGUUACAAAAUAGAGGCAUGGAUAGAUCAGGAUCUUAACUUUUCACUUGGUCCAAAGUUUAAAGAAGGAGAAUGGAAUUAUGUCAAAUUCUUCAACGUUGUCAAUGCGUUCGGAUCUUUCAGAAAUACUAUAAACUACCACAUCAUCAACAGGAACGCCGAUACUAUUGUAAACAAGACCUUUCAAGUCAAUCCUAAGCAUAUGAUGGAUUUUAUGCCAUUUGAUGCCAUUAUCUGAGGGAAUUUCUCUACUGAGUACUCUAUCGGUUAGGCUUCUCACUUUUAUUCAAUUUAAGAAUUGUUAUAAAUAUUGUGUAAUGAAAAUUUUUCUUUGUAGACUUGAUCGGCGUAAUCAUCUAUGUUGAUGAUGAACUAAGUACUGAUAUUGAUGACCCAUACGAGAUGAUUUUUGGACCUUCUCACAAAUUGGACAUUCAAAUAAGAGACAUGAAGUAAGAUGUUUUAUAUUAUCAUCUAUAUAUGUAAAUGCCAAUAAUUUGUCUUAUGUUGUACAUAUGUAUUUUUGUUAAUGUUGUUGUAAUAUAAUUUGAUAUGGACAUCAAACUCAUUGGGAAGACUGCUCUGGAUUUCUAGAAGAAGUGAGAAAACAUAUGUACUUAUGAAACAGUCUUGAUUUUGCGCAUGUUUCGUCUGACCUAUGAUUCUGAAGGUUAGUAAUUAAAUAUUAUAAUCGAGUGGAAACAUUCAUUCCCACUUUGUUAAUAUGAUAAUUUGGCUUCUAACAUGUGUGCCCUUUAUAUUUUAAAAUCAUACAGGAAAAUAUCGCAUAAAGAAUGAUGGACACCAUUCUGAAAUACUUUUCAAUCCUCACAUAAAUGAGGUUUCUGAUUUUCUUGACUGGUAAUUUUUCUAAUUGGUAUUAAUAUAUAUAAUAUGUUUUAAGGUUUAUUUUAAUCUUUUUUACAAUAGUUAACUUGAAAUUAUUUAUGGUCAGGCUUCCUUUUAUUGAUAUCCAAGGAGAUCCGAGCUGGCCAUAAGUUUAAUCCCUCUUAUGUACCUAUAUUUUCUCGUAACUGUUAAACAUUCCCAUUAUGUAAUAUUUUCCCAUAAAACUGGGAUGGAGUUGAACAUAUUUUCGUAUAUUUGUAAUGAAAUAUUUAGUAUUUAUUUAUAGUAAUGUUUAAUUGCCAAUUAAUAUCAUUUUAUUUAUUGUUUAUAUAUAUUACAUGUAUAUAUGUAUAGUUUGGAUAUAGCAUAUACAAUCUAUAUAUAGAAUCCAUUUGAUUUUAGAAAGGUUACUUCCUUUAUAGACAUUUUCUUCCAUCGAAUAUUGUACAUUUCCAUAAUAAUAAGACAUUGUCAAAUUAUACUACUACAAUAUAGUAACGACCAUUUUUCAUAUUAUGCCAAUUUUAGUACCAUAACAAUUUAUGUAAGUAGACUUCGACAUUACAUUUAUUGCGAACCUUUAUAAAUUUCUUUAUUUAUAAUUAUGCCAAACGAUGCAACUAUAACGCUUUUUAGGCAAUUUCAUCUAAUGCUCACUAUUGAUCUUUUUUUUUUUGGUCGAUGCUCACUAUUGAUCUAUUAAAAACUUUACGUGUAAGAGUAAAUUGAAAUUAAUUCUGAUUGACGUUUUCAUUUCAGUGUUGAAAACUGACGUCAAGCUUUUCUCAUAACAUUUAGAGUUGAGUGUCAAAUAUUAUAUAAAUUAUCAAUGUUUUAAUGUUUGUGGAUUAUAAUUAAUGUAGCAGAUGAGCUUAUAAUCUUACGAAUCAAUUCACACAUAUGAGAAAGUGAUUUGGGAAAAUAAUUCAUUUUUAUUUGAAUCAAGAUAAUACAACUUAUUGUAGCAAAAAAGAGAGAUAAUUAAGGUACAAAAAAACAAAAACAAAAAAACAGAGAUAAUUUUAGCUAAACUCCAAAGUUUCUCCUUCCACGUUUAUUCUUAUGUGCCUAUAAGAUUCAAAAACAUAUAAUGUUGUUAACUUCAAACAUAUUAGUUAAACAAAUCAAUGUAUUAAUGGAAUAUUAACAGCUUACCCACUCCGAUGUAUCUAGGUAGCGAAUCUCUCUCUUAACGAAGCCGCAUUCUAUACAUUUCAAACCUAUCUCCAGAUCUAGAUGGAGAUCGUGUUUUCCUUUCUUGCAACGUUCAUUUGGAUCAUCAGUCGAUAUUUCUUCAUCAAGCUGCAGAUAUUACAUAGUGAUAUAAACAUACAAUAAUACAGAAAUCAUCAAUAAAACCGAAUAAUUUAAAGUUUAAAUUAUCUCAGAAAGAACCUCGAUGGCAUUCGCAGUUGAUUUGCUCAGAAAAUCAUUCAUCUCUUCCCACUUAUUAGUUUCCUCCAUCUCUGAUUCAGAAAUUGGAGGAGGUGAUGGUGGUUCUUCCACACCAAAUCUCAUGUUCGAUGGUGGUGGAUUAAUUCUCAGUAAUCCGUUUUCAUCAUAACGUUUUUCUUGGUGAUUCUCCAUUUUUGUCUAAUCUCUUAUCAGGCGUUUAGGGUUGCAGAGAAAAUUUAAGAAGUAUGUUUAUAAUCGAAGCAACUCUUAUUUUAUAUAGGAUAAGGUAGUUAAAAAAUAUUCAAUGUCACCAAAUUUCUAUGUUUUCUUAGGAAUACUGUUUCAACCAACCAGUUUAGCUUUUUAACUUUCGUUUUUGAUAUAUAGACAUAAUAUUUACACAAGUCUUCUGCGUCCAACUCACACAACUUAGCUGAAACAAAAAUAUUGAAAAGUUUGGAUUUUCCUCUUUACAGUUUGAUUUAAACCGCAAUAUAUGGUAACAUAAUAUUGUCUCUGAUAAUUUCGAACUAAUAUUCUUAUGAAGCAAUUAUGUAUAAAUUGAAUUAUCUAACCAUAUAUUCGAGAUUUUUAUAAAUAUUGUAUGAAGGAUAUUUAUAUAUUGUUGUUACUUUAUAAAACCAGAUGCAUAUUUCAAUCUUUAAUGUAUUUGUAUAUUCGUGUAUAUCCUAUUUAAUCCAUCUAUAUAUUCACAUCAUACUUUUGUGAACUGCAACUUCAUUUGUUACACUGAAUAAAAAAUCUCAAUAUUCUCCAUUUCUACUGCUAUGAACAGGAUAGGUAAACCUUAUGCGUCCAACUUUAAUCUAUUAAGAAUCCUUUUGAAUAACUAUAGACAUUUACCCUUUAUAUUUUAUUAUCAGACAUUAUUUGUUUCCUUUUAACUGUUUUAACAAAUUCUUUAUGAUUGUUUUCAGAAAUUAUUUAAUUUCAUCUACCAAGAACAAAUUCUUCCAAGCGAAACAAGGUCGACAAAGUAAUGAAAAAUACAAAAUUUAUUGCUUGGAUGGAGUGUAACAAGAUAUACGCAACUGCCAGAUUCCUACUCUACACUGAAUUAUCUCAUCAAUUUGUAUGGAAUGUCACAUUGCAUGAGUGGAGGUCACGGGUGAAGGGUUCAGGAAAUCCAACUAUUCUUCAACAGUAUUCAAUUUAUGAUGAGUAGAAUUUUUAUUUGGGUGUCUGUUGAAUAUCAUUAGAGGUCCUCGCAGUUAUGAAGAUAUCCGAACAUUUAAUGGUGUUGUAUACGACACCUUCAGAAAAGUUUGCUAUGCAAGGGGCUUAUUCCCGAUCAAUUAGAUUUAUAUAUCUUUCUUAAUUUUAGUUUUAAAACUGCAUGUUGAAUCUUUAUUUCAAUAAGUUACUUUCAUUUUGUUGUUUUUAAUCAUCUUCAUUUUUUACAGUACUUUUUAUGUUGAAUAUAUGAUAUACUAAGGUAAAUCAUCUACUAAAUACUACAUUUGCAACCGUGACAUAUUACAUGAUUAAUACAAGAGUCAACCAAUUAACAUUUUAUAAAAUAUAGCAUAACUUAUAAUUUAUAAUUUAUUGAAUAAACUAUUAUCAUUGUAAGUUUAAAGUAUUGUUGAUGCGGAUUAAUCGUAACUUAAUUGUUAAUAUGAUAAAUUAUACCUCAAAUUUUGGAAAUCUCUGAUAAAAUUAAACAACUUUUUAAAUUUCAAUUUAAACUGAACUACAUAAUAUAGACAAAUGCGAUUUUUUGUUAUUUUAGAUAAUUGCAAAAGAGAAAUAAUAAAUCUAACAAUCCUAGAAAUUAGGAAAAUCGUUGUAGUUCAAAUUAAAAAUUCCCAAUUAAAAGUUUUAUAUUUUUUACACAAUAUUGGAUCUCAUUCGAGGUAAAUAACAAUUUUUUACAUAAUUAGAGUUUUUUUCUUAAAAUUCCAUUCAAUAAUAAAAAAUCUACUAUAGCAAAAACUUAUUGAAAACGGUAUACAUUUCUGUUUACCUACUGAACAAAAUUACUUAUAUCUCACUCUACAAAAAGUACAUUGUCAAUACUCUAUCCACAAUUUGAUAUAAAGUAUUAACAGUAUACUUCAUGUUGAAAGUGAGCAUUCACAAGUAAUAUAAUUACAAUAACUCUGUGGCGACACAAUGAAUAAAAUUACUUCUUCUGAUGUGAUUCAUCACAGAUACACAAGAAAUAUUAUGUAGGAAAACAUGUAUUUUUAUUUCAUGUAAACAUAAUUUUUGUACGUCUGUGAGUGGAUCACAUCAGAAGAAUAAUUAUAGUAUGGGUUGUGUUUGAGUGAGUUAUUGUUUGCUUGGUUAAUUGAUCAAAAUUCUAUUCUGAUGUGUAUUUAUAGAAUUCUUAGAGCACGUCCAGUGGGGGUUCGUCCAUGGGUUCAUAACUCAUUUUAGAAUUAAAAAAAAUGUUUAAUGAGCUAUUUAUGAAGACUCGGUUCAUCCCAAAGAGUCUAAUGAACCUCAUUUGCUGACGUGGCAAUUUUUUAGUGGUUGAACCUUCAUUUUUCUUUUUCCACCUCUUCUCUUUCUUAAAAAAAAUCAUUUUUUCUUUUAUUUUGCAACUUCUCUCCUCUCUCUUGUUCAGAAUUUUAUUAAUUUAAUAUUUAGGAUGAACUUUAUGAAAAGUUCACCAAUGGACAUGGUCUUAAAGAGUGACUCCUCAUUUUUCUUCCCUGUGUUUCAUAUUCCCCAAAAGUCAUUGAUAAUUAAAACAUAUUAAACAACAUUUGACUGAUAUAUCACAAAUUCCGAAAGAAGAUAAAUUUCGAAAUAAAUGAAUACAUCUUCGCAUAUAAUCUAUAAAAUAUGUUCAUAAAUGUCACAUUUCGAUGCCUAACUUAAAAACAUAAAAUUAAUGUAUAUAUUCAUAAUUACAAGUAUUUUUUUAUCUACACUUUCUUCAUUAUACAUAACUAAUUAUAAUUACGUAGAAUUUAUAACUGCAAAUAUGAGCCAAUUUUAAGACACAAUCCAAUUCUUAUACUAAUAACAUACCAUUCGACCCAAAAUUAGUAACAUUGUAUCCACACACACUGUAAAUUAUCAAUAUUAUAAAAUUCGACCCAAUAAAUUUAACAAUAUACCUAAUAAAAUUAAAAUUUCAAAAAACGUUCAAGCCCGCACAUGUGUGCGGGCCAGUAUCCUAGUGCCUAGAAAAUACAAACAAGUGUGGGUAUAGAAACGUGAUACAUAGUGAUUAUGUUCCUUUCAUAUGGUGAUGUACUUAUAUUUCCUUUUAGUAUGCUCUAUAUUGCUAAGUGAAAACAGGGAGAUUGUGGAAUUUAGUUGCAUAUUUAUUUCCUUUUUAAGUGUCCAAUUGCCUUUUGAUUUCGUUUAUUUAUUGCGGGUAAAAACAACCAAAACCAUUCAGUUUUAGCUAGAUCUACUCUCGGAAAUAUUACAUGUAACAUUUGGUCCUUGUUGUUCGACCUAUCGUUCUACUACCAUGACAAAAUAAUUGUACACUUGCGGUUUAGUAAAUUGGUAUUUAAAAUUGACCGCACUUUUUCCAGGGACUAGCUGUUUCACCAUUGGGUUAAAGACUACAGUUGAACAUAUGACAAGUUUUUCUUGUUUCCCCUUUGACACAAAAUAUAUAUAUAUAUAUAUAUAUAUUUUGUUAUAUUUUUGUUACUUUGCUUAAUCGCUCCAAGUUUUCCCUAAUUGGCCUUUCAGCUGCAUGACUAUAAAUCCUUAUACCAUGAGGGUCUGACCUUUCACCGUUUGAAAGAUAAUAGAAAGGAGAGCGAUUAGCACGUUUGGAGAGAGAGACAAUAGAUAAUCAGAAACCAAAAUUGGAGAGUUCAAGUUUGAACAGUUUCUAAGUAACUUGGGUGCCAGUGUGAGUUUGAUGUCCCUGGAUGUGUCAAAAGGUCUUGGGAUAAUAGAUUUCAAGUCAUCAAAGAUCACUCUGGUUUUUGUUAAUCGCUCGGUUGGUUACCCAAUGGGUCUACUUGGGGAUCUACUAGUCAGGGUUGGAAACCGCUAUACUCCUAGAGCAUUCAUUUUGUCAUAGUUACAUAAAGAGCUACAUGAACAGAUGAAGGUGUAGCUGUAGUUGAAGCAGUUGCUGUACCAGAUGAAGUGAAGGAUGGAAUUCCACAAACAUGAAGUACGUGACAAGCGAAGCAUUUGGAAUGAGGAGCUGGACGAGUAGCUGAGCUGGACCAGUAGGAAUGGGAGUCUUGGAAAGAAAGCAAAGCUGGAUGGGAAUAAAGGAGCAGAUCAGGAAGAAUGGAAGAUUUUACUUAAACAUGUAAAAGUUUAAGGAAAUAGGAAAUAUGCACCAAGCGACAAAAAUGGAAGCUGUGGUGUAGGGUUUUCGGCGUGUAUAGCCGCUUAGUCUACUAGGUAUAAGUAGACGUGUUGAACCAUUGUAAAAGCUUAACACAACUACUAGAGAGCACUUAGCAUAAGGGUGAGAGAUUCGAGUAUUAGGGUCUGCAUCAAGGGUUAAGGGUUUUUCUAGGGGAGUUCUGAGAUCAAGUACAGCUCGAAGAACAGAGAGAGCUAGAGCGACAGAUCAAGGUGUGUCUUGAGUCUGUUCUAAAUCGUUUUACAAACUUGUAAGGUGUGUUAACAGAUUUACUAGUAAUAAAGUUCAGUUAAAGGAAAAACUUUGUGUUAAGUUGUGUUGUUGUUCUUGAACUAAGACUCUUGCAUUUACAAUUGGUAUCAGAGCGGUCAUCUGUAACUUGCAAACAGGUGAGGUCAUGCGGAGAUGGAGAAUUAUCAAGAACUUGUGAGCAGUUCAAACGUAAUUUUGAAUGCUGGAAACUACGGCUUCUGGAAAGCGAGGAUGCGUUCACUCAUAAUAGGAAUUGAUCCUUUGGUAUGGAAGUCGGUCCUGGUUAAGUGGGAAGAACCAAAGAAGAAGAACGAUGCUGGAUCUGAUGAGCCUAAAUCUGAAGAAGAAUGGACCGAGGAAGAAAGAAAAAGGUUCAAAUACAAUUCAAAGGCGUUGACGGCUAUUCACUGUAGCAUAUCAGCUGAGACCUUUAAACUAAUUCAGGGAUGUGAGACAGCCAAAGAAGCUUGGGACAUACUGCAGAUACAGUUUGAAGGAACGACAAAAGUGCAAAACUCGAAGAAGGACAUGUUGGCUUCACGAUUUGAGAACCUGUAGAUGGAAGAACAUGAAACCAUUGCCGACUUCAGCUCCGAGUUGAGUUCUCUGGCUCAAGAGGCUACAACUCUUGGGAAGCACUACAAAGACAAAAAACUGGUGAAGAAGUUCGUAAGGUGUCUUCCUUCAAGGUUCAUGGGGUACAAGUCAGCUCUGAGUGUGAACCAGGAUACUGAAUAUCUAAGCUUUGUAGAGAUUGUUGGGAUGCUACAGGCUCAUGAGAUGAAACUUGAUGGUGUGAAGAACCAGAAAGGAUUGGCGCUGUCAUCUGUUCUCGAGACCAAGUCAUCAGAGGAAGAAAAGUGUGAGGAUGCAUUAGGGCUACUGGUGAGGAGGUUUGACAAGGCUCUAAGACGAGCUGAGAAGUCAUAUGGUCAGAAAAAAGGUUGUACCUGCCAAACGAACAAAGGAAACCAGUGAAAGAAGGGGUGAUGUUCAAUGCUACGAGUGCAAAGGGGUCGGACACUUCAAGACUGAAUGUCCUACUAUUAAGAGAAGGUAGAUUCAGUGCUUCGGAUGCAAGUGUUUUGGUUAUACACAAUUGGAAUGUGUGAAUGAUCAAAACCGCAGGAAGGAAAGAUCCAUGCUGGCAGAAGAAGAUACUGAAAAUGACAGUGAUGAAGACACUGUGGAGGAAGUAAACAACUUUGUCUCAUUCAUUGGCAUUGCAGAAUUCGAUGAGAGUAUGGUUGCUUCAGAUGCUGAGUCAGAAGUUGGGGCUGAUGAUGAGCUGAGUGAAAGCUACAAAGAGGUUCGUGAGACUCUGAUCAAGAUUGGCAAGGAAAACACUGACUUAAAGAAAGAGAAUCUUUGAGUUGAAGCAAGAGUGGAGGAGCUGCAGAGAGAACUGAAAGCUGCUCAGAAACUGAGUCAAGAAAGUGUUGCGCUGAUAAAAGAGAAGCUGAACUUGGCAAAGAAGGCAGAGCAACUGGAGCAUGAUCUAAGUCAGGAGAAAGGGAUUUCCAACAACCUGAUGGGUGAGCUCAUUGAGCAACGUAAGAAGAUUCAUAUGUUUGCUGGAACUAAACAGCUUGAUCAGAUCUUGAGCCAUGAAAGGAGGUAUGAUGUGCGUAGAGGAUUGGGAUACGAUGCUUGAACCAUGGUAGAAACAGGUACUACAAAGUUUGUCUCAGGAGGUACAACUAAGCCACAAGAUCUGAUCAAGCUGAAAAGCUGUGGAUGAAGUCGGAAAGGUCAUCCUGCGAGGAAUCAGAUCUAGGAACAACUGUUAUAUAUGGGAUUCCUCUUGCAAAGAAGAAAAGUGCUUCACAGCACGUGAUGAUCUACAUCCGUGGCAUCAACGAUUGGGACACAUGAACAUCACGAAUCUUGCCAAUCUUGUCGACAAAGAAAUUGUCAGAGGAGUGCCUAAAGUCAAGGGAGUUGAUAACUCGGUGUGUGGACCUUGCACUCAAGGCAAGCAAGUUAAAGUGCAACACAAGAGAGUACCUGAUGUACAGUCAAAAGCAGUUCUUGAUCUAGUCCAUAUGGAUCUAAUGAGACCAGUACAAACCGAGAGUUUGGGUGGCAAGCGCUAUGUGUUCGUCCUUGUGGAUGACUUCUCUAGGUACACCUGGGUUAGGUUCCUUUGAGAAAAAUCUGAGACAGCUGAGAGCUUCAGAAUAUGGGCGCUGCAACUCUUGAAUCAGCGCGGUAGAAUAAAGAAUAUCCGGAGUAAUCGUGGCGGCGAGUUUCAGAAUGAAUUCAUGAAACUUUUCUGUGAAAGUCAUAGCAUUGCUCAUCAGUUCUCAGCACCUAGGACACCACAGCAGAACGGGGUUGUAGAAUGGAAUAACAGAACACUACAGGAGAUGGCACGAGCAAUGAUGCAUGGGAACCAAGUGUCAAAGAAGUUCUGGGCUGAAGCAGUCAAUACGGCUUGCUACAUCAUAAACCGAGUCUACGUCAGAAAGGGAACCAGUAAGACACCUUAUGACUAUGGAAAGGGAAAACCCCUAACUUGAGUUACUUUCAUGUCUUUGGUUGCAGGUGCUACAUCCUUAAUGACAAAUACUAUCUUGGGAAGUUUGACUCAAGAAGCGAUGAAGGGAUGUUUUUGGGAUACUCGGGAAAUAGCACUGCAUUCAGGGUCUUCAACAUCAGGUCAAAAGUACUGAUCGAGUCAGUGAACAUGGUGUUUGAUGACUAUGCUCGUACCAAGUGGGAAGGAACUGCUACUGGCAGUGACUCGGACGAAGAAGAAGAAAAUCAACCAGCAGCUCCCACUGGAGAAGGUGAUCAAGCAGUUGUGGUUCCAACAUCUGAUGUUCAGCAAGUUCACAGGAAUCACUCACCUUCGAAUCUCAUUGGUGAUGUGAAUGAAGGAAGAAGGACUUGUGGAGUUCAGUUGGACUUCAAAAAGAUGGUUGGGAAAUUCUCGGAGAUGGUUCUAUUUGCAUGCUUUGUCUCUGUCAUUGAACCCCGAGACGUGAGACAGGCACUUGGUGAUGAAUUCUGGAUCAUUGCCAUGGAACAAGAACUAGAGCAGUUCGUGCGUAAUUAUGUGUGGAAACUUGUCCCAAGACCCCUUGAAGGCAAUGUGGUGGGAACAAAGUGGAUCUUCAAGAACAAAAUCGAUGAGAAUGGGGUUGUGGUUCGCAACAAAGCAAGGCUAGUUGCACAAGGGUUUUCACAAGUCGAGGGAGUCAACUUCGAAGAGACGUUUACCCCUGUAGCAAGACUUGAAUCAAUCAGACUGUUCUUGGGGAUGGCCUGUAUCCUAAACUUUAGGGUAUAUCAGAUAGAUGUCAAAAGUGCAUUUCUUAAUGGAGUGCUCCAAGAAGAAGUGUAUGUGGAACAGCCAAAAGGGCUCAAAGAUGCUCAGUAUCCACAACAUGUGUACAAGUUGAAGAAGGCGCUUUAUGGCUUGAAGCAGGCUCCACGAGCGUGGUAUGAGAGACUCACUGGAUUUCUGGUUGAACAAGGAUAUGUUAGAGGAAGUGUUGACACGAUCUUGUUCAUCUAUGAGCAGAAUGGGCAGAUCAUAAUUGUGCAAAUCUACGUGGAUGACAUUAUCUUUGGAGGAACUGCUCAGUCACUUGUGGAUCGAUUUGUCACAAGCAUGACUCAAGAGUUUGAAAUGAGCAUGGUUGGUGAACUGCGGUACUUCCUGGGUUUGCAAAUAACUCAGUCUGAAGAUGGGGUCUUUAUCUCACAAAGCACCUAUGCGAAGAACUUACUUACAUGAUUCAAGCUUGAUCAGUGUAAGGAAGCUAAUACUCCAAUGAGUACUACAGCCAAGCUCACUUGGGAUUAAGAUGGAACAGAUGUUGACCCCACAGUUAUCUAGGGAUGAUUGGAAGCUUGUUGUAUCUCACAGCAAGUAGACCAGACUUUUCCCUAAGUGUGGGCAUCUGUGCUCGAUAUCAGGCGAAACCCAAGCAAUCACAUCUUGAAGCAGUGAAGAGAAUCAUCAAGUAUGUCAAAGGGACAGUCAAGUUGGGAAUCUGGUACUCCAAAAGAUCGAACAAGCACUUGGUGGGAUACUGUGACGCAGGAAGUGCAGAUGAUCGGAAAAGCACAAGUGGAGGUUGUUUCUUUCUUGGGAACUAUCUAAUCUCGUUGUAGAGUAAGAAAUAGAACUCUGUCUCACUGUCUACUGCAAAGGCCGAAUACAUUGCUAUGGGGAGCUGCUGCAGUCAACUGUUGUGGAUGAAGCAGAUGUCCGCAGACUAUGAGAUGGAUUCUGGGCCACUACUGGUUCACUGUGACAACAAAAAUGCUAUCAGUAUUUCAAGGAAUCUGGUGCAGCAUUCUAGGACCAAACACAUCAAUAUAAAGCACCACUUCAUUCGUGAGCUAGUGGAGGAGAUACAGGUAGUGAUAGAACACAUUGUCACUGAUUUGCAACUGGCUGAUUUAUUCACAAAACCCCUGGAUUUUAAUCGUUUUGUCACCUUAAGAAACUCGAUUGGGGUUUGUAGUAUGUGAUUUUUUGUGAAGUGUGCAGGACUGAUGCAAAAACUGACUCGAGGGGACACUCAAGGUUUAGAUUCAGUCUGGAGUCAUGGAUCUAGUGGAAAAGAGCUAUCUCAACAACCGUCGUACCUUAACGACAGUACAGGUUUCAUGGAGUAGAAGGGAAGCUGAGCUAGUUUCGGAGAAGUCAAGUGAUGAAACUAGCUCAUUGCACUCAAACCAGAAAGGGAGGAAUGAAUAAAUAAAAAAAAUUUAAAAAAAGGAGGGGCUGCUUGCAAUUAAAAUUAGUUGAUCCCCUCAAAAGGUAGAUCCUCCCCUGGUACUGAAAGCUUCCUUCACCCGUGAAUAAAGGUUGAAAACUAGAAAAUGGGUCGAUAAAGGUAGUUGGGUGUGAAAGCUAGCCCGUGAAUCAGGAUGGCCAGACUCUUAUGAAUCAUAACAAGCUGAAGGUGUCUCGUGAGUCAGAGGCUGUGUCUAGUUCCGGUGCACUUCAAAGAAAAUGGUAAAAAUAUGUACAAAGCAUUGUUUUCAAAGCCAGCGCAUAGGUGAUAGUUCAAUUGUCACUAUUUGUUCUCUAUCAUCGGCUUAUGUGUGAAAGUGUCCGUGAAUAUUGAUGGUCUAAUGCGUGCGUGUUUGAUUCAGUAUGUGUUCGAGUGCUUUUGUCACGUGUGAAACAGGAAAGUGGGCAGGGAAUUUCGAGGCCUUGAUGAGUUUGUGAAAACAUCUGUGAGAUGGGCUUGUUGCGAGAGAACAGCCCACAAAAGACAAUGGAAAUUGAAAAGACGUGGGAAAAUAGAAAGUGGGGGAGUUAUUUACGGGGAGUGGGGAUCCGAAAAAUCAGCACCACUUCCUGUUUUAAACCCUAAUUAUCUUCCUACAAAAGGCGAAUCACAAAGAGAGACAUCAAUGGUGAGAGGAACUCGAAGGGGGCUAAUUGGUGUCCGAUCUAAAGCACAGAUGACGCAUGCAGAUGGCGAUGCUCAGAGGCCUCAUCUAAUCGAUGAGCACAGUGGCGAGAGUAUGAAUCCAACUGAGGCGGUUCCUGAUCAAAAUCCCGCGGCAUCCAUUGGUCCAGCAGAUAGUGCAGGCUCUUUUGCCACCGCAAAUGAUGGAGAUGCGCAGAGUGGAUCGUCGGCGAACCCUAAAGAGAAGGCGGAUGGCGGAGAAACCAAGGCCAACUCGGAGGUUACCCAGAAAAUCAAGAAUGACGAGGAAGAGGCUGACGGUGGCGAGAGCAAAAAAGCUGUUGAGGUGAAUCUCUCUGUGCCACAAGAAUCGGCGAAUCCGACCGCCGAUCCGGUUCUGAUCACAAUGACUCAAGAGGAGGCGACAGCAUCUCCCGCUGAAGCAUCACCUACCUCGAUCUCCGUGAAAGAGCAAGCUGCAAAAGUCGAACGCAAAAGAAAUACAAUGAAGGCUUUGGGACUUCCAGCUCCGUCAAAGAAACCCAAAAGUGAGCCGUCUCCAGUUCCAAAAGCAGAACCGGAGCCAGUCCCUGACUCGGUGCCAUGAAAGCGGACCAAAAAGGCUCGAUCUCGCAAAGAACAGCCGUCUCCUGAUCAAGCAAGGUAUGAUCACUUUGCUACACGACAACUUUGGUGUGAGAGAACUGUCGAUGUAGGUGAAACAGAUGAAUGGGGAUACAUCAAAGUGAAUAGAGACAGCGGUUUAGAAUCAGCGGUUGUAGGGAUCACUUUGUAUGUACCGCAAGUGAUUCAGGAGUUCUAUGCUGGGCUUCCGGGUGAGCUACCCUCUGAUCCAGAUCAAGAGAUUCGUGUCAAGCUGAGGGGUUUUGAGUAUUGCUUCUCUCCUGCGUGGAUCAAUCGGGUCCUCAAUCUGACUCCACUUAGCGAGGCUGAAGUUCACGAUGAGUCAGUUGCUGAAGCAGUCUCUCUGUCUGAUAUUGCCAAACACUUGUCGAAAGGAGGAAGUGGUUGGAGUGGGCUGAGCACGAGGAAUCUCCCACCGGUUUUUGCUUCAUUGAUUGUUAUUGCGGCGUACAACUGGAUUCACUCAACCAACAAGAAUCACAUUUCUGAGGAGCGUGCUCGCCUGCUGUACAAGCUGAGUCAUGGUGUGAGGGUGGACUUCGGAAGGCUGGCUUUCAAACAUAUUAUUCUAAUGAGCAAGAUCAUCAAAAAAGACACUCACUGGCUGGUAUUCCCGUGUUUGAUACAGAAGAUUAUGAACCUUCAACACGAGCCUUAGCUGGGUCAAGGAGAGACUCACAUUGUCCCAUUUUGAUACAAAAAAGACUCACGCAGUGGUGAGGAGUUCAUCAAGAAAGAGGCCGCAGCUGCAAAGAAGGAUAAGAAGAAAGGGAAGCAAAGGGCUGAUGCACCGAGAUCUCCAACUCCUCCACCUCAGUCGUCUCAACAGCAACCUGAGCCAUCACCGAGUGUGCCACUUCGGUCCUUCCGCUCACCACCUCCUGAUGCAUCCUUCAGGUCAUCCGACUCUGCUCCUGGUCGGACUCAAAGUGCUCCUCUCGGAGUGAUUUGUGUUCCUUUGGCACCAGAAAGUGCUAAUGAAGUCACAUUGGCCUUAUGGGAUGUGAGUCGUGUGCUUAACCAUCUCCACGGAAUAGUCAACAUGGUGAUUGACUCAUUUGCAAGUAAGUUUUCUGACUCUGACUUGUUUCUUAUUUUAGGUAUUGAUCCCUGUUUUUACUUUCGGUGAUCACAAGCAGGAGGAGAAAACAUGUGGGAAGAAAUUCUACGAGAUGAUGCAGGAGAUGAUGCGGGUGCUUAAAUUGUGGGGGAGUUUGUGUAAUAAUCUAGUUUCUUGUUUCUGAAUUAGGCUAAGUUUGUGGGGGAACGUGUAUUUUGCUCUGAAAACUCUUGUUCGCAGCAUUUGAUUCAAGACUCUGUGUUUGACGUUUUCUUUUCAUAUGAAAUGCGUUCUGUUUGUCUUGGUACUUGGUUGGUCUGUGGUUGUUUGUGUGCUAUGUCUGAAAACAGGUGCUUCUGAGUCACACGAAGCUAAAAUGGGGGAGAUUGAAGGUGUAGCUGUACUUGAAGCAGUUGCUGUACCAGAUGAAGUGAAGGAUGGAAUGCCACAAGCAUGAAGUACGUGACAAGCGAAGCAUUUGGAAUGAUGAGCUGGACGAGUAGCUGAGCUGGACCAGUAGGAAUGGGAGUAUUGGAAAGAAAGCAAAGCUGGAUGAGAAUAAAGGAGCAGAUCAGGAAGAAUGGAAGAUUUUCUUAAACAUGCAAAAGUUUAAAGAAAUAGGAAAUAUGCACCAAGCGACAAAAAUGGAAGCUGUGGUGUAGGGUUUUCGGCGUGUAUAGCAGCUUAGUCUACUAGGUAUAAGUAGACUUGAAGCAUUGUAUAAGCUUAACACAACUACUAGAGAGCACUUAGCAUAAGGGUGAGAGAUUCGAGUAUUAGGGUAUGCAUCAAGGGUUAAAGGUUUUUCUAGGGGAGUUCUGAGAUCAAGUACAGAUCGAAGAACAGAGAGAGCUAGAGCGACAGAUCAAGGUGUGUCUUGAGUCUGUUCUAAAUCGUGUUACAAAUUUGUAAGGUGUGUUAACAGAUUUACUAGCAAUAAAGUUCAGUUAAAGGAAAAACUUUAUGUUAAGUUGUGAUGUUGUUUUUGAACUAAAACUCUUGCGUUUACAACAAGUUCCUCUAGGCUCAGCUAAACCAAUUCUCUUUACUUAGUUGUUUUUAGUAGUUGAUCUCGACUGGGUGAAAACCGACCCUAACACUUUCCUUGAGUUUGUCUUGAGGAGAACCAUGUUCUCAGUCCAUCCUCAUAUCUCCUAUCUCCAUUACUUUGAAUCAAACAUAUAGUUGAUUUCUGAUAUUGUUGUCGAUUAGCUUGAUGAGUUGGUACUUUUUCGAAGGUUUCUCCCAAGUCAACAACGUUUCCCCACUCGCAUAAAAACUAAUCUUUCAAUAGUCUCGUUACCAAACCAUCCCAACCUAAUUCAGGUUUGGCUUAUCAUAUAAAUUACAUCCAUUUUUGAACUGUCAAAACCUAAUUUAGGGAAUUUCAGUAAUAAUAUAUAGUUUUUUGGUGUGUCAAAUCAUAUGAGAGAACCUUUACGAUAUAUAUGUUUUAACCAAGAGUGAUCCCGAUAUUUACCACUCAACUAAUCCAACAAUUCCCAAGGGACGAGUGUAGCCGUGAAGUAAUUCAUUCACAAUUUUUUUUUUUUUACAUCUAAUUCACCUUUAUUAGUUAUCAAAAUUACAAUCGUUAAUUACAGUACACUACAAGAAAACAGCAGGUAUUCCUACGAAAGAUAUCAUCAGAAAAUGGUAGGAAACAGGCAUUUUCUACCAAUUUCCGACGAAAAUGUUUUGGUAAGUUCUAUGCCGUCGGAAAUUAUAAAUGGUCAGAAAAUGAUAGGAAAUUUCCUACGAAAUUUUUGGUCGGAAAAUUUCAUCGGAAAAUUUGGUCAGAAUAUCGUAGGGCAUUUGCUACUAUUUUCCUUCCAUUUUCUUUUGAAAAAAUCCAACCCUUUUCCUACGAACAGUUUUCUAUCAUAUUCCUACCAUUUUCUUACUAGCUAUAUAAAAAAAUUUUAAUUCAAUUAAUUACAAAAUUAAAUAAUUUCAAUUAUUAAACAAAUUAUAAAAAUUAAAUCCAAAAUUAAUCAACCUAAUUAAAAACUAAUUAGAAAUUAAUUAUAACUAAAUAUGGAACUUCUAAAGCCCAAAUUAUUUUUAUUGACUCAGUAUUUUUUAUACUUAAAGCAUGUGUCUAUUUAUAGAGUCUUUUCAGCAUCACCUGCUUGGUCGAUGUGGGAUUUUUCCCAUUUUCCUUUUUGACUGAUUUUGGUAGGAAAUUGAUAGGAUAUUUAAAUAAUAAAAUAUUUAUUUUUCGUAGGAAAUUGAUAGGUAAUUUCUUACAUAUUAUAUUCGUAGAUAAGUGGUCAAAAAUUUCUGACAAAUUUCCUACCAUUAUUACAGUAAAUUUUUUCCACCGAUUUCCUUCCAUUUUCUGAUCAGAUUUCCUACGGAUAUUUUUUUGGUUGAAUAUUGGUAGGAAAAUUUUGACCAUUUUCUGACGAUUUUUAUCGUAGAAACUUUUCUUCCAAUUUCCUACCACUUUUAUUUUUUGUCAUAAAUUCGUAGGAAAAUGAUAAAAAAAAAUUUCUACCAAAAUUUACGUAGAAAAAUUUAUAGGAAUUCAACAUGUUUUCUUGUAGUGGUAUGUUGGAGGAAUCGAGGACAAGUGUGGUACAAUGACCAUUGAGUAUUACAUAAUAAUGCUUGUUUAGCCAACAUAUCUGCCCAUUGAUUUGCUUCUCGGUGUCGAAAGGUGAAGCUCACUUCAGCGAACAUUUUUUCCAGCUUUUGAUAGCCUCUAUGUAAUGGUGGAGACGCAAAUUAUUUCCUUGCCCAUUGAUGAGUCGGAUAAUGGUUAGAUUAUCUCCUUCAAAUUCCACUUUUUGAAGGAAUAUUUUCAUAUUUUCAUUCACAAUAUUUUCUAAUGGGUCUAAAAAAUGGCACCAUUUCAAUUCGUCAAAUGAAAAUGGUUAGAUAAUUAUAAGUUUGUUGAGAAUUCUUUCUUUAUGGUACUUUGAUAUAUUUAGUGAACUUUGCAAGUAUUGUGUAUGAAUAACCUCAGUAGAGUUUCUUUAGGUUCUCGUUGUACUAUUAAGAAAACAAAAUUUCUCAUCGUGAACUUUGCAAUUUGUGAAUAUUUAGUUUAAAUAUUUUUUCUUUUUUGUAAGACCCUAGAGUACGAAUAAUUAAAUUGCAGUAAUAUAAAAAAACCAAAGACAAUAACAUAAAGUACAGACGAUUUUAUUAUGCAAAGAGUGAAGAUUACAACUCGAACACAGAGACAUACAUUAUUAAGUUUAUUCUCAUAGUUUCUUUUCUUAAACUUGAGUCACUUCAUUACAAAUGCACCAAUGUUUACUUAGAGUCAUACACACGUAUGUGCAUAUAUGAGACUUAAAAGUAUAUUUCAUAGAUUUUAAUGACCGGGCUGAGUCUGAACAGCUUCUGCUCCGUGUCCCCCGCGUCCACCAUGGCCUCCUCCUCCAUAGUGUCCUCCUCCUCCGUAGUGUCCUCCUCCUCCUCCGUAGUGUCCUCCUCCUCCUCCUCCGUAGUGUCCUCCUCCUCCUCCUCCGUAGUGUCCUCCACCGUGUCCUCCUCCGUGUCCUCCUCCUCCGUUGUAACCUCCAUGGCCACCACCAUAUCCAUCAGGUUUCUCAUUUUCCUCACUCUCUGACUUCACCGUGCCUGUUCCAAACACACACAAAAAAAAAACAAAAUUAUUUCAAAAAUAUUUUUAAGCACGUGCAAAUGUGCAUUCCUUUGCCUAUUUCAUAAUUGAACACUUUUAAAAAAUGUAUAGAAAUUCGGGAUAAUGAUGUAGUUGUAGUGACAGAAUUACUCUGAACAGCUUCUAGUCCAUGUCCCCCGCGGCCUCCAUGUCCCCCGUGGCCUCCUCCUCCGUAGUGUCCUCCUCCGUGGCCACCACCAUAUCCAUCAGGUUUCACAGUUUCCUCACUCUCUGAGUUCACCGUGCCUAUCCCAAAAGCGAAACCACAUUAUUUUAUAAAUAUUGUUAGUACGUACAAAUGUGCAUUCCUCUCCCCAAUUUCAUAAUUAAAUUUCUCUUAAAAACUUUCUAAAAUAUGUAUAUAAUUCCGAUCUCUAGUUAUAAAAAAAAUGAGUUCAACAUUAAAUAUACGUUUUAUAUAAAUUGGCGUCAAGCAUCUAAAUAGUUUGGGAGGGUCUAAUAGGUAUAAGAGCAUGUACAUCAGUGAACCCUUAAAAGAGGGGUUUAACAGAAUAUAAUAACAUUUUUUUUUUGUUUUAGUUUUUUUUUUUUUUAAUUCGAAAAUUAUAAUUUUCGACCAUGUUUUAUUUGGGAUGAUACCGUCUCUUCAGGUUCGUCGGGAUGAUACUGUCUCUUUAAUAUUAAGAUCUUUUGUCUCAAAAACCGUGCCAUGAACCCCUCUUGAUCCUCUGAUGUAGAUGCUCUAAGAAGGACUAAACGUCAUAAGUAAGCGUAAGUGUCUUUUCUUACUAGGACAUCAACAUGAUACUUAAGUGUGUUUAUGACUUAGUGAGUCCAAAUAAUUGACCAUCGUUCACCCCAACUUUUCGCAUUUAAAACGGACGAGAUAGUUGGACAAAAUUAUCAAAUGGUACGUUAGUCCGGUUAGAUUAGCUUCACGAUAAUUUUUUUGUUUUCUAUAAAAUAAUUUUACGUACCCGACUGCCUUGCUGAGACGACGAGAAGAAAUGCAAACACACCCAACAGAAGCAAAGUCUUGGAAGCCAUUUUCUUCAAACUGCUUAUAACACUUUUAAUUUGUAUAUAUGGAGAAAGAAGUGAUGAAUAAAAUGUUAGCCUGCAUGCUCUCUAUUUAAGGAAAACGAGGAGGGCAGAAUGAGGAAAAGUCAAAUAAAUAAUUCGUAGUGCAGUGAAAAGAAGUAUUUUUUUAAUUAAAAGCAAAAGGGAGAUUUAGUGUAUCACAAAAUUUAGAGAAAUUGCAUUGUUUGCAGAUAAAGACACACUUUUUAGUAGCAAAUAAAUAAAACUAUAUUUCUUUGCGCAAGCGAACAAAAGGGAGUUGUAUUAUUCUAGAAGAGUUUAGAUCUAAUUUAUACCCCCCAAAAAAUAUAGUUUAGAUAUCUUUAUCUGUAUCAUGCAAUCUUUCUUUGUAAACAUCUUGAAUAGAGUUAAUAUAUGUUACGUGAUUUAUAUUAGAUUGCAUGAAACAAAAAAUACGUGAAACAAAGUGUUUCGAAAAGGAUAACAAUUUUAAAAAUGAUAGGAAACGUUUGCUUUCGGAAACAUAUAUUAUAUAUAAAACAUCAAAAUCAUAUGAAAAACAAAACGAAACAUUAAAACCAAACGAACUUUAAUACUUAUAUAUCAAACAGAUAAAUAAAGAUACAAAUCCAAACGUGGUAAGAAGAUAACGAAAUUUUCAUAUUUUCGAAUUUACUUCAUCUAUCCUACAAAUAAGAUGGUAAGACGAUCGAUAAGUAUGAUCAAAGUAUAUCUGUAUCCGUUGCGUCGAUUCCCAUAUGGUGGGUUGUUGGAUUGUGAUUUGUGAAAAACUUUAACCUCAAUAGUCUUUUAGAUAUUUCUUAUCAACGUCUUUAAACAUAGGAACCAUCGGACAAGUAUUGAACUAUUGAUAUGUAAGAAUUACAUUAUUGGCCAUAACUGGUAUUAUUGUUACAUUAUUAUUACUAUAAUUUGGACACAAAAUUAGUCCACUAUUUGUACUUUAACUCUUUAAGGAUCUUCUUUGAAAAUCUCAGCCGACAGGUUUUUAAGCAGACGGAUAAAGAAUUAAUACGAAGUAAUUACUAAGAACUUACCUUUAAAGGGUGAAAUUUUGCUUGGCUAUAAUUUAUUCAGGCCUACAUCGAUAAAAAAAAAUAAAAAUCAUUCCAGUGACCUAAGUGUAAAGGAGCUUGAGAUAUACGUGUUGAGAAGAUGAGCAUUAUUAAGUGUACAGAAUGUAGCUGCCGUCCUAAUUAUAAUAAAAUAGAAGUUAAUCCGCACAUUGUAAGGGAUAAUGUUUUUUUAAUUAUUUUUAAAUUUAAUUUAAUUUUUUUUAGUUAAAUUAAAAUUGGUGGCAAAAAUAUUUUAACAAAAAAUAUAAAUAAACAAAAUUAAUAAAAAUUAAAUAAUAUAUAUAUAUAAAUAUCACACAACCGAUAUUUAUUUGUAUAUAUAUAUAUAUUAUAGAGUAUGACUUUGAGCUAAUUUUGUUAUGCAGUUUAAUUAUUCAUAAAAUAAGAAUUUAAUUUUGAAUAUUUUAUUAGAGAUUAAACUAUUAUUUUUAGUUAAUAAAUUAUAAUAUAUGUUAAUAAUAAUUAUAUAUAGGAUUAGACAAAUUCGUCUAUUUAAUUUAUUUUAUAAUUUUUAAAAUAUUAUUUCGACCAAUCCGCAAAAAAUAGAUUUUAAACUUUAAAUUAUAUUUUAUUUUUUAUAAUAAUAAUUGAAUUGAUUUUCAAAAAUGAUGCUAAUUAAUUAUGAAAAUACAAAUGAAAAAUAUUGCAAAAUUUAAAUAGUUUUUCAUAUAUAUGGAUUGAUUAUUAUUUAAAAUAAUAGAAUAUAUUUUAACAUUUUAAUAAGUAAAAAGCAAAAUACAUUUUUUAUUUAUAUCCAUAUAUAUUCAAAACAAAUAUGUGAGCUAUAUAUUUAACUAUCUCUUGUGAAGAAAUAUUUAAUUAAAAAUUUUAUAUUUGUAAAAUUUAUUUAUUUAAUAUCUUUUAAGUAAAGGUUUAUUUAUGUAAUAUUUUAUAAAUAAAUAUUUAUUUAUGUAAAAUAUUCUGUAAUAUCUUACAAAUAAAAGUUUCUUUAUAAAAUGUCUAUUCAAAUAAUAAUGUAGAGAUGUAAUUUAAUUAAAGUCUAAUUGAUAUGAACUUCAUAAUUAUUAUAAAAAUAUGAUCAAUUCCAUGCGAGUGAAAAAGAUUUACAUAGUUAUCGUUUAUUUCUCAUACAAAACUAUUUUAAUUUUAAAGAGUAAAACGUAGCAGAAAAUGAAAACUGGAACUUUUUUAGAAUAUGACAGCUAGUUUUAAAAAUGGGAGAUGGCUACAAUACCGUUUCAAAAUAAUAGAUUAAAACUUAAUCCCAGAUAUCCGACUUGUUGAUGGUUUCUAUUUGCUUACGCACACUAAAUAUAUUAACACUCAAGAGAGGGAAAGUGUAAAUUGUAUUAAUGAAAGUGUUAGUGAACCGUAUUACAUUAAUUCCCUUUUAUAUACCAACUAGGUUAAGAAUAAAUACAUAUAUGUUAAUACAUCCCUCUCAAACCGAAUCAACCUUAGGUAGAAAGAGGUUUGAUAAUAAUACACGACUAAGCAAAAAAUGAAAUGGACCUAGAUGCAAAGGCUUCGUCAACAUAUCAGCAAGCUGAUUCGAAGUAGAGACAUGAAGAACAUUUAGGAAGCCAUUCUUCACCUGAUCUCGGGUUAUGUGGGAAUCAAUUUCCACAUGCUUAGUUCUCUCGUGAAAUACAGGGUUAUUGGCAAGAUUCAUAGCUGAUUUUUUUUAUCACAAAACAGGUUGGCUUCAGAAGUUACCGGGAUAUGAAGAUCAGUCAGUAAUUGGUGCAGCCAAAGUAACUCUCCCGUAGUAACAGCCAUGCUCCGAUAUUUGGCCUCCGUGCUGCUUCUAUUAACCAUUUCCUGUUUCUUGGACUUCUAGGUGAUAAGAGAUGUUCCAAGAAAUACACACAGACUCGUUACAGAACGACUGCAUCUGAAAAUCCAUUCAAGCAUAACUCUGUAGUAGCAUAAUAGAAAAAACCUUAGCCCAGAUUUUCUUCAAAUAUUUAAGGAUCUGGAAAGCAGCUUGAAAAUGAACAUUAGUGGGGAAAGACAGAUACUGACUCCACUGAUGCAGCGCAAAAGUGAUAUCAGGACGAGUAAUGCAGAGAUAUUGCAAUCGACCAAUCAAUUCGCGAUAUGAAGUUGUAUCAGAAAGAGACGUACCCGCGGACUGGAUCCAUCAAAACUGAUUUUGGUUUAUAACCAAGGAGACCAUAAUCUUCAAUAAGAUCCAAGCAGUAUUUCCUCUGUGAAACAGAUAACCCCGAAGCAUUCCUUGCAAUCUCAAGACUCAAGAAGAAAUGAGCUUGGCCAAGAUCUUUGGUCUUGAAUGGGAUUGUGAUAUAUUCAUAUCAUUUCGUGUUUAGGAUGCAUUUUUGGUCCAAGAAUAGAGCCUCAUGCAUACAUUUUAGAUAGAUUCUUCAUGUUUUCUUUGUUUUAGAGGUUUAGGACUUUGCAUUAGGUCCAAGUGAGUCUUGCAUGUUUGGAGUGUCAAUCAGGUGCUUUGGAGGUCAUCUGGAGAUGAAAAUAUGGAACCAGGUGAAGAAAUGGUGAAAGAAGGGCAAGAUAUGGUAAAAAUGAGGUUUUGGAGGUUAUCGGCAAAAUUGCUUACUGCGGGAAGAUUUUUAUCGGCCAAAAAUCAUUCCCGGGAAGCAGUUAUCGGCCAAAACAUGUACCAGACCAAGUCUGUAUCGGCAAAAAUCCUUUGUCGUGGGAAAAAAUGUUUAUCGGCUAAAAUACGUACCGCAGUACGUAACUUAUCGGCCAAAACGUGAAUUAUCGGCCAAAAGUUUCCCGACCCGAUAUGCUUCAAAGAUGCCUUUACCAGAAAGCUUUCUCGUCCGAUUCAGUUUCUAGUGUUUUCACAAACGUUCAAGAGAAUUGAGUCACAAUUCCAGAACAGUUGGAAUCAAUGGAUUUGGAGCAGUGAGCUGAAAGAUACGGCCAACAGAAGAUGAAUCUGCCUCGCAUCCAUUCUGGUCAUAUCCGAUGCGACUCAAAGAUCACUCAGGAUGAAACUCUUCCCUUCCAAUCUAGUUUCCGGGGCUCUAUCAAGAUUUGAGAGAUUCGAGUCAUAUUUCCAUAACGCUUAGAAUCAUUCCAUUUGGAGUGUUGAGUUGGGAGAUAUCGCAUUCGGGAGACAGACAUGCCCUGCAGUAAGAAACUAGAACCUCCCGAGCCAAUGCAAUGAUCCGUUUACCGGAAGGCCUCUCUCACCCGGGAUGCACUUAAGUUCUUCAUCAAAGUUGUAUGGAAUUGAGCUGCCUUUCCUCUGGAGUUUCUCUCGAGUCAUUUAGACUCAUAUCCCACAAGUUAUGCUAGCUCAAGUAAACAUAGAUCCGAGGAAAUGAGAAAUGCUGCGACAUGGCUUUGCGACUCGGUCAACUUGCAGCGAUGAAUGUUUAAAUUCUGGGAGCAAGCUGAGACUUGAAAUGAUGCGGGUGAGGUGACUCGGAGCAGGGUAAGGAUUUCCAAAGCUCAAAUAUUUCUAAGUCCAGAACAGCCUAUGACAUGGCAGUGCGAGAUUGAUGAUGAGAUGAACCAUGUCGCACACACACUCGCUUGGGGCCGCGACAUGACAGUGCGAGAUGGAUGAAGAGAAGUAACAUGUCGCACUCCUACUCUCUUGGGGCUGCGAACGUGAAGCUGUGAGUGGGAAAAGAAGGAUUUAAGCUGCAAGUACAAUUGCUUGAAUGAUACGACAUGAAAGUGCGGCUGAAGAAGCAAGGGAGCUGAGACGUAACAACAUUCACUUGGGGCUGCGAGAUGGCAGUGUAGGUGAACUGAAGCCAGGACCAUCUCGCACCAUGGCCACAUGACCCAACUGAACCAGGUCAGUACACAGUUUGUCUUGAGCUGACCCGCUCCAAAACACUUAGUAUAAAUAGCUUUUAGGGUUUUUUUCCAAAGAACAUCUCAUUUUCCUUUAGGUUUUUAGCCACUUUUGUGUAAGAGACAACUAAAGAGAGAUAUCUCCUUUCUUUUCUUUGAAUCAAAAAUGUUUGAGAGCUUAAUCUAUCUAUCUUAUCAUCAUUACUAUUCAUCAUCUUGUUUUCUCUAUCAACUAAUCAUGUUUAAUUACUUUUCUUGCAAAGGAAUCAGAGAGUUAAUCAUGAUUAGUGAGUAGUCGCGUCAUUAGGGUUCUAGAUAUGUAAGUUAGGGUGUUUAGAGGUUUGAUUAAGGCUGCUUAGGAUUAAAUUUAUACAUCUCUGUCUUGUUUAGCUGAUUUUAAUGCUUGGUUAUAGAUGAUCUCUCUAACCCAGAUUUUGGGCAUUUCAUCUACCCAAAACGUGUUUGAUGAAAUGCCUGAACCAGCUAAGUCAAGAGUCUAUUGUUUGAUUCACAUGAAAAUGUUGUUUUGAGCAUAGAUGGUAUAUUAGGAUUCGUGUUUAAUGCAUUCCUUUCAUUGUGACUCUAAUGAUGAUUAGGUAUGAGCAAUGUUUGGUAUUGUGUUUUGAUGCUUGAGAAAUAUUGAAACUUGAUUUGAAUCCUAAGCUGCUUAGAUCAUUCAUCAUCAUUGUCAUUAGCUCCUUGAUUAAACUAUGAUGCACCCUAGAAACUAUCAUGUCUAGAGCUCUAAGUUUCAUCAUAUUCAUAUCAUCUUAAUCAUUUUCUGUCUUUAUUUAUUGCUUGUUUAAUUCUUUAAUCUUGUUUAAUUGCAAUUCUGUCACUUGUUUGAAACUAAAACAUUUUGUUUGUUUGAAUUAAGAAUAGUUCAUAUAGAUUAGUGAACUAAACACCACACCUUGGAUUGAUAACCUUUGUACUACAACAGACAAAGGGAUUGAUACCCUAAGAGCCUUGAAAAAUCUUGUCUACCAUAUUGAGAGAAUCUUCUAAAUAGACUUGACAGCUUCAUCAUCAUUGCUCGCUAUAAGGAUGUCAUCGACAUAGAUCAGGAGAUAAAUAAAUAAUGUACCUGUUAGCUUCACAAAGAGGGUGUUAUAUGCAUAAGACUGUACAAAUCCGGCAUCAAGUAAGACCUUCGACAAACACUUGUACCAUUAACGAGAUGUCUGCUUCAAGUCAUAGAUGGAUUUAUCAAGUUUGCAAACCUGAUUAGCAGGCAGAUGAACAUCAGCUGGAGUGUAACAUCGUGGCAAGCUCAUGUAUAUCUCCUCAUCGAGCUUACUGUGCAAGAAAGCAUUGGUUACAUCCAUUUGGGUUAAGCUCCAACCCAUUCAUGCGGCUAAACCAAGGAUAAGCUUCACACUGGCAAGCUUGGAAACUGGGAAAAGGUGUCAAAGUAAUCAACACCUUUUUGUUUUGUGUAUCCCUUUGCUACCAGGCAAGCUUUAUAACGCUCCACAUUUCCAUCUGCAUUAUACUUAAUGGUAAACACCCAUUUACAACCAACAACAUUUUCCCUCGGAGGCAAUGACACAACACUCCACGUAUUGGUUGACUCCAUUGCUCCGAAUUCCAAAUUGAAAGCAUCAGUCCAUUCUUUGGAUGAAAUCACCUGCUUAAAGGUGUUAGGCUCAGUCUCCAUUGAAAAAGAGAGAACAAUAGACUGAUAUGGGGUGUUAAGAGUAGAGUAAGAGAGAACAGAAGAAAGAGGAUAUGGAGUAGUAUAAACCUUUAUAGAAAUGGGAGGAGUAGAAAUUUUUGUUAAAGAACAAUGAUAAUUGGACAAAUAACGUGGUACUUUUGUCGAGUGUUUUAGCCUGGCAUUGGGAAGUGAAACCAGAGCAUUCUCUGUGACAACAGGGUGAUGGAUUUUCCUUGGAGCACUAGAGUGAGAUGAUGAUGCAUGUGAUGUAUAAAGCGGAGGAGAAUGGAUGGUCACAGUAGAUGAAGGAUGCAAAUUAUUAGGCAGUGAAAUCACCUAAUCUAAUGCAACAAGAAUUGGCAAUGGUAAUAUAAACUCUAAAAAAAUAUCAGAAGAUGAACUAGAAAGAAGAUGCUCAGUAAAAGGAAAUAUUGUCUCAUGAAAAACAACAUUUCGAGAAACAGAGAUAAUUUUUGAAUCAAGGUUCAAGACAUUAGAAUACCCUAAGAGUACACAUCGAUCCACACGAGGACUAAAAUUAUGUUUAUCCUUCUGUAACGUAGAAACAUAACAUAAGCAGCCAAAAGAUCUUAAGAAUAAGUAAUCGGGCUUCUUAAGCAUAACCAACUCAUAUGGAGAUUUGUGUUUAAGAAUAACAGAAGGUAAUCUGUUUAUCAAAAGACAACUCCAAAUGAAGAUCCGCUUGCGGCUAUAGCUAGAUCUGAGAGUUGCGAAUAUGCUUACAAAUUUUCAGGCUGAUCCAAUCCGAUUUGCCUGUCUGUUUCUCUCUUACACCAUAACAGGUCGGAUCUGCCACCUAGAUGGUUACAAUGGCUUCGCCUUUAAGGUUCUUGGCCACAAGAUAGCUCUCUGAUCUCUUCUAAGACAUGGCUGCUCUAUUUAUAGAGUGGAGAAGAGAUACUUCUAAAUUUAGAGUUUUAGAGAGGAAAAUAAUGAAAAUGGGUUUGAGAGUUUUUCUGAUGGGUUUUGAGUAAUCAGGCUGAAAAAAAAAAAAAAAAUUAGACCAAACCCUAUUCUUGGGAUGUCACAGAUUUAUUAGAGAAUAUAUUUACAUGAGUUUAUAAUUAUUUGUAUGAUAUUUACAUGAGUUUAUAAUUAAAUCGUACAUUAACAUAGCAUCGUUAUUGGAUAGUUAGUCGGAUCGGUUCAACCGGUCAUACGAAAAGUUUGUUUAAUAUAUAUAUAUAUAUAAGAAAAUAAGAAUAGUUAUUUUAAGAAAAAUAAAGAAAAUAAAAUUAAUUUCUUUUAAUUAUUUACAACUGCCAGCCAGCGAUUACAUCCGUCGCUUGAAGAAACUUAUUAUCUAAAUGAAUAAAUAAACUUUUAAUUUAUAGCGGUUCUAAGCGUCACAAAGAGAUAAGAAACAAGUUCAACGGUUUUAGUGAUUGUUAUUAAACGUCACGAAAAUAUAACCGUAUGCAAACAUAGCGUAUGUGGCUGGCAGCGAGAAAACUAUCCAACACUAAAUAUUACAUAUUUACUUUAAAAUUCAUGCCUGCUUAUUACCAAACCAUAUUUUUACCAAUUUUAAUUGUGACAUUUAAUGUCCGCACAUGCGUACAGGCCAGUCAUAAAUCUGAUAUAUUGCAUUCACAUCAAUUUGUGUGUAUUUUUGUUUUGAUAUGUCUUCUGAUUUUUUUCUGUCCUAUGUAACCAUUUUUUGAUAAUUUUAAUUGGUUGAUCAUUAAUCUUUACGUGUCUUUUAAAAGUGAUGUGGUAUAAUCGUUUUAAUUAGAUUAUUAAAGCUCGUUUAAGAUUGUCUUUUUAAAAACGACAAAAAAAAUCGGACAAAGUAAGUAAUAAAAAUAAAUGUAUGACCCAUAUAUUUGAAAGUGUCACUGGCCCAAUGGCAGAAGUCUCCCUUAUGCAUUUGAAGGACAUGUGUUUGAACCAAGGUGGUAACAAUUUUUUAAAAAAUCGUAGAAUUUUAAAACGACAUCGUUUUGAGUUAACCUAACAGUAACAGCAGAGUUAACAGCGUUUAACUUUUCUGUUAACUUUAUAAACGGAGUGCUGAUUUGGCAAGUCAACGAAAAGUUUGUUAUUAUUUAUGGAAGUCAACAAAAAUUAAAUGUUUAUUUGGCUAGCCUGACAGUUCAUGCUUUUUUUUGGCAAAAUGUGGAAAGUUUAAGGUUUUUUUGGCCGAAUUCUCAAAAUAAACUCAUUAAAGUUCGUUUAAAUUGUUUUUUUAACCAAUAAACAUUAAAACCUGUUUAAGAUUGUCUUUCUAAAAACCAAUUAAAGUCUGUUUAUAGUUGUUUUUAUUAAAACCAAUGAACUCAAAAAACCUAAUAUACUUCUUCGAUACACUAAAUAUAUAUAUAUAUAUCCUCUCUAACAUAGUUUGUCUUUUAAUGUUCUCUUUUUCGGUAAACAUUACAUUUGCUUUUUUCUAUUAAUUUUAUUAACGUACGCUUGAGUUUGAGUUUGUUGCUUGUGCUUAUAAAUUUUUUUGUAACAAUUCCUAAUCUUUUUAAGAUUAUGAUUGAAAAUGUUAGUAUAAACAACCAUAGUUUAAAAAAUAGCAUCAAUGUUCACAUACUCGUGAAACAAUGUAUAGCAUCAAGUCUAUCAAUUUUUUUGGUCUCUUAUUUUAGAUUUGAUGCGGCAAAAAGAUUGCUUUGGGAACCAAGUCUUUUUUUUUGUUGGAAUUAUCUUCUAUUCUUGUCAGUUUUUAUUUUUCAUGCAAACGUUGACAUUAAAAUCUCUUUGUUAGAUUUGAUACCAUAUUAAAUUUCAAAUCUGAAUUAAUCAUUAUAUUUAUACAUUAUUAUUAUGGAUGAGUUUAUUUUCGUUAUCUGUAGCCCAAACUCUCUUCCCACGAAAAAAACGAUUAAACCAAUAAUAUUUAUUAUAAACAGGCCGAUAGACUUUAGUAUAAACAAGUUUCAAUAGCCUAAUUAUAACAAAAUUUGUCACAUCGCUUUAAAGCACGUAUAGAAUUAAUGAACGAACAAAAAAUAAAUACAUGACAUGUCAGGACAAAACGACACAUAAGAUUUUGGACUUCACAAAUAAUAGUAACUAGGAAUUAACAUGCACAUUGUGCGGGGUAAUGUUUUUAAGAAUUUUAAAUAUUUUUUAAAAAAAUUUUGGUUAAGUUAAAAAUUGGUAGCAAAAACCUUUUAACAAAAAAUAUAAAUAAAUAAAAUUGGUAGCAAUUAGAUAACUAUAUAUAUAUAUAUAUAUAUAAAUAUCAUACAACCGAUAUUUACGUGUAUAUGUAUCUAUUGAAAGAACUUUGAGCUAGUUUUGUUAUGCGGUGUAAUUAUUAGUAGUUUUUAAAUGUGAAGGUGAUGUGAUGUUAAUAUAUUCAUACUUAUAUACUGCUGGGAUAAAUUCGAUCCUUCCUACAUGGACGAACUGCAUGCUUGCACGUGGCGUCCAUGUUUUUUUUUUCAGGUACGGCCCCCCUGGGCCAAAUUAGGAUCCGUAGUGGGUCGUAAGCAUAUAGCACUGGGCCUCGAAUCCAUAAGGAUUCGGGAGAUCCGGUACGAUAGAUCACUUGUUCCCGGGUUCCUCGUAUCUAAUAGUGCAGGCCACGCUGUCAGAAGUAAGGAGGUCGAAACUGAGUGGUCAAGAGGAGGAGAAGUCCCAUUUUCUAUGUCCUAGGCCUAAACAUGGUAAUCCGGAAAGGUCGAGAUAUAAGGUAGUGUGGCCUACACAGGAUCUGGAGAGCGGAGUCAUCCAUCGAGACAACCCCGACAGCCCGGUCCCAGUAUCGAGGGAUCCAUGUCAGGUAUGAAAUAAUUUUAUGAGCGGAAAACACUAUUCAAAUUUUCCUCCAUUCGAUAAUAGGAAUAUGCCUUAGUAUGAUUUGAUUGCCCAUACUCUUACAAAACCAUGAAAUUGGCAUUUAAUGCACCCUUCUUACAUGUGUCAGGCGACAGCGACCUUUCACAGAAACUAGAGGAAAAGAAGAGGUUCAUCAAGAGUUAUACCGCGUAUGAACCGCCAACCCAAUCCGUACACUGGAGACGAAAGGAACAUGCUAAGGAGCGGUCUCGCAGCAGGCAGAACACGUCAAGGAAAGUUGGUGAGACCGUCAGAGGUAUGACGUGGGAAAAAGAUUUGAACCCAAUAAAAUCGGAUCGAGAACCGACCAACCCACCCGACUCGCUAUGCAAGGACAGACCCGGUAUACUAACCCGGGUCAGGUAAAAUCCUAUAAAUACAUUAUCCUUUCCAACAAGGAAGGAGAUCACUUUUAUUUGCUAUCUUAAGGCUCAUAUUAUCUCUCUAGAUACUUGUGAUCUUUGAGCCCUAACAUAUUAUACUUUCCGGUCAUUACUCAGAACAAUGUUUUAGUUCUUCUCCACGGCGGUUCCUAAAUCGUGGAGUAUUUCCACCCACAAACUCUUUCAUUUCUUCUCUUUUAACUAAUUCUUUAUAAGGAACGCUGGGCCCAUCUUUCUUCUCUCGUUUUCCGAACUCUUUCCUCUCUCCAAUUAGUCACUCUGUGAUCUUUCUUCACUGUUUUCUGACUUGAACGUCGGAGAACCUUCCGAAAACACACCAUCAUCGUGUUUUUUGGGCCUUCACGUGCUUUCUGUUUUUGCAAGAGACUUACCCCCACAAAGGAUCAAAAAUCUCUAAAUAGUUUAGCGCUAGAAAGAGGAGGGCAACACUCUUCUAUAGGAAGAACUGAAACCAUACACGACCUUGAAGGUAUGUCAUGACAAGAGAAGACGGAGGUAGCUCACCAGAGAACGACACCUUGGAGGGGAUGGAAGGAGAGAACAUCUGCUGGGUCGACAGACCGACCAAGCUAUUCUCGGGAUGCCCGAUGAUAAGGGGAACAUCUUUGGUUCCCCACGCCGCCGCCAAACGCACACUCAGAACUCGUCCAGAGUGUAGAAGAAAAUGCCCUGUAAAAUUCCUUACAUCCAAAAACCUUAGUGAAAGUGUUGGCAAACUGGUCAUUAUAUAUAACAAAUGAGUUAAAGACUCGUGGGCAAUGCCCAAUAAAGUCUGCCAUGGAUUGGUCCUGUACAACAGUUUUUAUAUCAAUUAAAAAGUGCAGGCCUCGUAGGUUGAUCGAUUGCAGUUUGCGGAUUAAACAAUUGGGAUCUAUACUAGUUUCGGCAAAGAUAAUUGACAAGAACGUCCAAAACCGGCUAAGUGAAAGACAACGUCUUGGAGACCAAAAGUAUGAAAGAAGCCUCAUGUAUUGGUUUGCCACACACAAAAAAAAAACUAUUUGUUUUUAGUUUCCAUUUUAUAAAAAAAAACUAGGUAUUUAGCCCUUUUUUGCAUGGGCAGAGAAGUUUAUUAAAUAAUACUAGGAGAGAAUCCGCGCGUAUGCGCAGAUCUUGUUUUAAUUUAUAUUUUGAAUAAUUUGUAUUGAAUUUUAUGUUUACUAUUAUUGUAUUUUUGUUUAGAAUAUUUAUAAUAAAUUAUUUGUAAUCUCUUCUACACCAGUUGUGUCAAAUAGUCUAAUUUUUUCUUCGAUCUUCAUAUUCUUUUUAUUCUUGUAAAUCUUACUAAUAUAAUAUUUGUUAAUUUUCUUAAUUUUCUAUUUGAAUUUUUUUGGUUAUAUAUAUUUUAUUGAUACCAUCUUUUUAUUAUUAAAAAAAUUAUAUAUGACAUUUUUAUGUGGAUACUUUUUUUUACUAUUAUUUUUUUAAUAACUUUUAUCUUUUUAAUAGUUUAUUAAAUAUGCUUUGUGUUUUAUACUUUUAUUAGUUGAAUUUUUAUAUAAGAUUAUUUGAAACUUUUUAAUUUAGUCAGUCUCAUAAUUUUUUUCACUUGCAUUAAAAUUUAAUUAUAUUUUUAGUUUGUAAAUGAAUUUUAAAACAUUUGAAAAAAGAAAAUAGAACUAUGCAAUUAAAAAGUCUUAUAUUAUAUAAUAGUUAUAAGUUUUUAUAUAUUAAAAUUAAAUUUUAAUUUUAUUCUAAUAUAAAUAUAUGUUAAUAUUUAUUUAUGUUUUUAAUGUGUUUGCUUUAAAUAUGAUUAAUUAAUUAUUUUGUUAAUAUUUGAAGAGGAUAGGUGGUGCUCUCUCCAGUGCUGACGUGUCGCUCAACUGGAGAGAGUUGGCCAAAUUUUAUAUAUAUGACUAGGAGAAUACAUGCACGUAAUAUGCGGGUUUUUUCUUUAAUUAUUUCAAAUUGAUAUAUUUUUGUAUUUUUCUUAAAGAAAUAUAGUCAUCAUUUCUUCUAUGUUACUAUAUAAUUAUAAAUCAAUCAAUUUAAAAUUUAAUAUUAUUAAAAAAUCAAGAGUUUAUACAAAAAAGCUAUCAAUGUUUUAGCAUAAAUUCUUGUUUAAUAUUUAUAUAACUGUUAUUUAAGAAUCAGUUAAUAAAAAAAAACUAUUUUCUUUGAAUGGUUGAGAAUUUAAUACUAAAAUUUAUUAAUCAAUUUUUUUUUGAUAAUUGUAACUUUAAAUUAAAAAUUGACAAAUGUCAUCUCUAUAUUAACUCUAAAAUGCUGAUGUGUCACUCAUAUAUAGAGAGUUAGCCAUCUUUUAUAUAUAAGAUUAUAAGUAAACAAUAUAUUUGGUAGUUUAAUCUUCAUCUCUAAAGUAAUCAUUAUUUGCAUAGAUUAGUUUUAUGCAUUAUUUUAUUCAUUCAACUUUUAGCCUCAAAUUUCUCCUUUUUUGGCUAAAUUGACUAUCCUUACUGAUUUUUAUCUUCUCGUAAGCGUAGACGUGAAACCAUUUUAUCCAGUUGUAUGUAACAAAUCAAUCUUUUUUGCUAGCUUUGAUACCAUAUUUAGUUUCAUCUCUGAAAAUUUCAUUAUAUAUACAUUAAGUUUAAAGAUGAUUUUAGUUCUUCAUUCUCUUGAAAUUUCUCCCUGUUUAACGAAAAUUGUCUCUCUUUGGUUGAUACUUAUCUUUUAUGCAAGCGUGGAUACAAAACUUUAAUAUCAUGUUGAUACCAUGUUAAACUUUUUUAAAAUUAUAGUCAUUAUUUAUAGACAUUAAAUAUAUAGAUUAUUGUAACUAGGUGAAUCUCCGCACGUUACGUGCAAGUUUUUUUUUCUUCAACUAUUUCAAAUUUCAAAUUCCUAAGAAAAAUGCAAUCCUACUUUAUUAUGUGUUAGAAUAUUAUUAUAAAUCGAUCAUUUAAAAUAUAAUAUUAUUAAAAAAUUAAGAUUAUACAAAAAAAAAUCCAUCAAUAUUUUUAAUUAAUUAUAACAUAAAUUCUUGUUUAAUAUUUACAGAAAUAUUAUUUAAGAAUCAAUUAAUAAAAAACUUUUCAUUUUCUUUUAGUGUUUUAAAACUUCAUAUAAAAUUUAUUAAUUAAUUUUCCUUAAAAACUUUUGUAACUUUAAAUUAAGAAAUAUGACACAUAUCAUCCCUAUAUUAACUCUCAAAUGCUGAUGUGGCAUUCGUAUGAAGAGAGUUGGCCUUCUUUUAUAUAUAAAAUUUUUCAUUCUCUCUAGUCGGAAAUUUCUUCCUCUUUUGUCGGAAUUGUCUUUUGUUCUUCUAUGUUUUUAUAUUUCAUGCAAGCGUGUACAUAAAAUUAUUAUAUCAGAGCGUAGGUAAACAAUUCUUUUGUUAGCUUUGAUACCGUGUUAAGUUUCAAAUCUGAAUUAGUCAUUCUUUUAUACAUUAUUUUUUAUGGACGAAUUUAUUUUCAUUCUCCGUAGUUCGAUCUCUCUUCCCACGGAAAGACGAUUAAACUAAUAAUAAGAAAACCGCAGACUUUACAUUGAAACGAGCUGCAGAUAAAAUUUAGAAUAAAAUGGACUUUAAUGAUCCAGUUAGUAUGAACUAUGACACAUCACUUUCAAAACACACAUAGUAUAAAUGAACAAUUUAUUAAAAAGCUAGCUUUAAUACCAUGUUAGAAAAUAAACUAAUCCUUUUUGCUAGCUUUGAUACCAUGUUUAGUUUCAUCUCUGAAUUUUUCAUUAUAAAUAUACAUUAAGUUUAAAGAUAAUUUUGGUUCUUCAUUCUCUAGAACUUUUUCUCUGUUUAACGGAAAUUAUCUCUAUUUGUCAGUACUUAUCUUUUAUGCAAGUACAGCCACAAAAUUUUGAUAUCAAAGCGUAGGUAAUUAAACAAUUUUUUUGGUAAUUUUGAUAUCAUGUUAAUCUUUAUCUUCAAAAUAGUCAUUGUUCAUAUACAUUAAUUUUAUAGAUUAUUUUAAUUCUUCAUUCUCUCUAGCUGGAAAUUUCUUUCUAUUUUGUCAAAAUUGUCCUUUAUUUUUUUGGUUUUCAUCUUUCAUGCAAACAUGGACAGAAAACUAUUAUAUCAGAGCGUAGUUAAACAAUUCCUUUGUUAGUUUUGAUACUGUGUUAAGUUUUGAAUCUGAAUUAAUCAUUAUUUUAUACAUUAUUUUUAUGGAUGAAUUUAUUUUUGUUCUCCGUAGUCUAAUCUCUCUUCCCACAGAAGGACGAUUAAACCAAUAAUAAGAAAACCAUAGAUUUUUUAAUUAAAUAAGACCGCAGAUAAAAAUUAGAAUAAAAUUGACUUUAAUGAUCCAGUUAAAAUGAAGUAUGAUACAUCACUUUUAAAAUACAUGUAGGAUAAAUGAAUGACCUAUUAAAAACAUUAAAAAAGUCAAUAAGUUAGAAAAUAAACUAACCACACAUCAGAUUUUUUGCUUCAGAAAUAUAUCGAUUGAAAAACAAUGUUGCACUUGAUGUACAAAUGGCUUUUGAUUGAAUAACUAUUACAUUCAAUUAAAAAAACAAUAACGCCUAGAGAGACUAGAAGUGCCUUUAACCAAAGUAAUUAACUAACCGUCAACACCAUAGAUGGCGCGAUGCUCUUCGACAGAGGAUCAAGACACAAGCUGCUGUUUUUGAGACUUCAAAGAUAUAGAACAACCACCAAACUGAAUAAUAGAAUCUGUAUAAUAACGUCUUGUUGUUGGGCAUCAUGCCCGGCCGGAACUGCCCCAUGCAAUAAGAGACAGAUGAGUCUUAGCUUUUAAAAGAAAACCAUGUCACAGAUUGCCUUUGACCUUGAGUAAACAUAUAAACCUUGUUGUUGCAUCCCAAUGAGUCUGUUUUGGUUCUUGCAUGAACUAAGCAACAAUGUGGACCAGUGUUAAUCUGCAGGUUCAGGAAUUGUACCUCUUUUAACUAAAGCAAGACGUACGAUGGUUCUUCUCCAGAGGCACAGGUCUCCGAAAUGAUAUUAUGAUGGUCACAAAAUGUGAAAGCAGUUUUAAAAAUGUUUCCUACCUAAAAUCCCAAGCGCAAGGCUGAAAUCGAAGUAGUACUAGGUACAAAUUCACAGGGAGGAAGCAGAGUCGACCCUUGGCCAAUCCAAGAAAGCCUAUACUUCCGGCUGAUUCUUUUAUAAAAAAAUAUUUGGUCCUCAAUUAUUCAAAACUUGUCUUAGUCUGGUCAGACUGAUCGUAAAGUCUUAUGUGGCGCUUUUAGUCCCCAUUCCGUGUUCGAAUCUGCAAAUUGCCUUAGUUGUUGGGUCUAUAUGAAAAACGUUGAGAGUCUUUAGAUUUCUGGUAGUCUAUACUCUUAAGGGAAAAAUAAACUUCCUUGGCAGCCUGUUAUAAUCUUAUUUCUUGGACCCAACAGUACGAACAAUGAAAUCGCACUACACAAAACCAAAGAGAAUAUAAUACAGAGACAACAUAAACAACAAACGAUAUUAUUAUGCAAAGAGCAGACAUUACAACUCGAACACUGAGACAUUACAUUAUGAAACUUUAUUCCCAUAGAUUCUUUUUCUUGAGUUACUUCAUUACAAACUCACCAUGGUUCACUUAUAGUCAUACACACGUAUAACUGUAUUAUAUAGAUGUAGCCAUGCAUGGUGGUUAAUAUAAUAUGAAGUUUUUAGUUACCAGGCUGAGUCUCAACUGCUUCUACUCCGUGCCCUCCUCUUCCUCCGUGUCCACCGCGUCCUCCUCUUCCUCCUUUGUAUCCUCCCCCUCCUCCUCCGUAGUGUCCCCCUCCUCCUCCGUAGUGUCCUCCUCCUCCUCCUCCUCCGUAGUGUCCUCCUCCUCCGUAGUGUCCUCCUCUUCCUCCUCCGUAGUGUCCGCCGCGGCCACCACCAUAUCCAUCAGGUUUCACAGUUUCCUCACUCUCUGACUUCACCCCUGUCCAAAAAAAUAUAGAAAAAUCACAUUAUUUCAAAGAUAUUGUUUAGCACGUGCAAAUGUUCUUUCCUCUCCCCGAUUUCAAAAACGAAAUUUCUCUUAUAAACAUUUUAAAAUAUGUAUCGAAUCUCUUGUUUAGAAUAAAGAAUUAUGAGUUUCAAAAUUAAAUAUACGUUCUAUAUAAAAUUUUCACCAAUAUACGUAAGUGUCUUUUAUUACUAGGACAUCAACAUCGUACUUAAGUGUGUUUUUUGACUUAUAAGUCCAUAUAGUUGACCUUCGUUCAAAUCAACCUUCCGGACUUAACACGGACGAAAUAGACAAAUAGAGACAAUAUUAUCAAAUAUGGUACGUUUGUUUGGGUUCGAUUAGCUUCACGAACAUUUAUUUUGUUUCUAUAAAAUAAUUUUAUUUACCCGAUGAUUGCCUUUCUGCGGCAACUUCUGAGACGACGAGAAGUAAUGCAAAGAGACCCAAAAGAAUCAAAGCUUUGGAAGCCAUUUUCUUCUACUGCUUUUAAGUUUAUAACACUCUUUUGUUUUGUUGGAGAAAGAAGUGAUGAAUAAAAUGUUCGCCUGCAUGCUCUCUAUUUAAAGAAAGGGUAACGAAGAGGAGAAAAGUCAAAUAACUAAUCCGUGGACCGUAGUGCAUUAAAAAUAACGAGGAAUUUUAUUUAUUAAAGAGAUAAGUAAGGGUAUUUGCAUUAUUUGCAGAUAAUGACAAAAAGAGCAAUUCAGUAAAAUAGGAUUGAGACUGUGCUUCGCGCGGAUUGUAAUUUAUGUUCAUGUUUUUAUAUAUUUUAUAUAUUAUUUCUUAAGAAAUAAUUUGUUGAUAAUUUUUUCUUAGUUUAAUAGUUUUAUUUUUAAGUUUACAUUGUAUUAACAAUAUCUGUGUUCUGUUAGUUAUUCUUACUGGUAGAUUAAAAACUCUAUAAAUUAAUAAUAUUAGGACUUUGAUAUUUUAUUAAUUUUUAGAGUUAUUAAUUUAGAGGUUUCAAAUAAAAAACUAUUUCUUAUUAAUUUUAAAAUUAAAAAAAAAUCGUUGAAAUUUAUAAUAUUUUUAAAAAAUUAAAAAAAAUAAAAAUGAGUUCCAAGAAGACUUCAAUUUAAAUUAAACAAAAACAUAGUAGAUUAUCUCACUUAUAUGUUUAUAUCAAAUUUUAUUUAUGGUAAUUAUUAAUUUAUGAUAAUAAUGGGACCAUAGAUUUACAUAAGAGUUUUGUUAAGUUUAUUAUCUUAUUAUCUUAUCGAAUUGUGUCAUAAUUUGAACUGGCUCAACGUAACUCAGAACUAUGAAAAAUUAUUAAUUUAUGUAUUUAUUAAUUUAUCGAGUAUUAAUUUAUAGAGUUUUUAUUGUAUGUCUAUAUAAAAAUAGUUUUUUUAAUUAUAUUAUUAACUUCUGUAAUUUUUUAUUUUGUGUGUUUUUAUAUUUUAUCUGUACUAUUGUGUGACUCUAAUUAUAAUUAUUUAAAUUAUUUUUUUAUUUUUCUUAAUUUAUACUCUCUAAAUUAUUAUUUUUUAAUUCAUACUCCGUACAAAUUUUUAUUUUUAGUCAUCUAUUAUUUUGAAUUGUUGAAUAACUAAUUUAUCAUAUUUUUCUUUUUUUGAAAAAAAAAUUUAUACUCCUUUUCCAUCUUCAUAUUUUUAUAAUUUAUUAGUUUUAUCUUUUUUUUUUUUUUUAUCUUUAACGUUUCUGUUUUUGUAUUUUAUAAAAUUCAUCUUCAUUAGUUUCAUGUUCUUCAUUUUUUUAUUUAUUUUUUUCAUUUUCCAAUGGUUUUUGACUUCUACUUUUCUUCCUCCUGUUUUUUUUUAUUCUUUUUUCAUUGUCUUUUUUUUUAAUUAUCAUCAUUUUUCUAAUUUUUUUCAGUUUAUAUAAUAUAUUAUUUUUAAUAAUAUAUAUAUAUUUAAUCCAGUUAGUAUUACAGUUUUCUUUAAAUAUUAAUAUCUAAUUGCCACUUAUCUUUUUAUUAUACUAAUAUUUAUUUUAUUUAAUUUAAUUUGUACUAAAUAUACUAAUAACAAAUAUAAAUAUAUAUAUAUAUAUGUAUUAAAUGUUUAUUUUAAAUAUGCUUUAAUGUUAAAAUUUAUGAGUUUGUUGAUGUGGACACCCUAGAUGGAGAUAAAAUUCUCUUAUUAUAUUACAGAUUAUAAAAUAUUUGUUCUUUCUCAAGGGAACAAAAAUACUUUUUUAUUUUUUUGUUGAAUGUUUCAUUUGAUUGUUAAGGGAAAAAACAGUUUUUUUGUCCCAUAUCGUGUUACAUUUUUAUAUGGACAGGUAAUUUUUUUUUUUUAGGGCUAAACAAAUUUUAUAUAUUAAGAAUAAGGAUUACAAUCUGCAAAUACAGCAUUAGACAACCAUAAAGGUGGAUACAAUUUUGAUGAAUAAAAAACAGCAUUACACAACCAUAAAAGUGGAUACAAUUUUUAUAUGGACAGGUAAUUUAUUGAUUGGAUUUUUUUAUACAGUUUAUUAAAAUAAUUCGAAUGUUUCUCCUCCACGUAUCAUGCUACUUUCUAUUGAAUGAAACCUUUGUCUCAACUUUAAUUUUAUAUUUGAAGUAUAUAAAUAAUUUAGUGCGUUAAAUAUCGGUUUAUUUAUAUAUUUUUUUCUUGAUGGUUUAUUUGUGUUUGAGAAUUUUUUUUUUUUAACAUUUUCUUAGAUUAAUUAAAGAAAUCCAGCCGGUUAAAGCAGUACAGUGAAGCUGUAAAGAGCUCGUUCUGCUAUCUCAUCAGUUAAAAGAUUGUCUGAUUGAGGAAUGUGUUCGAAAAAGAUGCAAUUGAAACAGAGUGACAGAGAGACUAUAUCGAAAGUAAUCCCCGCGAUCUCUUUGAUUUUUGUCCCUCGAUUGAUUGCUCUGAUCAGAUCCGAAGAGUCCGAUUGGACAUGAAGCUUUGUGAUCCCGAGAUUUGUGGCGUGAGUCAUGGCAGAUCUCAGGGCUAGAGCUUCAGCGAUGAUCGGGGAGGUCACAAAUUCUUCGAUAUCCAUACCCUGGUUCCAUGGUGGCGAAUUUCCUCAACGGAAAACCCAACCCAAUCUGCCGAUCUGAUUCUCUUCCUUCCAGGCCACAUCGGUUUGCACAAUGGUAUGGUCUGUUGGGAUUUCCUUCGGAUCUCAUGUUUGAAGAGUUGAAAUCUCCCUUUCCUGUAGGUCAUGUGCCUGAAUCCAAUCUCUUGCAUUGCAGAUGGCUUUGUUCACCGUUUCUAAUGGUGUGAAUGUUCUGUUCUCGAACAGUCGGUGGUUCCUGGAUAACCAGAUGGCCCAGCAGAUCCAGGGGAAGAGUAGUCCGGCUUCUAUUCCUGUUGGAGGUAGAGUGACCCAUCCCUUCGAUGCUUUGAGCCCUGUUGCAAAAUCCGGAAUGAAAAAGGGAUCUAUGGUGUAUUUGAAGGGCGCCAGUGACCAAACCGCCUUGGCGAAGUGACAGUAGAGGAAAAGGUGGUCAGCUGUUUCUCUUUCUCUGCAUAGACUGCAGGAAGCGUUGUUGGAGAGUCCCCCGGUAAGUAGAUUUGCUCCAGUUGGUAGUGCUUUCUUGAGUAUCUUCCAUAGAAAGACCUUUAGUUUUAGGGAAGUUUUCUUAUGCCAGAUAUCUGAGUUCCAGUUAAUUGUGGUUGUCUGUGCAUGAGAGAGUGGUUACUUCAUUCGCUGAUGUGUCGCUGUGUGGUAUCCUGACUUGGUCGAAUAAUUUCCAUCUCUGUUUGGGGUCCAAAUGUAAGAGUCUUCUCCGCCUCUUUUGCUUGGUUUUAUGCUUAAGAUCACAGAUGAGAGGUGUGGGACAAUAACUUCAAUCUUUCUUGUGUCCCAGGUGGUUGAGUUCUCUUUUAUUAGGUCUGAGACCAGCAGAUCUUUAUUGGCGUUGGUGGGAAGGCCAACUACUCCUAGCAGUGAUGUCGUCGAUAGCCAGGGAUCGGACCAUAGGUUGGUUUUUCGUCCAUUUCCAAUUAUUUUGCUUAUAUUUGAUUGCAGGAUAUCUUUGCCAAUCAUGAUUCCCCUCCACCCGUGGGAAGAGGAAGAUGUUGAUUCAGCUCUGAGGAAGGUUGUGGACCGGUGGUAUCUUCUUUUGAGAACUCGGGCCAGUAGACACUAUGGGUUUAUCAAGAUUCUCCAACUCAGUUUGGCCAGUAAGGUGUCGUUGAAGCACUCAAUGUCACAGAAACCAAGACCACCCUCUUUCUUUGUUCUUGUUAGCUUUGACCAUGCUAGCCAACACAUUUUUCUUUUUUCAGGGUUGGCGUCCCACCAAAAGCGAGUAAGAGCGGAUUGGAUGCGUUUGCAGAGACUUGCAGGGAGCUUGAAGCACGACAUCGUGUACGCUGGGAUGGCUGAGAGAACUGUCUUCAGCAUCGUGAUUUUACCCGCCGAUGAUAGAAAUUUUGUUGACCAACUCGUUGACGUAUCCUGUCCACAAUCUGAGUAAAGAGGUCUUUUUUCCUUCUCCCAAAAUGUUCGGGUAAGCCAAGGUACUUCCCUUUACCUCCCUCUUGACUGAUUCCCAGAUCCUGUUUAACUCUUUCUCGUACAUCAUCAGGAGUUUUGCAUGAGAAUGUAAAGGAUGAUUUUUGUAGAUUGAUCUUCUGUCCCGAGGCUUCUUCAUAUUUCCUGAGAAUUGCCAUGAGUUCUGCGCAGGCUUGGGGGGAUGUUUUACAAAAGAACAUUGUGUCAUCCGCAAAUAGUAAAUGGUUUAUUCUUGGGCUUUCUUUUGCAACUCUAAUGCCUGACAAGCGGCCAUUCUGUUGAGCUUUUUUGCAGAGACCAGAGAGCACUUCACCACAUAUGAUAAAUAUAUAGGGUGAUAGUGGAUCACCUUGUCUGAUGCCGCGUUGAGGGAGGAUUGGAACGUACGCUGGGUCAUUCACCAGAUACGAAUAGGAGACUGAGGUGAUGCACAUCAUUAUCCAAGUAAUCCACUUCUCAUUGAACCCAAGCCUUUUCAGCACCGUUUCAAUGAAGCCCCAUUCCAGGCGAUCAUAUGCCUUACUCAUGUCAGUUUCAACUGCCAUGAAGCAGUGUUUUUUCUCUUUAGAUCGUUUGAGGAAAUGUAGAGUCUCAUGUGUUAUCAUGACAUUGUCUGAUAUGACCCUUCCAGGGACAAAAGCUGAUUGGGAUUCUGAAAUGUUUUUUUUCCAGGAUAGGUUGGAGCUGCUUGGUGAGAAUCUUCGAGAAGAUUUUGUAAAAGACACUACAGAGUGCGAUUGGCCGGUAGUCGGAGACUGUACGUGGAGCAUUGUGUUUUGGUAUCAGCCGAACCAAAGUAUGGUUGAUGGAGCUGGGGAAAGAUCCGGAACUAAAGAAACUUUUGAUCUCUGAAGUUAUUGCAGGGCCUACUGUUGUCCAGUUUGAUCUGAAGAAAGAUGCAGAAAAGCCAUCAACUCCUGGAGCUUUAUCCAGAUAGAUGGAGAAGAGAACAUCGUUUGAGAAUAUCAAAUAAAUAUAUUUUAAAAGUUUUUAAAAAAUUAACUGCUACAGUUUCUACUUAUAUUUUUAUUAAUGCAUUUUAAAAACUUAAACCAGUUCAAAAAUUGAAACCAAAUAGUAUUAAAUUUGUAUACUAUAUAAAAAAAAAAAAUACACACUACUACCGAUAAAGUAAGCUACUAGUUAAGCUCAUUGCUUAGUCUUGUUGUACUUCUAGUUUGAUUUACAAUGGAAAUAGAAAAGAUGUUUUACGCCAUAUCAUAUAGUAUUAGCAAAGACUAGUCCCAAGAGAAGAGAAGUUGUAAGAAGGAUUAAGAUCAUGAAAAAAUACACACUCUAUAUUAAUCAUAUAUUUACCAUAAUAUUUUUUCAGUUUUCAUCAAUUCUAACAGUUUAUUUACAAAAACUAUGUAUCCGUGUAAUCUCCUUGGUUUAGUGAUUGACCAUAGAUUUAAUUUGAUUCCAAAACGAUGCUAGUUAAUGGAAUGCAAUUUUAUAGAAGGUUUAGCAUGGUGCAAAUAGAGCUGUUCGUCAUAAUUCAUCAGUCAAAGUAAAACUGCCCAUCACAAACAUGGUACAUGUAGAACCAUUUAUCGUGGAUUCUUGUAAAUAGAUAAAGAAAAUCAUUGUAUAGAAGCAUUUGUAUAAUUGUUUUCAUAAUUUAUAAUCCUUUAUACAGUAUUAAUCAAUUAGGGUUGAUAAAAAACAGUAGUUUCACAUUUAAUUUACAAAUAAGUCAUCUGAUGUGUCAUCGCCAUAAAACUUCUCCAAAAAAAAGUUAACUUACUAGAAUAAUUACAUUCAUGUCAUUUAGAUUACAUUCAUGUCAUUCACAUUUAAUUUACAAAUAAGUCAUCUGAUGUGUCAUCACCAUAAAAGUUCUUCAAAAAAAAGUUAACUUAUUAGAAUAAUUACAUUCAUGUCAUUUAGAUUUAAUACAUGCAUAUAUAUAUAUAUAUAUAUAUUAUAAUGAGAUUUAUGUAGAAUAUUAAAUUAAUAUUAUUUUUAAGUUUAUUCAUUUCUAUAAAAAAAAAUUAAUUUUUAUUUUUUGUCUCCAAAUUAUAUUACUUUGAUUCAAAGGGUUAUGAUUUUAUUUUCAAAAUUUCUUUUUUAUUGUGACAAUACAAGUUCAAUAUUUAUUUGCUCAAUAUAAUUUUUUAUUACAAAAUCUCUUAUUUUUCAUAUUUAAAUUCAAAUUUAUAUAAUGGAAGAUCUAACCUUCAUAUUAUUUUUAUGAUUAUUCAAAUGUAAAGCAUGUAAUAUAAUUCGCACACGUUUACUAAUGAUUAUUGAGAUAUAAAAAUAUAAUAGUGUUUAAUGCUAAAGGUCUCAUCAAACUAUAUUCUGAUUUGAUUAUAUCGUUUGAUGCUAAUAUAGUUUUAUGCUAUUGGUCUUAUCCAGGGGUGGAUUCAGAAAAAAAUUUAGUAGAUAGCAUAAUUUUAUAAAUAGGGAAAAACAAUUUUUUAUAUGAAAACAUAGUAUUAACAUAUAAUUUUAAUGAAAUUAAGUUAACAAUUGGAUUGUUUCAGCUUUUACAACUACUUUUAUAUUCAAAUAAGCUUUAAAGAUUGAAUUUUUUUUUCUUUUACUUUUUUUAUUAACAUGAGCAACAUAAUUUUAAACUAUAGGGAUUUUUUCCUUUUUAUCACUAAAUUAAGAACAUUUAAAUUUAAUUUACCAAAACUAUUUAGGAAAAAUAAAAACGGUAAGGGAAACAUGACCCGAUAUGGUCUUUACUAUGUCCGCCUCUGAUCUUAUCAAUCACACACGUACAAAGAGAUAUUCACGUGACGAGUUGCAUAUUUUAAUUUAAAAUUGAAUAAAUUUUUUUACAGAAUACUAUUUAUUUUACAUAUUCGAAUUCAAAUCAGAAUAUUUUUUAUUCAAAUAUAAUUGUAUUAAAUUUUAUAUUUAAAUUCAAAUCAAAUCAAAUAAAGCUUUUAUUUCUAAUCAUAAGAAAGUGUAUAGUUAAAUCAAAUUUUAAUAAAUUUGCAACUAACAUAUAUCUGCAGGGAUUAUUCAAUUAGAACAAGGUUUAUAUAGAAUAAAUAGAUUUUUCAUGGUAAGAGUAAUUUUCACUAUUGGUACUCCUUAUGGAAAGAUAAAUUGUUGCUAUUAAAUAAUUAGAUAUUAAAUACAAAAUUACGUUUUCUGAUUGAAGAGACAUUUGAUUUCGAAUUCACAUUCAAAUCUUCUUAAUAUGUGGGAAACCCUUGAUUUCCAGCACUAUUUAAUCGAUAUCGAUUAGCACCCUUUCUUAUGAUUAAACAAAUACAUACUAAUAUAAUUUUUAAAUAUUUCAUUUGCAAGACCGAGAUUACUACCUACAAGAUAACUACUUAGGCUAUUAAAAAGCUGACAAAAAGGCUAUUAAUAAAAAUAAAACUAUCAUUCUUAGGGAUUUACCAUAUGCUUCAUACAGUGUUUCCUUAAGAGUUACACUUCUAUUUGUCCAUUUACCGGUGAUAUUUUCCUAUUUUUAUUAACUCUAGCAAUUGUCAAUUACUUAAAAUAGGUUAUUACCAGCGCAGAAUAAAUAUUAAUCAUAAUUUUUUAUUUAAAUAUGUAAAUAUAAUGUAUAUAAGUACAACUAUAAAAAUGUUAGCUGAUAUUUUUAAUUACAACUAUAUAUGCUGAUUAUGCAAUCAUAAAUAAUAAUUAAAAUUACAUUUAUUUUGUAAUACAAAUACAUAAAUGCUAAAUAAUUAUUAGUUUUAUAAUUAAUUUUAAUAAUAUUUUUUAUAUGACUGAACUUACACAUUAAAUAUACUAAAUUAGAUUAAUAUGUUCUAUCUAACAGGUCUAACAUCAAACUAAAAUACUUUGCUUUUGAUAUAAAAAAUUGAAUUAUAAUAUGUAUGAAAAUAUUUAGAUUAUUUUAUUAUUAAAUAGAUAAUGUAAUUAUUGUUUUUUAAAGAAAAGUAAGAUCAAAUAAAAGACAAAAUACAAAAUAUAAUGUUUAGAAACAUAAUUAAUGUUAUGUAUUAAAAUUUUAUAAAUGUGAUAAGAAAUAGAAAUAGAAAGAAUAUCUUUACAAAUUAAAUGUUUGAGUAUUAAAUAUAUAAUUGACAUAAAUUAAUUUCUAACCAAAUUAAUGUUAGUGGCAUAUGAUAUACUUAAUCUAGUAAGUUUCUUUUUUUUUGAACAUUUAUUAAUCUAGUAAGUUGACCAUACUUUUUAAAAAUCUAUAAAAAACUCUCUGAAAUUAACACCUCAAUAUGACACUUAUGUAAAUAAUACAUAAGAUAAAUGUUUUUUUUAAAGCAUUUUUAUCAAUUAAUAAUAUAUAACUUUUCAUUUCAUCCCGUGAUUUACCCAGUCCGUCCUAAAAUUAAAGUGGUAAGAUGAUGAUAAGUAUAUGUCUACGUUGCAUCGGUCCCCUUAUGGUGGGUUGUUGGAUCCAUCAGUGAAUAAUUUGAAAGUCUAUAAAUGGCGAACCCCACCAGUGUUUUAGACUGUUUCUUAUUAAUGUCUUUUUUUUUUUGGCAGUCUUAUUAAUGUCUUAAACACAGCACAAUCACACACGUAUAGAACUAUAGAUAUCUAGAAAUUCCAUUAUUGGAUUAUAAUUGAUUUUAUUAUGACGGAUUCUUUUGGACACAAAAGCUAGCCGACGUCUUCUUUGAAAAUUCUCACAACCGACAGAUUUUAAACAGCCGUAUAGAGACAAAGGCAGUGAGAGUAAAGCAUAGAGUGACAACACGUAGUAACUACAAAGAAUUGACUUUUUAAAGGGUGCAAAAUUUUGCCUGGCUAUAUUUAAUCGUUAUACUUCUUUUUAUGGAUAAUUGCUUGGCUAUAGUUAAUUUAUGCCGACUGCUACCAAAAUAUCGAUCAAAGUCACCUAAGCGUAGAGAAAGCUUGAGAUUUACGUAAUUAUAAUUCAUUUUUUUCAAAUCUAAAUAUUCAAAAAAUUGAUUAUAAUAUGUAUGAAAAUAUUUAGUUUUUUUUCAAAUCUAAAUAUUUAGUUUUUUUUCAAAUCUAAAUAUUAAAUAUACUAAAUUAGAUUAAUACGUUAUAUCUAACUAAUCUAACAUCAGAUAAUUUGUUUUUAAUAUAAAAAAUUUGAAUUAUAAUAUGUAUAAAAAUUGUAGUUUUCAAAUGAGCGUAGAUAUAUAGUUUUCAAAUUAAGCAUGUUUAUUUCAUAUAUCAGAUUGGAUAGUAUUUGAUUGAGAUACAGGUUGUCAUGUAGUUUUCAAAUUAAGUAUGUUCAUUCCAUGUAUUGGAUUGGGUAGUAUCGGAUUGGGAUACGGGUUGUCAAGCCCAGACCCGAACCUCAAAACUUUUGGGUUAAGAACGAGAAUAAAAAUUAUGGGUUAUAAAUUUGGGAUACGGAUUGUCAAGCCCAGAUCCGAACCUCAAAACUUUUGGGUUAGGAACGAAAACAAAAAUUAUGGGUUAUAAAUUAGUUAUUCUAAAAAAGAAAAAAAUGUUAAUAAAAAGGUUAGAAUGAUCGAACUUCUCACCUUGAAUAUGUUAUUUUCAAACAAUAACUAGUUCCACUACUGAAGAUUAUAGUAAAAACCGGUCAGAAAAUACAUACUUUAUAUAUGGUUGGCAACACAUGCUUCCUUACCUUCUAUCCAAAAUCCAAUUUUAUACCAGUAUUUGGGGAAGAUCCAAUUAAGCAUGUUCAUUCCAUGUAUCAGACUGGGUAGUGAGAAGAUCAAGAGAUUGUUGAACAGUUCUUAUGUUGUAUAAUUGUAAAAGAACCGAUUACAAUAUAUAUAUAGAAGCUUUAGCUUAAUCCUCAAGUUAAAGAUAAACACAAAUAAGGAAUAUUUAAGAUUUUCUAAAUAUUUUCUCAUACUCUCCCUCAAGAUGGCGAGUGGAGAUCCCGAACUUCCAUCUUGCCAAAAAUAUAAGAAAAUUGAAUUCGUCCAAGUGCUUUAGUAAACAAGCCUGCAAGCUGUUCAUGUGUGCGAAUAUAAGCCGGUGCGAACUCCUGCUUGGAAGGCAUCACAAAUAGUGUGACAGUUGUUCUCUAUGGAUUCUGCAGAAUGUCUAGUGCUGCCUUGUUAUCACAGUAAAAAGAAACUGGUUCUGGAUGCUUGAUAUCGAACACAGAAAGAAGCUGGAGAAACCAUUGUAUCUCAGAGAAUGUGUAAGACAUUGCGCGAUAUUCCGCUUCUGGAGAAGAACGAGAGACAACUCUGUUUUUUUUUUUUUUUGUCUUCCAAGAGACAAGGGAAUCACCAAAUAAGAUGGCAUAACCAGUGAGGGACUGCCAAGUUAUCAGACAAGAAGACCAGUCCAAAUCACAAUAAGCAAACAUGUGAAGAUCGGGUUUGGAGUUAAGGAAUAUACCUUGCCCAUGCGUACCCUUAAGAUAUCGUACUACUCGAGUCUCUGAAUCUCAAUGCUUCUUCCGUGGUUUAGUGAGGAACUGAGCGAGUAAAUGGACCGCAUAGCUGAGAUCAGGCCGAGUUACAGAUAAGUAUACUAAGCGUCCAACAAGCCAACGGUAUCUGGAUGGAUUGUCAAAAUAUUUUCCAUCGUCUCCAGCUAGUGUAUGGUUUAGCGUAACCCUCAAGUUAUCCAAUACAUAUUCUGAUAAGCCGCAUUCAGAAACGAUAUCCAAUGAAAUAUUUCUUUUGGAAAUAUGGAUCCCUUUCUUUUCACAAAAUAUUUCCAAACCGAGGAAGUAUUUUAACACGCCAAGAUCCUUUAUAUGAAAACUCUUACUCAUGUAAGCCUUGCAUUUGGAGAUAAGAGUUGUGUCGUUGCCCCCUCUAACCAAGUCAUAUACAUAAACAAGAACAUAGAUGCAAGAAGAGCCACGAUGAUAUGAGAAGAGAGAGUAAUCCUUCUUGUUUUGUACAAAACUAAACCGCAACAACGACGCUAAAAGCUUAGCAAACCAACAACAUGGAGCUUAUUUGAGACCGCAGAGAGACUUUUGUAGUCUACACACUUUGUUUUAAUCGGAUGAAGAGAAACCCGGCGGAAGCUGAUGUGGUGUAUGCGGGGGUAUCAAAUUUUACCCUAAAAGAAAUAAAAGAAAGCCGCAAGUGCACAGCUAAUCAGUUGUAAUACUUAGAGAUCGAAUCCAUAGAGAUUUGCCAAAUAUUUUUCUACGGUCUCGUAGCUUGUUGGCCGUCUUCAAAUGUCUUCGGGGAAAAUGGAAUAUCUUGAGAUCCAACCGUUGGAAUGUCUCCAAAGUAAGUGCAUUUGAAAGCUGGUUGAGUCUUCUAUUAAGUAUCCAAUUUUGGGGAUGAUCAGACGGUGAAAAGCUCUUCAUCUCUCCUUGAGAGUUCUGACGGUCUGAAUUUAUCCAAAAUAGUCUUUUUGUUCCAAUUUUCACCUCUUUCUUCCAAAUUACCUGAAAAGUCUUUAAAAAUCCGAAAACAUAAAAAUCAUUUGAAAACCUUUGAAAAUGGAGUAAAAACACCUGCAAAAUAUAUUACACUGAUCCAUAAAAAUGGUCAAGGUGUUAUAAACUCCCCCAGGCUUAGACUUUUAUUUGUCCUCAAACAAAACAAAGAUCAAAUCUCGGUGAGAGGUUUGAAAACGCAGGAACUAACAAAAUCUCAGAGACCAUACUUCUAGACUAAAAUCAAUCAUUAUGCAUUAACCGGGGAUAACCUAGAAAAUUCUCACUAAAAUACAUGCAUAACUAAUCCGUUGAUCUGUCAUGCGAAAGUAUAUACACUUAGAUCUAACUUCCACUCAACUAGCUCUUAACAUUUAUUAAAAAUCUAUGUGGUUCUCAUCAAAAUAAGUAUAAGCAAGGCGAUUUGGGCUAGGUGUCAAAAAGGCUCUUUUCGGGGUGAGGUUUUAAAGUGUUUUGGGUUACCUUGAUUUUUAGAGAAGUAGGGUAUUAUGCAAAACAGCAAGAGAUAAUGGAGCUGUUGAUAUCUACAGUUUCCAGUCACAUUCUUCUUGCUUUAGAAUCUUUUAUAUUUCUCAGGUUCUCCUUUUAGUUCCCCCAGACUUAGAUUCUUGUCUGGGUUGUAACCGUAACUCCAACAGAUGCAUACUAAUCGCCUUUUGCCUCAAAUAAUUUUGGCCAUCUAAGACUCUUUAGGCUUUUGUUUCUUUUCUUUUCAUUCUUUUUCUUCUCUCUUUUUUCUCUUUUUUUUAGAAGAGGGAAAACACCUUUAGAUAUAGAGUCUUAGAGGACACAAAAAUUUAGCAUUAAGAGCAACCUUUUCGAAGUGUCUUAACAUUGCCGAUGUACCUCCCUUCCAACUCCCAUUUAGUUCUUCUCUUUGGAUGACUGAAAACUGUGCCGUUCCUCCCUCUCCAGCGUUUUUGCUCAUAUCUGCUGAUAUAAGCUAAAGAGAGGAUAUGUGAGGUAUGAAAAAAAAAGGAUUGGGUAAAGGUAUGGUACCAGCUAAAGAUGAACUAGCCAUCUAAGACAACAAAGAGUGGUAAAAAUGAGGGAAAAGGUGUUCUAGAUGUAUAUCUUGAUGCUUGCCUAAAAUCAAUGAUGAGAAACUUAGAUAUCAAUAUUAAGGUGAUGUGGCCAUCAACCCAGCUCAACAUCACAAAGAGACCCCAAUGAUCUUAGACAAACCAGACGGCCCAUCCGAAGCCGAGAGAUGCCUUAUAGAAGCUGAACCGGAGAAAAUGAGCAUAAAGGCGAGCCCAACAGAAACAGAAGUGAAAACUUGGAGUUUCACCAACCAAAUGUCAUCAAUGGAGUCUGUGAUCGAGCCAAAACACUUUUCAGUUGAUCCAGAAAUGAAGUUACCCAAGAAUCAACUCAAACUCUUGGCCAAAGCAUGUUCAAGCAACACAAGAAGACCCAUGCACCUUAUUCAGCACUGAUGAAGUCAGAGAUCAGCUGGUACAGCUCGGCCAACACUUUUAUUACAUUUCUAUCUCAUCCAGUGAACGCCUAGAAGUGGAAUCAGCCCAAUUAGAUCUCAGAGAAAUGAGUUAUUCAGCUUACAAAUCAGGUGAUGCACAACUUCUACGAUUUGAACAUACGUGCCUUAUUUGGAGGUUUCCGACCGAACCAGAAGGAUAUAAGCUGUGAACCGACUUGUUCCCAAUUCUUGAUUCAUCAUAGAAUCGGAGACAGUUGGAAUCAAACCAAUACCGGUUAUGGUUAGAAAUUUAUUCACUUUACAAGUUGGAAGAUCUGUUUCAGACCCAAUUGCGCAGUUAGGCUGAAGAUCUUACUCUACAGCCCAACUCAUCCACGUUCUCAGCCCAAAAUUACUUGGAGAAUAUUUUUUGGUCUUUCUUGGAUCCAACAAGCUCAAGAUCCGAAGAAUUUCUCAUUGGAACUUCAAGUUACACCCAAUAUCCCAAAACGGGUUGACUUGGUUCCAUUUAUGGCAGGUCUGAGCUCUGACUGGUAUAGAUCGCUAUCUACAAGAGUUUGGCGCCCAGGAGAGACUCUAAGGCAACUAAGGAAGCUUAGAAACACCUUACCAUGCACCAGCACCCACAGGAUCAGGCGGAUCGUUUUGCAAGCUUACUUUCCUUAUGUGGCCGCAUUCACACUCGGUGCUAUUAAUCACCAAUAGCUCUUUUCCUUUGAAUGCUACGACUUGGACCCUAAAAACGUCUAGAUACAAAGGCAUCAUCACAUUUUCAUAUUUGGUCGAGAUCCUCUUAUUUAGAGCCUAUCGGCUAGUUUUUGAUUAGCUUUGAUUUGUUUCUUUGUUUUUAGCAUUUUAGAACGUGUAAGAGCAUUAUAUAAGCUCAUAUUAGUCCAUUUGUAAAAACUCAUCUUUCAAUCAAAUUAAUACAGAAGUUUCUUAUUUUCUUUCAAAGUGUGUUCUUUGGAAAAUUGUCUUUUCUUUUGAAUAAAUGUGUGAGAUUCACUUCUAUUCUCUAGAAGCCACGAAUUUAGUUGUUUGUGUUACUCAAAUAACUUGUUCGUUCAUCGAUUGAGAGAGUCAAUCAAACCACCACCUUCCAUCUCAAUAUCACGUACGCCCACUUUCGCAAACAAACUUGUAAACUCUUGAUUAUCUUGUGAACAUAAGAUUUGGUGGAUUCCAAUCUUAUAUCAUUUGGUAUCAGAGCACAAGUUCCUAUCAAAGUGCUUAUGUUCUUUAUCUUUCCCUUUUGUUAUUUUAAUUCAGUCUUUUUUCAUUUUAAAUCAUAAAAAGAAAAAAAAAUUAUUGUUUUGAAAUAUUCUAUGUUUUCUUUAAUUCUAAAAAAUCAGAAAAUAGAAAUAAGAAUUUUCCCUUUUGUUAAUUGCAUUUUCGAAUUUUGUAUCCAAAAAUAUAUAAAUAUAUUUAUCGGUUUUUCUUUUAUUUUUGGUUUUGCUUUAAUUCCAUUUAAAAAUCAGAAAACCAAAUAAAAAUAUCUUCUAUUGUUUUCUUAAAUUUUAUAACUCAGAAAAACAGAAUUUUCUUUUAUUAUUUAAGAUUGUCGAAUUUGUUUAGUUUUUUAAAAAAUCCCUUAUUUUUGAAAUAUUUUGUUGUUUGCUUUAAUUUCAUUAACCAGAAAAAAAAAGAAUUUUUAUUAUUAUUAGAAUUUUGAAUUUGUUAAACAAAAAAAAAAAGAAGAAGAAGAAACCAUUGUUUUAUUUACAUUCUCUUUCUUUCCUUUCUUGCUUAAGCCAAACUUUGAUACGCUUCUUCUUUAUCUCUGCGAGGUACAACCCUAAGGAGCAGCCACCAUGACUGAAUCAGAAGAAGAUCAGUACCAAUUUGAUGGAGACCAAUGGUGUCAAGGAGAAGAGAGUUUAGCUUUUUCCGAUGAGGAGGCUGACUAUGAGUCUCCACCGUGACUAGGAGAUGGCUACACCAGCUCUGGAAUUGGAGAUGAAUCAGACUGUGAAGAGUACGAUCCAGAGCCACCAUAUUACAGCAGAGUCAACACUAAUCAAUCAGCUUAGUCUAGAGAUAAAGAGACAGGCCGAGAAAAAGGUGUAGAAGGUGACCAUGAAGGAGAUCCUUGGCAGGACGAAACUGAGUCUUAAUAUCACGAAGGAAACUACAACACUGAACCAGAAGACAGAGAUGACUCAGAGCAUUGAGAUUUUGACCAUGGAGAACAAGGCCGAUCUUUAGAACCUUACCAAAGGCCAAGGUGCGAAGUAACUGAUUCUGAAAUCAGUUCAAUAGAUGCUGACAAUACUGAUGGUGAGUCUUGGAGCCACGAGACAGAGCUAAAAAAAAGCAUGGUUGAUGGACCAGAGCUUGACGAGGAGGAACAAGAGCCAAAUGGAGACAACAUCAACUACACUGAACAAGACUAGCCAGAUGGUGCAACAACAGAUGAUGAGGUAGAUGAUGAGCCACACCACAUCUAUUUUUCAGGUCAUGAACAAGGACCAGAAGCUUACCUAUAGUGGGAGAGCGAAAUAGAGUACAUGAUGAAGUCACAAAACAUUCCUAAGGAUCAGAGACUUUCAUAUGCACUUGACUCGUUUGUUGGAGAAGCUACUACAUGGUGGGAACAAGAGGAAGUUGUGGCCAACUAUAAUAAUUCUGCCAUCACUUGGGGUAAUCUCAUGCAGCGUAUGUACAAAGAGUUUGUACAGAAGUCCCAAAACCGCAGCUACAUUCCCAAGAGGCUAAUGUUCAAAACAGCUACAAAGAGGUGGAUGUCUACGCCAAAAUCGCAGCCUGUUUCUAAGUCAAAGAAAGCUUGCUAUUCUGAGCUAAAGAAAGUGUCUCAAAGCACUUUGGAAAAGAAGAUAGAGGUUAAGAAUCCAGUGGGAGCAACAGGAGUUAAACCAGCCUCCAAACAGCCUGAUCACUACAAGAAAAACACCGUUUUACAACGGCCAAAACCUUCGUAAGUUCAUUGUAAAAGUCUUAUUACGACGAACAAGCGACGGUUUGGAAAUUUUCGUAAACUUAUCGUCGUAAAUGACAUUUCGUCGUAAAAGCGUCGUACAAUCUAGGACGGUUAUAAAUCGUCGUAACAUCGACGUAAACUAAACGUCGUAAAAGCGUCGUAAUGGUUACGAUGACUUUACAUCGAUUUGUCUCAAUUUGGUUUUCAGCGUAACCGUCGUAAAGUCGUCGUUACCGACGUAGGUUCGUCGUAUAAUAUACGAUGUAUAUAUCAUCGUAAUUCGAUCAUAUUAAUUUUUUUCUUUUCGACAUAAAACCGUCGUAAAACACUGACGUAUAUGUGUCGUACAAUACGUCGUAUAUUAUACGACGAAUAUUUGGUUGUAAUUGGAUCGUAUGGUUAUAUAUAAUCUUACGACGAUUUUACGACGAUUUAUUAAAUAAAUAAUAAAUAUAUUACGACGAUUAUACGAUAUUUUUUAUAAAUAAAAUUAAAAAAACAUUUAAUUCGAAUUAAAAUUUUAAUUAAAAAAGAAAUAAAUUUAAAUUUAAAUUUAAUUAAAAUUUAAAAUAAAAAAAUUUAUAUUAAUUAUAAAAUAACUUAUCAAAGAUCUAACUCUAAAAUAAUGUCGUCUAUCACCGCAUCGAUCCGCUCCGGAUCCCCAUCUUGCUCCACAGGUUUCUUGCCGGCUCUUCGGUUGGAGGUAUCCGGCACCUGAUCCCCGGCUCUAGGAGGAUCAACCCCGAGAGACCGGAACAUCUCCUCGUCUGUCUGCACUGGUGGUUGCCUCCUAGAGGAUGAAGACGAUGUCCCGACGACUCUAGCUGCCCGCAACCUAUCCAACUGCGUCUGGGGCAACGGGUUGUCGGCCCCCAUAAUCUCGAAGAGACCGUACAACUGGUCGAUCUUCGUCUCGUACAGCGUCCGCAUCUGAUGGAUCUCCUGGCGGAUAACGACUGGAUCCCAUGCCUGGACAUGUCCAGUCGCUGUAGCGAUUGGGGUAUCACGGAUGGAUCCCAUCCCUAAAACCUGGCCCUUCUUCCGAGGGGCAACCUUAAAAAAUGUAGAAAACUUAUGUAAAACAGUACAAUAUAUAGUUAAAUUUAAACUAAAUAGAAAAAAUAAAGUAAAUUAAACUUACCUCUUCGAAGAUCUGGUCCAUCUCCGCCACCGUCAAUAUCGGGGUGGACUGGACCGAGCUACUUCCGGGAGAUGUCGGAGGUGCCUGCUGGGUGAGCUGUGUAUGCUGCUCCUCAAUCCUCGCACAUGCGGCGUUGUAGAUCUCUUCCGCUCGAGGAUCCGUGAAUUCGCCGUUCUUCUUCUUAUGGGUCUCGGCGAAAACCUUCGUCAUCGGAGGAAGUUCUCCCCCGUUUUCUUCGACCUACAAAAUCAAUUUGAAAUUAUUAAUAAGAUAAAUAAGGUUUAUUAAAAAAAAACUUAUUAAUAAAAACUUACCAUCAUAAGUCGUCUCUCGGCGAAAGGAACCUGGCCGGAAGUGUGUGGGACGUUCUUUAGAUUUCCCACAACGUCAGCAACGUUCCUGAAAAUGAAAUAUUUAGUAAUUAGAUUUGUAAUUAAAAAUAUAAUAUUAUAAAUUAAACACAUUUUAAUUUAAUUUACAAAUAUACCUGGAUGUGGAACACUUGGCGGCAAUAGUCUGGUUGUUCGGGGUCAACCAAUGAUGCACCUCCCAGACGGUAUCGGCCAUUGGCGUGGCUUCUCCUUGUUGCCGUCGACCUCCCACUUCCGCUUCCAGUCAGAAACGGUGUUGUUGAGCCGGAACUUGACCUUUUCAUUGAAGGCCGUCUUCACACGUUCGUGUGCGGAAGUUUUCCAAGGCCAGUUUUGCUACAAAAAAAAAAGAGUUAGUAAUUAUUGUAAAAAAAAAAUAAAAAAUAAUAUAAACCAUAAUUUUAAAUAACUUACCGCGAAACACUUGAACCAAGUGUCAAUAGUUUCCUGAUCCAGCUUCUUCCAGCUGGUAUGGGGUUGUACGAAUAACCCCUUGAUGAUGUCGGAAACGUUACGACCGACUGCGUUAUCGGUCGUAAACCUAGUCAUUAAAAAAAAUUUGGUUAGAUAUUUAAAUUAAUUAUAAAUAUAAAUCUUUUAAUGAAAAAUUUGUAAAAAAAAAACCAAAAAUCGUACCAAAACAUCCCCGGAGCUCGAUCCGGAUAGAGUUUCUUCAUACUCCCACGACCCGGUUGCCGUAGAAGAUCCUCAACCGUAUAUUGGACAUACGGUUCAGGCGGUAUCGGGGCUGCGGCUGGUGCAGGUGCUGCUGGUUCGGCUUGUAGUGGUGGAGGCGGUGCAGGCUGUGGUACAACAAUUGGUUGUGAAACUGUACGUUGAGGAUGGCGGACCCCGUAGCUAAGGUGGACGGAGCGGUAGCGUCUGGAUCAACCAUCUCCCGAUAGUGGAACCUCUUGGUCCGGAGAGCUAUCUAAAUAAUCUACAAAAUUAAAUUAAAUAUAAUUACUAAUUAAUCUAUUUAUUUCUAAAUUCCAGAAAUUCCGAAUCUUACUAAUUCCCCUAAUUAUAUCUAUAUAAGGAUUAAAAUUUGAACAGGAAUAUAAAUUAUAAUGAAAAAACUAAAAAAAACUUACAAAUUAAGACUGGAGAGGAGGGAGAGCAAGAGAGAGAGAGUCUUUGUAGAGAGAGAGAGGGAAGUGAGGAAUGAGAGAUGAUGGAGGAAAACUCACGUCCCUUAUAUAGAUUUUGUGAUCGUUGUAAAAUCGUCGUAACGUUACGACGGUUUUACGACGAUUUGGUUGUAUAAUCAUCGUACCAGUGCAUGACACGACACGUGUCAUGCUCACAUCGUUUGAGUAUUACGACAAUUUUACGAUGAUUGUUCAUCAAACUAUCGUAAAACCGUUGUAAUAGGCCAACAUAUAUACCCUCGUACCUCGGAUCUGGAGCCAAUCCGGCGGCUGUCAGAUGUAUGAUCGUCAUUAAUGUUACGACGGUUUAAUGAACAUUCGUCGUAAAAACAUUGUAAUUUUACGACGUUUGUACGAUGGUUUUAUGAUGGUGUUUAAAAAAGUUAUCAAACCCUAAAUCUCUCAAAAGACUUAUUGCAUUAAGGACAACCCAAAGCUGAUUUUAAACUAACAUAUUACAAUAGGUUCAUCACUUUACAUGUAUGACUGAUUUAGUACAUGAGAUAACAAAUAUAUCAACCAUCUUAUCUAAUAUAUAACUUUUUACUUAACAUUUACAAAAACAUGCAUGAACUAGUAAAUAUGUAUGAUUUUUUUUUCAAAUUUCUGAUUUUGAUCAGAUUGAAUACUUUUCAUAUCAAAUAAGAUAACCUAUCAAAAACAUUUGUGAAACAUGUUGGAAAUUCAUCCGGAUCAUUCGGGUCCACCUAAUCAGAAAAAAUCUUGCUUUAAUUUCUUAAUUUUGCAAAUAUGCAUGCAACCAUAUAUGUUGGAUAUCAAAGUCUUUUAAUUUAUAUUUUAUACGUAAUUGCGUUUUUAACCACUAGGCAUAAUGUUUUUGAUCUUUACGAUCAUUGAUUUCAAUUUCAGAAACCCCAUAGAUGCAUUCUUUAACCUCAUCAACGAAUGUCCUGAAAAAAUAACUAAUAAUUAAUUAAGACUGACAGUAGGAUAUACGUAUGUGCACUGAGAUAAUCUUUUUCAUUGGACCCCCAAACUUCCUUCAGUUUUCCACUAAGACGUCCGAUCGGCGAGAAUAUGUCAAGUACACCCUUAACUGUAUAUGUAUGGCCUCUUCAAUCAUCAUAUCGACGAGUAGCUCUUUUUCGUGUUCGUACUUUUGGUGCAAAAUAGUACGGAUACAUUCACCUGUAUUGAACCGGUCCACCGAGCUCUGCUUCGUGAGGGAGAUGAACAGGAAGAUGUUCCAUAACAUCAAAAAAUGAUGGCGGGAAGAUCUUUUCCAAAUCGCACAAUAAUAUUGGAAUAUUCGAUGCCAGUUGUGCUAUUACAUCAGCUGAUAAUGUUCGUGUACUAAGAUCCUGGAAAAGUUCACCAAUGCCUCCAACAGCUUCAUAGACAUUUUUGGGCAAGAGUUCAGCAAAUGCAAAUGGAAAUAAUCGUUGCAUAAACACGUGGCAGUCAUGACUUUUUAUCCCUGCAAAUUUACCCUUUUAUCAACAGAUUUAAAAGAUUAGAAACAUACCCAUCAGGAAACUUAACGUAAGAUAAAACCCAUUUGAACAAUGCUGACUUUUGAUCUGCACUCAACCGAAAUACAGAAACUGGUGCUUUCCCGUUUCUCAGUAUAUGAAACUCACUUCUGUUGCAUAAAUCAGGCAAGUCCAUUCUUCACUUACCAUUGUCUUUUGUUCUUCCCGUUACGUUCAUAACUGUAUGCACGAUGUUAAAAAAUUUUCUCAAUGUGCAUGACAUCGAGAUUGUGUCUGAGCAGAUGAUCUUUCCAAUAGGGCAGUUGCCAAAAGAUACUUUUCUUGUGCCAAUUAUGAUGAAAUCCAUAACCUUCAGACAUAUUUGCACGAGUGUGCCAGUUUCCCCCACGCGUUACUGUUUCCUCUGCCCCCCAAUGCUCGAUUUGCGCAAUCAGCUCCUGUUAAAUUUACAGGUGGAGAGAUAUGUACACUUUUGUUCUUCCUAAAUAACCUCUUGUUCCUCCGAUAUGGAUGGUUAUCCGGUAAAAUCCUCCGAUGACAAUCAAACCAACAGGUUUUUCUACCAUGUUUUAGCUGUAACGCAUCAUUUCGAUGAAGACAAUAACAACAAGAUAACCUCCCAUGUGUAUUCCAUCCUGAUAGCAUACCAUAAGCAGGGAAAUCGCUUAUUGUCCAAAUAAGCAUAGCCCGCAUAGUAAAAUUUUUCCCUGUUGAACAAUCAUAUGUGUGAACGCCGGUAUACCAUAACUGAUUCAACUCAUGUAUGAGUGGCUGCAGAAAUACAUCGAGAGCUCGCUUCAGAUGAUUGGGACCUGGAACCAAAAUACUAAGGAAAAGAAAUUCCCUUUGCAUGCACAUAUCUGGAGGAAGGUUAUAAGAGGUUAGGAUUACUAGCCAUAAUCAAUAUUGUCUACCAGACAUACCAAAUGGAGUAAAACCAUCAAUGCACAGACCAAGAUAGACAUUCCGUUUGAACUUAGCAAAAUCUGGGUAUACCGUAUUGAAGUGUUUCCCUUUGCUUCUGAUGGAUGCACAACUUCUUCAUCUACUUGUGUAUGUUCUGCAUGUCAUCUCAUUGAUGCAGCUGUCCUUUCAGAUUGAUAAAGCCGCUUCAACCUAUCAGUUAUAGGGAGAUACCACAUACGUUGGUACGGUAUCCUUUUAUGCCCACCAGUUUGCGGCCUGUAUCUUGGUUUUUGGCAAAAUCGACAUUCCUCCGGCUGAUCAUCAUCUUUCCAAAAAAUCAUACAAUUGUCAACACAUACAUCUAUCAUCUCAGAAGGUAGACCAAGACUAAAAAUCAACUUAUAUAUUUCAUAGUAUGUUGCCGCUGCCAAGUUAUCCUCCGGUAGAUACUCUUUCAGAAGAUCAGCCCAAUCAUCCAUGCAAACCUCAACCAGGUUAUGAUCUGUUUUAAUUGACAUCAUCCUAGCUGCCAAAGAUAAUUUAGACAGAUCUUCUCUACAUCCUUCGUAGAUUGGCUGAUUAGCAUUGUCUAACAAAUCAUAAAAUUGUUUGGCAUCUACAUUAGGUUCCUCAACAUCAUUACCAGUAUGCGUUUCAUGAAAUGCAUCAGUCACCAUCUCAUGCAUCCUAUCAUGAUCUAGACCUUGAUCAGAUUGAUACUGAUUAGGCUGAUGACCAUAAUUUGAUUCAUCAAAAUCAACAUGACUUUGAUAAUUACUACUACUACCAGCAUUCCCAUGAGUAUUACUAUCAUAUCCUUCUCCAUGUAGAUACCAAACAAAAUAUUGCAGCAUAAACCCUCUAUUUAAUAAAUGCGUCCACACGGUUUUGGUUAGUGUAUACCUUGUAUUCUUGUAUUUCAAACAAGGACAAAACAUCUUUGUGGCCUGAUACAUGAAUAUUUCUAACCCGUUCUUGAACUCUUCUGUCAACGCCCCAUCUGAAUCUUUACGCAUAUACAUCCAGCUUCUUAGCUCGUAUAUAGACAUCUUGAAAAUAACUCAAAAAAACUAUCUCUCUCUAUUGUUUAGACAAUAUAAGAGACGGUCUCUUGUGUCACGUGUAGCCGCGUGAAUGGAGAAACCUUUCAAUAUUGUUACUUCUUUUUUCAAAGAAAUUACUACUAAUUCGGGUUUCCAGCAAUGGACAACCCAAUAUAUCAGGUUUUACAACAAUAUAAUAAGGUUUAAGAGACCAAAAAUGGGUCUCCAGGAUGCUGAUGCUCUUUUGUUUGAAUGAUGAUGUGUUGUGAAUGAAAGAAGAAAUGAAGAUGUAUUUAUAACCAAAUUUUGGACUUUACGACGCUUUUACGACAAUUUUUUACAUCCAACCUUCAUAUUACGAUGAUUUUACGUCGAUUGUGCGAUAAAAUAUUUCAUCGACAUUAGUUAGGUAAACAUGUUUUAAAUGUUCUUCACCUACCUUCUUUGCCGACGUAAAAUCGUCGUAACUGUACAUCGGAUUAGGAUCGUCGUAUAUUCAUCGUAAUGUUACAUCCAAAUUACGACGAUUUUGCAAUAAAUAUCAAAUCUCUCUUUAUCGAUGUAUAAUCGUCAUAAAGUAUCAUAAAUUGUACGUCGAAGUUACGACGAUUUUUUUUACGACGUUUUAUUUUUCCAUCGUAAAAUCAUUGUAACAUCGUUGUAUAUUUGUGACGACUUAUAAACUGUCGUAACAGACCGUUGGAAAACGAUUGUUUACUUGUAGUGGAUGCAGCUCAUACGCAGAGCACAAAACCAAAGUAUGGGCCACAUGUCAACACAGAGCAAGGUAAGCCAUCUAAACUCUCUAAAACAAUCUGUUAUAGGUGUCAUCAGAGAAGUCAUUUUGCUAAGACUUACCCAAAUACAAAAUCAGAGGAUACUUCAUCAAUUGAACCAGAAAAAUAUGAAGCUAGAGAAGUAGAAAAAGAUGAGUUAUAUUGUGAAAUUUCCAAUUCAGAUCUAAUGUGCUUGUCUUUGCCAAAGGUUAUUGAUGCAUGUUUAAAUCAUGGAGAGCAUCACUAUUAAGAGAUCAAGACGUGCCAACCUGCCACUGAAAAAUAUGAAGUUGUCACUAUCUUCACUCCAAUCCAAGAGGAGCCACCAGAUCUUACACUGAAUCCAAAUGUCGUGGCAACAAAGAAAACAGAACUAAUCAACAGUUCUGAUCAGGUAAGUAUUUCUUUAGCACCAUUGAAUUCCAACACUUCAAAUUCUGUGCUGUUACACUCAUUAAAUCCAGAAGAAGUUGAAUUAAAAGAAGUCUUGGUAGAAUGCAUAUCAUAUAUCGAACCAGACAUGAAAAAGAGAUAAGAACAAGUGUUCCAAACAAAAAUCAUGUUCCAUUGCUCGUAAAAAUAUUUUGACCGCGAUAACACACUUGUUUCUUGUCCAAAAAGAAAUGGUAAUUGCAGGAACUGACGAGGAUCCACAAGAAAUCCAACAGAAAGAAAUCAGUAUAGAUGCCAUUUGUAAAAUGGAGGAUUUUACAACGACAAAAAACUUGCUGCCCAAAGAAUUUAUCAACAGACAUGAGAGAGAGGUCACUGCUUCCUUAGUGAUAAAAGAAGAACCACCAGAUGCCCAAAAUAAACCAAACCCAAGCCACAAGCAAACCAUGACCCAAGGUAACUCUCUAAACCCUCAGGAAAAGCAUGAUCCUAACUUGCUCUAUCUUUGUGCAGGUCAAAGAGUUUCGAGGACGAAACUUUUCCAAGGAGGAGGGUAUGAUGUGGUCAUCGACCCAGCUCACCAUCACAAAGAGACCCCAAUUAUCUGUAGCCGAGAGAUGCCUUAUAGGAGCUGAAACGGAGAAAACAAUGGAACAUAAAGGCGAGCCCAACAGAAGCAGAAGUGAAAAUUUGGAGUUCACCAACCAAAUUUCAUCUGGAGGAUAUGAUCGAGCCAAAACACUUUUGGGUCGAUCCAGAAAUGAAGUUACCCAAGAAUCAACUCAAACUCUUGGCCAAAGCAUGUUCAAGCCACACAAGGAGACCCAUGCACCAUAUUCAGCACUGAUGAAGUCCGAGAUCAACUAGUACAGCUCGACCAACACUUGUAUUACAUUUCUAUCUCAUCCAGUGAACGCCUCGAAGUGGAAUCAGCCCAAUUGGAUCCCAGAGAAAGGAGUUAUUCAGCUUAUAAAUUAGGUGAUGCACAACUUCUACGAUUUGAACAUACGUUCCUUAUUUGGAGGUUUCCGACAGAACCAGAAGGAUUUAAGCUGUGAGCCAACUUGUUCCCGAUUUGUGAUUCAUCAUAGAAUCGGAGGCAAUUGGAAUCAAACCAAUACCGGUUAUGGUUAGAAAUUUAUUCACUUUUUAAGUUGGAAGAUCUGUUUCAGACCCAAUUGCACAGCGAGGUUGAAGAUCGUACUCUACAGCCCAACUCAUCCACGUUCUCAGCCCAAAAUUACUUGGAGAAUAUUUUUUGGUCUUUCCUGGAUCCAACAAGCUCAAGAUCCGAAGAAUUUCCCAUUGAAACUUCAAGUUACACCCAAAUUCUCAAAACGGAUUGACUUGGUUCUAUUUAUGGCAGGUCCGAGCUCUGACUGGUUUAGAUCGCUAUCUACAAGAGUUUGGCGCCCAGGAGAGACUCUAAGGCAACUAAAGAAGCUUAGAAACACCUUACCAUGCACUAGCAUCUACAGGAUCAGGCGGAUCGUCUUGCAAGCUUACUUUUCUUAUGUGGCCGCAUUCACACUCGGUGCCAUUAAUCACCAACGGCUCUUUUCCUUUGAAUGCUACGACUUGGACGUGUUAUAAUCGUCAUAAAGCAUCGUAAAAUACACUAUUUACAAGUUAUUUUGUGUACACAUUUAUUUCAUUCCCCCAAAAAUACAUCAUUUAUAAGUAACUUUUUUACGUAUAUCCUUUUUCUCUUUAAAAGAAAAUUUUCAUUAAAAAAACUUCAAAAUUUCAGUAGUUCCCAACUUAAAUCUCCGACUUUUUGGGUUCCAGCUUUAAAAUUUCAAGUUAAUUAUUUUUCCAAAACAAACCUUCAAGUUGCAUAAAAGUGUGCACAAUCGAGAGUUUACUAAGAGUCAAUGCUGUUGUUUAACGGUCAAUGUUAGAAAAUAAUAGUUUUAAAUAAUAAAUUUAUUUAUUUUUUAUGAAAAAAAAUCAAAAUAAAAAAAUAACAAAAGUAUUUUUUCAUUAUUUUUUUUUCAACACUUAACGGUUAAUAUAUUAUAUUGUUAAACUAAUAACUUUAAUUGUAUUAAUUUAUUUAUUAAAAAAUUAAAAAUCUUCUCAGUUGCAAAUCUUUUCAAGUGUGACCAAAUAAUCCAUUGGUCGAUCUUAUGUAUUCACCAUUAGGGUUGAGAAAGGAUCAAAGUUUUCUUAAUGAGAACGAGAAGUAAAAGGUAAACUCAUUAGAAGUUGUGUCUCUAGGUACCGGAGUUGAACCGGUUUUUUAUAGAAAGAUUUCUCAAGCGUGAAAAUCAUAACGGAGAGGUCAUAGGCGAGAGAAUUGUUUUUUUGUAUUUUUUGUUUUUAUUUUGAUUUUUUGGUUUUUGGUUUUUAUGUAAAAAAAUAAAUAAUUUAUUAUAUAAAAAUUAUUAUUUUAACGUUGAGCGUUAGACAACAAUGUAAAUUGUUAGUCAACCCUUGAUUGUGCACACUUUAAUGCAACUUGAAGGUUUAUUUUGGAAAAAUAACUAACUUGAAGGUUUAUAGUAAAAAACCCAAAAAAGUAGAGGUUUAAGUUGGGAACCGCUGAACAUUUGAGAGUUUUUCUGGUAAUUUCUGUUUUUUUUUAAAGAACAAUAGAACAAAAAUAUUCUUUACUAAAUUCAAAGAAACCCAAUAAGAAAAAAAUAUUCUUAUCAUUUAUUCCUUUAGUGGUCACACUAGUUUGAGCCUUAAGAAAAUCUGUUUCUUUAGUUUUUUGGAAAUCAUAAAAUAAUUGAACAAAAAUAGCUUUUGGGUGAGUUCUAGCUAAUGGUCUUUGUACGCUUAGUUGGCCCAGCUCCUAUCAGCUCACUAAAGCCCAUACGUAGAUUUACCUAAGAGACUUUGAGUUACUUUAGUCAGAAUGUCAGAUCUUCUAUCACCUUCCGGCCAAAUCAAUUUUGUAAAGACUAGUUUCGUACCAUUUCAUUGAAGCUAUUUCCAAUAAGUACAAAAAAAGGCGACAGAAGCUUGUAUAGAAACAACAAUACUUCUAGUAAUACAAACAAGAUACAACAAUCAAAAUACAACAAGAAACCCACAGCCAAUCGAGUCACAAAACACGUAAAAAGAAAGCAAUCCCUCUGAAAAGUUACUUACUAUAUUACCAAAUUUACUUGGAAGUAUCUAAAACUUUCAUGGAGAUGCACCACUGCUUCUGGAACGAUACAUAGUGGCAAAAUCCAAACUUAAACGCCGGUCCCUUUCGUCUCCCCAGCCUCCCCAACCUUUGAAACCAGCUUUAUAACCAGGUUGAUGUUUAAACACCUAAACUCCCCAUCCUUUAUUUAUGUUCACAACUUUAUCUGUUUAUUUAACCACAAUGUUUACAACCCCAUUAUCAAUACAGUCACCUUCCUCUCCUCUACCUUGAUGCAACCCACAUUUACCAAAGUGUACCGCACUGGUCCUAGGCCCUCUCAAUGUGUAAACAGGUGAACCAAACGAAGGGAAAACCGUUGCCCACAUUACAUCCCAAUUGUAAUCAUCAAAGUAACAAAACUCUCUUGCCUUCUGGUGUAUAUUCUCCCACAAACUUCUAUUAAAGGAAUACCCGAUAUUGUUAAUUGGUAAGAAGCACAAACCGUGCCCUUCUCUGUGUCUUUCAUUAUCAAUAUAUAGUGUUACAAAUGAAUCAAUCAAGAUCAAUCAGAGUAAAUACAUAAUAUACGGUAUAAUAAUUCUAUUAUUGAGUUUCCUAUUCUAUCACUCCCCCGCAGUCGUAGCGUUGGAUGGUUGAACGUUUAGACUAGAUCGAAAACUGGUAAAAAGGGAUGAUGGAAGUCCCUUAGUGAAAAUAUCUGCAUACUGAUGAGCGGAAGGGACAUGAAGAACACGAACACUGCCAAGAGCAACACGCUCUCGUACAAAAUGAAUAUCGAUCUCCACGUGUUUGGUGCGUUGGUGUUGAACUGGGUUUGUGGAAAGGUAGACCGCGCUGACGUUGUCACAGUAAACAAUCGUUGUAGUGGUAAUAGGGCAACGAAGUUCAAGGAGAAGGUUUCGGAGCCAAGUUGUCUCAGCUACCGCAUUCGCAACACCACGAUACUCGGCUUCAGCGCUAGAACGAGAGACAGUGGGCUGUCGUUUCGACGACCAAGAUACAAGGUUGUCACCGAGAAAUACACAAUACCCAGAAGUAGAUCGACGAGUGGUGGUACAGCCUGCCCAAUCAGCAUCGGUAUAAGCUGUGAUCUUAGAGAUAGUGGUUGGUUUCAACUGAAGACCGUGUGUGAUGGUGCCUUUGAUGUAGCGUAUUAUCCGUUUGAGAGCAUUGAGAUGUGGCUCUCGUGGGUCAUGCAUAUGAAGGCAAACUUGUUGGACGGCAUAUGCUAUGUCCGGACGCGUGAACGUAAGGUAUUGGAGGGCACCAGCAAGGCUGCGAUAGAGAGUUGGGUCGGCGACUGGUGGUCCAGCAUCAGCAGCAAGUUUGGAGGAUGUAUCAACUGGGGUGGAGCAAGUGUUGCAGUUCGUCAUUCCUGCACGAUGUAUGAUGUCUGCAGCAUAAUUUUGUUGACUUAAGAACAUCCCAUUUUUGUCCCUGUUAAUAGCAAUGCCCAAAAAAUAGUGAAGUUCGCCUAAAUCAGUCAUAGAAAAUUCAGAGUUAAGGGAUGUUAUGAUCGACCGUAAUAGUGAAGUGGAGGAUGCCGUGAGUCCAAUAUCAUCUACGUAGAGAAGAAGAUAUGCCAAAUCUUUCCCGCGACAUAAAACAAACAGUGAUGCAUCGCAUUUGCUUUGUUUGAAGCCGAUUUUGGUGGCGAAGGUGGCGAAACGUUGAUACCAAGCGCGAGGCGCUUGUUUAAGUCCGUAGAGAGAUUUUUUGAGAAGACAUACAUGCGUAGGCCGAGUGGGAUCAACAAAUCCUGGGGGUUGAUGCAUAUACACUGUUUCGUCAAGGUCUCCGUAUAAGAAUGCGUUUUUAACGUCGAGUUGACGCAAAGGCCAAUUAAGAGAAACAGCGAGAUGGAGAACGGUGCGUAUUGUCGGGGGGUUUGACGACAGGGCUGAAAGUUUCAUCGCAAUCGAUGCCAAUUUGUUGAGAUUUUCCAUUUGCGACAAGGCGAGCUUUGUAUCGAGAAAGUCGUCCACCUGCAUCAAAUUUAUGUCUAAAGAGCCACAUAGAACGCACAACGUUAGUGUUUAAGGGCCGUGGGACAAUUAUAAACGUGCCACUCUUUUUAAGAGCAUCAUAUUCAACAUGCAUUGCAUCGUUUCCAAUACUUGUCUUUUAAAGCUUGGAUAUGAGAUAUAGGGAGAGGAGAAAUUGUAUCUGUAUGAAGGGAGAAAAUCUGCUUCUUUUUAGUAAUUCCACUACGGCUCCGUGUUUGCAUCCCGUGAGAAGGAGGAAGAGAAGGUGGAGCUUGCGUUAUUACAUCACUCGCAGGAUCCGUCGACGGUGCCAGCGGAGCUGGCGGUGGUGCUUGUGGAGCUUGUGGUGAUGGCAAAACAGAGGGUGGAGCACGUGGUGUAGAAAAAUUCGUAGCAGGAAGAGAUUGGAGAAGGGGAUGAUAAGAGUGUGGGGAAGUUGGUGUCGAUGGAUUAGUUUCAGAAGCAGAGUUUUGAAAGGGGAAUGAGUUUUCAUCAAAAAUGACAUGACGAGACAAUAUUAUUCGUUUUGUGGCAAUAUCUAAGCAUCGAUAGCCCCGAUGAUUAGAGGGAUAACCCAGAAAAACACAUUUAGAAGAGCGAGGAGCAAGUUUAUGGAUAGAAGUUGGGAGAAGAUUUGGAUAACAAAGGCAUCCAAAAAUUCGAAGGUGAUCAUAGGAGACGGCUUUUUGAAAGAGACGAGUAAAGGGGAUUUCAUUGUUUAUUGAGGAAGAAGGAAGAAUGUUGAAAAGGUGAGCUGCCAUAUGGAGAGCUUCGACCCAUUAAGAAGGAGGCAUAUGGGCUUGAAGAAGAAGAACACGAAUAAGAUUGUUGAGAGUUCGAAGAGUACGUUCGGCACGACCAUUUUGCUGGGAGGUAUGAGGGCAAGAGAAUCGAGAUUGGAUGCCACUGGAGGAGAUAAAAUUUUGAAAUUCACGACUGGUGUAUUCACCACCAUUAUCACAAUGAAAAGCUUUAAUUGUUUUGUGAAAUUGUGUUUGAACAUAGCGAAAAAAAUGUAGAAAUUUAUUGAAAACUUCACUCUUUUGACGUAAAGGAUAAACCCAAAGAAAGUGGCUGUAUUGAUCUAAGAAAAUAACGUAAUAUCGUAUUCCACUGACACUUGGAAUUGGAGAUGUCCAAAUAUCAGAGUGUACAAUAUCGAAAGCAGAAAAAACUUGCGAUGAAGAAGAUAAAAACGGUUGCCGAAUAUGCUUCCCUAGCUGACACGGGUGGCACAAGGGAGACGUAUCCAGUUUUGAACAUUUAAGAAAUCCAGAAGACACUAAAAAACAAAGCGUCGAGUUCCCGGGAUGACUGAGUCGUCGAUGCCAAACUGAAGCGGAAGGAGAUGUUGAAACAAAAGCUUGAGGGAAAGGAGAUGUGGUUUGAGUGACGGAGUAGAGAGGGCCAUCACUAUCACAUCGGAGUAGAGGAGCUCGAGUUUGAAGGUCCUUAAUAAGAAAACCGAAAGGGUCAAAUUCAACAGAGCAAAAAUUAUCUUUAGUAAACUGACGGACAGAAACAAGAUUUUUUAAAAUUUCAGGGCAAAGAAGGACGUUUUGAAGAUGUAAAGGCCGAGAAGAUGUUGAAAUUGUAGAUUUUCCCAUUGCUGUGGCAGGUAAAUUGGACCCAUUACCCACCGUGACUAAGGGAAGAGAAGAGACGGAGGAUGAAGGGGAAGAUAGAGAAAUCAUACCUGGGUGUGACGUGAGGUGUGCAGUGGCACCAGUAUCCAUGUACCAUCCAGAAUCAGCGGGGUCCUGCAAUGUCAUUGUGUUGAAUGCACUUGCGAGGGCAGUUGGUAUGAACUCUUGAUUCAUUGCUCCUUGCAUUUGUGGCUGAGUAGUCUGAGUGAGAUAGACAGCACCACGUUGUUGCUGAGGCAUAGAUCCAAGAAUACCAGGUUGAGCAGAAGAGUAUUGAGGAUGAAAUUGUUGCGGUGAAGAAUUUUGUUGUUGCCAGAUGGGCUGUUGUUGUUGCUGCCAAUACCAUGGAGGCUGAGAAGGUUGGCGAGGAUUCCAAGUUGGAUUGUAAUUGUUGCGUCCUCGACCCUGACGACCUCGAUUUCCUUUGUUGUUGCGAUUGCCUCCUUUGUAGUUAUUGUUGUUGUUGUUGUUGUAACCACGGGAAUUGGAGAAAUCAGGUGGGUUUGACUGUUGAUGAGGAGUUGCGGCAAUGAGAAGUUGAUGGGAGGAGGCGCUAUCGUCAUUGUUGGGAGUAGAUUGUCGUUUGGUUUUAAGCCUGGAUUCUUCAUCGAUAAGCAUCGAUCUGGCGGUUCCAAAAGUGCAGGGGGGUGAUCGAUGUUUGAUAACAUUGAUAAUGUUAUCAAAUUUAGAGCUGAGACCGUUGAGAAGGUGCAUGACUAAGGCCCGAUCUGAAAUUGGAGAAUCAACAUUGGCUAGCGUGUCUGAAAUUGAUUUCAGCUUUUGACAAUAGUCGUGAACCGAAAGAUCACCAAUUGUGAGAGUGCGGAGUUCAUUUUCCAGGGUGAUUGCACGAGCCUCUUUGUUGUCGCGAAAUAAAUUCUCCAGCAUCAGCCAGAGUUCAUGGGCAGAGCACUGUGUUUUCAAAACAGAGGUGAGAAGCGAUUCAGAGAUGGUACCAUAUAUCCACAUCUUAACUGUGUUAUCGAGUUGCUUCCAUGUGGUGUCGGUCGGUCCGGUGGGAACAGCAGAUCCAUCGAUAUGGCCUGUGAGAGAGAAACUCAAACAGUGAGUUUCAAAAAGGAUGCGCCAUGAAUCGUAGUUCAUCUUGUUCAUGUCAAGAAUGAUUGGUAUGUGAGCACGGAUCUGAGUGAGACUUGCAGCGGUUGGUGUUGCAACGGUUGGUGUUGCAGUGGUGGGUGUUGCAGCGGCCGCCAUUGAUGGUUCGUCUAAUGUCGAUGAAGAAUUGCAGAGAAGUUGCAGAGAAAUUGCAGAAAGGUUGCAGAGAGAAUGUAGAGAAAGAGGAGAAUAGAGGUAGAUCAGAGAUAGAGAAGAGCAACAAGUAGAGAAAGAUUAAGGAGAAACAAUGGAAGAAGAUCGAGAAAAUAGAGAGCGGCGGCUAUAGGAGAAAGAUUUAGGUUAGAGGCAAAGCUCUGAUACCAUGUUAAUUGGUAAGAAGCACAAACCGUGCCCUUCUCUGUGUCUUUCAUUAUCAAUAUAUAGUGUUACAAAUGAAUCAAUCAAGAUCAAUCAGAGUAAAUACAUAAUAUACGGUAUAAUAAUUCUAUUAUUGAGUUUCCUAUUCUAUCAGAUAUUUCCCGUUCUCUCUGCAACCAAACUAUCAAGCCCUUCUCCUCUUGACUUGACAUCAGACGGUGCAAGAUUAGCAGCAAAGCAGUCAGGGUAUUUCGUGGAUUUCCGCUUCGUGAGAGUCUUUAUAUUCCGGUAGGCAUUAGGAAAAAGAAAGUGAUCUUCUUCGAUGAAAAUAAUAUGACCCUUGUGACCUUUAGUCUCCUCCAAUCCAUCCCAAACCGUGUUCAUCAUCCACCACCAAUGGUGCUUCAAAGACACAAUCUUUGGAGACCUGUGGUUUCCAUACUGAUCCGGAUUGCCUUCACAAUGUUUCUUAGCCUCAUUCACCUUUGUUCUUACAAUCACUCGGGGUCACUCGUCGUCUCUCCGUCGCUUACCGACAUCUCGUUCUAAAAUACUAAGAAAUUUAAUUAAUACUAUUUUCAUUGCUUUUUAUUUAUUUUUUAUUAAAUAAUUAGGGAUAUCUACAAAUUGUAGAGAGAUAUUAUAUAUAAUAUUUCUAUAAAUUUUAAAUCGACACCAAUUUUAUAAGAAUGGAAAAUAUACAUUAAAAUUUUAAAAUAUGACAUAUUAGAUUUAUAAAUAUUAUAAAUGAAUUUUAGGAAACUUAAAUUGUUGUUGAGUUCUGUGUGAGUCAAAGCCCGCACAAUCAAAACUUGUUGAAAAACUAAAGAGGUAACUGAAUUUUCUAGGAUUUUAUCGCAAGAACUCAAGAACGUAAUGAAUUUCUAUUGCUGGAAAAGCUAUAAGUCUUUGUGUUUAGAGUUGCAAAAGAUACAAAAUGAAUAACAUUUAUCGACAAUUUAUACAAGUUCUAUAAACCGCCAAUCCGAGAAUCUCGAGAAAGAUUCUCAUAAAAUUUCUUUAUCUUUUUGCACGGCCACUACCUCAGCCCUUCACCUAGGGUAAAAUGUUGUGCUCGCUUCAAUGGGCAAGACACCUGCUCGGCUAGGCCUGUUAACACUGCUUGUCUUCCGGCUCGGCCUAUUGACCUCAUAUUGGGCUCGAACCAAUUGUUUUUCCUUGAUCAGCUCCACCCAUUAUCGCAGCAAGGAACAUCCUGGUUCGGCCAAACGCCGUUGCAUGACUCGGCCCAAUUGGGCCCGUUGUUGCGGUGUUGCUCGGUCUGACCGGGUCCAUUGUCGCGGUGUUGCUCAAUCCGACCGAGCCUGUUGUCGCGGCGCGGCUCGCUCUAGCUCGUGUCACGGCUCAGGUCAGUUUGGUGGAUAUGGGCCUAAUAUCUCCCAUUUUAUACAUAGUCGUUUUUAGGACAGCUAAACUUGUCGGGGUGAAAUCCAACCUCAAUAGUUAGCCCCCCAGCUCGUCGGCUUUGGAGGUGAAGGUGAGAAGGUCAAAAUUGCCGGACCUAGAUUAGCUGUAAGAUUUUUUUUAUCCCUCCAAGCCAAGGAUGAUCAACCCACUUUUCUUCGUUCAUGCCGAGCUGAGCACGGCAUACUUCUUCCUUCUUGUGACCGAGCUGACUGCGAAAGUAAUACCGAGCUGUGGGUGAGGUCGCUUCGGUGGUCUAUUAAAGCAAAGCCUAUGACGAGAGGUUUGUUGAAAGUUAACGCUGGGGCAUUCAUUUGAAUGUGAAAAGCGAGGCGUUUUUUUCUUUAGGAAGUUAACGCCGAGGCGUAUGUGAGAAAAUUAACACCGAGGUGUUUUUUUAGAAAGUUAACACCAAGGCGCUUUUGAGAAAGUUAACACCGAGGCGUUUUUGAGAAAGUUAACACCGAGGCGUUUUUGAGAAAGUUAACGCCGAGGCGUUUUCUGAGAAAGUUAACACCGAUGUGUUUUUUUUAAAAGUUAACGCCGAGACGUUUGUUUGAAUGUUAACGCUGAUGCGUGUUUGAGAAAAUAAACGCCGAGGUAUUUACAGUGAGGCUUUUACCCCGAGGCGUGCUAUUUAGGUGUGAUGUGUUGUUGGGCUUAGUAAGGAUAGGUGACUGUUACGGAUUUCACACGCCGCUAUUCGGAGGUUUUGGGGAACUCACGCGCCGUAAAUCCCUAUAUAUACGAUGCUCACCCCUCACUUCUCCUCAUAACUCCAAAUCUCCAAAAUUUCACAAAGGUAUCUCUCCCUUCUUACUUUCUCUGUUUUUUCUUUUUGUUUUUUCGACUAAGGUUUGGACUUUGUCGCCGUCACAUCUCUGCUGUGCUGCCGUUUCAUAGCUGCAUUCCUGUACCACCGUCGACAUUUUUUCCGGUGAGCUAGUUCGUAAACCUGGUAGCGCUAUCUCCAAGCUGUAUUAUCUGUACCAGACGUAAAAAGUUAUGAGGACCCGAUCCAACAGCUUGUUAGAUACAUUAUUUAACCACGAAUAUCUCUUUCAUAUUGGCGAGGCGUCAAUUUCGGUGAGCCUCCCUCAUGAAUCUCCUUCUAAAGAUGGCGAGGUGUAUGCUUCGACAAGUUCUUCUCGAGGUCCUGCGCUACAUCUUAUCGAUAUCGCUGAAGUGAAAGCUGAGGAGGAAGAAUUUUCCUUUGAUCCGGUCGAGGCUAGGCUUGAACUGGAGCGUUCCAUGGCGAGCCAAGGCGCUUCUACCUCAGCACAGCCUAGAGCUCGGCGAAAGAAGAGGCGAAAGCCUAACCCUCCAGGAUCAACUCUGUCGACCGAAGAAUCUUUGAAAGCGUAUCCUCCACUUUGGGAUUUCUGAGGUGGUUAAAUUUAUCCUGCCGAGCCAAACUGAUCGCGCUCAUAAUCCUCCUCCGAACCACUUUACUCUAUACAAAAGCUUUUUUGAGUUGUGCUUUCUUUGGUUCCCCAUCACCAAGGUGAUCCUUUUAUAUCUUUGGAAGCACAUGAUCUCCAUAGGGAAAAUUAUGCCGAGAGGGUGGUGACAUAUGUUAGAAAUUUUGGUUUGGUGUUUUGAAUGCCGAGUCGACUUUGACCUCAAUCAUUUGCUUAACUUUCUGGAGAUUCGCAAAGCCCUAAGAGGAAGGUGAUUAUAUAUCUUCAAAAAGGUGAACUGAAAUAUCAUCUCAGGCUUCCUGAGCAAAGAUAAAUUCUGGGACGAGCGCUUCUUUUAUGCUCUGGUCAAUGAGGGGUCGCGACGACUUUGUUAAUCUGACCAAGACAGCUUGAAGACCACUUGAUAGCCGAUCUGAUGCCCUCACUUUGGCUCGGCUUUUUUUGUUUAUUUAUUCUGGUUCUUAAUGUGUUCUGUUUGUUUUGAAGUUCGAAACAUCCUUCCUCCGUGCCCUGACAACCUAUUCGUCAUUCGUGACUUUAGCCGACAAGAAAACCAACUGGAAACGUCACUUUUUUCUCGAGAGAUUUGAGAGAGCACGAGCCAUUCUCGCCGGCGUUCCCAUAAGUUCAGACUCGUCAAUGGAGACACCAGAGAAAAGAUGGUCAAGCUAACUCCCAAGGAAAAGAAGAAGAGAGGGGGCAAAGAGGCUGCAAGGCGGGCCGAGGAGAGAGCAGCUCGGGAGGCUCAUGUAAAUGCUGAAAAAGGUAAAAAUGAGGUGCCUAACUCUGACCUGGACGCAGCAAAGCUGACUGUACCUGAGGCGAAUCCCGCCGAUGCCUCUCCUAAGACAAUCCACAUUGGGGGGUCUCUAACAAGAGUCUCUCAAAAAAGUUGAGAGACUCUCUCAUUUGAGAGACUUUCAUUGAGUGUUCUAAGAUUUUUAAGAGACCCAUAUAACUGAAUAAUAUUAUUUAUUAUUAUUUUUAUAGAUGAGAGACUCUCCAAUGUAGAUGCUCUAAGGACCCUGAGAUGGUUCUUCUCGAGGUGUCUUCGAAAACUCUUACCAAGCCCCGGAAAACAUCUACUCUGACCGGAUCGGCAAUACUUGCUCUUCCUCAAACAGCGAGGCCUCCUUCCUCUACUCUUGUGAAGCAUCAGGACUUGCUGAGCUGCAAGCGCCCUGCCUUGAGAAAAGGCAAAGGAAUCGUCACCGAGCAAGACAAGCCGGCUCCAAGAAAGCUCGUUGUUGACGAUGCGACCUCGGCGGCUUUGUUUUCGAUGGUGAACAACGCCAACAAUCGAGUCCCACCUCCCAAAAAAGGUCAGGAUGGCGAAUUCCUAUGCCGCGAUGACAAAGCACGGAACAAAGGUAAUAUCUAACUCUUCUUUGUUUUUGGUUAUGCUGUUAAGUAUUGACUUGGAUUUCUUAUUCCACUUUUUAUAGUUUUACAUGACCAUUAACAAGCUGAUGGCUGACUACGAGGCGGAUGCUUGCAAGGAUGAAUGUCGUCUGGAUGAAGCAAGGAAAGAUGUAGUGGCGGUCAAGGCUAAGCUUGACGAGGUCCCGACGAAGAAUGUCAAGGCGCUGGCUCUGAUCAAGGCGUUAGAGGAGGAGAAAAUAGUCUUGAGGGCCGACUACGAUAGAGCUGCUAAUAUGGCUGCUCAUCUCGAGGAAGCUCAGACCAGAAAGAAAGCCGAGAUCGCUUCUCUGAAGAGGCAGAUCGAGGCGAAAGAUGCUCAGCUCGAGCCUCGGGUUAAACGAGCCUAGAAGAAAGCAAGGCGUGAGGCGGAGACUAAGUAUCAAAAGCGUCUCUCCAAGAUAGAGAAGAGCAUUGACGUGCUCAAGAAGGCCAAGGAUGAUGAAAAUGACGUAGGCCAGGUUAAGAGCAAUCUCA